AGCCUUGUUCAUCUUGACCUCUCUUAUAAUCUUCUACGCGGUUCUCUUCUGGGUGCUUUUGGGAACAUGGUCUCUCUUGCAUAUCUCGAUCUCUCCAAGAAUCGACUGGGAGGUAGGAUUCCAACACAUUUCAGUGGCAGCCUCGUUCAUCUUGAGCUCUCUAAUAAUUUUAUACGAGGUUCAAUUCCGGGCACUUUUGGGAACAUGACCUCUCUGGCAUCUCUUGGUCUCUCUAGGAAUCGUCUUAAAGGUAAGAUUCCAAAAUCUUUGAGUAGUAGCCUUGUUUAUCUUGACCUUUCUGGUAAUCAGAUACAAGGUUCAAUUCCGGACACUUUUGGGAACAUGACCUCUCUUAGAACUCUUUGCCUCUGUUCGAAUCAACUUGAAGGUGAGAUUCCAAAAUCCUUCAACAAUUUAUGUAAGUUACAAACACUCGAGUUGUGUCGAAACAAUCUUGAUGGAGUGCUUGCAAAAAACUUGUUGCCUUGUGCAAAUGACACAUUGGAGAUUUUGGAUUUAUCUCGUAACCGAUUUAUUGGAUCAUUCCCUGAUUUUAUUGGAUUUUCAUCGUUGACAAGGUUGGAACUUGGAUACAAUCAAUUAAAUGGGAAUUUACCUGAAAGUAUAGCACAGCUAUCUCAGCUUCAAGUUUUGAAUAUGCCUUGGAAUUCAUUGCAAGGCACUGUUUCUGAAGCCCACCUCUUUAAUCUCUCCAAAUUGCAACAUUUUGACUUAGCUUUCAACUCCCUGUUGACUUUGAAUUUCAGCUCAGACUGGGUUCCCCAAUUUCAACUCACUGAAAUACUAUUAGCCUCUUGCAAACUGGGACCACGUUUCCCAGGUUGGCUUCGAUCUCAGAAAGGUGUUGGUUGGCUUGAUAUCUCAGGUUCUGGAAUUUCGGAUGUCAUACCCAAUUGGUUUUGGAAUUUCAGCUCCCACUUGUAUCGAUUAAAUAUUUCCAACAAUGAGAUCACUGGAAUUGUGCCGAAUUUGUCAUUAAGAUUUGCUCAUUUUGCUCAAAUGGAUUUGAGUUCGAACCGUUUUGAGGGCUCAAUACCACUGUUUCUUUUUCGAGCUGGAUGGUUGGACUUGUCCAAAACAUGUUUUCAGGGUCAAUUUCUUUAUUGUGUGCAGUUGGUUGUGGAGCUGUGGCCUAUCUCGACCUCUCAAAUAACCUAUUGUCAGGAGAGCUACCCGACUGUUGGGCACGAUGGAAAGGAAUAGUAGUUCUUAAUUUAGAAGGUAACAAUUUUUCUGGGAAAAUUCCAAAUUCAAUCGGCUCCUUACAAGCAAUUCAAACAUUGCAUUUGCGCAAUAACAAUUUAAUAGGAGAAUUGCCUUUGUCUUUGAAGAAUUGCACAAAUUUAAGGGUUAUUGAUUUGGGAAAAAACAGCCUGUCAGGAGAAAUACCCUCUUGGAUAGGAAGAAGUCUAUCAAAUUUGAUUAUUCUUAAUUUAAGAUCCAAUAGAUUUACUGGAAGUAUAUCUUUGGAUUUGUGUCAACUCAAAAGAAUUCAAAUAUUAGACCUUUCUAUCAAUAAUAUCUCAGGAAUGAUACCAAGAUGCUUCAACAAUUUCACUGCUAUGGAUCAGAAGGAGAAUUUAGUCAUUGGAUACAACUAUACAAUCCCUUAUUUCAAAGAGUUGUCACGUCGAAGCUCUUAUAUUGAUGAGCAGUUGCUUCAAUGGAAAGGAAGAGAACUUGAGUACAAGAGAACUCUUGGACUUGUAAAGAGUAUCGAUCUUUCAAGUAACAAACUAGGAGGGGAGAUUCCUAGGGAGGUAACCGAUCUUUUAGAAUUGGUUUCAUUGAAUUUAUCACGAAAUAAUUUGAUAGGAUUAAUCCCUCCUACAAUUGGUCAAUUGAAAGCAUUGGAUGUUCUUGACUUGUCUCGAAAUCAGCUUUUAGGUAAAAUUCCUGAUGGUCUUUCUGAAAUAACUCGCCUAAGUGUCUUAGAUCUAUCAAACAACAACCUAUUUGAUAGAAUUCCAUUGGGCACUCAACUACAGAGUUUUAAUUCUUCCACAUAUGAGGGAAAUCCUCAACUUUGUGGUCUACCCCUUCUGAAAAAGUGUCCUGGAGAUGAAAUAAGGAAAGAUUCCCCCACCAUUGAAGGGUACAUUCGAGAAGCGGCAAAUGACUUAUGGUUGUGUAUUAGCAUUGUACUUGGAUUCAUAAUAGGAUUUUGGGGAGUCUGUGGCACUUUAAUACUCAAAACCUCAUGGAGAAUUGCGUAUUUUGAAUUUGUGACGAAAGCAAAAGAUUACCUACUAAGGAUUGCACGAAACUAAAUGGUAACAUCCGUCUCCUUUCUUUCUUUGUCUCUUUAUUUAUCUACAUGAUUUCUAAAAAAAAUCAUAUGUAGGGAAGGCUAAUCACUAAAAAGGAAAGUACGUUCCAUUAUUACUCAAGCCCCCUUUUAUUAACUACUGAAAACCAAGAGCAAUAGCUCAAAAUUUCCUUCCAACUAUUUCAAAUCGAUGAAUAUAAUUUUUCCUUUAUGUUGCAGGACUCCAGCUUGCCUUCCUCUUAUCCGUCUUAGGAGCACUAGGUGUAUUUAAUGAUCAUUGUGGCUGUAAGUUUCUUUGGUUAUGUUUUACUAUGUAAUUGUUUGUUUGGUUUGCGCUAUUAUUCAUUUGGUACUUUAGUUUCCUUUUGGAAUUUCUCGGCUUUGCUGUGCUUUUAUUGUAUAAUAAACCCUCCCUUGGAUGCAGUGGUUGGGUAGUUCUCUUUUAGUUGUUUCCUUGUAGAACUUCUCGGCUUGGUUGUGCUUUUAUUGUAUAAUAAACCCUGCCUUGGAUGCAGUGGUUUGGUAGUUCUCUUUUAGUUGUUUCCUUGUAGAACUUCUCGGCUUGGUUGUGCUUUUAUUGUAUACUAAACCCUGCCUUGGAAGCAGUGUUUUGGUAAUUCUCUUUUAGUGUCCUUGUGCUGUAUAUCUUCCAUCAAGUUAUUGACCAUACUAAUUUUUCUACUACUCUUUAAUCAACUAAAUACUUCAAAAGCUCAAGACAGAAUCCACUUUAAUAAUAUCUUCUUCUUUUUUUCUGUUAUUUUUCUAUGACUUCUCCUUUCUCCAUAAUUGAGAAGAAAAUUAAAAUAUAGUCAUCUUCUCUUACACUCUCAUCUUUUGGUUUAUUAAUGCAAAAUUGGGGCAAUCCUCAAACUUUUUGGCUUAUUAAAUACAAAAAAAAAAAAAAAAAAUGUCCAAUAAUACUAAAUUUAAAAAAGUGCAGUUAAUUUCUCCUGUGACAUUUUCUCUUGGUUACAAGUACCGAAAAUUUUAUUACUGGAAUCUAUGUAAUUUUACUUUUCCUUAUUGAGUGGGGUGCUAUAAAAGCUAAAACCCAAAAGACCUAAGAUUUUAAAAUAAAAUCUCAUAUCUGCUAAUAAUUUAAUUACAUAUCCCAUUGUUCUGUAAAAGAUCUAAUCAAGUACAAAAAUAUCCAUCACUGAGAAGUAAAUUCAGGCUUCUAACAAGGUAGUAGCUUGCAUCCUAAUUAAUAAAUUGUCAUUCAUGAAGAUUUGGCACCAAAGGAGUGUGUUAACACAUUGUGGAAAUAAGGAAUAUAAGAGUGCAACUCAAACCAUUAGAGAUUAAGAUAUUUGAGUCCUUUUAUAUUCACUUCAUCCUCAAUUCACUCCAAUUUUAAAUAUGAACCAUUAAAAAUUUCUUAUAACAACAAAUAAGAAAAAAAGUGUAUCCAUGGACUACUAGCUAGUUAUGUGUGUGCAAGAGGAAGGGAGGUUGGAUUAAGAAAGGAUGGAAAGUGCUCAUAAAAAGAAUACUAUCGACUUUUAUUGAAGUUGAUAAGAGUGCUAUUAAGUUCUUUUGCUACAAGAAGAAAGGACUUGAAAAGAAGGGUUACCCCAAAUGAGAAUUCUCUUGAGAAGAUAUGGAAUCCAAUCUCUAAGUGUGUUAUGAAUCUAAUACGAGUUAUAUUUCUUACAACAUAUGUUGGAUUGAUUCUAGUUUUAUAAUUCAUAUUGCAAACCAUACAAAACUUCAUAAAACACUAGAAGUAAGGGAAAGUGAAUAUUUCAUCUUUUUAAAUAUAGGAUAUAUUCACAUUUUGAAGCUCUUGCAAUCUACAAACUUGCUCUUAGAUAUGGUGUUGUUUGAUUUAGACCGUAAUAAGACAUUUUAUAUUCCAUUUUUCCCAAGAAACCUAGUUAUCUCAAUUUCUAAAAUUCAUCUCAGGGGUUUAGUUUAAUUUCUUUGAACCUCUUUACAUAUGUUGAAAGACUGUUGUUGGUGAUGGUAAUUUGGAUGAUGCCCUUUUUACAUUUUAUUUAAAUUCCACCUUUGAUUAACCUUAUCACUAUGCAUGGUAAUAAUGUUGGUGUUAAACAAGUGUUAUAAAUAAGAAAUUAGUCUCUUUUGUGGCAUGGAAGAUUUGGUCGUAACUCCACUAAAAGGAUUAAAUAAAAAAAAUAGAUUAGUAAAUGAAUCAGCCCUUGAGCUUCUUGACUUUAAUGACUAAUUUUAGUACUUGCAUAGGCAGCAUUAAAGUAAAGUAAACCAACAUGACAAAUAAAAGAUGCUAGGAGUUAUGACAUUUUGGAGAUCUUACACACUCAUGUGUGCAAUUCUUCAUCUCCUUUAUUGAUAAUCAUUACAUGUUUAUUUGUUUUAUCAUAAAAUUGAAGCACUAAAAUGCUUUCAAAUUUUGAAAAGUUGGGGUAGAGAAACAGUUUAAAAAACAAAUUAAGAUUAUGAGAUAAGACAAAGAUAGAGAAUAUUAUGGUAGACAUUAUGUUAUUUUUUUCUCUUUACAUAUGGUGUAUAUAAAGAUACAAACGUUGAAGUCUUUAUAUAUUCUGCCUUUUAGCUCCAUUCAUGGAAAUUGCAUGGAUUGUUGUUUAGUACUAUUUCAACAUAGUUUUCAUUAUAGAUUUUAUGUGGAAAAUUUUUUGAAAUUAUUUUAAAAUCUCAUUUGAGUAAAAAAAAUUUUCUAUCAUAUUCUUAUAAGGACUUUCUUAUUAUUAUAAGAAAAAUAUUUUAUCAUAACAUUCUCUUAUAUGAAUAGGUAUUUUUAAUAAUUAGUCAAUUAGAAAAUAUUUUGACUGAAAAAAAAAAAUAGGGCUUUGAGAUUUAAGAAUGCUAACCAUAAAUAUAUGUUUUAGGAUCAAGCACAACAGGUACAUGAUUUCUUUAUUAAUUUUAUUUUUGUUUUUGUUCUCUUAUUUUCUUCUCUCUGUUAUGAUAUUAUUUAUUUUAGUUUUUCCCAAUCAAAAAUACCAAUGCUAGAAUUACUAAUAUAAUUAUUUACAUUUAGCAUAGUAUUGAAACUUUUUCCUUAAUCUAAACAUUAAAAGCCCCAAACUCAAAAAAAAUUCUUCUAAGACCUAGAAAAGGAUUAUUUUUAACUUGUUAUCUCCACCAAAUCCUAUCAUCCACAAUUUGAAUCUUAUUAUAGAAAACAUUAUGGUUAUGUUUCGUUAUAGGAAAAUACUAAAGAACUAAAAAAAAAUAUUUUAUUAUAUUUAGUUUUACUAUAAAAAGUACAAAAAUAUAAGAAAUAAGUUGAUUUGAAGUUGAAAUUACCUAAUGACAUAAACAAUUCAUUGAUUUUGGAUCUAUUUUUAAUUUUUAAUUUUUUUUCCUCUCUCUAUUUUAUUUCUUUUAUAUUUUCCUUCAAAUUUUCAAUAACCAAAUAUAGUCAAUAGUCAAUAUGGAAUAGAAAUGAACAUACACUACAGUUUUUUUUGAAGAAGUAAGAAAAAUCAACAUAUAAUAUGGAAUAACGAGAAAUAAAAUAAUGCCUUAAUUUUGAAGUUGUCGAUCACAAAUUGUAAAGAGAUACAAAACUACUAGAAGCCUCAAAGUAGACAUUUUCCUUGCUCAUCAUUUCUUUUAAGGCUUUAUUUAAAUAUUCAAAAGUUUUAUGGGAAAGUAUUGGACAAAGAAAAUAGUAAUAAAAAAUUUAAAAAUAAUAAAAUAUGGGUUUGAAAUUGAUAGACUCACAUGGUUCUCCUUUUUUUUUUCCCUUAUAUAUAAAAAAAAAAGAAUAAUUUAAAAUUGUAUAAAUUUUCAUUUAAUUUUCUUUAUAUUUUGAUUUACUUUCUUACUUCAUAUGCUAAACAGAAUGCAAGAUUUUAAGUUCUUUCCAAUUUUCCUUCUCUCCCUGGCUGCGAUAGGAAGAGAGUCCAACAGUUGAUUGCCGAGAAACCAUAACAAGGUAGAAGAAAAAAGCUCUAUAAAUGAAGAUCACAAAUGUGAUUUCUCACCUGGCCCUGUACUUUAUCGAUAAGGUUUUCUUGUUACAUCCUCCAUCUAGAAAUUUUGGUAUACAUUUUUUCAGUCUGACAACUCCACAUCUUAUCAUUUAUACAAAGCACGUGACACAAUCCAACAAAUAGAAGCUCCUGUGCUUAUACGUAUAAAAGUCCAAACUUGAGCCGAAAAGUCAUGAAUUGGACACGGUUGAGAAGGGUCUAGGAAGCCCACCAGCAGUCCUACUUUAGCCUCUUUAAGUAUAUCAGCUGCUCACAGGUAUAUAUAUAUAUAGCUCAUUAGGUCAUUGCCGCCCCCCCUACUUCCCAUUAUCUCCUUCACAAUUGGUCUCCUCAAACCAACCAGUUCUCUCUCCAAUAAUCCCCAUUUUCUUAACUUUUCAAGAGCCAAAGCAAAAAAAAUGGCACAGAAGAAGCAACAGGUCCAUCCCAUUGAACCCACUGGUGGGCCAGCCAAAACUGAUGUAGAGUCUGAGGAGCUUCGCCGCAUGAAAUGCACAAGAUAUAUAGCAUAUCUUUCUGCUUUUGCUUUGUUCGAGACCAUUGUUAUAAUGGUCUGUGUAGUCACCCUGAUGCGUAUCAGGAGUCCGAAGUUUCGGUUCCGUGCUGUUUCUAUUGAGAAUCUCAACUAUACAUCCGACACAACUUCACCCUCAUUUAACAUUAGAUUCAAUGCCAAAGUCGCUGUCAAGAACACCAAUUUUGGACACUUCAAAUUCAAGAACAGCACCAUUACUCUAGCUUACAGAGGUGAUCAUGUUGGGGAUGCCAAGAUUUCCAAGGCUCGAGCUCGGGCUAGAUCCACCAAAAAGAUGAAUGUAACAGUUGAUGUUAAUUCAGACCAUGUAUGGAGCCACUCAAACUUAGCCAGGGAUCUAAAUUCCGGGUUUUUGACACUGACCAGCCAAGGGAAGUUGAGUGGGAAGGUGCACUUGAUGAAGGUAAUGAAGAGGAGGAGAUAUGCAGAAAUGAAUUGCACUAUCAUCAUUAACUUAGUACGUAGACGCAUCCAAGAUUUAAAAUGCAGAUAAAAAUGAAUUCUACUAAUAAGAGGGAUUGGAUUAAAGUUUUGCUCUGUGUAUGUAUUUUUCCUAUUGAAGAUGUAUGUUGAAUGAUGUUUCAACCAUGUGUAAUAAUUUUUAGAUGAAGUAUAUUUUAUAUUUUUUUCUAGGAUAGAUUUUAGAUAUCUAGGAGGAACCAUCAAUCCUAUUUAUCUCGCCAUAUUUACAUAUAUUGGUUUUUGGCUUAAUUAUUAUUAUUUUUUUAUUCUCUCUUUGUCCUACCUCACCUAGAUAUUAGUUUUGCCUAGGCAUGAGGGCUUAUAAAUAAGUCCGCAUCCUUUUGCUAAGGUAUCUUAGUGGCUUUAAUCAACAUUAAUGUGGAUUUGGAGAAGAAACUUUUUCACUACCAAUACGAACCAAAUUUGGUAUGAAUGAUCACAUGCAUACUUUUGACAAAUAAUAGUAGAUUUGUUGAAUGUGGAUGAAAAUAUUUAAGAUGAGAGUAAAGUUUGUCAUUGUUAAAUUAUUUUCUAAAUGAAUAUGAACAUCUCACCGUCACCUUAUUUUAUGGCAAAGAUAAGGUGACUUUUCAUGUUAUGCAUAUUACUUUACUAAACUCUAAAUACAAGAAGCUCCAAAAGGUUUAUAGGAAAAUUUCAUAAGAAAUAUUAACAAUGUGAAGUUGAACUCAAAGUCAUAAACUUGGAAAAAGAGAACUCUUCAUCUAAGGAAAACUUGUGAAAGAGGAAUGUGCUUUUUGCCCUAAAAAUAGGCAUUGAAAGAAAGAUUAUCAUAAACUACAAAAGAAGAAUAAAGACAAGAUAGUGUUUGAUGCUUAUGUAGUCAAGUAUGGAGAUGAUAAGUAAAGCUUUGCUUUGAUUGGCUUAUCUUUGGUAUGCAACUUAGAUGAAUGGAUUUUUUAUACUAAAUCCACUUAUCAAAUGUGUUUCUUCAAGGAGUUGUUUUCUAACUUAGAUGAAGUACAUGGUGGAGUUGUUAUAUAUAUAUAUGGUGGAGUUAUUAGUAAUAAAUGCUUAUAAGACAACAAGAAUAUGUACAAUCCAAUUAAAAACUCAUACAUGUCGGAUCAAUCAAAGCUUGAUAGAUGUUCAAUAUCAACCAAAUUUAAAAAAAAAAAAAUCUCAAUAAAAGUAUUAAUUAAAAUCCAUGAGAUGAAAGUAAUUAUGUUAUGUGCACUUGUGGUGAUGAAAGAAGUAAGAAAAAAUUGUACUACUUUUAAGGAAGUAUAAUUAUUGAACGAGUGGUUACAAACUCUAAAGUUGAUGAAAGAUUAGAAAGUACAAGGUUAUGACAUAUGCGUUGGGGACAUAUAGGUGAAAAGACUUCACCAAUCAAGCUUGGUGAAGCAAUUAAAGGUUAUUAAAGAGUGAAAAAAACUUGUAGACUAGGAUUUUGUAGCAUUGCAUUUUCCGAAAACAAACAAGAAUGAAAUUUGAGACUACCAAUCCAUCAUAUUGAAGAUAUCUUGGAUAUACCCAUAGAAAUGUUUGGGACAAACCAAUGUAGCUUUCUUGACAAGUAUGUACUAUUUUGUUACUUUUCAUUGACCACUUCUCCAAAAGAAUUUGGGUGUUUGUCUUGAAAACUUAUUAGGAUGAAGUUUUAAUUGAAUUGUUUUUGGAAUGAAAUGGUUAAAACUCAAACUAGCUAGAAAAUCAAAUAGUUGAGACUAGAUAAUGGUGAUGAAUACAAAAGUAAUCCAUUUCCCAAAUAUGUCAAAAUGAGGAUAUUAUUUGAGACUUCAUAGUUACAAGUGCACCACAUUAGAAUUGAGUAGCAUAGUAUAUGAAUUGAACUUUCUUGGAAAAGGUUUGAUGUAUGUUUUUAAAUGUUGGAUUUUGAGCGAGGAGCUUUGAGCCAAGGGAGUUGCUUAUGCAUGCCAUUUCAUCAAUCAUAUAAUAUCAACUGCAAUUGAGAGCAAAAAUUUUAUAGAAGUAUGGUCUACAAACCUACAAACAAUUGUGACUACUAACACAUUUUUUGCUCUAGUGCAUUUUAUUUUUUUUAUUUUUUUGUGAAGAAAUAUGGAUUAGAUUUUGUCUUCAAAUGACCAAUGAAGGUAUCAUAAGUGAAGAAGAUGCAUCAACUUAACUACUUUCACAAUAGCAAAUUUUGAUUGCAAUUGGUAGAUUAAAAGGAGAGAUUUGAAUGCUUACUCGAUUGAUUGAUAUGGUGGCAUAUGCACAUUUGGCAGUCAAUGAUGAUAUUCCUUUUUCUUACUUUUUAGACUCAAUUAAUAUCAUGCGAGUUUGAACACCUUUAGGUGCAUGUAUGUGUGCAUUUGAGGUGUAUUUAGAGGAAGUGAUAGUUAGUUCACUUAUCAAAUAAUACUUCAAUUCUUGAAAUUGGUAGUGGAUAAUUAGUUUCACUAAGGUGGAGAUUUGUUGGGUUUUGGGUUACUUAGUAUUUUUUGAUUCUAUUGACUCUUUGUCCCACAUCCAUUAUAUGUUAGUGUUGCCUAGGCUUGUAGGCUUAUAAACCAAUGCAUGUUAGUAACUUCAGCAAACAUUAGUGCAGAGAAGGCUCUUUGUCAAGUAAGAACCUCUAACUUUGAUAUUCUUCCAACUCUUGUAAUUGUCUGAUUUGAAGGUAAUGAAUUGGUUGUCAUUGCCUGAUGACAUGGGUAAGAUAUUCUUAUCGAAACUGAUAAAUAUGAUAUAUCUCUCUUUUGUUGCUAUUAUUUUUUCUAAUUUUUCUGUUUUUAGGAAUUGUUUAUUUUAUAUUGUAUUACAUAUAUUUUGUUAAUUUUAUUUGAAUCCUGUAGGACUAGGACUUAGAACAAAACCAGUACUUAGUGCUAAUUAGGUCCUGUGGGAUGUAGUCCCCAGCACAACAACCUAUACGCACAAUCGAGCAGCUUGACUACAUUAAAGUACUACUGUUUUCUUCUCAUUGCAGUUCUGAUCAAACAUUCAAUAAAGUUCAUCAAGAACGGAUAUGCUGGAUUAAGGCUUCCAUUUUCGGGAUUUGUACAAUCUCUACUCUACUGAUCUGGUUGCCCUUAAAACUUCUACAUCAAACUUGGGAUUGGAUCCGGCUGUGAUUAAAUUGGUCUUUUGCAACUUUUGAGCUCUUCUAUGAGUGUUCUCAACCUUUAAUUUGGAUAUAACUAAAGAAAAGAAAAAAAUAAUCAUAGGAAUCAUCAUGUUAAUUUGGAUCUUAAACUAUGCAUUGUAUUGAAGAAGAAGAAAAAGAAGAAGAAGAAGAAGAAGACAUACAUUGGGAUUGAAGAAGAAGAAUCAUAGCAAUCAUCAUGUUAAUUUAGAUCUUAAAGCCAUGCAUUGGGAUUGAAGAAGAAGAAGAAGAAGAAAAUAAUCAUAGCAAUCAUCAUGUUAAUUUUGAUCUUAAAGCCAUGCAUUGGGAUUUAAGGAACUCGUCAAAUAUGACCUUGAUAUAGACAUUUUCACUAAGAAGAAAAAGAAGCAGCAAGCAGCCCAAGAAGAAGCAGCAAGCAGCCAUGCAUUGGGAUUUAAGCAACUUGUGAAAUGUGGCCUUGAUAUAGACAUUUUCACUAAGAAGAAGAAGAAGAAAUGAAGUGGAAAAAAAAUCCCGGAAAAACCAAGAAGCUAGAAACAGAAACAGCAAAAGAAAAAAUCCUAGAAAAACCCAGGAAAAAAUCCCAAAAGUGUACUGUAUUUUUACUAAGAGGCUAGAAACAGAAAACCCCCAUAUGCUUCACUUUGAUGUGGAGGCUAGGCAGCAAAGAAACCUGAAAAGGCAGCCUUUUCCAAACUAACUUCAAAUUCUUUACAGCAGAGCUUUAAGAAGAGGAGAAAUCUUCAAACCACUGCAAUUUGAUACAAGAUCUAACUGAGGGAAAAAUCUUGAUUUCAGAAAAUGUGCCGCUGUGCAAUUGAAAACCAAUCAAUACUUAUGAAACCUUUUGGCCGGUCAGUCCAUAUUUUAGUAUGUGCAGCAGAGUCAUAUUACUGAGGUUGAGAGCAUCACUCAUCAUGACAUUCCAUACUGAGGUAGGCCUCAAGAACAAGCAAUUUAGAUGACUUAAAGUUUGACAACGGUACAUGCAAUUACAUUAUUAAGUUUUAGUGGUUUUAAUAUUUGAGAAUGGGAAAUGAAAAUGACUAUUUUGUUUUUGUACUUUUUUUUUUAAUAUGAAUAAAUUUGAUGAUUUCAAUUAUUGUAUUUGAAUACGUCUAAAAAUAUAUGACUGGAAUGCUUAUUUGUUUUUAUUUCAGUAUUUGAUAACAAUGAGAAUAUGAAUAUAAAAAAUAAAUUAAUAAUAAUAUGCUUACACAUAUUUUGUAGUUUUGCUAAAUAAUAAGAUUAAGAAAAAUAGAAUUUACUUAAUAAAUAAAAAUUAAUCACAAAAAGUCAUAAAAACCUAAUAGAAAUAUAAUGGUAAAAUAAUACUUCUAAUAAAUUUUCUAUAUCAAGAAAAUCAAAAUACUUCAUCUUGGAAAUCAAUUGAAAUCCUAUUUAUGGGUGAGAUUUUUACUCAAAUCGUUUUUAAUUCCAUUCUCAUUGAAUUUUAAGUUAUUCAAAUAUAGAAAUAACUAAAAAAAGAAAUGAGAUGUUCAUUUCCACUCAUCAUUAAUUUCUUCAUAAUAAACAUGUCCUAAGGUUAAUGCAACUUCAAGAAAAAUGUGUAUAUCUUGGCCAAUAGCAUAAACUCAAGGGGAAUUUGACACAACUAGCUAUGGCAAAUUAAAAAUCAAUGUAAACGGACAUUUAUUGAGUAGUCCCCAUAAGUAAAUAUUUUUAGGUCCAAUUUUUUCGGGUUUUAAACACAACUCCAUCCUCUACCCAGGAAAGAAGUAUAAAUGAAGAGUAUACAGAAACCUAGAACGCGGGAUUUUUUAUCAAUGGGCUUAGAAACUUCUAACAAUGUGGAAACCGUGUAACAAUAUCUAACACUGCAUUGUCUUGUACAGAUGCUGAAUAAUCUAAAGAUGGAAGCUUCAAAAUUAUUAUUAUUAUUAUUAUUAUUAUUAUAUUGUUAGCUAUGGUCGGAGAUGAUUUUGUGGAGAGAGAUUUUGACUAUGGAAGAUACCAAGUUCACACAACUUUAUUAGGUGCAAAUCAGUGGAAACUUGUGCAGUGCGUGGAAUUAUUUUUUUUUGUAGAAGUUUGUAUGCUUAUACUUUCCUCAAAAUGGUAGUUAUACCAUACCAAAAUCCACAUAUUCCAAGGGCCAAAAGCUAAAGCCAAUGAACGCGAUAGGAACUUUUCUACAAAGGCGUGCCAUAUCACUUAAGUCAUCUAUCAUAUUCUACCUUAUAUAUACCCAUCUCAAUCUUCAAAUCCCAGCAUCAUCUCCUCACUGAGCAAUCAACACUGAACAAUUAAAACCCUUGUUUGUGUUCUUUUCAAGAGCCAAAAGAAUGGCAGAGAAGGAUCAACAGGUUUUUCCUAUGGAGCCAACUAAUGCUCAAGUCAAUACUGAUGAAGAGUCUGCCAGGGUUCAUUCUGAAGUGCUUCGCCAUAAGAAGCGCAUGAGACGCCUAGGGUGUGUAGCUGCUUUCACCGUGUUGCUGACUGCUAUUAUUCUAGCCUUUGCACUAACUGUAAUGCAUAUCAAGAAUCCCAAGUUCCGGUUUCGUUCCAUUGAGAUUGAGGAUCUCAGCCUCCGCUCGUCCACCACGACUCCAUCAUUCAGCAUGAGGUUCGAUGCAGAACUCACUGUCAAGAACCAGAAUUUCGGCCCAUUCAAGUAUGACAAAACUGCCAUUCCAAUGUCUUAUGGGGGCACCAAGGUUGGUGAGGCUUUUAUUUCUAACGGUGAAGCAAAGGCAAGAUCCACAAAAGUAAUUAAGGUAACUGUGGACGUGACUUCAAACAAUGUAUCAAGUAAUUCAAACUUGGCCAGUGAUAUAAAUUCGGGGUUUUUGACUCUGACCGGCCAAGGCAAAUUGAACGGGAAGGUGCAUCUGAUGAAGGUGUUUAAGAAGAAGAAAUCCCCCCAAAUGAAUUGCACCAUCAAAAUUAAUUUAGAGAACAAAGUGAUCCAAGAAUGGAAGUGCAAUUAAAAGCUUAGGAGUCCUUGUUAGUUUUCCAUUAGAAAUGGUACUGUGUACCAAAUGCUGAGUUCAGUCUCUACAUUUAUUGAACCCUUACAUUCAUUUUCAUUCCCUUAUUCAUAAUGAAACUGGUAGCACCACCUAUUUCAUCAUUCCACUAUAAAGAUUAUGUGAUAAGAGGGGUGGUAUUGAAGCUCGUCCCCUAAAGAGAGGAAGGCCAAAAUGCUGCUUUUUGACUGCAAGUGUAGGAAACAUAGAAAUUUCAGGCCACUGCUUUCUGGGAGGCCCAUUAUAUUCUUAAGCAUAACGAUUUCAUUUCUAAAAUAUCUCAAUCUAGAAACUUUGACUUGGGUUUCAUUUGUUAAUUUUUUAUGAUACAAUUUUCGCGUCUUCUAUUCUAUAAUCCUAUAUAAUAAGAUCAUAAGCCUCACAACCCACCAAUAGACGCUUCUUUCCUGAGUGGAAGAGUCAAGAAUCAAAGACAUUGGACGCGUUUGAGAAGCCCAAAGGAAGCCCACUCGCUGUUCUAGAUUAACAGAUUUCCAUGGACGUUUUCCACAUCACUGAAUUUUAACGUGGUCGUUAAAUCAGCUGCUCCCAUCUAUAAAUGGGUCCAUAUAAAGUGACAAUAGUCCAAAAUUUCACAUGCCUGUUUAUUAUUCAAAUAAAUGUUGGGCUAGCCCAUAUAUGAGUUCCAACCCAUGAGAGUGGUCUUUUGAAAAGGCUCAUAUUCUGGACUGCUCUUGUAACUGGUUUAUGGGCCCGAUUUGGCAGCAUCUAAAGCUGCGUUUGGAGGUAGAGAAGACCAGAUUUGAGGGCAGAUUGUUGAAAAUGAAAAAGAGAGAACGGAAGAAAAUAAGGGCUGUUUUCAAGGCUCAUGGGGGGUUGAUCCAAGUGUGAAGGUCUUUAACUUCAACCAUUAUAGAAGCUCUUUUGUGAUAUCUUCUCUUCAUUAUCUUCCCUUUCUCUGUAUUUAUGAGAUGAGGGUUUUCCAUCUCAAGCAUUGGUGCAUUUCCACUCUUCUUUAUUGCCAAAGAAGCUAGUGAGGACUUUGUGUUCGUAUUUUAUUUGAAAUGGAAGAAGGUUUCUUGUGGUUUUAAUUUUACCUCCUUUGGCGAGUUUUUCCACAUUGCAGCGAUGACUCUUGGUUGAUAUAUUUUUAGGCUAUAAUUGCUUUCUGUUCUGUUGCAGUUGUAAAGCGAAUUGAUUUGUACAGGUGACAAAGGCUAUAUUCUGCCCAUCAGUGAACUAUCCCCCACUGUCGUUUGCAAUCCCCCAGUACGGUUUAGCAUUCCCAGCUCAUCAGUUGUAUAUCCAACCACUGUCAUUGCAUCACCUAAGUCCUAGCUUGCUUUGCUAUCGUCUAAAUGUUACUCCAUCUCUCGUCAUUCUCAACAAGCAGUAUCAAAGCCUGUGUUGGUUGUGAUGGAAGGAUCUUCUAGCAUAGUGAUUAAGCUUACAAAUACCAAUUGGUUCAUUUGGAAGCCAAAAAUGGAAGACAUCCCUUAUUGUAAGGAUUUAUUUGAACCCAUUGAGGGUGAGAGUGCUAGACACUAAAAUAUGAAUGAUGAUGGUUGGAAUAGGUUGUGUAGAAAUGCGCACUCUAGCUCCGGGGCAGAGUGUCGCUCCAUAGCCUCUACAACUAUUGAGUUGACUUGGAUUUCAUUUUUAUUGAGAGAAAAUGGCAUUCCACUUCAAAAACUAGCUCAGUUAUUUUGUGACAAUGUUAGUGCACUUCAUAUGUCAUUUAAUCCCAUGUUUCAUGCUGGAUCAAAAUACAUUGAGCUUGAAUAUCAUCUUGUCCGAGAGAAGGUUGCCACAAGUUCCCUUGUCACUAGAUGUAUUUCCUAUGGAUAUAAAAAUCACCAUCCUUUAAGCCCAAUGAAAACUUGAAACUCAUCACCACUCAAUGGAAUCCUCCAAAGAGAUACAAGGUUUUUGAGAAAUCACUCUGAAUAAACUAAAGGUAACUUCUAUUCAACUAGCCAAAAAACUCCUGAUCAAGACAAGUUAAAAGACUUUACAGUUUCCACUUGGAACAAACCCUCCAAGCAUAGGUUUCGAAAGCACCCAUUGACAUUCUCAAUUUCACGUAGGAAAUUGAGGAAAGUAAGAAAUGGUGGUAAACUAGGAAUUUCCAUAAGGUUUGAAUGAAGCAAAACCAUUUAUAAAAAUUUGUCAUAACUUUACCUAGAAAAUUCGGAAUGAGGCAUUGUAAAUUAGAGUCUUGAGUUAUAGGGAUUUCCAUGAUACUUAAGUUGUUGAUUAAUUUUGACUAGAUCAAUAAAAGCUUCUCUUCAAAAGAUGUCCAAAAUCUCGUUCUAAUGUUACCUAAGCUUUGGGAAAUUAAUGUGAGAAUCUAAAGCUCAUUCGACCAUAUAUGGGCGUCUUGCCAUGUAGACAGGUCAACACUGGUGGCCUUGAGAUCCUAACUCUAACUUGAAGACCCUAUAGAAAUUGGGCCAGAGAAGUAUGACGAAGUGAAUUUAGGUUAAAUUUUGGUGAUCAGCACGUAGUAAUGUGUGUGUGAGAGAAUCACAGUUCAUUGGACCCUAUGUUCUUACAUAGAGACAAUGAAAUGGAUAAACUUCAAUCAAAUCUUUACAAAAGAGCUUGGAAAGGCGAAAAAUAUUGUCACAUUUAUGGGUGGGGUGGCACUAAUAUGUUUCAUUUUUGUUGUUUAUCAACCUUUGUCAUUUUGUAUAUUUUCUAAGUACUUGGAUUCAGUCCCUUUUUUAUUUGUGGUUUUCAUAAAAUCGUUCUUUUACCUCAAAAAGUUCUAAAUGUCUUUUCGGAGAAACUGGCAUAGCAUGUGAAUGUUUAUGUGUAUAAUUCAAAAAAGAUUUUGGUAGAAACUAGCAUAUGAAAGACAUCAUUGUCUCUCUUAAAGAAACUAGAAAUCUUAUAAUGCAGCAAUGAAAUAAAACUAUUGUAGCAGGAGAUGAGACUACACUACUUUAAGACAAAGACUUCUUCCAAAAACUUUAGGGCAGUCCAUAUUCUAGGUUAUGCGGCAGAGGAAUGGCAUCAUUUUCCAUGUGGGAGUCUGUAGUUUAUAGUUUAUUCUUAUUAUAGCAUACCAAAAGCCAAAGAUUCCGUGAGUAAAAAAUUAAGGCCAUCAAACCCUUCAACAAUGGUGGACUAUAUCUCUCAGUCCUCAAUCAGGUGCUACUUUGCAUCCAUAUAUACCUAUGACCCAUUAAAUUCCUCAAAUCCCACCAUCACCUCCUCACAUUCUCGGACAGCAAUCAGUAAUCAUCAACAAAAUCUCUACAGAAACAAAUCACUCUUUUCUCAACUUCUGAAGAGCCAAAAAAUGGCAGAGAAGGAGCCCAGCAAUAUUGCUCAACAGAAAAGUGAUGUAGAGUCUACAACAAUGCAUUCUGAAGAGCUUCGUCCCAAGAAGAGCAUGAAAUGUCUAGCAUAUGUAGCUGCUUUUGCCGUGUUCCUGACGGUAAUUAUAAUUCUAUUUUCACUAACUAUAAUGCGAGUCAGAGAUCCUAAGCACCGGUUGAGCUCCAUCGGGGUUGAGGGUAUCACCUUUAAUUCCUCUACAGCAUCUCCAUCAUUCAGCAUGAGAUUUGAUGCAGCAGUAGCUGUCAAGAACACAAAUUUUGGUCAAUUCAAGUUUGAUAAUAGCACCAUCAAACUCGCCUAUAAGGGCACCAACGUUGGAGAGGCCAUUAUUGCCAAGGCUCAAGCUCGGGCUAGAUCCACCAAACGGAUUGAGGUACUUGUGGGUGUGAGUUCAAACAAUGUAUCAAGUAACUCAGCCUUGGCCAGUGAUAUAAACACCGGGAUUUUGACACUAACCAGCCAUGUCAGGUUGGAUGGGAAGGUGCAUCUACUGAAAAUUUUCAAGACCAAGAAAUCUCCAGAAAUGAAUUGCACCAUCAACAUUAAUUUGGUGGAUAAAGUGAUCCAAGAUUGGCACUGCAAUUAAAAGGCAAUGUUCCAUGUAUACUUGUAUAUAUGCUUGAAUAACGUGUUCAUAUGUAAUUGUUUUUAGAUCUAUAGUCAUUUCGUUCAUUCAAUUAUUCUGAAAUUGGAUGACAACCUUGUUGCAAAAACCAAUUUGGGGAUUUUGGUUUUUGUAAUUUUUCUUCUUUUUUGUUUUUUUGGGGGUGGGGGGAGUGGGUGGGGGCGGCCCUGGAUUUUCAUAUAUAUGUAUAAGUCGGGACCAUAUGAUAAAACCCCUCCUACAAUGACAUUUCUUAGUAGCUGCUUGCCUUGUAUUAACCCCAUGCAUAGUCAGACUUGGGACUGCGCCUGUCUGCUACGUACUCAAACUACUUUUCAACCUUUGGACAUUUUAUGUGUGGUAUUAUACCUUUGAUAUUACUAACAACUAAAUCUAAUGUCAAUACAACCAUCAAAGCCACAAACAACCAUAAUUUUCAUACAACCAGCAUUGUAAGGAGAAGAAACAUACAGGAAAACGUUCCAUCUAGAUUUGGACUAAAUAUAUCUAGUCAUCUUAAUUUUAAAAUUUCAUUAAGUACAUCUUCUUCUUUCUCAUUUGUUAUUUUUUUCUCUCUUUUUUAAUUUAGAAUAAAAAGGAUAUUUAACGAAAUUUUAAACUCAUUACAACAACGUAAAUUUAACUCAAACCUUAAAAAAGAUGAAUGAAAUUAAUUUACCCUUAUUUUUGUACUUCAGCUUCUUCCCACAAGACAUGAGCAUGGUGCCCACUAAUUGUUUCAAUAAAAAUCUGUGUUCUUAUACUUUUACCCAAACUAUUAAUUGCACCAUAUGAAAAGUCAAAAGAUUGCUAGAGUCAAAUGCUAAAAGCCGACUAACGCGUUUGGAACUUUUUCAGCAACGGUGUGCGGCAUCACUUGAGUCAAAUGAGUCAUAGUUGGCUUCUACCUCACAAAUAGCCAUCGCAGCCCUCCCAUCUCACCAUCAUCUCCUCGCUAAGCCAUCAACAAUAGCUCCACAGCAAAAACCCUUCUUUCUGUACUUCCGAAGAGCCAACCACAAUCGCAGAGAAGGAUCAACAGGUCCACCCCAUGGAGCCAACCACAGCUGAACCUAAAACCGAUGUAGGGUCGGCCAGUGUGCAGUCUGAAGAGCUCCGCCGCCGCAAGAAGGGCAUGAAAUGCUUAGCAUAUGUAGCUGCUUUCGCCAUUUUCCUGACUGCCAUUAUACUAGCCUUGGCAGUAACUGUCAUGAAUAUCAAGAAUCCUAAGUUUAGGCUCCACUCCAUUGACGUUGAGGAUCUCAGUUUGAGCCCCUCCACCACACCUCCAUCCUUCAGCAUGAGACUUGAUGCAGAACUAGCUGUCAAGAACACAAACUUUGGUCACUACAAGUACGAAAACAGCACCAUUACACUGGCCUAUAGAGGCACCAAGGUUGGAGAGGCCUUGAUUUCCAAAGGUAGAGCAAGGGCAAGAUCCACCAAAGAGAUUGAGGUAACUGUGGAUGUGACUUCAAGCAACGCAUCAAUUAAUUCAAACUUGGCCAGUGAUUUAAAUUCCGGGAUUUUGACCCUGACCAGCCAUGGAGAACUGAGUGGGAAGGUGCAUCUGAUGGAGGUGAUCAAGAAGAAGAAAGCCCCACAAAUGAAUUGCAACAUCAACAUUGAUUUGGUCAAGAAAGAGAUCCAAGAUUGGAACUGCAAUUAAAGCUCGUCAAUGUCUGAUUCUCAAGUGUAAUAUACUGUUUUAGAGUUUGGAGGGAAGGUGCAUCUGAUGGAGGUGUUCAAGAAGAAGAAAGCCCCACAAAUGAAUUGCAACAUCAACAUUGAUUUGGUCAAGAAAGAGAUCCAAGAUUGGAACUGCAAUUAAAGCUCGUCAAUGUCUGAUUCUCGAGUGUAAUAUACUGUUUUAGAGUUUGGUGGGAAGGUGCAUCUGAUGGAGGUGUUCAAGAAGAAGAAAGCCCCACAAAUGAAUUGCAACAUCAACAUUGAUUUGGUCAAGAAAGAGAUCCAAGAUUGGAACUGCAAUUAAAGCUCGUCAAUGUCUGAUUCUCGAGUGUAAUAUACUGUUUAGAGUUUUGUGUAGUUAGCUUAGAGUUUGGAGACCGAAGCUCGCGGUUUGUGUGUGUGUGUGUAGAGAUCCAAGAUUGGAACUGCAAUUAAAGCUCGUCAAUGUCUGAUUCUCGAGUGUAAUAUACUGUUUUAGAGUUUGGUGGGAAGGUGCAUCUGAUGGAGGUGUUCAAGAAGAAGAAAGCCCCACAAAUGAAUUGCAACAUCAACAUUGAUUUGGUCAAGAAAGAGAUCCAAGAUUGGAACUGCAAUUAAAGCUCGUCAAUGUCUGAUUCUCAAGUGUAAUAUACUGUUUAGAGUUUUGUGUAGUUAGCUUAGAGUUUGGUGACCGAAGCUCUCGAUUUGAGAGAGAGAGAGAGAGAGAUGAUGAUGUCUUGUGAGUGUUUAGCUAGGUUGGCAGUUCUAGACAAAAUUCCUAAGUGUCCCCUAACUCUAUUUACCAAUUCAUCUUCAAUUUAGUUGACUUUGAAGAUUAAGACUUUGUUAAGGGGCCAAGGUGUGUAGCCGAGUAUGUGGUGAUUGAAUGUGAAUCAACCAUAUUUUUUAUCUUUAAAUGAGUUAAGAAAGUUAGGAGAAACAGUUUUUGGUGCAAGGCUUUUAUUCCCCUAUUUCUGGAUCGAUUCAAGUGUAGGGGCAAAUUGAUCCAACUAAUCUGAUUCUAAGAUCAAUUUCCAACCCUUGAAUUAAGAGUUUCAUUUUCAUUUAAAAUCAAACUUUCUCCCAUUUUUGGAAGUAGAGAGAGUUGCAACCGUGUGAGAGUUUUUCCUUCCUCUCCAUUUUGAGUGUGUUUGCCUCCUAAGAAAAUCCCAUUAGUUUUCCAAGAAAUUUUUCUUAAAAUGAAUUUUCUGAAAAUGAACAUAGGUUGAUUUUUGAAACAUUCAUCUUUCAUUUUCUUGGAUUUGUGCAAAAACUCAUUUUCUUCUUGUGAGAAUUCAAGAAAAGGCCAAGAUUGAGCUUGGUGCAGACUCCAAGUGUGCUCUAGAAAAUGAAGGUGAGAAACUAAAAGUGAAAGUACUAGUCAAGUGGUCCAAGAAAAAUUGGUUGGCUUGAGUUAGGUAAAACCUUGUACUCAGUUUUUAUUCUUCAUAGUGGAGUUUUUCAAUCAAUGGUAGGCCUGUGGUUUUGAUCUCUUUAGAGAUUUUCCACGUAAAUUUGUGGUGUCACAUUGUCUCUCUUUCUCUUCUUAGCAUCCGUUUUUUAAUUUCAGCAAUUUAUUAGAAUUUUGAUUGUCUACUACUUGAUUGAUUGAUGAAGAGAAAUGACUAUGAAUCAUCUUUGAAGUUGUUUUUUAUUGUUGAUCAUUAACAUUUUGAGGUAUAUUGAUCUUGUAUUUAUCUUAAUUUAGUUUAAGUUGAUUUGAGUUUGGGAGUGUUGGAUCAUGUGCAUGUGAAUUGCAUUUUAAUAUUGUUAGGGAGUGUUGUUGCAUUUAUAUAUGCAUGUGAUUUAUAAUUUGAGUUUUUGAAAAUGUGUGAAGAGAAGAAAAAUAUUCAAAAAGUUUCAAGGUUUGCUAAUUUGAGUUGGGAAUAUUCUUUUAAUUGGUCAAAACACCUAUUCAAACCCCAAACCCCCGCCCCCUCCUUUUCAUGUCUUUCCCCUCUCAUACAAAUCUUUUGAUAUAAUGAAUUUCUUCUUUUGAUAUAAUAAAUUUAUUUCUCCUCUACAUAUAAGGUUUUCUAUGUAAAUCUAUGUGUUCUUAUUCUUUUUUUUUUUUUUUCUAUUGUCGUUAUUAUGUAACAUUCAGAAAUAGUGGAAUAGAGAUGCUUAGUGCAGUAUGUAUAUGUAAUUCUUUUUGCAUCUUUGUAUUAGAGAUUUUAUUCAUUUAUUUGUACUUGAAAGCUAGAAAUAAUGUGGAUGGAUAUCAUUUGAAUUCUUUUCUAUCAUUCAGAACUUUGCAUGUUCAAAAACACAAUUGUAUAUAUAGCUUAACACUUUCUAAAGAUAUAUAUAUAUAACUUAUGUUGAAAAAGAUGAAAACAUUUUUUUUAAAGCUAUGUUAAUACUAAACAUGUUUCGUUUAUAUUUUUAUCUAUUUUUUAAAUGAAAAUCAAAUCAUUUCUUGUGGUAAAAAGCCUCGGUAGCUACCAAAAUGUCUCAAAUGUAUUUACAUGAUGGAGCAUUGUUCUUAAUAUCAACUUCUAUAAAUCCAAAAUAAGGUUUUAGUAUAAAAUAAUGCCCUACACUACAAGGAAAAAGAUAUAUGGUGACAUUUAUAAUAAGUCACUAUAAACAUAGGGUGUCACUACAACAUAGCGUCACCUUAUCCACUGACACCAUAGAGGGUAUCAAUUGGUGACGUAUUUGGAAGCGACACCAAAGCAGAUAAAUGGUGACACAUUCAGAAGAGACACCAUAUAUUUUUAGUGAUGCUUAAUUUGAUAUAGAGUUGUAUGAGAUAUAUAAGGUGUCAUAUUAAAUGCAUCAUCUUUGAGUUAUGGUGUCACGUUAAAUAUAUCACCUUUAAUUUAUGGUGUCACAUCAUUGUAAAUGAUUAUGGAAGAUAUGGUUGUUUUUUGUUGAUUAGUUUGUAGAUUUUUGUAAUGCUUAUUAAUAAAUAAGACUAACCUGUGUAAAUUGUCCAUAAAUAUAAUAAUCAUAUUACAUUUAACUUAUAUUUUCAUAAUGCUUAUGAAUUAAUUUGUAACAUAUUACAUCAUCCAAUAAUAUUUGUAUAUCAAAUGUUCACAAAAUGAUAGUACAUCAAAUACAUCAAACCCACCAAAACUAAAAAAGAAAAGUGAAUACACAUUAAAACAUGAUUUAGAAAUGUUAAGUUUCCCAACAUUCAUGUAUACUUGCAUUUCACAUGCAUAAAACCGGCUAACCAUAAAAUGACACAAGAGUUGCAUCCAAAAACCCAAAAUUCUCAAUUCCAAAUAAAGUAACAUUUAUGUCCUAUAAUGUAUGACAUAAGAGUCAUAUCUAAAAACCUAAAUCUUGUUGCCUCUUUCUCCUUUCUUUUUAUUCUUCAUAUUGUCCUCCCAAGAGUGUAUACCUGCAUUUCAUAAUUUAAUGAGUUUUAGAGUUCUUAUUGAAAAUAAAAAUGUGAUGUUAUAAACAAUAAACAAAUCUAAGUACUAAUGUUUUCUUUUUCUUUUUUCUUUUUCUCAUUUUGGUAUAAAAAUAGUUCGUAAAGAAUAAGUAAUGUUAUACAAUAUCAAUGAAAAAUUCAAUCAUAUAACAACUAAGGGACUUACCAUGAAUGAUCACGAUACAUCAAUAUGAUUCAUGAUUAGUUAUAACACAAAAGUAAUCUGUUUUUCUCUAAUUUCAUCAAAUUCUACUUGAGAAUAUGUUUUAUUUGUCAUCAAACUGAAAUCAAAUGAGAAUAACAUUAAUAUCACAAUAAUUGAAAGUAUGAAAUUAUGUACAAUUCAUUAAACGAGUAAAACCUUUGAUGCAAUAACUGUAAAAUCAACAAUUAUUUCUUUAAUGAAUCUCAUAACAAAGUAGUCAUAUUUGAACUCAGUAUUAUUUUUUUACUAUUAAAUUAUUUUUAAACAAAAUAACAAUUAUUAAUAUAUUGGUUUAUUUUUAAAUACUUUCAUAAGAAUAUAUUUUAACUACAAGUUAUUUUAAUUUAUCAAAAGAUUUUUAGGAAAUGAGCUAUUAUCCAUUUAUUAUUUUCUUAUUUUUCAAAAAAUAUUUUCAGUCAUUUCAUACACGUUUUCAACUACUAAAAUUAUUGUUUUUAUAGAAUAAACAAAGNAAGCAUACANNNNNNNNNNNNNNNNNNNNNNNNNNNNNNNNNNNNNNNNNNNNNNNNNNNNNNNNNNNNNNNNNNNNNNNNNNNNNNNNNNNNNNNNNNNNNNNNNNNNGAAAGGUCAUUUCAUUUUAAAGAAUUUUUAGAAUUUCUUAAACAUUACAAAAAAUAGAAUCUAAACAAUUUUAUUUCUAAAAAAAAUUGAUCAAUUCAAAAAAGAAAGAAGAAUGUUAUUUUUUAAGAAAAGUUAAUAAACCACUUUAUUCUUGAAUUAUCUAAACAAAACUUACUAAAAAAAAUUUUAUUCCAAAUUUAUUUUCAAAACUUUCUUAUUGAAAACUAUCUCAUAUAUAAAUUAUUUUAUUAUAUAGAGAAAUUCUUAUUUUAUUCUUUUUUUAGAGAAAAAUUCACUUGUUUAUUAAAUAUCAAAGAAGUCUAUUUUUAUGUCUAUUAUAUAUAUAUAUAUAUAUAUAUAUAAAUUCUCUUAUUUUCAUACAAGAAAUUUCCAUUUAUGCCUAAAAUACUUUUAGAAAAAUCAUUGCCAACAAAAUUUUAUUUUUAAAAUUAUUUUCAACAUUCUUAUUUAAAAAAAUUAUCAUUGGAUUAUUUUCAAAAAGGACAAUCCUAAAAAAAUUAACCAUUUAUAACCCAAUUUAAACUCAAAAAUUAUCCCCAAUAUUAUUUUAUAUUCCUAAAUUAUUUUCAAACAAAAUAACAAUUAUUAAUAUUUUGAUUCAUUUUUAAAUACUUUCACAAAAAUAUAUUUUAACCACAUAUUAUUUUAAUUUAUCAAAAUAUUUUUAGGAAAUGAGUUAUUUUCCAUUUAUUACAAUCCUAUUUUUCAAAACAUAUUUUCAGGCAUUUCAUUCACAUUUUAAAAUUUCAAAUACUUAAAUUAUUGUUUUUAUAAAACAACAAAGCACGUAAAUUUCAACUACUAAAAUUAUUGUUUUUAUAGAAUAAACAAAGCAACAUACACUUAUCUUCCAUUUACUAAUUCAACUAUUACAAUCACCCCAAUAUUUUGUUCACCUACCAAUAAUUCAUUCCAUGUAGGUGACUCUAAAAAAAAAAAAAGUCAUAUUUAUAAUACCCUUUACGACUCUGAUACCCAAUAUUCUAUUCUAUUUAGGUGACUCAAUACAAAGAAAGUGGGAAUGUUUUCUUAGGUUAACCGAAGAAAACCCUAAAUAACUUAAGUGCUUCUGGAUUAAUUGAGUAUCAUCUUGUAGUAGAUGUCAAUCUCUAUUGUUAGACUUCACCAAAAAGCUCCUAGCAAGGUGGAAAAAAGUAUCAAAUAUAGUCAAGUCUUCAAUAAAAUACUAUUUCAUGCGAAAAAUUACUACAAACUAGUGUAUCUCUCAUUCUCAAUUAGACAAAAUUUUUAAAAAUAAUUCAUUUUUCUUGUUUUCAUUUGUUUUGGGGCUUAUUAGCAAUGAAACAAAAAAAUAUGUUAGAAUGUUAAACCUAGUUUUUACUUCCCUGGAACUCGAUAAAAAACACCAUUUACAAAACCCACAUCAUAGAUAUACUAAAUCAAGAGAUAUAAAACAAUUAUACUAACAAAGUUUUUUGCAUUAAUAAAAAAAAUGAAGAUGGUAGAUAAGAGAUUUUGACUUACCCGAGAUUUUACGAAGCAAAGAAUAUCAAUUAUGGGUGUGCCGACCAUGGGUGUGAGAAGAAGGAGAAGAAAACGAUGGUUAGGGUUAAGCAAUAAGAUCUUUUAUAUUAGUUAAUGUAUAUAUGGAAACAAUGGACUUUUCAUAAAUUGUUCCUACUCACUAUUUUUAAAAAGGGCCCAUUAAGUUAUAAAAUUUAAAACUUUUUAUUUCAUAUGGUGUCACUUCCAAAAAAUGACACCGUAAAUCUGAAAUUAGCAUCAUCUAACUAUCCUAAUUGAAGAUUUUUUAUAUGAUGUGUCACCUUUAUAAAUUUUAAGUUCAAUGGUGUCAUUAUUUUAAAUGCGACACCAUAAAUAGUGACAUCAUAUAUUAUUUUUGUAGUAGUGCUAUUUGAUAACUAUUUUAAAAAUAUAGUUCUGAAAAAUAGUUUUUGAUAAUAUUUUUUAAAACUAUUAUCUUAUGUUUUAUAGAGAGAAAAAAAAUUGUUUGGGAAUUUGAAAUAUUUUUAUAUUUUUAAUUUUGUUACAAAAAUAAAUUUUAUAAUGUUUUAUUUUUAAUUGAUCCUUCUCUAUAUUUGUAUAAAUAUUUUUAAAAACAACUCUCAUAAAAAAAGUAAAAAUAAUUAAAAAUAACUAAAAAAUAUUCUUUAAAAGUAUUAUAUUUUCCAUUUUUAAGAAUAAAUUACUGUUUGCUAAUUUAUUAAAAUUAAUCACCUAACCCUCCUAAAGGGUGUAUAUUUCAUGAGACACAAGAGAACCGUAUACUAGUACGUUAGAGGGUGCUCAUGAAAUACUACAUCUUUAGGAGGAGAAAUUCUAAACCAAAUAUUAUCCUUUUUAACCACAACUUUUUAUAUAAAAGUUUGUUCAAACAUCAACUAUCUCUCGGUAAUGAUUAAUCCUAACAUGAGUAAAAAAUCGUUGUCCUAUUUUUCUUUUUGGUUUCUAUUAUUUAAGCACAAAUUAUUUGUAGUAAACAAGGAGAAAACUAAGAAAUUUGAGUUGUUGAAAUCCAAAAAAAUUCAAAAAGAAAGAGAGAGAAACGAAAAUCUAUAAUUUCUUAUUAUGAAUUAUCUUAAAAAAAUGGUAAAACAUCAUUAAAACUUAAAUAGAUCUUAUAAAAGAAAAGAAAGACUAAUUUAUCAUUACUUCUAAAAUGAAAGAAAAUAAUUCUAAUAUAGUAACUAAAAAAACAAAAGAUAUGGUACAUGUUUGGCAACUAUUUUAGUGAACAGUUUUUUGUUCUCCAUAACAAAAGAAUCAAAAAAACAUGUUUAGCAACCAAAACCAAAUUUUUGUUUUCUGUUCUUAAAAAUAUAAAAUAUGGUGUUUUUAGAUAACAUCUUUUACUUGUUUUUUGUUGUUUUCACUUCUUUUCUAAUGGCUAUUUUAAAAAAUAAUUAUAUAAACAUCUAAAAUGAUUAAAAAUAAAACAUUAGACAUAAAAAUUAUUUUAAAAUAUAUUUAAAAAAUAUUAAAAAGAUGUUAAAAAUAUUUUAGGUUUUCAAACAAGCUUUUGUUCUACAAAACAUCAAAAACCAUUCUCAAAAAUUAUUUUUUAGAACUAUUUUUGAAAAGCUUACCAAGCAAGCUCAAGUUUUUUAAAGUUUAAGCAAACUAUAAUUAAAGGCUCUCUAGUGACAAAGUCUGAUAGGAUUGCACAAUAAAAUUAUUAAUUGUGCAAUCAAAUAAUAUCUUUGUUGUAGUCUAAUUGGUUAGGAUAUUCGGCUCUCAUCGAAAGCCCAAGUUCAAGUCCUAGCAACAGAAAAUAGGGUGUUUUUAGAUGACAUCUUUUAGUUGUUUUUUAAGACCUUUUUUAAAAAAUAAUUAUAAAAACAUAUAGAAUGAUUAAAAAUAAAACACAAGGCAUAAAAAUUAUUUUUAAAAUAUUAAAAACAGGUUUAAAACAUUUUAGGUUUUCAAACAAACUUUUAUUCUACAAAAUUUAUUAUAAAACAGUUUUCAAAAACCAUUCUCAAAAAUUGUUUUUCAAAACUCUUUUCGAAAACACUUACCAAACAGACCCUAAGGUUUUUAAAGUUUAAGCAAAGAAUAAUUAAAGGCUCUCUAGUGACAAAGUCUUAUGGGAUUACAUAAUAAAAUUAUUAAUUAUGCAAUCAAAUAAUAUUUCUAUUGUAAUCUAGUUGGUUAGGAUAUUCGGCUCUCACCUAAAAGGCUCGGAUUCAAGUCCCGACAACGGAAAAAUAAGGGCCUAUUUGGCAACUAUUUUCGAAAAUUGUACCAAAACCUAUUUCUGUUUUCCACUGCUUUCACUUGUUCUCUUAGAGUUGUUUUCAAAAAUAAUUAUACUAACAUGUGGAAUGAUUAAAAAUAAAACACUAGACAUCAAAAAUAUUUUUCAAAUAUAUUUAAAAUAUAAAAAACAAGUUAAAAACAUUUUAGAUUUCCAAACAAACUUUUUGUUCUACCUAACAUUAAUGAACAAAUUUCAAAAAACAAUUAUCAAAAAUUGUUUUUUAGAACUGUUUUCAAAAACACUUAUCUAAUAUGUCAUAAGUUUUUUAAAGUUUUUUAAGCAAACUAUAAUUAAAAUCUCUCUAGUGACAAAGUAUGAUAAGAUUGCACAAUAAAAUUAGGGUUUAUUACACUUUACCCCCCUAACCUAUAGCUUAUUUUGCACAUUGCCCCAUUGAGUUUAAAAUCAAAUAAUGUACCCUUUAUGCUUUAUAAUUGCAUGCAAUAUAUAUUUUUUGAGUGACGAUGUUACUUUAAUUAGACGGAAGGUGCAAAUGCUCUCCAUGUGAACUAUUUAAAUGAGGGUAAAAGGGUUAUUUCAUUUUUUAAAAACCCCAAAACCUUAACCCACCCUCUUCCUUCCUUCCUUCCUUCUUUCCUUCAAUCUUCGACAUCUAUCUUGUCUUCCCUACCAUUGGUGCUGCUGUGGAUCCCUUCACUGACCACCCAUCACACCACCACCUUACCGUCACGGAGUCCCUCCUCAAAUCCUACACUGUCACUCUCCCAAUUAAACCCUAGCCCCAACAUCUCCCCCAAAUGCAAUAUCAUUUCAAUGAUUAGCCGCCAUAAAAAGCUUGACCUUGACCUCACUCUCCAAAUAUUCAACCACGCUUGAAAAUCCCAUCCUAAUUUUGCCCACAAUUAUGAAACCUACCUUGCCAUGAUAAAGCUACCAAUUGCUUCAAACUCGCAAAAUCUUAUAUUUUCCAGUUUCUUUAAAUCCCAAAAAAAAAAAAAAAAAAAUCAUCGUGGAAAUUCAAAUGAGAGAAAUGAUUAAAAAUGCUUAAGAAAAGUUUCCAUUUUUGGAUUUUUGUUUCUGAAUCAUUUUCAUUGGAUUUGGUAAAGUUUUCAUUUGAAUUUUGAAUUGAUUUUCUUUUUAGAUUUUUAUAUUGUUUUCCGAUCAUUUUUUGUUUGACAAUUUGAAUUUGGUUGUUUUGGAUCAUGAUGGUGUUUUGAUUCGGUGUUUUAACUUCUAGGUAAAAGAGAUUUUGGAUUAAAGUUGUAUUAGAAUUGAUCAAUAUACAGUUUAGUUAUGUUUUUUUUUGUAAAUUUAUCUAUUUUUUAAAACACUGCAAAUGUGUUUAGUCAAGCUUGUUUGGUUGUCAAGAAAAUGUGGUGAAAGAAAAUGAAUGAAGGUUGAAGAAUGGGGGUUAAGUCAGGGUUUUGGGGUUUUAAAAUGAAAUGACUAUUUUGCCCUCAUUAAAAAUGAUCGUUUUGCCCUCAAUCAUGUGGAAAGCAUAUGUCAUUCUGUCAAAAAAUGUAACAUCAUGAUUCAGAAAAUGCACAUUACAUGCAAUUAUAAAGCAUGGAGGGUAUAUUACUCGAUUUUGAACUCAAUGGGGCAAUGUGCAAAAUGCAAUAUAGGUUGGGGAAAGGGGGGGUAAAGUGUAAUAAACCCAUAAAAUUAUUAAUUGUACAAUCAAAUGAUAUCUUCAUUAUAGACUAGCUGGUUAGGAUAUUCGGCUCUCACCCGAAAGACCUAGGUUCAAGUCCCAACAAUAAAAAAAUAAGUUUUUUCCAUUUUUUUUCUAUUAUUUUCACUUUUUUUAUAAAGAUUGUUUCAAACUAUAAUUAUACAAACAUAUAGAAUUAUUAAAAAUAAAAUACUAGACAUAAAAAUUAUUUUUAAAAAUAUUUAAAAUAGGUUAAAACCAUUUUAGAUUUCCAAACAGACUUUUGUUCUACAAAAUAUUAUAGAACAAUUUUCAAAAACUGUUCUCAAAAAUAGUUUUUCAGAAUUGUUUUCGAAAACACUUAUGAAACAUGCCUAUAGUAACUAAAUAUAUAAUUCUAAUAUAGUAAUAUAUUAAUAACUUCUAACAUCCCCUCACAAACUCACGAUGUGAUUGCAAGAAGCAUCAAAAGUUUGCCAACCAAAAAUCAAAAACAUGGAAGUGGGUGUAACUUUGUAAAUAAAUCUGCAAUCUAUUUGAAAAAGAAAAAAAAAACAAAAACAAAAGGCAAAGUGAGAUUCUUAUGCUAAAAGUGAUGACCAGUGAGGUGACAAUCAAUCUCAAUAUAUUUGGUCUUUUCAUGAAAAACGAAGUUGUGAGUAAUCUUAAUAGCACUCUUGUUAUCAUAGUACAUCAUACUAUUGAGAAAAUCUCUUAGCAACCAAUUAAGCUUUGUAUCACUUAAUUAAAGUACCAAAUACCAAGUAUCAAUCUUAUGCAAAGUAGAAAGUUCCUUAGUCAUACCCUAGAAAAGACGUUGAGAAUUAGAAUGUGGGGGGAAAAAUCCACAAAUUUAGAAGGUGUUGGAGUAAUCGUAGAAGAAGAGGGAAGAGCAUGAUAAUCAAAAACCACAAUACCAAUAUCUGCAUGAAAACUAUCUAUAUCAUCAAAGAAAUGUCCAACGCUAACAAGUUCAGACUUAGAGACAUUAUAAGAUUCAAUAUGAAUAGAAAAGAAAGGUAUAUGCUCAAGAAAGAAAACAUGACGAGAAAAUAAGACAUAUGCUCAAAGAAGUAGUAGAAGACAUAAAAGUAAAACUAUCAAGGAAUGGGAGAUCAAGAAAUAGGGACAGGAGAAGACACAAAACCAUAGAAAAAGAAAAGACAUAUAGAAUUUGGAUCCAUAUCCAAUAGACAGAGAUAAACAAAAUUUGGAUCAUAUCCAAUAAACAAAUUAAGACACACAUAAUUUGGAUUCAUAUCCAACAAACAGAGACAAGCAACUUUUUAGAUUCAUAUCCAAUAAACAAAUAAAAGAAAUGCAAAAUUAGAUUGUAUAUACAAUCUUUCCAAUUAUUCUCAUAACUCUUUAGCAGUCUCAUACUUCGCUAAUUGUAUGUCUAUCAAAUCAUUAAUGGAGUUAUUAAUCAAAGCAAUAAUUUUCAAAUUGCUUACUUCCUAAACAUCUAACAGUUAUGCAUAUUUUUCAUCAUUUUCAUUCAUAGGUUUGUGUAGAGUAUCAAUAAUAUAAGCCCACAUUGUUUUGCCCUUUAGAGAAAAAAAAAUCAUCACAUAACUCCAAUACAAAUAAUUUUUUCCAUUCAAUUUCACACUAAUAGAUCGAAAGAAAUCUUCUCAUUCACCCACCAUGACAAAUAAACAACAAAUAACCACCAAACAAAAUAAAGCAAAUAUAAAUUGAGCAAAACGAAUACAAAAUCAAAUACUAGGAUCAAACAAGAAAAGAACGAUGUAAUUACCUAUUACGAUAUCCCACGAUCAAACAGAUAUAAAAGUAGUGUAUGAGAUUAAACUCUCUUCUAUGAUAUCACAAAUCAAAAGUCCCAUUAAAGAUCAAUUUUGCUUUAAUACAAUAUUAAAAUCCAAAAAAGAUUGAAAGAGAAAAAGAGAAAAGAAAAUCUAAGAUUUCUUAUUAUGAAUUCUCUUAAAAAUAGGUACAACACUAUUAGAAUCUAAAUUGAUCUAAUAAAAGGAAAUAAAGACUAAUUUAUCCUUACUUCUAAAAAAGUGAAAAUAAUUAUAAUAUAAUAACUAAAUAAAUAAGACAUAUGGUAACUAAAUGAAUAAAUAUAUAGUAACUAAAUAUAUUAAUAACUUCUAUCAAAGAAACACAAAAUGAAAAUCUAAAUCUGCAUAUUCAUCAAUUUUAAAGUUGUAAUAAGGACCAAAUUUUUAUUGGCGAUUAUGUACCUAAAAAAAAUUACAAAUCCUUGCUACAAAGUCGAAGGCUUUGAAUUUAUUGUAAUGUGACUUUCACAAUCUCACCAGUAGCGUGAUUACAACAUUCGAAACAAAAAUUGGAAUCAGCAUUUUUCUGCAAGCUUGACAUUCACCUAACAAAAUAAAUAUACUUAAAAAACAUAAUUCAGAUAUUUGACUCCUAAUAAGAUGAUUUCAUGCAAAGAAAAUUCAGUGCCGUGCAAGUACGGCACCAUUGUCUUUGUAAUUUCAACAGCUCACUGUAAGUUCCACGUUUAAAGAAGAAAAUGCACAGUAUAGUCUAUUAAAUAAUGAUAACGAAACAAUUUUCCCGGAAAAAAAAUAUUUUUAAAAGUAGAAAGGAUGAUUGUUGACUAGAGAGAGUAGGUGAACCCCAAAUAAAUAAUAUUUACAAAUGAAAUAUAUAUAUAUAUAUUUAUAUAAUAAAAAAUAUUUAUCCAGUAACUCACUACAUACAUAAUAUUAUAAACUUCUUUUUAUAUAUAUAUAUAUAUAUAUAUAUAUAUAUUUAUAUAAUAAAAAAUAUUUAUCCAGUAACUCACUACAUACAUAAUAUUAUAAACUUCUUUUCUUAUCCAAUCCAAUGUGAGAUAUCACAACACACAAGGGAAUAGAUCAUUAUAGAUAUUGAUUAGAGAGAGAAGUUUUUCACACUUCAUAUUUAGUGUACUCCUAUUAAUUGUAUCACAUUUUAUACAUCAUCUAUACACAACAAAGAGAACUAUUAUAGAUGAUAUUAAAGUCAAUCCCUAAGUAAGUGCAUAUGCACCUAAAUGUGCUUGCCUAUGCUGCAAUCACAUGAGAUAUGGUAAGAAGUUAGUAGCUAUAUGGAGGGUGAUUGUAAACUUUAACAACAAUUAGGGAAAGAAAUUUGUAACAUUUAUGUAGUGGAUACAUCUUAACUAUAUAAAUGUAUUUUAAAGUCAUGUGUCUUAAGCAAAUAAUAUCAACACAUGAAAUAACAGGUUAUAGAUGAUAGUAUCAAAGUUGAUACCGUACUAUGAGUUUUAAGUAUAAAGUUGACAAUAACUACACACCAAGGAGGGAGUUCUUUCAAAUGGUAUCAAAGUGGAUCCUAAAUCAAAUGUUUUUAAAUACAUGCAUCUAGUCCCUUGAUUCACUCCUCUUAUUUGUGCAUAUUAAGUGCGUAGCUAUGUUCUUAGUUGUAUAUAACAAAACGAUUAAUUAAAUAUUUGGUAGAAGCUUAAGCUCAAAUUCGAUGUGACAUUCCUCUCUAGUUAUAUUUUCAAAGGUAAAAAAUAGUUAAAUUUCAUAAUUAAAAAAUUCCAAAAAUAUUUACUAAUUCAAAAUUUUCUUAAUUAUUUUUAAAUCAAGUUAUCCUCCACUUCUUUUUUCUUUUUUUUUUUAAUAAUUUUUCCACUAGAUGAUUGUUUCUCAUAAAUCCCACUUCUUUUCUUUUUCUUUUCUUUAUUUUAAUAAUUUUUCAGUUAAAUGAUCCCUUUCAAUAAAUCCCACUCAACUAUGCAUCGUCCUUCACAAAAAAAUAUAUAGCAUUUCUCAAGAUCCUAUAGGUCGUAAGUGUUAGAACUCAUGAGAGUUUACCUCUGAAUUUUGAAAAAGUCUUAGUUAAACUUAGUCUUUGUUAUUGUUUCAUAUCAGAUUCUUGCUCCAUAAUUUUCUGUUUUCAGUUAGUAGAAGUAGUGCCAAUAAAAUCUUAUAGUAGCUAAGAAUAUAUAUGUUGAUGAUGUGAGUUUGCAGUUUGUUCAAACAGUGGAUGGACCGGCAGUCUUGAUAAGCACCUUUGAGCAGCUUGAGAAGUGGAGUGGGGAUCCAUGUCUCCCUAGUGACACCAUAUGGCAGUGGCUAAACUGUAUAGGCAAUGACCCUCCAAGAGUAACCUCCCUAAAUCUCUCAGGGUAUGGACUAGAUGGCUCUCUCCCUUACUUCAGCCAAAUGCAGGCUCUAAUACCACUAUCAAAAUCUUUAGGUUUUUGUCUUUCUUAAGUUUCUCCUCCUCAUAUGCUUUCAUCUGAGCAACUGUAGGAUUUUCUCUUAAUGGUGGUGGAUCAGCUUCAGACAUCACAACAUUCCACAAACCUUGAGAACUUAAGUAAAGCCUCAUCUUGACAGACCAAAUGUGAUAGUGUUCACCAUUAAACACUGGAAUUAUAGAGGAAAUGUUGUUGGAAGUAGACAUGUUUGCACCACAACUGCCUGAAAAAAAAAAAAUCACUCAACCUCACUAUGUUUAGUACUCAAAACACUUAAAGAAACUUCGUCUCACAUCCCGUAGGAACAGAGCUCUAAUACCACUACAACAUAAUGGAGUCUUUGAGAGGAAGAACAGAACGCUAAUGGAAAUAGCAAGGCGCAUGCUAUUCGAGAAGAAACUACCAAAGCUUCUAUGGGUUGAAGCAGUUAGCACCUUAGUAAAUUUGCUUAAUAGACUACCAACUAAGUCUGUUUAGAGCAAAACACCAAUAGAGGCAUGGUCUGGUGUAAAACCAUUUGUCAAGAACCUAAAAGUGUUUGGCUCAUUGAGUUACCUUCCUGUGCCAUCUAUCAAGAGAGGCAAGCUUGAUGAAAGAGCUAAGAAAGGUGUUUUUGUUCAGUAUCAAAAGGUUACAUAAUUUAUAGCUAGAGUAGAAUAAAAAUUGUGAUAAGUAGAAAUGUGCACUUUGAUGAAAAUUCCUACUAGAAUUGGGACUUGAAGAAAGUCCAUAAAUGUGAUCAAACCACUCCAUCUAUUCUUUAACCAAUAGUAGAAAGUACAAGUAUUGAAGAUCCACUUGAUGUUGAAGCAACUUCAAACACACCAGUGCUUAAGGUAAGGCCAUUAUCUGAUGUGUAUGAGAGGUGCAAUCUUGUACAUGCUGAGCCUACAUGUUACACAGAAGCUGCAAGAUUUCCAGAAUGGAUUGAGGCUAUGAAAGCUGAAAUUGAUGUUAUUGAAAGAAAUGGAACUUGGAAGUUGAUAGAAUUACCUGAAGCUAAGAAGGAAAUUGGUGUAAAAUAGGUUUUCAUAACCAAAUUCAAUUCAGAUGGUUCAAUCUUCAAGUACAAGGCUAGAUUGGUUGUGAAGGGUUUUGCUCAAGUUGCUGGAGUGGACUAUGGUGAUACAUUUGCACCAGUAGCCAGACAUGACACUAUAAGGCUGCUACUUGCACUUGCUGGUCAAAUGGGAUGGAAGGUGUACCAUUUAGAUGUCAAGUCAGCUUUUCUAAACGGUAUACUUCUUGAAGAAAUUUAUGUUCAACAACCAAAAAGCUUUAAGGUUACUGGGCAUGAACAGAAAGUGUACAAGCUACACAAGGCUCUCUAUGGUUUGAAGCAAGCACCAAGGGCCUGGUAUAGCAGAAUUGACUCUCACCUGAUCCAACUUGGAUUUAGAAGGAGUGAAAAUGAAGCUACUUUGUAUUUGAAACAAAAUGAGGAUGGUUUGCAAUUGGUAGUGUUAGUUUAUGUUGAUGACAUGCUAGUGAUUGGAAGCAAUGUACGAUUACUAGCUGAGUUCAAAAUGGAAAUGCAAGAUGUAUUUGAGAUGUCUGACCUUGGCAUCAUGAACUACUUCCUUGGAAUAGAAAUAUACCAAUGCAGCUCGGGUAUCUUCAUUUCACAGAGAAAAUAUGUUGUUGAUAUUCUCAAGAAGUUCAAGCUAGAAUCAUGCAAAGAAGUAGCAAUUCUGUUGGCACAAAAUGAGAAAAUUUCAAAGAAUGAUGGUGAGAAACUUGAAGAACCCUCUGCAUAUAGAAGCUUGGUAGGCAGCCUACUAUACUUGACAACAACCAGACCUGACUUGAUGUUUCCAACUGGUUUGCUUUCAAGAUUCAUGAGUUCACCUAGCAAUGUUCACAUGGGAGUUGCAAAAAAGGUGUUGAAGUAUGUUAGAGGUACAACAAAUCUUGGCAUCUAGUAUUUAAAGAUAGGAUGAGUUAAGCUAGAUGGCUAUGCUGAUAGUGAUUGGGCAGGAAGUAUUGAUGACAUGAAGAGCACUUCAGGUUAUGUAUUUACAAUCGGUUUAGGUGUCAUUUGCUGGAAUUCAAGAAAGCAAGAAGUAGUGGCACAAUCAGCUACAGAAACUGAGUAUAUCUCCUUAGAAGCUACUGCAAAUCAAGGAAUAUGGUUAAGGAAAUUGCUUGCUGAUCUAGGCCAGGAACAAAGCUCACCAACAGAGCUUUACUGUGACAACAAGUCAACCAUUGUCAUUACUCAAAAUCCUGUCCAACAUGGUAGGACCAAGCACAUAAAUGUAAAAUUUCACUCUAUAAGGGAAGCUGAAAAGAAUUCACUUGUCAAGUUGCAUUAUUGCUCAACUGAUGUGCAACUUGCUGACAUAAUGACUAAGACACUUCCUAAAUCAAGGCUGGAGUUCCUAAGGUUGAAGCUUGGCAUGUCCAGGGCAAAUCUCAAGGAGUGUUAGAACUCAUGAGAGUUUGCCUUUGAAGUUUGAAAAAGUCUUAGUUAGACUUAGUCUUUGUUAUUGUUUCAUAUCAGAUUCUUGCUCCAUAAUUUUCUGUUUUUAGUUAGUAGUAGUGCCAAUAAAAUCUGAUAGUAGCUGAGAAUAUAUAUGUUGAUGAUGUGAGUUUGUGGUUUGUUCAAACAGUGGAUGGACUGGCAGUCUUGAUAAGCACCUUUGAGCAGCUCGAGGGGUGGAGUGGGGAUCCAUGUCUCCCUAGUGACACCAUAUGGCAGUGGCUGAACUGUAUAGGCAAUGACCCUCCAAGAGUAACCUCCCUAAAUCUCUCAGGGUAUGGACUGGAUGGCUCUCUCCCUGACUUCAGCCAAAUGCAGGCUCUGAUACCACUGUCAGAAUCUGUAGUUUUUUUCCUACAGAUUCUGACAAUAAGUAGAUUCAACCACAAAAAUCAGCUUAAUUUUUCCCCCUCUAUUCAUAUUUCUCUUUUAUAUCAUUUUAAUGGCUAACCAUAUAAACUUCUCUAACGGUAUAUUUCUAUCAGAAAAAGUGAUCUUUAAAUUGUUGAAUAACAGAGGGGGAAAACGAAGUGAUGAAGAUUAAUUUUAGGAAUACUUUAAGUGAACUAAUUCCCAUCAUUAAAUAAUAUCUAUUCUAAAUUUUUUCUCCUAGGCUCUUUCUCAGCACCUUCCAUAAUCACUCGGAUUCUAAACAGCGUAGAUAACGAAAGAAAGAAGCAGGAAAAGGCUUAACGCUGUAAUUAUCAAUGAAGUUGACAUAACCCCAAGAAAAUUUUCAUCUAGAAAUGCCAUUCUCCAAUAUACCCCUUCUGGAUGCUGUCCAAACAGAACAGUCAGCAGAUGUUUUGUCCACUUUUCAAAUGGCUGACAUGACUAUUUCACAACAGAAGCUUCCCCCAUUAUUGUAAUCCUCAUAGCUUUGUUUGAAAGGCAUCAAAUACCUUAAAGUCAACAUUCAAACCCCCCUGGACGCGUUUGAGAUGUAAGAAAAAAACUACUACGCAAAAAUGUUUGUUUAAUUUCCACGAGAAAAUUUACUAAGUGAUGUAUGCACCCGUCAAUAUGUAUAUAUACAGCUUCUGUCUCCCAACGAUCCCUCCACACCCACCAUUUCUUUUCAUUCUCAUGUGAAGUAAAACUAAGGAGAAAGAAGCAGAAAAAGCUAUAAAACUCUCAAUCGAUUUCCACUAUGGCAGAGAAAGACGCAUACCCCUUGGCACCAGCCAAUGGCCACGCCCGGAACGAUGCAGAAUCAGCUGCAGUCCAUGCUGAUGAGCUCCGCCGCAAGAAACGCAUAAAAUGUAUCAUAUAUCUUAUUAUUUUCGUGGUGUUUCAGAGUAUAGUUAUAUUGGUUUUCGCCCUAACUGUGAUGAAAGUCAAGAGCCCUAAGUUCAGGGUGCGGGAAGCUUCAUUCAGUAGCUUUGAGGUUAAUCCAGGAACCCCAUCAUUCUCCAUGAAAAUGAAUGCUCAACUUGGAGUGAAGAACACAAACUUUGGACACUUCAAAUUCGAUAACAGUACUAUUGUCUUCUCCUACAUGGGGAUACCAGUGGGGGAGGCUUUUGUUCCAAAGGCGAGAGCCCGAGCUAGAACCACAAAGAAGCUGACUGUAACAGUGGAUCUGACCUCAACAGCUUUGGCAAGCAUGAAUUCACAGUUAGGGACUGAUCUCAGUAGGGGGGUUUUGCCAUUGACGAGCUCAUCUAAGCUGAGUGGGAAGGUGCAUCUGAUGAAGGUGAUGAAGAAGAAGAAGUCUGCUCAAAUGAACUGCACCAUGGAAGUCAACACCCAGCUGCAAUCAAUUCAGAAUGUGAAAUGCAAGUGAUCUAGUAGUAAUUUCUCUUUUGUUGUGUGCUUGAACUUUGAUUUCUUAUAUCACAUCCGUGAUGUAUGUACUUUCCGCUAUAUAUCUAUAUGCUUAAACUGUAGUCCCCAUACGCCUGUUAAUUCUUUGUAUUUUGCUUUGAAUUAAGGACGAGUUCAUACUUUAUUAGAUUUUCAGUGCUUUGAAUCCAGUUUUGCAAUCCAACAAUUCAUUGGUGAUGACCAAAAGCCACAGAGUCCAUCUGGGGUUUUUGAGUGACAUCAGUGUGUCACUUUUGUGUGGAAAAAGUCUUCAACUUGAAGCAUAUCGGCUUGGGAAAGCAAGAGGUGAAAUUUUCAAAUAUGGUGGCCAUACUCCACUUCACUAAUCAUCAAAUGUAAAAUUUACGCCCACUAAUAAAAAGGGAGUGGCUUAUAUAGAUGUCAUACUUCCCUUUCUCUACCUUGCUAUAAAACAUACUAUCAAGAGUUUUGUCCAAGUUUAGCAACUGUUUUUGUUUUGAAAAACAGUUUUUAAAAAUUGUCCUAUAAUGUUUAUAAAAUAAAAGUAUGUUAAGAAACAUGAAAUAUUAUUAACUAUUUUUAAAUAUGUUUUUAAAAUAAUUUUUAUGUCUGGUAUUUUACUUUUAAUCAUUUCACAUAUUUGUAUACUUAUUUUUUAAAACAAUUAUAUAAAAACAACUAAAAAAAUAUUUUCUAAAAAAAUCAUGUUUCUAUUUUUAAGAAUAGAAAAUAAAAAAUAGUUUUUAGUUAUCAAAGAUAUGUUCCUAAUUUUUUGUUCUGAAAAACAGAAAACUAUUCUCGAAAACAAUUGCCAAAUGAGCUUUGGUCUCCUCCCACUACUUAGAAGCUCUUUUUAUCUAGUUUUUAUUCAAAAAGCAAUGCCAAAUAAGAUUUGAGUUUAAUGAAAAUUUUGAGAGGAUCAAAUUUUCUCUUAUUGUUUUAUAAAAGCAGUAAAAUCAAUAACAUAAAAACAUAUGUACUUUUGCUUGUUCUUGGUCUUCAGCCCAACCACAAAAGAGGUUAAUAGAUGCAUCAUAACCCCAAAUGGUCACAUAGUUAUUUAUUGAAGUUUGGUUCCAUUUGUUUGAGAAAAGAUAGUCAAUUUUUAGGUUUCUAAAGUACUGUUUAGAAUUGUAUGUAACUCAUUCUAGUUUUUGAGUUCAGCAUUGUAGAUGCUGACACUUUCUCCAGAGCAUAGCAGCAUUGCCCAUUUUAAAGGCUUAAUAUAAGUCUGCGAGGGAUGCAAGUGACAAUUUAAAAGCCUAUUUUUGAUAGGGUGGGGAUUUCAUAACAUGGGGUGGUCAAAUCUGAUCUCACAAAGGGAAAUGUAUGAAGGCAUUAUUUUAGUUUGUGAAGUGAGCUUAUUUUAUAUCACAUGGAAUGUUCAAACCUCUGGCAUUUGACUAUGGAGAUUACUCUCUCUAAAAUUUAAGAGACCCCAUUGUAAUCAGUCUAUUUCAAUGGUGACGACUGACGAGGUCAUGAAAGUAUGUUAUCAUUGGGCCAGGGAUGUGGGACUAGAAGGACACAUUGCCCAUAGAAAAUUUAUGCAAAAGGAAAAAACAAAUAUUUUAUGUCUUGAUCUGCCUAUUUUUUCAUAAAAUUAAUUGAAAAUUUUGACCAUUAAGGCAACAUGUCUUGAGUUCUACAUUCACUCGUUUCAUAAUUAUUCAGUCUCUUUCUCUCUACAUCUGUUUGGCGUAGGCCAUGACAGUUUCCUUUUCACAUAAAAAACCAUAAAAUAAUUUUCUUGAAAGAAAAAAUAUGCAAGUGAGAAUUAAAUUAUAUACUCCUUUUCAAUGUUUUAUAAUCUAUGAAUGCCCUUUAAUUAAUAUUUUUUUAGUCAAAUUAUUUUUAUUUUUAAAAAAUUUCUUAUAAAUUAUGGUGUUCCUUCACUGUUUAUAAUCUAUGAAUAUUCUUUGGUUUAAAAAAAAUAUUAAUAAAGAUAUGAAUUUUUACUCCUGCUACCAAUUACAAUUUGAUAAUUUCGGUUUUUUUAAACUUAUUCUACAAUCAUUUUUUCUUAUGAGAUAUCAUAAUAUAUAUAUAUGGGCAUUUUUGGUAUUAUCAAAAUUUGUCCUCUUGAUAUAUAUAUAUAAUUUUUUUUUUAUCCAACCUAAUACAAACUUAACCCAAUAUUUGAGAUCUAUGUGAACAAGCAUUUUUCAUACUCAAGUUGAACUUAAGUUCUAUUUUCCCAAUCCAAACUUGGGAUAGGACUUGGGCAAAGGGUUGGGGUAAUCCAAGCCUAGAUUGAACCUAAAUUUAAUGUUUACAAUUUGUAUUGUUAAAUUUAUAUAUAUUCCAUUUAUAUUCUUUCAAACAAUUUUAAAGAAAAAUAAUAAAAUUUAAUUAUUUCAUAUUUUAUUUUAUUUUUCUAAAAAAAUAAUAUUUUUGUUAUUAUGUCGAGAUGGUGUAUUACUUACUUACUGUUUAAAUUUUAGCAUAAAAUUAUAAAAGAUGAAGUUAAAAUGACUAUGAUAAGAGAUUUGUUGAACUCUAUCUAAAUUUAAUCCAUACAACUUGAAUAAUUUGUCUAACUUGAUUAACCUAAGUCUAAUAUAAACUUAACUAGAAAAAUAAAAAUGUACGACGUUCAAGUUUAACAUUUUCGAUCAUAUAUUGAAUUAGAUUAAGAUUAGGAUUAAUGUUUAUUAAUUUAAUUUUAGUUCGGGUUACGUGCAAACUCAAUCUAACCCAUUUGAGUUGCAACCCUAGGUUUCCCUGUAUUGAAAAAUAAAAAUGAGGGCUUGCAUAUAAGUAAAAUUUUAAUAUGAGGUGGUCAAAUCUUAUCUUAUAAAGGGAAAUGUAUGAAGGCAUUAUUUUAAUUUGUGAAGUGAGCUUAUUUUUAUGUCACACAUGGAAUUUCCAAACCUAUAUGCCAUUUACUAUGAAGAUCACUCUCAUUAAGACAGCUCAGGGAGACUCAAGAAUUAGUCCAUUUCAAUGGGUGAUGCAUGACCCAAGUAUGUGGGGCUAGAAGGGCGCAUGCCUCUUGGGUAGGCUGAAAAAAAAAUAUAUGUACUUUAUGACUUGAUCCUAUCUUUUUUCUUCCCAUAAAAUUGAAUAUUUUGACCACUAAGGUAACAUGUCCAUGUCAUACAUUGAAAAAAUAAUAAUAAUUGCUUUAAAAACUGUUUAAAUAUAUGAAUUUUAAAAAAAAAUUAAAGUAAUUUUUAAAAAUAGAAGAUAAAUAUGUAUUUUUUAAACAUGAUGUUAUGCCUUUGUAUUGAAGUUUUUGACUUAGAAAAAAUAGGAAGUAUUGAAGUUUUUGAUUUAGAAAGAAAAACAUGAAGGGGGGAGAGAGAGAGAGAGAGAGAUUCUAGCAAACACCACAUGGGCCAGAAGCACAUCAAAGGCCCAGACCAAAAGCUCCAAGUAGGUUGAGUCUCAACCCCACUUUAAUUUAUCGAAUUGGAUUGAGCUAAUCAUAUGGCAAUAUUGCAACACGUAGACUUCAAAAUUUGUUCUAGGAUCUUUUUAUCUAAAAUUUCAGACCUAAUUUUUAUUUAAAAAUUUUUAAAUCCAUUGAAUUAGAAAUAUUUUUACCCUCUUACUUUUGAUCGACAGACUUUACAUAAUUAUUUUUUAAAAUUCAUUUAUUUUUAUUUUUAUUUUUAUUUUUAUUUUUAUAUUGUAAUUAAAUCAAAGAACGUGAUGAGUUACAUAGUUUGGUUUAUAUAAAUGAGAUUGAGUUUGUAUAAUUCAAAAAAUUAUUUCUCGUACCAUAAAUUUUUAAAUUGGAAUAUUGUUACUUUAUUUUAUUGAUAUAUGUGUUUAUCUAUUGUAUAUUUACAUUGAAAAAAAUUAAAUUAAUUUAAUGAGAUUGUAUGAAUUGGGUCAUUUUUAUCUAUUAAUAUGAUUAAAACUUGUAAAAUCAUUUUUUAAUUAAUCUUAUAAAAUUAUGUAAAUUGAAAUCAUUCUUCAUAAUGAUUGUGGAUAAUAGAAAGGAAACAAUAAUAGAAAGAAACAUAAAUGACCAUAAACUCAAAAACUCAUGCUUUCCUUGACUACACUACUACUCGUUACCCUUACAGGUUGGAACCAUUGUUUUUUAUUAUUAUUAUUAUUAUUAUUGACAAUAAAUUUUGCUACUUUAAAAUAUUUUAAAACAUCUUUAAUUACAUUUUUUUAAGUCAAGUUAUUAGUUUUUAAAUACUUUAUCUUAAUUAUAUAAAUAAGAAUACAAUAAUUAUUGGGAUAUUAAUAAUAAUAAACAUAUGAUUUGGACUUAAUUAAAUGCUAAAAUGUUCAAAUUUUUGAUAGAAAAAUAAAAGGUUAUUUAAUGAAAAGAUAUAAAAUAAAACUAUUAGUGUAAUUUUAUUUCAUCCAUCUUAGUUUAGGACUCUGCAUUUUUUCCUAUAGUUUACAUUCUUUUGAAGAUUCAAGAGAAUAAUGGCAUAAAAGGGAUAAAGUGGACUUAUGAAAAUUAGAAAUAAAAUUAAUUUAGAAAGAAUUUUAAAUUAAUAAUUUAAAAAUAAAAAAAUUUCCAAAUCUUUUAAAAUUCUUAAGCUUAAGCUUAUAAAUUAUUAUUUUGGUAAAUCAUUAUUUCUAAAUUGAUUCCAAGUCCACUAGGUUUUCUCUUAUCUAUGUUCAUCGGAAGUGUUCUUCAAAAAAGUGGAUGCACCUAAACUAUUCUAAGUUAUUAUUCAUUGUGCUUAACUUGAAACUCUCAAAAAAUUCAAUAUUCUCAUUCUUGGGUUCAUGAAAGAUAUUUGCAUCCCCUCAAAGUGUUGAGAAGUCCUCUAAGGAGCAUAGUAGUGUUACAUCGUUGACAUGAGAUUGGGCAUAAGUUCUAGGAUGUAAGUCUUAGGGAGUAGCAACUGUCAAGUAAAUUUAUGUACAUCUUCCUCAUAUUCCAUGAAUUAUAACUUUAUGGUCUCACUUGUGAUUUUUUCAUCUUUGCAUAUUGUGUAGAGGUUUUUCAUCGGAAGUGUUUUUCAAAAAGUGGAUGCACCUAAACUUGUCUAAGUUAUUAUUCAUUGUUCUUAACUUGAAACUCUCAAAAAAUUCAAUAUUCUCAUUCUUGGGUUCAUGAAAGAUAUUUGCAUCCCCUCAAAGUGUUGAGGAGUCCACUAAGGAGCAUAGUAGUGUUACAUCGCUAACAUGAGAUUGGGCAUAAGUUCUAGGAUGUAAGUCUUAGGGAGUAGCAAUUGUCAAAUAAAUUUAUGUACCUCUUCUUAAUAUUCCAUGGAUUAUAACUCUAUGGUCUCUCACUUGUGAUUUUUUUAUCUUCACAUAUUGUGUAGAGGUUUUUCACGAACAAAUCCUUUGCCUCGUGUGUGUUUGAUUAUUUUUUAUAUUUUUCACUUUCUCAAAUAAUAUCAACUCUUCUAUUAAAAUCUUUGAAAAUCAUCCAUUCAUUUCCUCUCGUGUGGAAGGCUUACCUCCACAUGCUCUCCCUAAGCUCAAGACCCUUUGACCAUCCAAGGUAAACAAAUAAUCCAUUUGGAGCAAUUUGUCUGGACCAAGAUAAGUUUCGUAUGGCGUGGGAGGAAAAACAAAUUUUUUUCUUCCUUGAUGCCAGACGGAAUGGAUAGACCAAGCUGACUGGGACUUCUAGAUAGACAAACCAAAUCAAUCAAAAAUUCCAAAUAUUAGUCGGAUGAUUAAUCACCACCAAUGUCUAAGCAACAAUCAAUACAACAUUUACACCUAAAAAUCAAUAUCAAUUAGUUGUUACACACAAUCAGCGAUAUUGACAAACAUAAAUGCACAAUCAAUGAUAUGGUUCGAGAUUCUUGCACGACAAUCAAUAAAUGACACCAAUCAGCAACUCUUGUUUGCUAUGAUUGUCCAAUCAGCGCUAAGAUAAAGGUAUUAACUACCUUAUUAAGGCAUAGUAUCCGCCACGAUGGCGAUUAUCAAGGCAAGAAAGGUUGUGAUGAUGGCGUCAUAUGUUCUAUAAAAACCCUUCCAAAAGUAUGAAAAAGAUACGUGUACAUAGUUAUUCAAAAAAUUGGAUUCACUCUCGCUAGAUUCUGACUUAGGCUUCGAAGGGGCAUGCUCAGACCACCUGUCCAGACAUCCUUUUGUGAAGGGAAGCAAUCCAUCUAACUUUGGUGAAGCUAGACGAGCUUUCAUCUAGUUGACACAACACCAACAUCUCGGUGUUUCUCAUACUAAAUCAAAUAACUUUCAAAAACUUUUCUUUGUCAUAUUAUGAGAAUAUUUAUGAUCAUCCAUAUUGAUAUAAAUCUUUUUUUGAUUCUAUAAAAAAAAAAAAUUCCAACUCUCUAUAAAAUGGAAAAACCCGUUAAUGAAAUAUUAUUUAAUUUUCUUUUUUAGCAUUUUAUAUCUUCUUCUUUAAUUUCUUCUCUUUCUACUUUCUUUUUUACAACAUUAUAAAAAAUACAUAUAUAUAUCCUCAUUUCACAUCCAAAUAUUUUAAACAAGCAUUUUUUGAAAUAAAAAUAUAAAGAUAAUUAAAUCAAAUUGAAGUCGUAUUUAUUUAUUUUAUUUUAUUGGAGAUUGUUAUGGGAAUGUACUCUAUCCUUUGUCACAAAUAUUUCAAAAAGAAACCUCCUUAACUUUUUUUUUUCAACCCGAGUCAACAAAUGAACUUUGAGACCAUAUUUGGCCCAAAUUCAUGCACCAAACACUUUCCCCUAUCAUUGUUUUUGCCCUUCUGUUUUUUUUUAAUAUCCAAGGUGGAAGCAAAGAAGCCCCCAUUCCCAUAAUAAUGUUUCCUUAAAAAUGAUAAUUUUCCUAUAAUCUAGGAAAAUGUGCCCACACCCACAUGAAUCCAACACAACAUUAGGUUUGGUGCAACACACAUACACCACCUAAUUCCCAAAUCAACCGAGAAACAUACCAAAUCUAGGGUUCUUGGAUUACUAUAAAGUGUCCACCCUUUGUUUCCAUCAAUUCUUUGUAUCCUUGUCUUCAAGUUUCUCAAUACCACCACAUUGUUUAUGCUUUCUUUGUUUUCUCAUGUCUUCUCUAAUUUCUAUGCUCCAUGUACAUUGAACUAUCCCGAUUAAGCAUGUUAGGUUAAUUUAGUUCUUCGUAUAUUUAUGAUCAACAUAUUUUAAGUCUUAUUCUCAAAAAAAAAAAAUGAUUUCUAAGCGUUCCAAAUCGAUAUAGAUUGAUUUAGUCGGUUACUAUUUAUAAAUUGAUCGAUUCUAUUAGAUUGAUUUGAUUUGAUUUGAUUUUAAUGCGCAAACCUAAAUGAUACAAACCCUAAUUAAUGUACAUAUAUUGACAAAAGGUUGGAAAGAACUUGGAAAAGAAGACAAAAAUAUAAUUCACUUAAAAAUCAUUAGGAAAGAAAAAAUAAAAAAAAGGAGAAAGAAAAGGAAAAAUCCUCCAACUACAAGGGGGUUGGUGGUCGCAAUUUGGUGCAAAUGAGUGGCCUACACUGUUCCAAAAAUGUGAGCCACCAGACCAGACCCAUUGUCUUUGGGGUGGGGUCACAUCACCACUUGCUCCACUCUUGGGUGCUGUUUGGCAGCCUCUCUUCUUCUUUCUUCUGUGUGAUCAUGACUUUAGAAAACAAUUUUUCUGUUCGAAAUUUCAAACUUGGAAUAUUCAAAUUUCCAACUUGUAAUCCCCAUUGUGGAAAUUGGAAAAUCAUGUUGGUGGGUUGCCUCUUUUUCAACUAGCAAUGUGACAAUCUCCAUUAAAUUAAUGGGGCUAGUGCUCCAUUUUCAUGUGACUUGUAGGGUAUGUUUGCCUACAUGUCAUUAAAUAUAUUUCAAUUUUUUUUUUUUUUUUACAUUUAUUGAAUUUAAACUUAUAUUGAUGCUUCCUUCUCAUUUCCCAUUUGUUUGUUAGGUGUAGGUGACUUGGUAUAAAUUCUUAUUUUUUUACAAAAAAUUAAAAUUAAAAUAAGAUCAUAAUUUUAAAGGAUAAUCAAUUAAUUAAACUUGAAAGAAUCAUUUGUAUCAACUUUCCAUUUUUUAUUUUGUUUGAAAAAUAAAAUCAGAGUCUAUUUGGUUGUGAAAUAGUUUUCUAUUUUUAAAAACAGAAAGUUAUCUUCAAAAAUUUUUACUGUUGUUUUGCCGUUGUUUUUUAGAAAUAAUUUUUGAAAAUAAAUUAAAAUAAAUAAUAAUUUUUAGAAAAUAAGUAAAGGUUAUUUUCAUCAAUUUUUUUUAAAAAAAUGAAAAUUUUGGUCAUUUAACCAUAUUUUUAAAAACUAUUUUUAAGUUAAAGAAUUAAAAACAAUUUUUAAAAAUAAGUUUUAGAAAAUACUAUGAAACAUACUUUUUAUUCUUUUAAGAGUUUUAUUAAAAAUAAAAUAAUUUUUAAUAUAAAUUAAAAAAAGUUAUUUACUUCUCAAGAGCCCUAAGUAAAUAAAAAAAUUAUAAUAAAAAUUCUUGUCAACUUUGAAAAAAUCAAAAAGGAUUUCUUGCAAGUCAUUCAAACAUCAUCUAGACACUUAUUAAAAAUGUUUACAUCAUGUGUGUCUUGCAGAACUGAAAUCAAUCAAACCAUGAAGAAAACAUGGGAUUGAUUUUCCCAUCAAAUCCUUUCAUCCAAACACCAAAUAGAGAAAGAGAAAAACACCCACAUCAGGAAUGCCAUGGAACAGUAAAAAAAAAAUAGAGGGAUUUUGACCGUCUAAAGCUGUGAUACAAGUAGAGUACUUUUUGAAGAGACCCACAAGCAGCUUUAUAAGCUGCCUUUUCCUUUUCUUUUCUUUUCUUUUCUUUUUCCAUGGAAUUUGUAUUCAAUUGAAACUUUAUAGCGGUUUUGUAGCUGCAACAAAAGGACAAAUUGAAUCUACCAACUCACCCAUCCGGCCAUCCCUCAGACAAAUGCCUUUCACUUUGCUGCUCUGCAUUCUGCAUUGCCCAAAUAAAGCUAUAAACCCAUUAAAAUAAAAUAUUUUCUCUGCUUUUUCUUGCCUUUUUAAAGUUGUUUUUGUAAAGCAUUCUGAAAUUACUAGAAUAGUUUCAUAUGUUAUAAUCAUUCAAAUGCAAGUAUGUAGUACCCACAAGCUUUCACAUUCUUAAUCACACAUUUUUUAGGGUUUUCUUUUUUAUGAAAUUAGAAAUAAGGUACUCUCUAAUAUUGACUCCUUGUACCCAAAUAUAGGAUCACUUAUGUAUACAUUUCAAAUUUAUGGAUUUUUACCCAAAUUCAAUCUCGUCCCGUUAUUUUGUGUCACACCCCGAAUUCUAGACAACCCAAAAUUCGACCCAUAACUUCAAGUGUAACCCUUAAGAUCAAAGAGCGUUCAAAUUCUAGGUUGUCUAGAAUUCGAAGCGUCACAUUUUAUAUCUGAUCCCAUUUAUUUAUACAUUAAUGUUUCGUAUAAUUUUAAUGAACCAAAUCAAAACUUCUAUGCUAAGCUACACCUAAUUUUUUUGUGAAUAUUGGAUGGUAUUGAAAAUUUUAUUUAUUGUAACAUUUUAAAUUGCAUCAUAUUUUUUCUUGAUAUUCAUAGCCCAAUUUUUUUUUUUCCUGGUUUAAUUCCAGUCAACCAAACGAGGAACAAAAAAGUCAUUUAGUAGGAAUUGGAUUAAAGUGGGUCCACACAUUGGGUUCAUUUUCAAGGCAUCUAGAAUUUGGAUGAAAAAAAAAAUGAGAAGGGAAUCAACCAAGUAAUGUGCUUCACACUUAAUGCAAUUUUCUCGAAUCUUUGAAAAGAAAAAGAAAAAGAAAAUUAAUUUGAAAACAAAAAAGUAAAAAUAAAAUUGGAAAUGCAGAAAUGAAAUGAAAGAAGGGAGAAAAAUAAAUUUCAAUAGUAUCAUAAUGCUUUGACUGCACCAUGCAAAGAUUUACACAGAGAUCUUUUACUCAUUUCUUCAAUAUUUUCAUGAUGACUCGCUGCUCAGUGCUCACCAUCCCCUAAACUCUAAAGAUUCAUUUCACAAUCCUAUCUUUUCAAAUUAUUUUCUACUGAAAACACCAAAAAAAAAAAAAAAUUCCCUUUUCCUCCGUUUGGCCGCUGAGAAAAUGGAAGAAAAUAAUAAAACAGAGUGUUGGGUACAGAAAAUAGAAAACCCAGUUCGGCUCAGCCUAAUAGUUGCAUACGCCCAUGCGGGUUUUUUGUUUUCUCAUGUCCCAAGCAAGACCCAGUCAAAAUUUCUAUGUUUUUCGUUUUUCCUGCAGUUUCUUAGCAUCCAAACAGGGGUUGCAGACACUAGAGUAACGUUUUCCCGCCAUUUCACAGAGCUUCAAAUUUUCUCGACUGAUCGUCUUGAUGAGUCCAGGGAUUGCUCGUGAGAAGAAUCGCUGGUCCAUCGUGAUAAAUGCGAAGAAUCUGAAGCCAAAUUCAGAGGGAAAAAAAUUCAAAUUUUGAAUUUUCGUGAAAAUUGAAGGCUGAAAAAUACAAAUGAUUAAUAGAGAUCAGUUCCGUACCGGUUGAAGAGUUGAGCGAUCUCUUGCAAUGCAUAAUGGCGCUUUGAAUCCCAUCAUGCUGCUGCGCCAGCGAAUCAUCUCUCCUACUUGCCUGAAAGCUCACCGGUGGCAUCAUCUGAACAGCGGCCGACGCCGACCGGCUCUUCCCUAGAUGCUUACACACCACGCGAAGCCCUGCCGGAAGACUCCCCGGCCUCUCUUCUCCGUCCUCUCUCCUGGACUGUGUCUUCACCGGCUUUUUGGGGGAGAAUAUUGGCCCCGGAAUCGGAGAAGACGACGGCGAUGGGGACGACGUCGUUUUUUCGCCGUAUUUCUUGGAAACCUUGAUGUACAGAGGCUUGAUGAGCUUCAGAUACUUGUGCACGACAUCCUUCGAAAACCUCUUCGACUCAAACGACGUCGUUUCCUCCGUGCCAUGCUUGCCAAAGCUCCUCGAACUGUUCUCUCGGGUAAACACCGAAACCACCGGAACUUCCUCCACCUUGAAUUUGACGGUAAAAAGCUUACUAUUCCGCGGAGGUUGUUCCGAAACGCCGCUCGCUUCCAUUUUCUCAGCCUUCUCCGUCUUCUCUGACUUCGACCUCCUGAGCCCGAACAUGAAGACCCUGAACCUGGGCGCGGACCUCAACAGCGAGAUCGGAGACUGAGGCUUCGAGCUGGACUCAAUCGGGAGAAUUCUUCUCUUGAAAAACAGCUCAUGGGCUGAACCUCCCUCUCCGCUCUUGUUGCUGUUCUCUUCUUUGUUCUGAGGCACAGCGAGCUCCAAAUCGAAGAAGGAAUCUUCGUCGUCAGUCUCCACCAUCACAUGGCGCAAGCUGGUGGUCCUGACGGCGUCGCCGGAGGCGGCAGUGGGUGCUGACCCACCGCCUUUCCAGAGCUUGAGAAAGCUGAGAACAUCCAUGGUGGGGAGAGCCAGAGCAGUGAAGAAAUGGGUUUUGCUUGGAGUAGGGUUUUGGUGGUUGGAUUGCUUUAUAGACAGGCCUUUUUCUUCUCUUCCUUUGAUGGCUGUGUCGUUGCAGUCACUGAAAAUGGUGUUUCGGGGAAGCGGAGUGUGAAUUAAGUUUUCCCCCACAACGACGCCGUUUUAUACUGCCACAACACCCACUAAGAAACGGCGUCGUUUCCUUAAUGCGAAACUGGCCCACGCGCAAUCUCUAGUUUGGUCGCACGCGCAGCAUCAUGGGAUGUUGUUUCUCCCAUCCAACACCCAAAUUUGAAUUGAAGAAAGUUGAGACAAAAACAUGGUGGUCCAAACGAAUGGUCAAUUCAUUGAAGAUUCUGAUUUCAAAUUACGAAAUGGAUAGCCCCCUUUCAUUUAUUUGAAAAUUCUUUGGUUAUUUUAAUUUCUCUUUUUUUUUAGAAAAUUAAAAAUUUUAGAAGAUAGUGGAUGGGUUAAAAAGUCAUAUUAGAUGAUAAUCUUUCAUAAUGAACAUUUUGACUCUUUCCUGGAAAAUGAUGUGGUUAAAAUAUCAUCUUCCAGGUUAAGAAACUAGUGAUAGAAGAACACAAAAAAAGUUGAAACUUUCUUUGAUUUUCUUGUAAUUAAAUUAAAUUUCUUUGAAAAAACAUGUUACUAGAUGCCAAAGUAGUUACAUGCCCACUCAAUUCCAAUCAUGCCAUAUUCAAAGACCAUAUUCCAUUCACAUUUAGGAUGGUAAGGGUUGGAUACCAUCUCAAUUGUUUAAAUUUAUUCACAUUUUUAUCUCAAAAAAAAAAAAAAAAAAAGUUAGUAUUGGUAGGGAAAUUUCCACACCACCUCAUGCCCAUUUAAUAUUUGCUGAAAAAGAGAAAUACGAAGGAAUUAAAUUAAAUUAUUUUUUUUUAUUUUGUUAUAUGUCAUAGUGUAAUAAUGUCUAUCUUAAACCUGAUGAUGAUGGAUCACCCAAAUGAUGACUCUUAUAAUAGAAUCACAGAGUGUGAUGUUGAAUGUCAUACCACUCCAAUUGGUUUUUAAAUGAGAUGAUUAAAACCUGAUCCAAGAAUUGGUAUCAAAGUUAAGGAAAUUCAAGUUACAAGAGCAUCAUGUCGGGAGAAGGAUUAUUGGAAUACAACAAUAUUGUCGAAUGUCAUAAAAGAUUUGACUUACUAUCAUUGACCACUAAUUACUUUUCAAAUAAGAAGGUUAAAUCCCAAUCGAAUAAUAUAUAUAUAAUCGAGAUAGAACAAAACAAAUCAAUACUUUCAUCAAAUUUUAUCCAAAAAAAAAAAAAAUCUAAACACACCCUUAACCCAUUUAUACUCUUUCAAUUGGUUGUAUUAUGAUUGAUUUACAUCAUUCUAUUACGUAUAUUCACAUUUUUUUCUUCAUAUUUAUUAAAAAGAGAUUAUAAUAUAACUUUAAUACUGUAUUAUAGUUAGUUGAAAAGCAAUAAUAAUACAACUUACAACCCAUUAUCAUCUACUUCACUUGUUAGAGAAAAAUUUUGAAGGUUAAUUUUCCUAAACAUACGUUAAUAUUUUCAUUAUUUCAAGUGCCCAUUCUCACACAAGGAAGGUCAAAGGUGGCAUAGAAAAAUACCCUUUUGCUAAGGCCAUUUUCACUUUUAGACAGAAAAAAAGGGGAGGUUUAGUGUGGAUUGAGGGAAGCGCGUGUACCAGAAGAGAAUGGAUUUUUUUUUUCACUAUUUGUUAUUUUUUAUUUUUUAUUUUUCUUCUUAAUCCAUGACGGGAACAGAGGGUUGCUGAGGACUGUGGCCAUGGGAAGGGUGACAGAAACUUCCAAAAAGAGACAAAGUAAAAGAAAAAUAAAAAGGGAGAAAAGGGACAAAAAGAAGAGACUCACACAUGACCAAAAAUUAAAAAUAUAAAUAUAAAAAUAAUAAAAAUAAAUAAAUAAAUAAAAUGUAAAGUGUCUCAGAGCUUGCUUUUCUCAGUCUCAAAAAUCUGCUGGAGUCAGAGAAUGGCUUCUUUACAAGGCAAGACAUGGAUAUAAAUGUAUAUAUAUAUAUAUAUAUAUAUAUAUAUAUAUAUAUAUUGGUGGAUGCAGUGGUUGGGCAUAGGGCACCCCAUCUUCAUGUGUAUGUUUUCAGAGAUGGAGUUUCUCUCUUUUGUAAAGAGGCCAUAUCUCUUUUACCCACAAAAGGUUUGACCUAGCUUACAGUGAGGUUUUGGGAGAGUGGCCAUGCCUCUCUUCCCUCAUCUCAAACCCCCUUUCUUUUUCAGUGUUUGGGAAAGGGGUUUGGGUUGAUGGUGAAGAGACCCAUUUGGUGGGGAAAUUUUGUUCAUCUUGGAUAGCUAUAUUGUGGCAAAGGUGGACUACAUUGUCCAUAAAAGCAGAAAUUGAAAACUACUUUGAAUUAACCAAUGGAUGAGCAUUUGUAACCUUUACGAGAAUUUAAAUAUGAAAAACAAAUAAUUUUUUUAGCUUGUUUUUAAAAUGUUUUCUAUAUUUUUAAUCUUCUUAGGAUUUAUUUUAAAACAAUCGAUUUUCAAAACUAUUUUUGUAAAAAUUUGUUAUACAUGUUUUGAGUCAAAAUAUUUUCUAAAACUUGUUUUUUAUUGUUUAACUUAAAAAGAGUUUAUAAAAAUAAGUUUUAAAAAAUAUAACCAAUCAGGUCUGUAUUUUCCUUUUGUUUUUAAAAACCGAUAAAAACAACUUUAAUUUUUUCUCUAAAAAAUAUUCUUUAUUUUACUUUAUUUUUAAAAAUUAUUUUCAAAAAAUAAUGGUCAAAUAGUGUUAAAAACUUUUUAAAAUAGUUUUCUCUUUUUAAAAAUAAAAAAUUAUUUUUAAAUCACAUGACCAAACAGGCUCGAAGUUAUUUGAAUAAUGUUUUUAAUCAAAAUAGUGUCUAUGGAUUGAUGGGACAAAAUUUUUAAGAAACCAUAUGAUGCUAAGAUAAAGAGAGACAAAAAAGAAAGAAAAUAUUGAGAAUGAUGAUAAAAUCAUUCACAUAAAACCUUUUAAAGUGGAUUUAGAGGAAGGAAAAGGGAGGAAUAUAGGUUACUAUAGCUCUUUUUGAUGCUAUAAUAAAAUGAUGAAAUGGUGAUUUUUUAAUGGUUUGUCUAUCAUUUUGCUCAUGUUAUGUUUCUUCCUUUUUUUAAAACUGAAGUUGCUAGUGAGUAGUGAAUGGGACUAGAGCUUCAUUUGCUCAACAUGGUGAUGGAGGAUGGCACCCACAUGUUUAAAUUUAGAACUCCACUGGAGACACCUUGAUUUGACAAUCCUUUUGUCAAAAGUUGAGUGUCUAUUAUGACUACAUAUCCCUAAACUUUCUUACCAUAUUCGUCCUUACAACAAUUUGUGAUCUUUAGUCAUGUUACUCUACAUAAUAAGCCACCAACAUCCUAAUUAUACAAGAUUCUAUGAAGGUGAUUAUUUUGUAUGCAAUGUGUAGGGUAAAUUUGAUCUAACAUCCCUUAGUUUAAGUUUCACCUAUGGUGGUCCAAAAUCUCGUUGGUCGGCUUCCUAGGGUUUUUCUUUAAUUAAGUAGUAGGAUCAUCGGCUUUUUAGGAGUUUUCCUAAUUGAGUAUUAAGACAAUAAACUAUAGUCACUAUUCCAACACCAUAAAUCGAUCAUUACCAAUAUUGUUAAACCCUAUAAUCUUGAUCUUCUUUGACAAUUAUAGCAUACAAAGAGGCACAAGCUUAGGACUCCUUGUCUUUGGAAAAGUGACCCUACCGACAAAAUACAUUACAUUAUCGGGACAUUAGUCAUGUAGAUAAUCUAUUAGGGCCUAGAGAUAACAAUUGAAUAGUCUCAUUCGAUUCGUGGCAUCAUGAUUAAGUUAUAAGAUUCUGCACCCUAAAUCAUGAUAUAAGUCACAACUUUUGGAACUUUUUUUUGCCAACUUUUACUUUAAAGGGGGAAGAGGUCACCCCACAUUUACCCUUUUCUUUUUUUCUUUACAUUGUUGUCAUCCCAGGGUGGAUCAUAGGAGUCCCCCCAAGACCCAAUACCUUAUGCUCUAAAUCAGAGCCUACCAUUGAACUUUUGUACUUCAUCUGUCUGUGGUUGUUGGGCUCUCACUAGAAUUUUACUGAAUGGUUGGUUGGUCAAAUGAUUCUCUCCAAGGAAUUUUUAUGAAUGGUGGGGUCUUUGUGUUUGCUAUUUACAAGUGGAUGACUAAGACAAAGCUUUAACUUAAUUAUUCCAUAGUUAGGCAGUGGUUCAAGGUACUUUUGAAUCAAAUCUUAGUUAUUCUUCAAUCUUUAUGUUCUCUGACCAUACAUGUUUUUCAUUCAUCAUCCCUUUUGAACCAAGUAAGAAAAAGUUUUGUGAACACAACCUUUUAAAAUAUGAAUAUAUUUUUAUUUUUAGAGGGGGUUGUCUCCUUCCUUUUGUGUCACCUACUCUUCACCCUUUAUAGACUAAUUGUUAGAGAUUCUUAUCCACCUACAUGUAAUUCAGGCCAUUGAUGAGGAACAAUCUUCUACCACACCUUUGCUAUGAUGCUUUGGAACACAAAUCUUUAAUUAAAUUAAAUUACCAAGUUUAAAUAGUUAAGACAUAGAGGUAAGAAGUUUAUCCAAUAAGCAUAAUAGUAUUUGUCUUUUGAGAAAAAAAUUAAUAGUUUAUAGGAGACAUGAUUAUGUCGUUAAAAGAGGGUUUCUUUGUGUUGUAAACACGGUAUAGUACCAUGAGAUUUAAUCCAUCGGGCGUGAAAAAUAAUUUAGUCUGAAUUAUAUAAUUUGGUUGUGUCGGAAGUAGUAUGGUGAAAUUUAGAAGUGAUUUGAUUAUAUCUAAAAAGAAUAACCUAAUCAUAUUUGAGAAAUAAAUUCUUCAUUUUUUUUAAAGCAGUUGAUUUAAACUUAAACCUUACGAUUUGAUUAUUUAUUUAUUUAUUUACUUUGGCAUGUUACAACUUUCAGGAAACCUAAAAUUGGGUCUAUAACCUGAGGUCAAAGGUUUGAUCCUAGUAAUUAUAUUAUAUCGAGAUUAGGGUCAACUUAAUUAUUUUGAUUACUUUAAAACCUAAUUUCACAUAGAAUUACUAAAAGGGGUUCUAAUUAAGUAGAUUCUCAAAUCGAUCUAACUAAAAUACCUUUUGAAUUAGUUGGAUGUGUUUUAAAGUUAUGAAGGCAACCAUAAAGAUUAAGGGUCAAAAGUAGACAAUAUUCACUUAAUAAUGACAUUGACAAUAUUCACUCGAUGUUGGCAUCAACAAUAUUUACCCAACAUUGACAUCAAUAAUAUUUAUCCAAUGUUGUCAUAGAUAUUCUCUACCCAUUACAAUAGUAAGAUUAGAGUCAAUCCUACCCUAGAAAGAACAUAGAGUUGAUCAUAUCUUGCGAAGUAUGGAGGGACGAAGGUGUCAAAUCUAUAUAUGGGAGGGUGAGUUUUGAUUGGGAAGAAGAAAUCUUUGAUACUAAUAAAGGUAUCUGAAUUGGUUAGACGGUUUUAAAACCGUGAGAGAGACCGCAAAUGCAAUGGGCUUGAAGCAAAUAUAGAAGAAUCGAGACAUUCUAACUUAGGAAAACAAAAAUAUCCCUUAGUAUUGCCACACGCAUAUCAAUGUGAACACUUGAAGAGGGGAUUGAAAUUACAAGAGGGUCUGUGCGAACUGUUGGGCUGAACACAUAACAACAAAAUGGUACAUAGUGUUGGACAAAUAUGGAGACUAGGCUUAAAAAUCAGGCCUUAGAAGGCAUGAGGCCUUAUAACAUAACUCUAGGUUGAUUUGGAAGAUAACUACCAAGGCCCAUGUAAUUGGCAAUCAAAGAAAUCACACUGAUCCAAGCAGUGGACAAAUCUCUCUCACCCACUACACUUGUUUGGAUGCCCAGAAAGCAACUUCUCCAAAGUGUACCAUUUUCCCACUAAAGACCAUAAUGGAAUAUAUACCCAUAACAAAUCUCCCCCCCUUGUUGAGCCAAACAUGACUUAAAGGUGGCUGUAAGCUACUGUGAGCUUCCUUCAACUCUCCUCCCUUCUGAUUCAUUUUCUCACCAAUUUUCCCAGCAUUUAUGUCUAUCACCUGCACCUACAGUUGUAAUCAUGGUAAAAUGUUGAUGUUGAUUAAUAUAAUGCAAGGGAAAUCAUUCAUGAUCCUAAAUUUGAUGAAUUUGUUGUCAGUUAAAAACAUUUGGAAACAAGUGGAAAUACUAAAUUAGCCCCAUGGAAUCAAAGCAAUUCUAAAUUGAAAAAUAAAAAUAAAAAUUGUUAUUGCUUUGAGAAUAGAAUAUUUUGAAGAAGUGAUUAAAUAUUAUAAAUUAGUAGUGGGGAGCAUGGUUCUGCUGAAUGCUGAUUUUCACAAGUGGGUUGCACGUACUUUCUCAUUCAUGUGAUGAGAUCCUCAACAAUGUUCUUCUUUUUUUCUUUUUUCAAAUUUUAAAAUUUUUAAUUUUUUUAAAUUUUAAGUCUAUUCAAGGGGAGAAUUUUGAAAUACAGCCACAAUUAUAUUAAACUUUAUCCAAUUUUAUAAAUAUGAUAAAAAUAAAAAAUCAUUUAAAUUUAAAUAUUUUUCUUCCUUUUUAUAUUAACACAAAUAUAUUUUAACUUAAAAAACCAAAAAAAAAAAAAAAAAAAGGGAAAAUCCAUUCUUACAAUGAAUUUUAUUUUUUUUUGGGUUUCAAUUUAAUUUUUUAAUGACUUUUUAUCACUUGAAAUAUUUUUGUUUUAUUUUAUGAUAUAUAUCAUGAUUUUAAAAAUUAGAUCGGAUCGAUUAAUUUAACUUUCAAUCAAUUAUUAUUUUGGUUUGAAUGGUUCGAUUCGAUAUCUAGGACUUGUUCCGAUAUAUCGGAACCAACAAUCAAUCCGGUGAAUCAAUUGAUGGAGUGAUUCUCCCUAAAUCGAACAAUUCAAAAGCUAUCAUUUGCCCUUAAAAUGACGUUAUUUUGAUGUAUGCUCUCCAUCCAACCUCCACGCUCUAACUGCAACAUCGUCAGACCCGACACCACCAAUUGAUGAGGACGUCCACGCCGUAGAUAUCUCCAGUCUCGCACAAUGGGUUGCAUUGUUGCAAUUUACAAAGUUUCAAUUGAAUAUUAAAUAUUAAAUAUUUUAUUAUAUAUUAAAUAUUAAUAUUUAUUAUUCAUUAAAUCAUUUGAGAAAAAAAAUUUAUUUUUAUUUUUUAAAUUAUUUUAUUUUAAUAAUAUAUAAAAUAUAUAUUUAUGAGAUCAAAUAUAAUUUUGAAUAUAUAUAUAUAUAUAUAACUCGUUAAUAAAAUUUAAUGAAUUUAUUUUAUAUUUUAAAAUUUUAAUAACUUAUAAAGAAAUUUAAAUUUUUUAAUCUUUUAUUUAUUUAUUUUGUAAAUUAUGGUACGUAGCAUUUAACAUUUAAUAAAUAUCGAAUCAUGUCAUGUGGCGUCUGGUGAUACUGAUACCAUCAUGUUAUUGUGUCCGUACACCACUAAAGUAACCAUAAUUCCAUAUCCCACCAUUCACUUUAUGCCACGUGUCAAUGAUCUGGGAUAAAUAUGGCCGGCCACUUCACGGAGUAAACUGUGAAAUUUUUAAAUAACUAAACAAGAAAAUGACCGCCGUCAAUGUCACCUCCGAAAACCUCGAACGGCACAAAACGGAUAAAUAUUUGUUAAUUAUCUUUUUAUUUUUUUAUUUUUAACACCUGCAUUUCAUUGGGUUCCGUUAUAUUCGCUAGCCUACUAGACUCGGACUCCGAACCUCAGGCUCGGGUUCCCUCCUUAAAAACGGCUCAAGUCUUUUCUUGCUCUCAGCGUUCACUCAGUCGCCGUUAAGUUUUGUCCCCGGCAGCCAGGUAUUACUUCGGAGAUUGCUUGCCGGAGUCUGAUGGCAGAUCAUGCGGGCGAGUCCGAAUCCGCCAUGGAGUCGGUGAUGGAAACGAUAACCGCGAAGCUUCAUGGCUAUGACUCGCCCUCGUCGUCAGACUCCGAAGACGGCAAGAAGUCGCUGGUGGAGGCUGUGAAAUCGAAGAGUUACAGGCUUUUCGGAAGGGAAAAGCCUCUUCACAAGGUCCUAGGGGGUGGAAAACGUAUGGCCACCUCUCUAUUAAUAUAAACACGUCUUUUAUGGAGUCUAUUGAAUCGUGAUGUUAGGGUUUUAUAAAUGAUUUUCGAAUAGAGGAUUUUGAUAUCUUUAUUUUCCUCUUUUUUUUGGUCUAUGUGGACGGGCAUUUUGGUUUUGCGGCGUUUGGUUCGGGAGAAAACGGAGGAAAAUAAAGGAAAGAAAAAACAAAAAUUGAAUUAGGUCGUUUCAUAUAAAUGAAUUACUUAAAAAGGAAGUGAACGCAAUUAAUCCGAACGAUGAAACUUCGUUUUCAUUUAUUUUCUUUCUUUCCUACAUUUUCUCGGCAAUGUAUUGGUCGAAUCCGCAUGUUAUUCUACUCUCUGAUUGGUCAUGUGGAUUUGAUUGAUGAUCUUUUCACAAUGCUAGAGUAGACAUGUAUAAGGAUUUGCAGAGAAUAGUGGUUGCAGAUUUGAUCGGAGAAAAUCUGCGAGGAACAGUCCUUGAACUUUGUUCCCACGCUUGUUACAGUCUCAUUCUUGUGUUUGUCGCAUCCAAAAACAUUCUUGAAAAUGAUUCCAAAAUGCUGAAGUUUUCUGUAGUCGCAGCAUGAAUCUGAGUAUAUCAUCUUACAUUCAUACAUAUAUUUAUUUUGGUGCAGCUGCUGAUGUCUUCCUGUGGAGAAAUAAGAAGAUUUCAGCCAGUGUGCUCGGCUGCGCCACUGCAAUAUGGGUUCUCUUUGAAAUGCUUGAAUACCAAUUGCUUCCUCUACUAUGCCACAUUUUAAUGCUCAGUUUGGCAUCCCUUUUCCUGUGGUCCAAUGCAUCCAUCGUCAUCAAGAAGUAAGUAGUCGGUUUUGUGAUGCAUUCUCUUGUACGAUUCAAAUUGAUUUGCAUUCUCACUUUUUCUGUGUUCCAUAACUAGGUCACCUCCAAACAUCCCAGAAGUUGGAGUUCCUGAGAAAGCUGUCAUGGAGAUUACCUCAGCCCUGCUAUAUGCAAUCAACCGAGGUCUAACUUCACUGCACAACAUUGCAUCCGGGAGACAUUUGAAGCAGUUUCUCGCUGUACGUUGAUUUUCAUUUUCUUGCAUUUGUGAUUUCUAAACAAGCCCUCUAAUAGGGGUUGAACUGUGUUUCUGGUUAUCAGGUUACUGCUGGGUUGUGGGUUUUGUCAGCUGUGGGGAGAUGGUGUAACUUCAUCACCUUGUUCUACUUAUGUAAGGAAUUCAAUUAGUAGUCAUCUAUUUACUUGAUUUUUUCACAAUCAUCCUCAUUUGACUUUGAGUGUCGGAAGACAGUGUUUGUUUUGCUACACACGGUGCCUGUCAUUUACGAGAAGUAUGAGGAUGAAGUGGAUUCGUCAGCUGAGAAAGUUAAGACCGAAAUCAAAAACCAGUACAGAGUCCUUUGCGAGAAGGUUCUCAGAGGACAACCUGAAGACGUGUUGAAGGUCAGGAAGCUGUCUUAGGUUCUGGUUUUGGUUUUGGUUUUCCAUGAGUAUCAUUGGAUUCUACUGUUUUAGGUCAUAAUCAUAGUUAUGCUUCACUUUAGAGCGUGUUUGGCAUUCAUGUAUUGACAUUGCUAUGAUACAAGGCAGUGUUCUUGGGGUUGCCCCUUCUUUCUUUGCCUUCUGCUUCGGCACAUCGUCUCAAUUUGAUUUCUUUGUAACCACCAAAAGAGCUCAUUCGUUUUCCGCCCCCAAUGGGAUGGGGAAUUUUUGACCCCCUAUUUAUACUUUUUGGCCCUUCAUCUUUUUGAAUCGGGGCCCGGCCCGGCUCGAGUCGUUCCAAGUUCCAACAACUGGCGGGGAGCACCAUCGUGCACAGUAACUGGGAGUCCUAUUAGACCGAAAUUUUAAAAAUAAUUAAUUCUAAAUUUUUUUUAGAACUUAUUUUAUUUAAUAAUUUUUUGAAAUCUUAUUUUGAAAACAAGGUGUUUUUUUUUUAAAUAUAUUUUAAUUGUUUUCACUUAUAUCUAGAAAUUUUAAAAAUAAUACUUAAAGUUUUUUAGANNNNNNNNNNNNNNNNNNNNNNNNNNNNNNNNNNNNNNNNNNNNNNNNNNNNNNNNNNNNNNNNNNNNNNNNNNNNNNNNNNNNNNNNNNNNNNNNNNNNUUUAAAUUUUAGAGAAGGUUUUUAUGUAAAAAGUAAAACUUUUAUAAAUAAAAAUGAAUUUUAAAAAAUAUUAAAAAAUAUAGAAAACAUUUCAUGUUUUCAAAUAAAUUUUUAUUAGAAAACAUGGUUUGAUUCUCAUAAGGAAUUAAAAAAAAGUUUUAAAAAAAAUGAUUUAAUAAUUUUCUCAUAUCUAGUUUCAUUAGGAAAAAAAAAAUCAAAUAUAAUUAAAAUUAAUUAAAAAUUUAUAUAUUUUAAAACUAAAAUUAUUUAAUAAUAUAUAUAUAUUCUCUUUAAUUUUUUUAUUCACUACUAUUUUUGUUCUUAAUUUUCUUUUUUAAGAACUAUUUUAGAAAAUGUCCUUCGUGGUUUUUUUUUUCUUUAAAAAAAGAAAACAUAUUUUAAUUGUUUUCCAAAAUAAUUAGACAAAUAUAAAAAUAUUAAAAAUAAAAAUUAUUUAUAAAAAAUAUUUAGAACACAAAAAACAGAAAGCUAACAUUCCAAAAUUCCAAACAAACUUAGAAAACAUUCUCAAACAGUCCCCAGCUUUUGCAAUUCUCCAAUGCCAUCCAUUCAUUCCUCUCAAACAUAGUGUUUUCAGCUUUCAAUCAAUACCAAUGUACCUUGGAUAAGUCCACAGCUUGGAGAGCAACCCUCCUUCCGAAUCACUAUCACUAUCCGAAGAGGAUGUCAUUGACAAAGAAUCAUCCAAUAUAUAUUCAACAAUCUGGAAACAAAGAAUAUGUCAACAACAAGAAAUACCAGUUAUCAGUUAUUCUGCCAAUGCUGAGAUUCCUGCUGGACACAGCAAGGAGAAACGGAAAAUACCACGAAUACGAAAAUCACCUGCUGAGGUGAUACAGGCUUAAUCUGCUGAUUUUCAGACUUCACUCCAGGGUGUCUUUUCGGACAUUUCAUGUUACUGAGCCAAACUAUCGUGUGGCAAACUCCACAAUAUCCCCUAUUAGAUGUGAAUCGUUUUGCCCGCUUGCCUGAAAUCCAGUCAGAUAAUCGUUAUAUUAGUUAGCAAUAUUUUCUUUCUUUUUUGUUUGGUUUUGACAAAAUAGUUAGUCCAAACGAGAUUAGACGGUAAAUACUGGUUUUUCCAAUGUUUUGCUACUUGGGAAGAAUAUGCUCUCCCUUCUAAGGGACUCUCUCUACACUGAUUUUUGUUGUAUGAAUCAGCUUAUUCUGAUACUCUUUGACUAUCAAGCAAUCUUAUCUCUUCAAAGAGUCUCUGGAGCUUUGUUUUUGAAUCCAAGUUCCAUCAAACCCAUCUUUUAUUAGCCAAUGUCCUUGAUCAUUUAAGUUGAAAAAAGCAAACCAAAGCACAAAAAACACAAAAUUUCCAUAACCAGUAAAAAGGCCAAUAGAUUAUAUACUACUGAAAUCGUGUGUGCUUCAUUGACAAAAGUGCAGAAGUGCAAAAUGAACAUUUCAGCAGGGCAGAGCCUAAUGUGAACAAACCAAAAGGCAACCCAACUGUGAGCUUGCCCAGCUGCAUGGAUUCAUUUUUGCAACAUGUAUUUCACAACAAAUCCAACUGAACUAGAGAUCUUGAAAGACAAUAGAGUAGCAUACCUUUAUAUUUUCUUUUGAAGGCAUCUCUCCAGUCAACACCAGUUCUAGUGGCAAUGUCCUCUUUUAGCUUAGUUUCUUCCUUAUCUUCAACUAGUUCACCAUCCCUGCGCCCUUUCAUCUUGGAAAUAUCUUCAGAAUUACCAAAGCAAAUAGCAUAUUGCAACUGCCACAAACAGUUAUCGCUUGCUGCUGAGUUCCAUGACCUUCACAAACAUUCAAAGGUUAUUAAACCAAGAAGUUUGCAGAAAAUUGAUGAUGGGGGACGAUUUAGCAAAAUCAUAUACCAGGCAGUGCUUUUAAUCCUUAGAGGAAGCCACUAAUGGGGCAUGGCAUGGUAAACUAAGACAUGUCAAGAACUUACAACUCAUCUUUAAUUUUGUGAAUGGUAAAGGAAGAAAAGAUUACCAGCAGGCUAACCCAACAGAAAGUAGGGAUUGCAUAUCCAGGAAACUGAAGAUAUGCACAAGAACAUCUUGAGGCAGAUGGGCCAAACCUGAAAAUACGGAAAAAUAUCAAGACGGUCCAUGUGUGGCAGAAAUAGAAUCAGUACACAUAAGUUUAGGACUGCAACUUAAGCGAGUUGGGUUGGGUUGGUAGCUUACCCAAGCACAACCAAAUUAAGACAUAAUCAAUCCAAGCCAUUUCUUAACUUAAAUAUUACCUUCUUCUUCCUGUCGAGCUUUAGAGCGCCUUUUACAAGCAACCUUUGCAUGCUUAAAUUCUGUAACUGCCUGAGUUCUCUUCUGCUUUGGCAACACGGCCUCUGCACUCUGCAGGAGGAGAUUAGCUGCUGAAACAGCACUCUGUGUCUGCAUUCUAGGAUUGAAACAACCAUUAAACAAUUAAUAAAAUUUUAUCCAACAUAGAGAUAGUUAAUAAGUCCAAGCACUUGAGCCAUGCCCCACAUGUGCAUGCCAUUACUGGGCUUGAAACCAACUUUUACUAUUAGUUUUAGCUUAAACAGGAUAACUAAGUAAAAUCCUUAGUACUUUUAUAUGCCUAUGAAAUUGGUUUACACUGAAUAGAAAUCUUUUAAAUUCUCGUGGUUUAAACAAAUCCAUGGUCCUUAAAAACAGAGGUAUGUUUUCAGGAGACAUAGUGAUAAAUACUUAUAUAGACAUAUUCAAAUAUAUAUGCAUGCAUAUACUAAACUAUUCGGUCCACAAAUUGGGACAUCUAGAUCAUCGAUUUUAACCACUAAUAAUAUCUAUAUACACAUAGAAAUUCUAAAUUACUUUUAAAAUCAAGGUUUUGCCACCAUCUUAAUACAUUUACCAAUGGACAUUUAUUCGCUUUGCAUGAAUUAUCACACUUCUCAUUUGGGCAUAAAAAAAGAAAAGGUCAAGCUGCAAAUUUGCUUGUUAGUGCUUAUAUGAUGAAAAAUGAAACAACUAAAUCAAUCCUGAAUUAAAUCAUUUGAGCUUCCAAAUGCAAAUUUUUUAGGCAAACUCCAUAUUCUGCUAGGAAUCAGAACUUUCAUCUCAAAGUUCCCAGACUGCCUACUCAAAAGGAAGGCUCAAGAAUUUCAGAUGGCAUAUAAAAAUUGAUUUUUCCAACAAUUCAUUAGAUUUGGCUGCUAAAUAAAAGCCCCUUCAGAAUAUAAAACCAAAUUCUCAGCAAUUUGUUGAAAGAUGGCUUAUAAGUAAACAGCCUAACAAAUAUAGAUUCAACAUAGUCAAAGGGGCUAAAUCAUAUUCAAUAAGGAUCCACUUCCGAUUACCAGAAAUCUAUAGGAAUAAAUGUAGUUUCAACCACGAAAUUCAAAAUUAAUUCUCAAUUCACCCCUUGCAGCUAUUACAAAACCCAGAGAACCACAAUUCAAAAAAGGAUAAAAAUUAAAAAAUUUUAAAAAAAAUGUUUAGAACUAUGAACAGAACAAUAUGAAACAUGAAAAAUCAAAACCAAUUUUGAAUCCACAAUCUGGGACCAUCACAAAAUCCGCAAUCACAAACUGGGUAUCAAAACCCACACAACGAACAAUUUGAAAACAAAAUCAAUAACUGGGUACUGAAAUAUAAAAAAAUUUCGGCAUCACAAAACCCAGAAGCACGAACCGGGUACUGAUUGAAAUUCACCUAAUAAGCAAUACCAAAAAAGAAAUAUGGGAAAAUUGGAUACAUACUGGGGAAGGAGACGAAAAGCUGCGAGGGUAUCUUGGAAGACGAGAGACUGGAGAUUUUUGGGGAGUUUAUUAUAAGCGCCUCUGAGAAUGAAGCUCAACUCUUUGCAGACGAACGGAUAUUGAUAGAUUCGAGGGAGGGAGUCUCUCAGACCGAGUUUUUGGUAUCUCUCCAAUGGGGUACUCAUCUUCUUUCAUGAAAUUCUGAAAACAAUACCGCUACUCCAUUGCUGGGAUCAACAAGAAAAAACCCGCAAGCAGAGGAAAACACCCACUUUUUUUUUCCCCUGUUCUUUUCUUUUCUUUCCCGUCCUGCUUAAAAAGGAAAAUGAUUUUGAGGGUGGUGAAGAAAAUUUGCAAACUCCGAAAAAUUUUCCUCAAUGAGAUUAGGGGCGCAGGUCGGAUCCAAGGUGCUUUACCUCAAGUGCGAUCCAACUUUGAUUCUUCAAGCUUGGGUUGAGUUUGAAUUAUACUCGAAUUUAUACAUUUAUAAAUUUAAAUUCUAAAUUUAGAAACCUUAUGCAUUUAUUUAAGAAGCCCUACAUAAAUUUUUUCCCUUCUUUCUAUAAUUCCAUGAACCUCAUACAAUCUAAUUUACAUUGACACUAUUUUUGAAAAUUAAUUUUUAAAACAGUUUUCUUUUUUUAAAAAUAAAAUAUAAGUGUAAAUGUUUUUAAAAAUAGUUUUUUUUUUCAAAAUAAAAAAAUAAGAAAACACAUUGAUGAUAAAAAAAAAAUUGUUUUCUGUUUCCUAUUCUUAAAAAUAAAAAAUACAUUAUUUUUAUAACAUUUUUUAAUUAUUUUUACUUAUUUUCAUUUGUUUUCUAAAACUAUUUUUAAAAACUAAUUAUACAAAUAUAUAAAAUAAUUAAAAAUAAAAUAUAUAUUAAAAAUAUUAAAAUUAAGUUAAAAAUAUUUCAAGUUUCCAAACAAAUAUUUUAUAAAAUAUUAAAGGAUAAUUUCAAAACUGUUUUUGAAAAUAGUUACUAAAGACGAAGGUGUUUUCAGAUAACACUUUUAGUUUUUUUUAGUUUUUUUCAUUUGAUUUUUUAAUAAUUAUACAACUUUAAAAAAAUUAAUUCAUGUUUAAAAAUAUAAAAUACUUUUUUAAAACAUUUCAAGUUCCAAAAACAAUUUUCUGACAACAUUUUUCAAAGGCCUUAAUUUCCAUCACUAUCUGCAAAUGGUUGGGGAUCUCCAAGUAGCACACAUUUACAUAAACAUUACUAACAAAUAACCAGAAACUGGUGGCAGUUUGUGUUGUAUUCUGUAGAAUGGCUUCUUAAUAAAUACUGACAACUGCCUUCUAAGAAUGAUAUACUAAAGCCAAAGGGAACCAAUAUGAAGGAUAAACUAAACCAACCCCAUUCAAGCUUCUCAGGGUUUUCCAGAUUUCUUUGUCCAUCUCACUCUACAGCUUUCAAUUCAAUGUUGCAUGCCCAUAACCAGCUGGUUUCAGGUGAAGGGCUUUCUGGCUUCCCAAACUCUCGUUCCUCCUCACAGAGAAUAGUAUUGCUGCUGCUGAUGUGUGUAUAGGAUGUGGCCUAUAGGAAGUAGGUCAGUUGUUUCUUCCUCCUUGAACCGCCAUCUCCAUACAAUUCAUUCCACUGCUUCAGCUUGUUCAUUACUGCUUCAUCAGAAGCAAAACUAGCAGCAACCUGAUUCUUUGCCUGCCUCAUGUCUUCCAUGUUUAAGGGUCUCAGAACAAUUACCUUUUCCCCUUUGGCUUCUUCUUUGGUAUCCGAAGCAUCCUCUGAGCUUUUCCCUUCAUCAGCUUUCUGCUUCUUUUUCUGUGAAAAGAAAUAUCAGAAAAAAAAGCCCUUGCUCCACCGUGGAAAACUAGUUGGAAAAAGGGAAAAGGAGGAAAAUGAUACUUGGAAGAGCUAAGAGAGUUCUUACUUUAUCCUCCUUCAAUCUCUCUUGUUGUAGUAGCUCCUUUACAGGACGAUAAGCUGCUGUCAUGCACAAAUUCUGUUUCAACGAUUAAUCCCAAGAGUCAACACAACAGCAGAUUCUUAAUCAAUUCACCAUUGAUGUCAGUAGAAGUACAAACCUUAAGAUCACUUCCAGUAUAACCUUCUGUCAUGGUUGCAAGCUCCUUAAAGUCAAGAUCCUCUGCUUUUUCUUUUGCCAAGAGAGUCUUCAAUAUCAUCUCCCUGCUCUCCACAGAUGGUAGACCAACCAUAAUUCUGUUCAUCACAGAUACCAUUAGUUUGCCUACUCGAAGCAUGGUGACACAUUCAUCUAUCUUCAAUAUAUCCUUCUCCAUACAACACGGCUUUAGUUUAAAUGCGGUAAAACGAUGAAAAUGAUGCCGAGUGUGACACAAUAUGCAAAUCUACCUGUGCUCAAACCGCCUGAUAAUCGCCUCAUCAAGGUCAAAUGGCCUGUUGGUUGCAGCAAGAACGAGGACUCGUUCACCAGCUUUUGUCAGUAGUCCAUCCCAAUGUGUCAUGAACUCAUUCUUAAUCUGUCGCAUAGCAUAAUGCUCUCCAACUUCGGUCCGCUGCCCAAGCAAACUGUCAGCCUCAUCCACAAAAAUAAUAGUUGGGGAGAUCUUUGCUGCGAGUGUGAACAGAGCUCGAACAUUCUUCUCAACUUCACCAAACCAUUUUGAAGUGACGGUGGACAUUGAGACAUUGAUGAAGCGUGCUCCAGCUUCAUUGGCAAUGGCCUUUGCCAGCAUAGUUUUUCCAUUACCAGGAGGUCCGAAGAGUAAUAUCCCCCUGCAAGGCUUCAGAAGCCCACCCUUGAAGAGGUCUGGCCUCUGAAGAGGGAGCAUAACCAGCUCCUGAAGAGAUUCUUUAAUGUCAUCCAAGGCACCAAUGUCCUCAAAUGCCACUCCUAUCUGAUUUGCUGGGAUAACCUCUGGCCUUAUACGCCUCUCAAAUUCAUUGUAAGGUGGAACCAACUGUAGCGAAACAAUUAAAAGAGUAAGGGAAUAUCGGAAAAUUUUCUUAGUAAAAUUUUCUUCAACAAAAAGGGGAAAACAAAUGCAAGGGAACCUCCUUACAGUAUGCACCAAAGAAAUCUACAAAAUCUGCAUCAUCUUCUCUUUACUUUGUUGUUUAACUUUCAGAAGAAAGUGGCAUUUGGGACAUGCCAAGCAUCUCAAAGAAAUCUUGUGGGUGAAUACCCACAAGAUCCAGUAGGAAACAGAAGCAGCAUACAAAUAAAACACAUUGAUACAGUUAAGACUCAAGUCAAUGUCAAGGUGAAAAACAAACCUUAGAAGAUUCAGCAUUUGUCUUUCGUGUGUCUUCCUUGAAUAUACUCAAUCCAUGGGACAAACUGUACCAGGGCCACAAUUGUAGUUAUAUAGAACUUUGUCUACAAUAAGAAGCUAAAAGACACAAGCAUGCAAGCAAUUGUAUCUACCUCUUGGAAGAUAUGACAAGCUUUCCAUUUCGGUAUUCUGGAUUUUUGUUAUGCAUCAAAUGAUAAGAUAGUGCAGAUAUUACAAUCUCUUCUAUGUGGUCACUUAGAAUCAUGGAGUCUGCAUGGCAGAUUGAACCCAAAUUAUCACAGCCAAUAUCAUUUGCUGCAAGCACCUCAGCAAUAUGAUUUUUGUUUUCCUGAAACUGGAUCAUCUCUCUCUCCUUUUCCAGUUGGGCUUCCCAGAUAUCAAGACAAGUCUCAUCCUCGGGCUCCUUGAUUUCAAUAUUGUAAGGGAAUAAGAGACUCACCCUUUCAUCCAUUUCUUCGUCCUCGUCAUCAGGGUCUAGCAUGCGGGAACCAAGUAUCAGAACUGAUCCUGAUAAUCUACCCAACAUUUUCUGGAACAAUUUGUAUAAUCUUUCUGAUUGGAGAAGAAGCUUCUCGACAUCCCUGAGGUAUAAAAUAAUGGGACAUGUUUCUGAUACUGAAUCCAAGACCUGUUAGUAAUAUAACACAUCAUCAAAACAAGAUCAAGCAUGAAUGUGAUAGCUAGGACUCUCAGACUUAGAACAGAAAACCGAUUCCUCAUAGAUUACCUUGUAAAGUGACUGCAAAAGUUGCUUCUCAUCAAAAGCCCAGUUGCUUGUGCGCUUGAAAUGAGCUACAAAAGAAAUGAGCAGCAGUAAGAAUAACAUCUACUUCCAGAGAAGAAAUGUCAAAAAGACAGUGAUCAAAGGAAUAAGAGGGACAAAACAAAUUCUCUCGGAACAUGAAUUCAUAGCAUCCGAUGUUCUCUUCUUAGGACAAAACUAGUAACCUGAACUUGUAGUAACACGUUGAGAAGCAACAGUGUUCUUUGUAUUAGAUGGAGUAGAAGCAUUGCUACCAUGCUUUGGAGGAUUCAUACAUCUGCAAAUGUGUAUAGGUGUAGGUUUAGAAGUAAUGCAUGAGAGACUUAAUACCUAAAUAGACAAUUAACCAUUGAAGCCCAAUUGUUUGGGGCCAGUAGAACUAAUUAAGAGUACAAGUGGCCUACCAUACCUUGAUUUAAUAUGGGCACCACUGCUUUGCCUAGACAAUGUGCCUGCAUUAGAAGUCCUGACCCGAGCUAAGUUGCGGAUAAAAUAAAAUCAACAAAAAGUUAAAAAGAACAAGACAGCAAAGAAAAUCAGAAGGCGUGAGUUGAAGUUGGUUCAAAGAAUGUAAUGUCUGGAUCAACUAAGAUGGUGUAGUAUAUCAAGACUAAUGAUCAAUGCUAACAACAAAAUUAAGCAUCUUUAAGAGCAUAGUUAUUCCUCCUCUCCCUAAUAACAAAAUAUUAUGAACUCUAUGGAAAUUGUUAGGGCUUUAGCACCAAGUGUAAAAUAUUGACACGACAUACACAUUAAACUAGCUUUGGGAUCAAUUGGUCACCUAACAUGGCAUUAGAACCUUUGGUUUCCAAGAGGUUAUUAUUGUAACCACUCUUUAUUUCUCCAUUUAUUAAGCCUAUGUGCAAAACUAAAAAAGACUGCCUAGGACGUAAGAGGUAUCAUAGAUUAACCCAAAUAUAAGUUGGCAUGAAAUACAUAGUUGGCACGUUACCUAAUAGUUUAAACAUUUAGGUCAAUUGGUAGUGCCAUGAUUUAUGGAAGGUUUUGGAUCAGGUUUUGACAAUUUCAUUUGAAAACUAAUUGAUGGUCACUAGGGUAGGUCAAAUCUUUUAUGACAUUCGACAUCACAUCCUAUGGGCUUAUUCUAAGAGUCAUCAUUUAGGUGACUCAUUUUCAAGCUUAAGAGUGACAUUGUUACACCCCAACAAUCCCUCCCUCAACAUGACACUCUUGUAACUCGAAUUCAUGACCCUGACUCUGACUCUGAUAUCAAUUUUUGGAUAGAACUUUUGACUAUCUCAUCUGAAAACCAAUUAGUGGUCAAUGAAAGUAGGUCAAACCUUUGAUGAUAUUUAACAUCACACCCUAUGGGUCUAUUUUAAGAUUCAUCAUUUGGGUGUUUCAUCCUUGAACUUAAGAGUAACAUUGUUGCACCCCGAUAGAAGAUAAUAUGUUUGAACCUUGCCAAUGUUUAUUUCUUCAUUAAUUAGGCCCAAUUGCAAGCCCAAUAAAGAAUUCAGGUGACAGGGUAGUAAGGUCUUUAGCCUAAGUUUAAGUUGGCACUAGUACACGUAGUUUGCCGAAAAGCUUUAGCUUUGAGGUCAAUUGCUAGCCACAAAAAGUUAAAACACUAAAAGAAAAAUCACUAGGCACUCUACAAACCACAAGUUAUACAACUUGAUUCUUAUGAACAUUAAGGAGUUGGUAUUCUGUUGAUAGUACCUUUGGUUUCUUCUUCUUCACUCUGGAGAAGGAUUGAGAAAGAGCCAAGAAAACCAGACAUCGGCCCCAGUGUCACCUCUGAGAUGGACUUCUUGGAAGACUACAAAAAGAAAACUAAAUGAGAGCGGAAAUCUUCUUGGAUGGAAAGGCAUUUUUAUUCACCAAGAAAAGAAACAUGCUUACAGAUUCUCUUUUGGGGCUUCCAUAUUUGCUCUGCAUCUGAGAAAUGACAAUCAUAGCAGCAAGAUUUAGCGAUAUAUACAGUAUGAAAAGCUAAAUUUAAGGAAGAUUGAGUCUCUACAUAUUAAUUUCACCUUCAGAGAAAAGUCAUUAAGGUCCAACAGCAGCAACUUUGCUUGGAAGAAAUGAGCUAGAGCUUUGGCGAGUGUUUGCUGGUACAGUUCUGCAAAGGCAACCAAGUUAAUUAGGCCAUUGAAAGGACUCAGAACCAUAGUUAAAUAUCCAAAUGCAGGGUCAGAUCACAUAGUCCAGACGGCAUACCAGCAGGUCCUGAGAGCAAAAUAGCUCUGCUUGCAGGCGUAAGGUUUCGGGUGUGCUUAGAAAAGUCAGACUGCCUUAGAUGGAAAUGUGCAGCACUUGUCAGUAACACUCUUGUCUGCUUACUGUCAUGGCCAUUGACAACUACAUUAGUUUGUGUAAAUAUCAAUAUUACAUAUGGAAGUAAUAAAUCAUUACGCACCUGAGGAAAUAAGGAAACUUGUCGAAGGUGAUCUUGCUUUCCCUUCCAUCCAUGACCUGUCGCCGUAGCUCAUGCUCAAUCUGCUCUUCUGUAAUUGCGUCCGGCCAGAGUUUCAGCCCCGUCCAUCGACACACUGUCUGUCCAGAAGCCAAACCAAGGCCAACCGAGACGCCCACCCCAACGAUCAAGGCAGACAACAAUAUGUGCUUCUGUUCCAUCACUUGAGGCCUCCACCAGGAAACUAUGCGCGCGGCUCCUCCAUCCAACCUUAACACACAAACAAACAGAAAACAAACAACAGUCGUGUAUACUCUUGCCCACUGAUCACACUAAAACAAGCAUACAACACAAACCCAUCAACCAAAGGCCUGUUAUCCAAUCAGAAAAUGAUUUCUUUCCUGAAAAACUUCAUCCCCAACACAUUUGUUUUCACACCAGAUAAGUGGCAUACUAUUACAACUCAACACACCCACCCUAGAAACAUGACCUCACAGACAUUCAUAAUUUCAUAUAUACCAAGAAGAAUUGAGACUCAACAAAAGACCCACCAACAAGCACGUUGAUGAAGAAACUUCUCACUAGAAAAGUGUAGAGGUUUGGACACAGAAAUGUAUGAAUCUCUGUUUGGACAGGUUUAUAACUGCGAAUGUGGCUGUGUUCUUUGUUCUUCCGGGGCUACUUAUAUAUAUAUUUUUUCAUUUUUGUUUUUUAGCAUGGUUUUGAAAGUGGGACAGAUCGGAUUAAGCGCCCUUUUCCCCUCUCCUGCAUGUCAGUGCACUCCUCCCAACGUUUGAAACUGCCAUUUUUUAUUUUAGGACAUGAUUUGUAAUAGUAAAUUUAGACUCUACUGAAAAUUUAAGCCAUGCCGACAUCAAAUAUUUGUAUAUAUGCCGACAUCAAAUAUUAAUAUAUGGAUAGAUAGUGUUGGUGUGAUCUUGUAAGUGCGGUUGGGCAGUGACCAGGUCGACACCGAAAUACAUGACGAGUGGAUAGCGUUAGGAUGUGUUUGAUUGCACGAAAGAACCAAAGAUCUUAAGUGCAUAUCAUUUUAGGAAAAAUUAAAAUACGAAUGACGACAAACCAUAACACAUCAAAGAAUUCAAAAUUCUAACCAUAGUAAGCUUUGAUUUAAGUAAUUUUUUUAGUUUUAGUCUCCUCUCUAGUGGGUAUUCUAACACGAUAAUGAAUGACAAAUGGAAAAUCCUCUCAAACAAUACUUUUGCCCUAUGCUUGAUUUUUGGAAAAUAGAAAAAAAAAAAAUUAAUUAUUUUUUACAUUUUUUUUAAUUUAGUUUAUUUAUUUUUCUUUUUUAUAUUAAAAUUAUAUAAUUUUAAAUUUUUAACUAAUUUUAAUUAUAUUUUAUUUUAUUUUUAUAUUUCACUGGAUAAAUCAAAUUUAAGAAUAUUAUUAUUAUUUUUCACACCAAAUGUAAUCUGAAUCAUUUGAUUUCAUAAUUGUAUCAUUUUUAUGGUGAAAAUAAUAGUUGUUCUAAUUUUUUAAACCCCCAACUCUCAUCUCUAGUGCAUUGAGAAUCACUUCUAAAAAUUUAAAUUGAGAGAAUCAUUUGAAAUGAUUCAUUUAGAAAAAAAGGAACAAAAGCCAUUGCUCCCCGGAGCCACUCACACCCCUCCGUAGGCCCACAGUCUGUCCAGAAGCAUACCGAAGCCCAAUCGAAACACCCACCACGCUCAACGCAGACAACAAAAAGUGCUUCGGUCCCAUCUCCCUUUAGGCCUCCACCAACAAACUACACACAAACAAACAGAAAAACGAAGCUCAAUCCCAAGAACCAAACACACAAACAAGCAGUGUUGAUGGCAGAAUGUGAUUGAAAACUCAGAGAAAUUUGGAAAAUACUGAGAAGGGUCUUCUGGGGUUCGAAUUUAGAGCCUACCCUUUUCGUAUGGUACGAGUUUGGACGCAGAAAUGGCAUCAAUCUCUGCCUCCUUCGCUCUUUCUUCUCUCACUUCUCUGUUCUUCGAGGGCUACUUAUAACGGUGCAUUGUUUUGUUUUGUUCUGCUUUGCUACUUUGUUUUGUUUUAUUAUUAUUAAGAUAUAUUUAAAAAUAUAGAAUGCAGUGUGGGGACAUUCCAAGCUCCAACUACGCUUGGAAAAAACUAUUUUUGAAAACAUUUUCCAAACAACCUCUCACUUUCUGCAAAUCCAUUGGCAUCUCCAAGUAGCAAACAUUUACAAAAACAUUACUAACAAAUACCCAGAAACUGGUGGCAGUUUGUUUAUAUUUUCUAGAAUGGCCUGUUAAUAAAUACUGACAACUCCCCUCUAAGAAUGAUAUACACAAGCAAAGGAACCAAUAUGAAGGAUUAUUCAAGCUUCUCUGGGUUGUCCAGAUUUCCUUGCCCAUCUCACUCUACAGCUUUCAAUUCAAUGUUGCAUGCCCAUAUCUAGCUGGUUUCAGGUGAAGGGCUUUCUGGCUUCCCAAACUUCCUAUAAGAUGUGCCCUAUAGAAAGUAGGUCAGCUGUUCCUUCUUCCUUGAGCCGCCUUCUCCAUACAAUUCAUUCCACUGCUUCAGCUUGUUCAUUGCCGCUCCAUCAGAAGCAAAACUAGCAGCAACCUGAUUCUUUGCCUGCCUCAUGUCUUCCAUGUUUAAGGGUCUCAGAACAAUUACCCUUUCCCCUUUGGCUUCUUCUCUGGUAUCCGAAGCAUCCUCUGAGCUUUUUCCUUCAUCAGCUUUCUGCUUCUUUUUCUGUGAAAAGAAAAAUCAGAAAAAACACCAUUGAUCUACUGUGGAAAACUUGUUGGAAAAAGCGAGAAGGAAGAAAACGAUACUUGGAAGAGUUAAGAGAGUUCUUACUUUAUCCUUCUUCAUUCUCUCUUGUUGUGCUAGCUCCCUUACAGGACGAUAAGCUGCUGCCAUGCACAAGUUCUGUUUCAAUUGUUAAUCCCAAGAGUCAACACAGCUGAUUCUUAAUCAAUUCAUCAUUGCCAUCAGAAGUACAAACCUUAAGAUCACUUCCAGUAUAACCUUCUGUCAUGGUUGCAAGCUCCUUAAAGUCAAGAUCCUCGGCUUGUUCUUUAGCCAAGAGAGUCUUCAGGAUCAUCUCUCUGCUCUCCACAGAUGGUAGACCAACCAUAAUUCUGUUCAUCACAGAUACCAUUAGUUUGCCUACUCAAAGCAUGGUGACACAUUCAUCUAUCUUUAAUAUAUCCUUCUCCAUAGCUUCAGAGUAAAACGAUGAAAAUGAUGCUGAGUGUAACACAAUAUGCAAAUCUACCUGUGGUCAAACCGCCUGAUAAUCGCCUCAUCAAGGUCAAAUGGCCUGUUGGUUGCAGCAAGAACGAGGACUCGUUCACCAGCUUUUGUCAGUAGUCCAUCCCAAUGUGUCAUGAAUUCAUUCUUAAUCUUUCGCAUACUACAAUCCUCUCCAAAUUCAAGUCGCUGCCCAAGCAUGCUAUCAACCUCAUCCACAAAAAUAAUAGUUGGGGAGAUCUUUGCCGCAAGUGUGAACAGAGCUCGAACAUUCUUCUCAUCUUCACCAAACCAUUUUGAAGUGAUGGUGGACAUUGAGACAUUGAUGAAGCUUGCUCCAGCUUCAUUGGCCAUAGCCUUUGCCAGCAUCGUUUUUCCAGUACCAGGAGGCCCGAAGAGUAGUAUCCCCCUGCAAGGCUUAAGAAGCCCACCCUUGAAGAUCUCUGGUCUUUGAAGAGGGAACAUGACCAACUCCUCCAGUGAUUCUUUAAUGUCAUCCAAGGCACCGAUGUCAUCAAAUGUCACUCCUAUCCGAUUUGGUGGGAUAACCUCUGGCCUUAUACGACUCUCAAAUUCAUUGCAACGUGGAAAUACCUACAGGGAAACAAUAAGAACCACAGCAAUUAGAAGAGUAAGGUCAUGUUUGGUUCCAGAAAAUACUAAAGGAAUAAAAAAAAAUGCUAAAAAAAAUUAUUUUCUCAUGUUUGGUUUAAUUUUAGAAAUAUGAAAGAAAAUCAAAUAUAAUUAAAAUUAGUACAAAAUUUAUAUAUUUUUAAAUUAUUUAAUCUUUAUAUAAAAGAACUAAAUAAGUUAAAUGACUUUGAAGCAAGAUAUGAAAAUAAUUUACUGACUUUAAAUUUAUUUUUUAUUUUUCUUCACUUUUUCUUUCCUUUACUUUUCCUCUCUAUUUUUGUUCCCUCACAUUUUCACUCAAACUUUCCAAAAACCAAACACAGCCUUAGGGAAUUGGAAAAUUUUCUUGGUAAAAUUUUCUUUCACCAAAAAGGAAAAACAAAUGCAAGGGAACCUCUUUACAGUAUGCAACAGAGAAAUCUAAAAAAUUGGCAUCAUCUUCUGUUUAACUUUGUUGUUAAACUUUCAGAACAGAGUGACAGACUAAGAAUCUCAAUUGCAUUAAAAUUCAAAGCAUCCACCCACAAGAUUCAAUAGAAAACAGAAGCACACCAAUAAGCACAUUGUUGCUGUUAAGGGUCAAUAUCAUUCACACUAUGCUCAGAUUGUUGAAUGGUAGAAUGUUGAGAUGUAGAACGAACCUUAGAUUCAGCAUUUGGUGCGUCUUCCUGGAAUAAACUCAAUCCAUGAGACAAACUGUACCAGGGCCACAAGAAUAUUUAUAUGGAACUUUGUUUCAAAUAAAAAUAAAUAAAUAAGCAAAGAAGACACAAGCAUAGAAACAAUUGUAUCUACCUCUUAGAAGAUAUGACAAGCUUUCCGUUUCGGUAUUCUGGAUCUUUGUUAUUCAACAAAUGAUAAGAUAUUGCAGAUAUUACAAUCUCUUCUGUGUAAUCACUUAGAAUUUCAGGGUCUGCAUAGCAGAUUGAACCCAAAUCAUCACAGUCAAGAUCAUUUGCUGCAAGCACCUUAGCCAUAUAAUUUUUGUUGUCCUGAAACUGGAUCACCUUUGUCUCCUCUUUCAGUUGGGCUUCCCAUCUAUCAAGAUGAGUCUCAUCCUCAGGUUUCUCGAUUUCAAUAUUGCAAGGGAAUAAAAGACUCACCCUUUCAUCCAUUUCAUUAUCCUCAUCAUCAGGGUCUAACAUGCGGGAACCAAGUAUCAGAACUGAUCCCGAUAAUUUGUCCAACAUUUUCCGGAACAAUUUGUAAAAUCUAUCUGAUUGCAGAAGAAGCUUGUCAACAUCCCUGAUGUAUAAAAUCAUGGAACAUGUUUCCGAUACUGAAACCAAGACCUGUUAGUAAUAUAACACAUCUGCCUGUCAGUAACUAAAAUAAGCAAUAUUUGUCACUCUCAAUCAUGAUAAAGCAUCAUCAGAACGAGAUCAUACAUGAAUCUGAUAAGACUAUCAGAUUUAGAACAGAAAACUUAUUCUUAGAUUACCUUGUAAAGCGACUGCAAAAGAUGUUUCUCAUCAAAAGCCCAGCUGCUUGUGCACUUGAUAUGAGCUACAAAAGAAAUGAGCAGCAGUAAGACUAACAUCUAGUUCCAGUAAUUUUUUUAAACAAACAGACUUAAAACUAUAAAUACACAACAGAAAAAAAUAAAGAAAUAAACUGUAUGAAAUGUAAAACAGACGACAUUCAAAGGAGUAAGAGGGACAAAAUAAAUUUUCCUGGAACAAAAGUUCAUAGCAUUGGAUGUGCUGUACCUAGGACAAAUCAUAUUCAUUUAUUUGGUGAAAAAUAAUGUAUAUAAUGGAUGCUCAAUAGUUGGGAUUGGAUAUGUUCAUGAGGUUGAGGUGGUUCAGGGAUAAUCUCCCUGAUAGGAUCCAUCCAAUGUGGAAUUCUUAUAGAUCUGUGUCAUUGAAUGACAGUGAUGCAGAUGAAACCAAGAGUAUUCCAAUUUAGUUCUAAGACCUAACCUGAACUUGUAGUAGUACAUUGGGAGGAAUGGUGCUCGCAUUAGAUGAAGUAGAAGCACUACCACAAUGUUGUGGAGGAUCCAUACUUCUGCAAAUGCAUAUAGCUACAGGUUUAGAAAUGAUACAUGGAACUCAAUACCUAAAUAGAUGACCAUUGAAUCCCAAUUAUUUAGGGGCCGGCAGAAUUAAGAGUGUAAGUGGUCUACCAUACUUUGACUUAAUAUUGGCACCAGUGCUUUGCCUAGAUAAUGUGUCUGUAUUAGAAGUUGGGAUCAAAGCUAAGUUGUGGAGAAAUUAGAAUCGACAAGAAGUAAAAAGAACAAGACAGCAAAGGAAAUCAAAAGGCAUGAGUUGAAGUUCAUUAAAAGAAUGUAAUGUGUGGUUCAAAUAAAAAGGUGUAGUAUAUCAAGACUAAUGAUCAGUGCUAACUACAAAAGCAUCUUUAAAACCAUAGUUAUUCCUCCUCUGUCUAUUAUGAGUUAUAUGGACAUUGUUAGGACUUUAGCUUAAGCGUAAGUUGGCAUAACAUACAUAGUUGUACCACUUUAACUGAGCUUGUAUCAAAAUUAGAGUUUUAAAUAUUAGGAGCUGCAAUUCUAUUAAUACCUUUGGUUUCUUCUCUUUGGGGAAGGAUUGAGAAAGAGCCAAGAAACCCAGAGAUUUGCUUCAAUGUCGUCUCUGGGAUGGACUUCUUGGAAGACUACAAAAAGAAGCUACCCGUUCAGGAAAUACUCCACUUAGAAAACGCAGGGCAAGUUAAACAUGAAGUGCUGAAAUGAAUAAUAUUUAGUUCACAACAAAGAAUGAUGAUUGCAAUGUUUCAUGGUUAACCUUGAUCAACCCUACUAAAUCAGAAUGCAAGGAUUCAUGGAUGGAAAGGCACUUUCAUUUUCAGCAAACAAAGAAAUGCAUUUUCAUCAUCAGAAUAAUUCAGCGAAGGCUUACAUAUUCUUUUCUGGGACAACCAUAUUUGCUCUGCAUCUGAGAAAUGCCAAUCAUAGUGAGAUUUAGUGAUGUAGUAUCAAAAGCUAAAUUUGAGGAAGAUUGAGUUAGUGCAUAUUUCACCUUUAGAGAAAAGUCAUUAACAUCCAACAGCAGCAACUUUGCUUCAAAGAAUUGUGCUAAAGCUUUGGCGAGUGCUCGCUGAUAAAGUUCUUCAGAAGAUAAACAAGAAUAAAAAUGAAGCAAAAGGCAACCAAAUUGGGCCAAUUAAAAGGACUAAGAAACAUAAAUAUCCAUAUCAGAUCACAUAUUCCAGACAACAUACCAGCAGGUCCUGAGAGCAAAAUAGCCCUGCCUGCAGGCAUAAGUUUCUGGGUGUGCUUAGAAAAGUCAGAGAGCCUUAGAUGAACAUGUGCAGCACUUGUCAGUAAUCCUCGUGUCUGCUUACUGUUGUAGCCAUUGAUAGAAAGGAACAACAUUAAAAUAAAUAUAAAAAGAGAUCACAUUGUAAUGAAUAUGCUUAGAAUUAUAGUGUCUAUGUAAACUAGAACAAUAUGAGAGUGCUCUAUAGCUACUUCAGAAUAUGCACCAUCAACAUUUAUUUUGUGUUUCAAAAUAACAGUGAUCUUAUGCCAUUUAACAAGAAAACUCAAAUCACCCCAAAUUGCAUCCUAGUCUGAACUUUUUCGUUAGGUAAGGGACCUUCAGACAAAGUCUUAAACAUAUGUACCUCAACAAAGGGACCCUUAAUCCCCAAAUAACUACUCUUCUCUUUAAUCCAUUAAAUCUAAAUAAUGAAGCUCAGUACCCAAACUGAAAAAUCACAGUUUGAUUGCAGAGGCAAAUGCAAUAGCUAAUUGGUGAGAAGGAAAAUCAAACAGAAAAUUUCCAUAUUCACUAUACAAUUGAGUGACACAAACCAGCAAUAUGAAACAAACAAAAAAAAAAAAAAAAAAAAAAAAAAAAAAAACAAAAAAACAAAAAAACAAAAACAAAACAAAAAGAAAUAUAAAUAUGGGGGAAAAAAAUGAAACCCCCAUCAAUUAGAAUCCCCAAAAGAAGAUUAUUAAAGGAAUUUCAAAAGGGUAUAGAAGAACCAGUACUGUGAUAGCAGUACAUAGUGACAGAAGCAGCAUAUGCAGCAUACAAUUUUCUCUAAUACAACCUUUCAUAUAGACGUAAGAACAAACAAUACAUAUGCAAGUAAUGAAUCAUUACCUGAGGAUAUAAGGAAACUCCUCAAAUGUGAUCUUGCUUUCCUUUCCAUCCACAACCUGUCCCCGUAGCUCAUGCUCAAGCUGCGCUUCUGUAAUUGCGCCCGCCGAGCAGUUCAGCAGCCCGGUCCAUCGGCUCAUUGUCUGUCCAGAGGCCAAAGUAAGGCCAACCGAAACACCGAUCCCGAGGCUCAGAGCAGACAGCAAGAUUUGCUUCUGUUCCAUUACUUCAGGCCUUCCCCAACCUCAAAUUCUCUCCCAAAAAAGACUAUACCCUCCUCUAUCCAACCUUAGCAGACAAAACAAACAGAAAACAAAGCUCAAUUCUAAGAAGCAAUUAAACAAACAACACUUGUUUCUACUCUUUCCCACUAAUCACACUUCUUCAAUACUCAAUCCACAUGGAAAAUACCAGAGGAAAAAAAAAAAAAAACAAUUCAAACCCAUCACCCAAAUUCCUCUUUAUAAUAAUAAAAAAAAAUGAUUGUUCUGUGGAAAACUUCAACCUCACCACAUCUGUGUUCACACCAGAUAAAUGGCAUGGUAGUACCACUCAACACACCCACGUGAGAAACAGGAACCCAGAGGGUUUCACACCAAGAUAAAAUGGAAUCAAUGAUGAUUGAAACAAAACAAAAGACCACCAAAAUGUACGUUGGAGAAAAAACUUCACUCUAGGACAGGGUAAUACUAUGAGCAGUGUUGAUGGCAGAAUAUGUUUGAAAAUCCAGAGAAAUUUUUGGCAGAGACUGAGAAGUACUUUUGGGAUUGGAAUUUUCAGCCUACCCUUCCAGUAUGGUAGAGGUUUGAACACAGGAAUGCAUGAAUCUCUGAUUGGCACGCCAUUGGUGUACCAGUUUGGACAGGUGUGUAACUAGGGAAUGGUUUUCCUUCUUUUUUUAUAAUUUUAUUAUAUAUAUAUAUAUAUAUAUAUAUAUAUAUUUUAAUAGGUGUCAUAUUAUGUUUGGGCUGACUUGUGGUGGGUUGCCGUUGACGCCGAAGUCGAUCGAGUCCAUUGCUUUGGCCUUUUUUGCUUUAUUGGUUAUUAAUUAUUAUAAUAGUAUUAUUAUAGAGCAGGUAUAGGGCUAAAGUUAUGCACAUGGUCAAGGUUUGAAAUUCCGGAAAAUUUCGUCAAAAUAUCGGAUAUUGGUCAAUCCCGAAGCGAAAUAUCGGUCAAAUUAUAAAAUUGGGGUGGUUUUUAAAAUUCUGAAUUGGGCUUCCAUGGACCGGCCCAAAGGAUGGCCUCCAUGCGCACUCACCACAGCCCAGCCCGGUAGGCAUUGAACCCUUGAUUCCACGCAUGAAAUGAAAGGCCCCACCAUUAAGCCAACCUUGCUUAGGGUGUACGCAUCACGAACCACCGUUAUAUCUAAGAUUUAUAAAUGUAAUUAUAUUAUAAAUUAAUUAGAAUAAAAUUAUUGUAAAUAAAUUAUUUCAAAUAUAAUGUAUUUUAUAUAAUAAUUAAAUUCAAAAUAAAUAUAAUUCUAUAAAUAAAAUUAUCAAUGUUUUAAAAUAAAAAAUAACUAUACAUAUAUUAUCAUUUAUUUUAUGUCAUUGAAUACAUCUUAUAAAUGUACAUUUAAAUUUUUGAAUAUUAUUAUUGGUUAUCAUAAAUUAUAUCUUACAUAUAUUAUUUAUUUUUAAUAAAACAACUUUAAAAUUGUUGGGUUUUAAGGGUAUAGAAACAAAUGACUAGCCCAAAAAGACACAAACAAAUAACAAAAUUAAUAAGAAUAAAAAUUUAUCGACUGAGAUAUAACAAACACUAUCCUUAAAAUAGAUCUACCCUCUUCGAAUACGAACUUGGUGCACUAGGGUACCAAUGGUCUACCUCUAAGAUUCAACAGUCAAAUCUUGUAUUGGGUGCACUUUGUAAGCUUGGUUCUCAAAAAAAUUUUCCAAAUAGAUGUAUGAAAAACUCUCUAAAAAAUUCUCUGAAAAUUUUCUAUUCAUAUAUAAAGAGUGAGGGGUAACCUGCUUUUAUAGGCCACUAACACAAUCUUAAUGAAAAUCUACUUGUAAUCAAAACAAGACUCAAAGUGGAAGGGGAUUCUACUUCUAAAAAGAAUAAGACUCCACUAAAAAUAAUUCCCAAAAGGACUCUUCCCAAAAAUAUAAAACUAAUAGAAUAAAAUAAAAUAAAAAUAAAAAUUAUUUACACUCUUCCUACAAUCCUCCACAGAGUGUAAACGUAAUUUUUUAUUUUUUAUUUUUGAGGAAAAAAAAUUCCAAUGCAUCAAUAUUGGUAUCCAAAGGAUAUGAACCAAUCUUAAGACAAAUAAGUAUUGAGUCACAAAACACAGUGAAAAUAAAUUUCUAUAUAACCAGUGUUUCUUGAUGUAACUCAAGGGACUUUUAUCCACAUUAGUUUUCUCAACUACACUACGAGUUAUAUACAAAACGGGUUGGCACAAAUAGGUCAUGCACCUUGCCUGGAUAUUCAUGAGAGCUCUAGAGAACCUACCUAAGUUCUCAUUGGAAGCGACCCCACCUCCAUUCUCAUAUAGGUGAAUCCAUUAAGUAUGUUCUGCAUUUAAACAUACCAUCCAUAAGGAAUAUGGUAUUCAUUAAGAGUAAACACUCAACCUUAAUCAAUGCAGAAUACGCUCUAUCUACACCAUAAGGAUAAACUCUCAUACAAUUAGAGUUGAUAGAGCACAUCAAGUCAACAAGUGAUUUGUUAAUACCCAUAUGAACCUACUUCAUGGAAUUUCCAUUAUAAUAGGUUGGGUUACAACCACUCUUGACUUCUGUAAUAGGCAUAAGCCACAUCCCCCUCGAUGUUUCUUCCACUAGUUUCUUAUUUAGUGGUUUGGUCAAAUGAUCGACCAAAUUCAACUAUGACCUCACAAAUUCUAGGGAUAUAACCCUUGUUUCAAGCAACUACUGCACAAUAUUGUACCUUAGGCGUAUAUACAUGUUCUUCCCAUUAGAUAUUUUACUCUUAGCCUUAACAAUUGCAGCUUGGCUAUCACAACGCAUAGACACAGACGGAGCUGGUCUCGUCCAUCAAGGGAUAUCUACUAAGAGGUUUCUAAGCCACUCAACCUCAGAACUUGUCUUUUCUAAGGCAAUAAACUCAGCCUCCAUGGCAGACUAAGUAAUGCAAGUUUGCUUGACAGACUUCCAAGAAACUGCACUUCCACCAAGGAUAAAAACAUAUCCAUUAGCGGAUUUCAUCUCAGCUGAAUCCGAGAUCCAAUUUGCAUCUCUAAAUCCUUCAAGGACACUUCGAAAUCCACUAAAGCACAAACCAUAGUUAAUGGUGCCUCUCAAAUACUUAAGAACUUUAUGAACAACAGUCUAAUAGUUCUAAUUAGGAUUUUGGGUGUACCGACUCAAUGUACCUAUUGCAUAAGCAAUGUCAGGUUUGGUACAGUUCAUUAAGUACAUUAGGCUCCUUAUGAUUCGAGCAUACUCUAUUUAAGCAAUACUAUGUUCUAUAUUUUUCUUCAACUGUAAGCUAGGAUCAUAAGGAGUUGACACUGGUUUACAAUCAAAGUGUUCAAGCUUUCUUAGGAUCGAUAUUUUCAACAUAGUGCUCUUGAGAAAGUUUAAGCUCAUUAGGUGUUCUAGUUAUUUUAAUUCCUAGAAUCACCUCUGCCUCUCCUAGGUCUUUCAUAUCAAACUUAGAACCUAGGAAUUUCUUGGUCUCACACACAACCUUUAGGCUAGUUCCAAAUAUCAACAUCUCAUCAACAUAAAGGCAAAUGACUACACAUGUGUUAUUCUCAUACUUGCUAUAGAUACACUUGCCAGCAUCAUUAAUGGAAUAUCCAUUAGUUACUAACACAUGAUCAAACUUGUUGUGCCAAUAUUUGGGAGCUUGUUUUAACCCUUCCACAACUCAUAAGGAGUUUUACCAGUUUUUUUUGUAAGGUACUCUAUUUUAAAUAUGACAUGCGGAUAGGAUAGCCUCCCCCCCCCCCCCCCCCACAAGUUCAAGGGUGCUCUUAAACUUACCAACAUUGUAGAGAAAACCCUUUCCUACCAUCUCUUAAAGAAUGUCCCAUUAAAGGAAUCAAUUUUAGAGGUGUCAAGACGGGUGUGAACUAAGAAAGCUUCCAUUUGGAUAUAUUUUAAAAUUGUUGGGUUUUAAGGGUAUGGAAACAAAUUACUUGCCCCAAAGAUACAAACAAAUAACAGAAUUAAUAAGAAGAAAAACUUUUCGGCUGAGGCGUGACAAACACUGUCCUUUAAAAAAAAUCCCCCCCCUCCAAGACGAAAUUGAUGCACUAAGGGACCAAUGGGCUACCCCCCGGAAUCAAUAAAUCAAAACUCCGAUUGGGGGCACUCUAAAAAGCUCAUUUCUCAAAAAAAUUNNNNNNNNNNNNNNNNNNNNNNNNNNNNNNNNNNNNNNNNNNNNNNNNNNNNNNNNNNNNNNNNNNNNNNNNNNNNNNNNNNNNNNNNNNNNNNNNNNNNGGUAUGGAAACAAAUUACUUGCCCAAAAGAUACAAACAAAUUACAGAAUUAAUAAGAAGAAAAACUUAUCGGCUGAGGCGUGACAAACACUGUCCUUUAAAUAGAUUCACCCUCCUCGAAGACGAACUUGAUGCACUAGGGUACCAAUGGUCUACCUCCAGGAUUCAAUAGUCAAAUCUCGUAUUGGGUGCACUCUAUAAGCUCAGUUCUCAAAAAAUUUCUCCAAUUAGAUGUAUGAAAAACUCUCUAAAAAAUUCUUUGAAAAUUUGCUAUUCAUAUAUAAAGAGUGAAGGGUGACCUACUUUUAUAGGCUAUUAACACAGUCCUAAUGAGAAUCUACUUGUAAUCAGAACAAGACUUAAAGUGGAAGGGGAUUUUACUUCUAAAAGGAAUGAGACUCCACUAAAAAUAAUUCCCAAUAAGACUCUUCCCAAAAAUAUAAGACUAAUAGAAUAAAAUUAAAUUAAAUAAAAACAAUUUCUAAUAGGACUCUUCCCAAAAAUAUAAGAUUAAUAGAAUAAAAUAAAAUAAAAAUAAAAAUUAUUUACAUUCUUCCUACAAAAAUAUCUAUUAUUACUUCUUAUAUGAUUUCUUAGAGUUUUUCUUAAUAUUUUCAUGAAUUUUGAUCAAUUUUCAUCUUAUCGUUAUUUUGUGUUAAAAUAUCUACCAAUAUUUUUCAAUAUGCCACCAAUAUUUUUCAAUAUAUCCGUAAAACAUGUUGUCGAUAUAUUCGUAAAAACCUAAUAUUUUCAUCCUUGUAUAUUACCAAAGCACUUAGAAGCAAGAAGAAAUCCCAAAUCCUAAGAUAUUUCAAAUUCUUUCAAUAUUGUUGAUGACGAGUUUGAUAAGGAAGGUGAUGUUUUUUUAAUUAUGGUUGUUAAAAAAUUUGUUGACUCUUGGAUUUUGGAUUCUUGAAGUUCCUUUUACAUGUGCCCAUAUAAGGAGUAGUUUGAUAUCUAUAAGGAAUGUGAUGCUAGUAAUAUUUGAAUGGGCAAUGAUUCAAGCUCCAAAGUCACUAGGAUUGGUUCCAUAAAAGGUGAGGAUGUUUGAUGAUGUUGUGAGGAUAUUGAGUAAUGUCAAGCACGUUUUUAAGUUGAGGAAAAGUUUAAUUUCUUUAGGGGCUUUGCACAAUUUAGGUUAUGAUUUUUAUACAAAGAACAGUAUUAUGAAGAUCAACAAAGGUACUUUGAUAGCUAUGAAAGGGAAAAGGGUGAAAAAAUUUUACGCUUUGAUCAAGAAGACAAUUUUAAGUAGAGCUAUGAAGGUAAAUCCAAGUCAUAAAGAGUCUUUUGCGAGUGUUGAAAGAAAUUGUCAAAUUAGAAGAGCACAACAAGAUGAUCAAAACUUUGUUUUUGUUAAGAGUACUCAUUGACACAAAGACGAGAGUAAUUGUAAAAGGAAUGAAGUUAUAAAGAAGAUCAAGAUGAUUUUUCGAGUCAAGUUUGAUGAGAGUUUAAACUUGACACAUGCUUGUUCUCAUUAAUAAUACAGGAUUGAGAAAAUUUGAGUCAAGUGGAGUAUAUUGGGAUUUGACUCAAAUUUAUUUAUUUUUAACUUUUAGAAAAGUCAAUAUUCAUAGAGUUUGUAUUUUGAUAAAUUACCUUUUUAAGUUUGAUUAGAAUUAGGAAACAAUUGUUUUAAGGUUAACAAGUAAGGUUCUAUAAAUAUUUGGUUUUAUUUCAGAAAUAGUAGAAAAAAUAAUGGGUAAGAAAAGUGUGAAGGGAAAUAGAUAAAAGGACGUAUUGGGCUUUAGGUAGAGAAAGGUUGUGAGAGUUUAAAAUGUGUAAUCUUGAAAGUUAUAAUAAAUUUGAUUUCUCUUUCGCAUGGACAUGAGUGCUUACACUAAACUAUGUAAAUAGUUUGUCUUUUCUAUUUUAUUUUAUUUUUUUCCAUUGUAUUUAAAUGUCGUGAUUUUUCCUAACAAGUGAUAUCAGAUCUUCUAUAUACUCAACAAAUGGCAUCAGAGCUAACACCUAUGAGAGUUCUUGGGCCGUUUUCAAUCGACACUACCUAAACUCAAACUACAGCUCCAAGUGCUAAUCAUCUUGUCUACUAGAUGAACCGGGAACGGAGCCGGCCAAAAGCAAGUCCAUAAAGACUUGAAAUUUUAAGCUAUAAUAAAAGGACUAUCUAUUCACAAACACCCCCCCACCCCUGGGGAACCAAGAUUCAAACCUUCACCCCCUCUCCCAAAUCAACUUUAAGUUAUUUAUCGAUAUCAUACCAGUACUACAAUAUGUUUGUCAUAUCAGAUGAAUAAGCAGUGAAAUAUUGCAGCAAAUGCAAAUCAUUCAAAAUGUGAAAAUCAUUUUGUAGAAUCUAACUACAGCUACUGUACCAUGAAGUUUACACUACCAAUGUACAAAUGCUACUGCAUGAAGAGAGUCCACACAGAAAUAGCCAAACCCAAUAGUAGUUUCUCUCACUUUCUGCAAAUCCAUAGGCAUCUCCAAGUACCACACAUUUACAUAAUAAUCAUUACUAAGAAACACCCAGAAACUGGUAACAGUUUGUUUGUAUGAUGGCCUAAUAAAUACCGAUAUGAAGGAUACACUAAAACACCCCUAUGCAUGCUUUUCUGGGCUGUCCAGAUUUCUUUGCCCAUCUCACUCUACAGCUUUCAAUUCAGUGUUGUAUGGCCAUAACUAGCGGGUUUUAGGUGAAUGGCUUUCUGGCUUCCCAAACUUUUUCAACCCUUCUCACAAAGAAUGGUGCUGCUGAUGCGUGUGUAUAGGAUGUGGCCUAUAGGAAGUAGGUCAGUUGUUUCUUCUUCCUUGAACCGCCUUCUCCAUACAACUCAUUCCACUGCUUCAGCUCAUUCAUUACUGCUCCCUCAGAAGCAAAACUAGAAGCAACCUGCAACCAGGUUAAAGAUAUUAGAUGCAUGUCCACGCCUGUGAAAGCCAGAAGUUUUGUGCAUUGCAUUUCAAGAAGAAAAAUGAGACUCAGAAGUAGUUACCUGAUUCUUUGCCUGCCUCAUGUCUUCCAUGUUUAAGGGUCUCAGAACAAUUUCUUUCUCCUCUUUAGCUUCUUCUUUGGCAUCCGAAGCAUCCUCUGAGCUUUGCCCUUCAUCAGCUUUCUGCUUCUUUUCCUGUAAAAAGAAAAAUCAUAAGGAAAAAAAAAAAAAGCCAUUGUGUUCUACUGUGGAAAACAUGUUGGAAAGAGGGAAAAAGGAAGAAAAGAAUACUUGGAGAAGCUAAGAAAGUUGUUACCUUAUCCUUCAUCAUUCUCUCUUGUUGUAGUAGCUCCCUAACAGGUCGAUAAGCUGCCGUCACGCACAAGUUCUGUUUCAAUAGUUAAUGCCAAGGUCAACACAGCUGAUUCUUAAUCAAUUCACCAUUGCCAUCAGUAGAAGUACAAACCUUAAGAUCACUUCCAGUAUAUCCUUCUGUCAUGGUUGCAAGCUCCUUAAAGUCAAGAUCCUCUGCUUUUUCUUUUGCCAGGAGAGUCUUCAAGAUCAUCUCCCUGCUCUCCACAGAUGGUAGACCAACCAUAAUUCUGUUCAUCAUAUAGACCAUUAGUUUGUCUGAUUGAAGCACAGUGACACGCUUAUCUACUUAAAACAUUUCUGAUAUUUUGAUUUGAUAACACAGAAGAUGAUACAGUAAAGGGAAAAGUUUCUCUUAGAAUUUGAGAUUGAUAGUCAAAGGAGAGACAUGUUUUCUAGGGAGUCAAGUGCAAGCUCAAGGGAGUAAAAGAGAAUGGGUAAAAGUGGAAAACGUCACAAAUAUUACUACAUGGAUUUACUUAAAACUAUUUGAGUUUUCAUGCUUUGAUGAAGAUCUGGCCUUUUUUGUAGUUGAAGAUUAAGGGAUGCAGUAAAACGAUGAGAAUGAUGCUGAGUGUAAUACAAUAUACAAAUCUACCUGCGCUCAAACCGCCUGAUAAUUGCCUCGUCAAGGUCAAAUGGCCUGUUGGUUGCAGCAAGAACAAGGAUUCGUUCACCAGCUUUUGUCAGUAGCCCAUCCCAAUGUGUCAUGAACUCAUUCUUAAUCUUACGCAUUGCUUCAUGCUCUCCAACUCUAGUCCGCUGCCCGAGCAUGCUAUCGACCUCAUCCACAAAAAUAAUAGUUGGGGAGACCUUUGCUGCGAGUGUGAACAGAGCUCGAACAUUCUUCUCAUCUUCACCAAACCAUUUUGAAGUGAUGGUGGACAUUGAGACAUUGAUGAAGCUUGCUCCAGCUUCAUUGGCAAUGGCCUUUGCCAGCAUGGUUUUUCCAGUACCAGGAGGCCCAAAGAGCAAUAUUCCCCUACAAGGCUUAAGAAGCCCACCCUUGAAGAGGUCUGGCCUUCGAAGAGGGAGCAUGACCAGCUCCUGAAGUGAUUCUUUAAUGUCACUCAAAGCACCGAUAUCAUCAAAUGUCACUCCUAUCUCAUUCGCUGGGAUAACCUCUGGCCUUAUACGCUUCUCAAAUUCAUUGUCAGGUGGAACUUCCUGGAGGGAAACAAUUAACAGUUCAACAGUUAAAAGAGUAAGGGAAUGAUGGAAAAUUUUCCCAAUAAAAUUUUCUUUUACAAAAAUCAGCAUUGUGAUCUCUUAGCUUUGUUUUAAACUUUCAGAAGACAGGGACAUUUGUGACACACCUAGAAUCUAAGUUGCAUUAAAUUCAAUGCAUGAACCCACAAGAUUUAUCUCACAUCUCCUAUUCUAUCCCUCUUUUCAAACAAACAUUGAAGGAAAAGGACUUACUGCAGCUUUUGUUGCAGGUUGAUUCUCACCAUCCUUCUUUGCUAGUGCAGAUUUCUCAGUCUCACUCUUGCUUCCAGGUGCUGAAGUCUCAGCCUUUCCUUCAGGCUUUCCACCAGUACUCUCUUCCCCUUCGGUAUCCUAAAUUCAAUAGAAAAACAAAGCAUAUAAUUAAAGCACAUUGGUAUAGUUAAGUUCCAAUAUCAACCACACUAUGAUCAGAUUGUUGAAUUGUAGAAUGCCGAGAUGUAAAACAAACCUUAGAAGAUUCAGCAUUUGUUUCCAGUUUUAGUGUAUCUUUUCCACCACUUUUACCUUGCUGGAAUAUAUUCAAGCCAUGGGACAAACUGUACCAGGGCCACAAGAUGAGUUAUAUGGAACUCUGUUUAAACUAAAACUAAAUAAAUAAAGAAGCUGAGAAGACAGAAGCAUAGAAACAAUUGUAUCUACCUCUUGGAAGAUAUGACAAGCUUUCCAUUUCGGUAUUCUGGAUCUUUGUUAUUCAUCAAAUGAUAAGAUAUUGCAGAUAUUACAAUCUCUUCUAUGUAGUUACUUAGAAUCAUAGAGUCUGCAUGGCAGAUUGAACCCAAAUCAUCACAGUCGAGAUCAUUUGCUGCAAGCACCUCAGCAAUAUGGUUUUUGUUUUCCUGAAACUGGAGCAUCUUUAACUCCUCUUCCAGUUGAGAUUUCCAGCUAUCAAGACGUGUCUCAUCCUCCGGUGCCCUGAUUUCAAUAUUGUAAGGGAAUAGAAGGCCCACUCUCUCAUCCACUUCUCUGCCCUCAUCAUCAUUGUCCAACAUGCGGGAACCAAGUAUCAGAACUGACCCUGAAAGUUUGUCCAACAUUUUCUGGAACAAUUUGUAAAAUCUAUCUGAUUGGAGAAGAAACUUCUCAACAUCCCUGAUGUAUAAAAUAAUGGAACGUGCUUCCGAUACUGAAACCAAGACCUGUUAGUAAUAUAACACAUCUGCCUGUCAGUAACUAAAAUAAGCAAGAUUUGCCUCUUCUCUCAAUCAUGAUAAAACAUCAUCAAAACCAGAUCAUGCAUGAAUAUGAUAGGACUCUCAGAUUUAGAACAGAAAACUUAUUCAUCCUAGAUUACCUUGCAAAGUGACUGCAAAAGACGUUUCUCAUCAAAAGCCCAGUUGCUUGUGCGCUUGACAUGAGCUAAAAAAAAUAAAAGCAAUGAACAGCAGUAAGAAUAACAUUUCUUUCCAAAGAGAGGUGAGUAACUAAAAAUUAUGGAGUGACAAUUAAAUAACACCAAUAUAAAAGCAAGAAAAUAGAGCAUGUCACAGUACUAUAUCCCAACGGACAAAUAGGGCCAUGCUUAAACUACUCAGUAGCUGGUCUCAAAAAUUUCGAAAUAGGAACAAAUAUAAAUUUGAAGGGAAAUAGUCAAAUGCAAAAGUUUACAAAACUUAAGAGAUAAUAUUUUCAUUUAGCAAAAUAACGUGACUAGUUAUAUCAAAAAGCUGAAAAUUCAUAAAGGAAGGGUACUUAUAGCUGUAUAUUGUGAACAUUCAGACCCAAAAAAAUGAAUAGCAAAAUAAAAACAACUUGCACAAAAUUGUGAGUUCAAGUGUUCUAUUGGUUGAAUGCUAGACAAUUGGUUCACUAGUUGCAAACCUUCAAAUGUAGCAUUUAUGAAAAUAAAGUCAAGAUGGGAAAAUGGAUUCAAAUUAAGCAUCACAUGAUAAGGAGAACCCCAUCUCAUAUGCUCCCUAAUGCUCACAUGUAGUAAAACAAAAUCCAGAUUGAUUGGAAAAACUUAACUAUCGUAUUCAUUGAUCAAUUUGGUGAAAAAUAAUGGAUAAACAAUGGAUACUCAACAAUUGGAAUUGGAUAGGUUCAUAAGGUUGAGAUGAUUCAGGUGAUAUUCUCCUUGAUAGAAUCCAUCCAAUGUGGAAUUCCUAUAGAUUUGUGUUAUUGAAUGGCAGUGAUGCAGAGGAAACUAAGGGUAUUUCAAUUAAGUUCUGACAUGCAACCUGAACUUUGAGUGGUAGAUUGGGAAGCAACAGUGUUCAUAUCAGAUGAAGUAGAAGCAUUCCUGCGAUGCUUUGGAGGAUUAUUAGCACCUUCCAUACAUCUGCAAAUAAGCACAGCUACAGCUUUAGAAGUGAUACAUGAGACUUAAUACCUAAAUGGACAAACCCUUGAAUCCCAAUUACUUGGGCCAGCAGAAUUUAGAGUAUGAGUGAUCUACCAUACCUUGAUUUAAUAUCGGCACCACUGCUUUGCCUAGAUAAUGUGCCUGUAAUAGAAGUUCUUAUCAGAGCUAAGUUGUGGAGAAAAUAGGGUCAACACGAAGUAAAAAUAACAACACAGUAAAGAAAAUAAAAAGGCAUGAGUUGUAGUUUGUUAAAAGAAUGUAAUGUUCGGUUCAUCUAACCAGGUAUAGUAUAUCGCAAUUAAUGAUCAGUGAUAACUACAAACGCAUCUUUAAAACCAUAGGUAUUCCUCCUCUGCCUAUUAUGAGUUAUAUGGACAUUGUUAGGGCUUUAGCUCAAGUGUAAGUGGAUAUGUUACACAUAUUUGGCCUAGUACUCAACAAAUUAAGCUUUUAGGUCAAUUGAUCACCUAACAUGGCAUCAGAAUCUUGGUUUAUGGGAGGAUAUAUUUUUUGUUCUAACCAAUGUUUAUUUCUCCAUUUAUCAAGCCUAUGUGCAAACCCAAAAAAGACUGCCAAGGACAAAGGGUAUUAGGGCUUUAACCCAAGUGUAAGUUGCAAUGACAUACAUAGUUGGCACAUCACCUAACAGUUUAAACUUUUAGGUCAACUGGUACCCUAAUACGGUAUCAGUGCCUUGUUUUAUGGGAGGCAAUAUGUUUGAACCUCACCAAUGUUUAUUUAUUCAUUGAUUAAUCCUAAGUGCAAGCUCAAAUAAGUCUUCAUGUGACAAGGGUUGUUAGGACUUGGGAGUGUAAGUUGGUAUGAUAUACAUGGUUGGCCCAAAAGCUUAAGUUUUUAGGCCAAUUGCUAGCCUAAUUAACAUGAACAAAAACCAAAUGUUUAGCAACAUAAACUAUAGCAGGUUUUAAAUGAAGAAGAUUUGGCUCAACAUGUUCUAUUCAAUACGGGUAGGAGAGGAACCCAACUCGGUAUUCUUAAAAAUAUACAGGAAUCAAAAAAAUCACAAAGCACUCAACAAACCACAAAGUUGUACCACUUGACUCUUGUGAAAAUUAAAGUUUUAAAUAUUAGAAGCUGGAAUUCUGUUAAUACCUUUGGUUUCUUCUCUUUGGGGAAGGAUUGAGAAAGAGCCAAGAAAACUAGACAUUCGCCCCAAUGUUGUUUCUGAGAUGGACUUCUUGGAAGACUACAAAAAGAAGCUUUCCAGUUAGGAAAUACUCCAUUAGAGCCCAUUGGUUAACUUAUUCAACACAGGGCAAGUUAAACAUGAAUUGCUGGAAUGAAAAGUAUUUAGUUGACAACAGAGAAUGAUGAUUGCAAUGUUACAUGGUUAAACUUGAUCGAUCCUACUAAAUCAAAAUGCAAGUAUUCAUGGAGGGAAAGGCAUUUUCAUUUCAGCAAACAAAGAAAUCAGAGAAAGCUUACAGAUUCUUUUUUGGGACAACCAUAUUUGCCUUGCAGCUGUGAAAUGGCAAUCAUAGCAAGAUUUAGUGAUAUAGCAUGCAAAGAUAAACUUCAGGAUGAUUGAGUCUGUACAUGUUUCACCUUUAGAGAAAAGUCAUUAACAUCCAAUAGCAGCAACUUUGCUUCAAAGAAAUGUGCUAAAGCUUUGGCAAGUGUUUGCUGGUAAAGUUCUUCAAAAGAUUAACAAAAAUAAAAGUAAAGCAAAAGGCAAACAAGUUAGGCCAUCAAAAGGACUCAGAAACAUAAAUAUCCAAAUGCAGGGUCAGAGAACAUAUUCCAGAGAGCAUACCAGCAGGUCCUGAGAGCAAAAUAGCCCUGCUUGCAGGUGCAAGGUUUCGAGUGUGCUUAGAAAAGUCAGAGUGUUUUAGAUGAACAUAUGCAGCACUUGUAAGUAAUACUCGUGUCUGCUCACUGUCAUAGCCAUUAAUAGAAAGGAACAACAUUAGCAUAAAUAUGAUAAGAGAUCAAGAGACGUUUAGAUCAAUGUAAUGAAUCUGAGUUUAGAAUUAGUGUCUAUGUAAACUAGAAUGAUAUGGGAGUGUUCUAUGACUACUUCAAAAAAUUGCGACACUCUGCAUAGUCAACAUGUUACUUGGCAUUUCAAAAAAGGCCUAUUAGAAACAAUAGCUAAGAACUCCAUGUAUAUCUUAAUAAAGAAUGAUAAAUGUAACAUCUCAAAAGUAACAAAUUUGUGAAAGCUAAGACCUUGGAAGAUGCCAAUGCUGUCAAGUUUCUACUUCCUCAAACCAUGAUUUGCAUACUACUAACCUGAUCACAGAAAAAGACCAAAAGAAAAUCCUUGGAGUACAUUUAAUUAAGAGGAAAAUUUGAAGUUUCAGACUUGAGGAUCAAACAGUGUCAACAAUUUGCAUAAAAACCCAAGAAUACAAAAAUAAAUAUUCUCAUAUAGAAAAAGUGCUGUCAAAGUGCUAACACCAGUUACAACCUUUCAUGGACAUCCAUAUGCCCACAUGAAGUGGCAAAUACACAAACUGGACCAGUUUUACAAGAUGCCAGUUGCAUAUGACAGCAGAUAUUAAAGGGUAACUUAAAGACAGCACUGGUGCAUGAAAAAGAAAUCGACAAGCCUGGAAAGUUGGAUUGGAAAUGAUGUGCCCAACAUCUCACUUCCAGUGCCACAUAGUGCUCAUGGUCACCUACCUUUCUUCUGGCAUCUGCACUUACCAAUAUUGAGAAACACCAAAACAAAAUACGGAAAAGACGGCUCCAAGGAACUUCCAUUUUUAGAAUUUCCUCACCAAAAUGCCAAAUGGUUUACACAGAGAUUAAUUCUAAUUGCAAAAACUAGAAUUGAGAAGAAUUGGUACUUGAGAUGGAUUGAUCGUCUCUCAUCAGCUACUCUAUGAGUAAACUAUGUUAUAACGGAUAUUCACAACAACCAGGAGCAACUGUUGUUGAUAUGCCCUUGACUGAAAAUCAUACCUCUAAAUAUGUAAUAUUAGCAUACUUCCGAUAAGUAUGGGAAUAAUAGGUAGAUCCAGUACUGCUACAGGAUGAAGCCUAUGUGGGAAAAAAGGGGGAAAGGAAGAAGAUGCUUUAUGCGCACUUUUGAGAUUGAGUGAACUUCUUUUUGAACAUAAGACUUUAGAAGACAUGAGAGUCUCAAAAAGAAAUAACAGUGAUCUUAGGCAAUUUAACAGGGAAACUCUAACCACCCCAAAUUGCAUCCUAGUCUAAACUUUUUCCUUAUAGGUAAGGGACCUUCAGACAAAGUCAUAAGCAUAUGUACCUCAACAAAGACACCCUUCAUUCCCAAAUUCCCAAAUAAUUACUCCUCUUUCUAAUCCAUUAAAUCUAAAAGAUGAAGCUUAGAACACAAAACUGAAGUGAAAUGGAAAUCAAAGAGAGAAUCCCCAGAUUCGCUUGGAUUCAAUAACACAAACCAAUAAUAUGACAGGAAAAAAAAAUCCAGAAAGAUGGGAAGAAAAAAAAAAUGAAACCCCCAUCAAUUAGAAUCCCCAAAAGAAAAUUAUUAAAAGAAUUUCAGAAGGGUAUUGAAGAAUCAGUAGUUUAACAGCAAUACAUCAUGGGUGACAGAAGAAGCAUAUGCAGAAAAUAUCUUAAUACCAGAUCAUCCACAUGGUGGUAAUAACAGACUAAAUUGAUUAAAACAAUCAUAAAAUAAUAUUAGUUUUACACUAAAUAUCAAUACAAUUUUCUCUAACAAGGCCUCUAAAUUUUCAUAUGGAUUUAAGAACAAGCAAUACAUAUGCAAAUAAUGAAUCAUUGGGGAUGAAAAAUUCAUCAAUCUCAUUACCUGAGGAAAUAAGGAAAUUCAUCAAAGGUGAUCUUGCUUUCCCUUCCAUCCACAACCUGCCGCAGAAGCUCAUGCUCAAUCUGCUCUUCUGUAAUGGCGUCCGGCGAGCAAUUCAGCCCUGUCCAUCGACUCACUGUCUGUCCAGAAGCCAAACCAAGCCCAACCGAGACACCCACCCCAACGCUCAGCGCAGACAAGAAAAUGUGCUUCUGUUCCAUCACUUUAGGCCUCCUCCAAACCAAAUUCAAUUCUCUCCCAAAAAAGCAAUACCCCUCCUGUCUCUCUCCAACCUUCACACACAGACAAACAGAAAACAAAGCUCAAUCCCAAGAAGCAAACAAGCAACAGUUGUAUAUACUCUUUCUUUCCCACUAAUCGCACUUCUUCAAUAUUCAAUCCCACAUCUUUGAACACAAGUACCAGAGAAAAAAACAAGCAAACAAUACAAACCCAUCUCCCAAAAGCCUGCUAUCCAAUCAGAAAAUGGUUUGUUUCCUGGGAAACUUCAUCCCCAAUACAUUUGUUUUCACACCAAAUAAAUGACAUACUAGUACUACUCAACACACCCACACUAGAAACAUGAACCCACAGGGACUCACACCAAGAAGAAAUGAAACCAAUGAUGAUUGAAACUGAAGAAAAGGGUACCCAAAAGUACGUUGGUGAAAAAAUCUUCACACUAGAACAAAGUAAUAUUAUGAGCGGUUGUUUAUGGCAGAAUAUGAUUGAAAAUCCAGAGAAAUCUGGCAAAGAUUGACAAGGGACUUUUGGGGUUGAAGUUUAGAGCCUACCCUUUCAGGAAGGUAGAAGUUUGGACACAGGAAUGUAUGAAUCUCCGAUUGGUACGACGUUGGUGGACCAGUUUCGACAGGUAAAUGACUUGGAAUUUGGCUGUGUUCUUUGUUCUUCGGGCUAUUAAUAGGGUGCAACUACAGUGAAGGAUUACCGGAGACUGGCAACUCUCGGUUGUUUUUUUUUGUUUUUUCAGUUUUUAUUUGUUUAUUCUUUAUUUUUUAUUUUGGUAUUUUUUAUUUCUUGCCUUUUUCUUUUUUGUUUUGUUUGUUAUUAUAAUAAUAAUAAUUGUAGAGCUGGUAUUCAGGUAAAGUUGGUACUCACUUCUCUGUCUCUUUCCUCAUUCUGGUUGGCAUUCUUGCUCCUCUUUUUCUCUUAAAUUUAUUUUCCUUUUUUAGGGUUUUAGUAUUUCAUUUUCGAAAUACAAAUCAUUUCCCUUAUAUAAUAAAACUACGAUGGAUUAGUUGCAUUAAUACAAAAAAAUACAUACUCUCAAUUCCCUAUCAUACUAAAUUUUGAAUCAGGAUUUGUUUCAAUUGUACGAUAAAACUUAGAUAAUUGAAUAAUGACACAUAUGAAAUAUUUAAGUACCAAUAAGUAAAAAUAAGUAAUUAAGAUAAAAAUACAAAUUAAUAAAAUCAGAGAUAAGAUACAAAGUAAUAAGAUAUUAAAUAUAAAACGAUCAGAGAGAUCGAGAUGUGCACGUGACCUUUUUUUUAUUAACAAUACAAUAAUAUUUUCGAUAUUAAUUUGAUAGGAAUGUUGUAUCACUAUAUCGGGUUUUAUUGAAUUCUUAUUUAAAUUAUUUCAAUGAUACAUUUAAUACAAAUGUUACAAGGCAUAUUAUAAGAUAAAGAAUAUUUGAUACCCGAAAAAUGAAUUUAAAUAUGUUGUGAAUUAUCACAUUACAUGAAAAGAAAAUAAUUAAAAUACGAGUAAAUUAUAAUAUUAUGUGAAAAAUUAAAUUAACAAAUAAUAAUAAUUGAAAUUUUGGGUUUAAACCCUAAUCCUAAAAAUAAAUAAAAAAGAGGGUUUAAUUAGGUCACUUUUUGGUUCUUUUCUUAUAAAUAAACCAAACUUGAGCCUCAAGCAAAUGCAAAUUCAAUGAAAUAUCAUUUAGAACUUUAGUAUUGGGCCCAAUACUUUUGACCCCACAUACAUGAUGUACACAAAAGUUGUCCAAAACAUAAUUUUCCUUUAGGCAUUCCCACAUUUUAUGCUAGAAAAAAAUUCCCCUCUCUGGUUUUUUUUUUUUCCAUUUUUUUUAAAUCUUUUAAAAAAGGGAAAAAAAAAAAAAAAAAGGUUAAGAAGCAAAAGGAAGCUUCUCAAUCUUGGAGUCUUUUGAAAUGUCGUUUGGUGGACAAGUUGGCAUUAAUGUUGGGGGCAUUGACAAAGAUUCAACGUCCCUGGUUUUACAUUAUUUGAUUUCCCACUUGAUCAAUCUUUAUACUUCAUCCUACCCUUUUACGUCCUUUCACAUCUCAAAUUUUAUAAAAAUAUAAUUGUACGUGAUGCUUUAAUUAAUUUAAUAAAAAAAAGAAAUAAAAUAUUUUGAAAAAUGCUUUCUUAAAUUGACCGUUGCAAGUGUUUUUAUCCAAAUCACUUUUUUGUUAUAAAUAUAAAUAAAAUUAGCAGAAAAAAUCGUAUAGCAAUCUAUUAUAUGUAAAAAAAUUAUAAAUCUUAUCUGGAUCGUUAAAUAAUUCAAUAAAUAUGAGAAAAAAAAGUAUAUAAUUUUACUUAAUUGUUUAUGUUCUUUGGCCAUUAUCAAAGUUUUACAACAAGAUCUCUGACUUUUACUAUAGUCAAAAGUUACUUUUAAGAAAGAUCUUAAAAGUUUGCCCGUUGAAGAAUCAAGUUUUUAAAAAUAGUUGUACUCUCUUAGGAUUCACGAAAGUUCAUCAUCGUCAUUCAAAUAAGAUAUCUUUGUUUAUAUUUAUAUACUUUUUUAGAAUUAUAGAAAGUUUCCUAAUUCUAAAAUAUUUUAAAAAUCAUUUUUAGAAUUAAAUACUAAUUUAGAGUCAAAUACAAAUUUCAAAACUUAUUAAAAACAAAUUUUGAAAUUAGAAAUAUAGUAGAAAUCAAAUUAUAAAAUACAAAAACCUUAUUUCCCUAAUUUCUUAUAUUAGUAGUUCUAAAAACUUUACCACCCAUAAAUACAAGGUUAUCUUAAAUUUUACAAUUUUAAUUAACCCGAACUUGAUGAAGUUCAAAAUUAUCUUAAAAAUGAAUAAGAUCCAAUAAAAUAAAUUACAUAUAACUAAUAAGAAAUAAAUAAAACCAACAACUAAACAAAAUACCCUCAGAGAAAUCAAAGUAUAUUUAACCUAAAUAAAUGUAAGUAUUUUUAAUUAUUUAAAAUUUAAUUAUUGUGUAUAAUAACACCCAAAGAAACAAUGAGAAGAAGAGAAAAAAAUGCAAGUAAAAUUUUAAUAAUAAUAAUUUUUAAAAAUUUAAAGUAUUUUUUUUAUAUUUCCAAUUAUUUCUCAAUCAAUUCUAUAAAAACUAUUGAUAGAUUUCUCAAAUUUAUUUAUAAAAAAACAAUAUAUUUUAGAAAAAAUAAACCUUUAAUUGAUAAAUUAAAAAAAAAAAGAAAAAAAAAGGAUGCUUUUGAAAUUAACUUUUACUUUCUGAUGGGCGGUAUAUUACUUUACACGUGUGCAACGGCUGCAUAAAAGUUUAACGCACGUGCCUUCUUUUGCCCUUUUUUUCUUUUUAAAAUUUUUAAAAAUUUUAAAUUUUUUAUUAUUUAUUGCUUUCCACGUUACAGCUUCCCCCACCAUAAUUUUAAUGGCGGCUAAUAACAUAAUUUUGUAAAGUAUAAAGUCCUACGUUUCGUCAAUCCGAAAGUUUUAUUUGGUGGGGGCGGCUCCAAAUUAAUGAAUUUUGCAAAGCAAGUCUCCACGUGUCCAAUGGGCCCAUCCGUACAAAUAUUAAAAAUAUUAUUGUCAAAAAUAUAAUAAUUAUAAUAUGGUAUAAGGCUUGGGAGCGUGACAUUAAAAAUAAUAUUUAUUGAGUUCGAACCCAUCGAAAACUCGUUAAUUAAUUUUUAAUCACUAGUGUAUUAUAGCCCAUUUUGCACUUUAGUGUAGCCAUGAUGAGUGAUCAUAAAUUCCAUUUUCAUGGCCUCGUGAACUCAAAUUUAUUUCACAUACCUUGACAAUGACAACACGUGGAUAUUUUAAAAGAUAAAAGUUAUUUUGUGUGUGUCGGACAAAUAAAUUUAAUUAAAAUAAAUUAUUUUAUAUGUUAUUUUAAAUUUAUUUUUUAUUUGAUACGUAUAAAUUUUUAAAUAAUUUUAAUAUUAUAUUUAAAUACCGACCGUAUACUUGAGUUGGGACCUGCAAAGGAGAACCAAGAACUAGGUUCUAUGAGGGAAGAUUUAGUAGAGAAUUUUAACACAAAUUUGAAGCAAAUGAAAAAUAUAUGGGAACCAAGCAUGACCCAAAGGAGAAGGAUUCAUGGAUCUAAAGAGAGCAAACAAAGGAAGAAAAGAAAGAAAGAAGGAAAAGAGAAAGAGUGGUUGGGUUGUGUUCAUGGAGAGAGACCCAUUCAUUGGAUUCUUUAUCUUUUUGCUUUUUGUUCAUUCUUCUUUACAAUUUUCAUUGAUGGGUGAGUGGGGAUCUAUGCAUUGCUCCCCCACCCUCCACCCUCCACCCUCCACCCCAACCCCAACCCCAACCCCACCCGCCCAUAGUACAAAUGGUGAUUUUGUUUUUGUUGUUAACUUCUUGUUGGGUCCUCUGCCUCACAAAGCCCCUUUACCCUAAACCCUAAGGCUUGUAGUAUUUUAAUAUGUUGUGGAAAAAAAUAGUGAAAUAAAGUGAGCAGUGAUAGCCUUACCAAGUUAUCAAAAGGGAUGGGGAGGGAGGGGGCUAAUAAGAGAAUCUUGAGGAAAGUUGUUUGGUAAGAAGACAGGGGAAAUGAGAGGAGAGAUACCGCCCAAGCCAAAAAGCAAGGAUCCCACAAUGUUUCAUAGUCCUUUGAGGCCCCCUUUUUUUCCAACUCAGACUCACAUGCUAUCCUUUGAUUUGUGGGUUACACGCAAUGCCACUAUACUUUUCACUACUUUAUUACAAGCCCACACACCCACACCCAAAAGCUCCUUUUUCUUCAUGUCAAUACAAAAACCCUAAGUGGUCCUAGUCAACAUAGUUUUCUUCUUUGGUUUAUUACCCUCCUUUCCCAUUGAUUUUGCUUCAUUUUGUGGGGGUUUCUUGAUUUUGGUAUUGGUUAAUUGCUUUUGGUUUGAGAAAGCUAUAUUGGGUUCACGAAAAAUUUGAAUGAAAAAUGUAAGAGAAUGAAAAUAAGGUCGUUUUUUAAUAUAGUUUUUGUUUUCCAAAAGAAAAAAAUAUGAAAAAUAAUAUAAAACAAUUUCCAUUCUUGAAAACGGAAAGAUAGUAUUUUCAAAGAAUUUUUAACUGUUUUUAAUUGUUUUACUUAUUUUUUUUAAGGAUUUUUUUUAAAUAAAUUAUACAAAUAUGAAAAAUAAUUAAAAAUAAAAUAUUACACAAAAAUUUAAUUUUAAAAUACUUUUAAUAACAUAAAAAGUAGGUUUAGAAUAUUUCACAUUCCUAGAUAUAAAGAAUAGUUUAUAAAAACAAUUUUUCAUAAUUAUUUUUUAAAAUAUUUUAUAAAUAGAAGAAACGAUAAUAAAGAAGCAUCUUAUCAUUGAAUUUUUAUAUGAAUAUCAUAAAUGAAUGGUUGAAUAAAAUUAAUAAUUUUGUUUGGAAUUUGGAAAAAGUAUAAAGUGAAAAAAAAUAGAUGGUAGACUUUGGAAUCAUAUGUUACUUGCAUAAGGGGUUAGGAAUAUUAGGGCAUGGUGAAUUAAUUUUUAUUUUUUAUUUUAAUUUCUUGGUUGCUUCCUCAUGAGGAAUUCCCUAUUGAAGAAGAAAAUCUUUUAAGCCUACUUUUUGGUCUUUCCCUUUUGGUCAUGCACUUGUGCUUAAUGGGGGCUUGCUUUUUUUUUUUUUCUCCCCCUUUCUAAUGAAAGCUAUGGGCACAAUGAACGAAUGCUUGGGCUUUCCUUGCAUUUUAGGUCAAGGCUUUGUUCACAUUUUUCUGAUUGAUAUGAUACCUAGAAAACAAAUGCCAUGAGACCAACUAAUCCAAUGGAUAUUACUAUAUAAAAUCAUUUUAAUUAUAUUUAAUUUUUUAAAUAUUUUUUUAUGAUAAAUCAAAUCAAAUAUAAAAUAAUUUUUUCAUAUGGGGUAUUUAGAACGCUUCCCGAUAAUAUUUGUAAUUAUUCAUUUCUUCGUAGUUUAUAUUUAUGAUUUUAAAUGUGUUUACAUUUUAAAAAAAAUGGCUUAUAAUGUCAUAAACUUACUUAAAAAAAAACCGACAAUAAUUUCAAAGGUAUGUUAAAAUGUAUAUUCCAAGAAUAUGUUUGGAGAAAAAUCAAUAAUAUGGUUAUUGUCAAACAUUCAUUAAUGAAUCCCCAAAGCAUGGAUAAUAGAUUCAUGCACUUGUCACACAAUCACAAUUGUAUAAGAUGUCCCUCCCAAAUUCCCAAUGUUUUGCCCCCACCUUUAUAGAUGAACAAAGUAACAACUUUCUAGUCAACCAAACAUGCCCAAUUAGAAAAAGAAAAGAAAAAAAGGGUAAAAAUUUGGUAAAGCUCUCAAUUACCAUGGAGUCUUUGACCCAAAAGACAAGACAUUCCAAUUGGAGAAAGUGUGGGUCAUUGAAAACCAGGCCCUCCUCCCCCACCACCAUGAACCCCUCCAUAGAAUAUUUUAGAGUUUGUUAGCUGUUUCUUCCAUUAAUGCAUUUAUAUACAUUCCAAUUGAAUUAUAGCCAUUCAUUGGGAGGAGCCCAUAUAAAGUUGAAAAUUUGAAAAGAAGAGACCAUGGUUGGAGCAUAGGCACAAUCUUGAAAAGAUUCAAUGAUGUUUUGGGAGAUUUUUGCCCAAGGCACAACCCUUUAGUGUCGGUAGUAAAGCCAAAAUAGAGACAUGAUUGAAGGGGCACACACCAUGGCCUUAGAGCCUUGUGAGCUUUUGGUCCAUGAUUAGCUUUGGGUUGGAAAGUUGGGGGAUUUGAAGAAACAUACACUUAUCUUUGAUUGAGUAUUAAUGGAACAUAUGUUGGUUGGUUUGAAUCUUAAUUUGGAGAUUUUUUUUUUUUUUUUUAAAAAAGGAGUUGAUAGCCUAAUGCGAUUAAAAAUUCACAAAAAUCUAGGAGUUCGUCUUUUUAUAGUUACAUCUCGAAUCAUAAUUAAGGUCUAAAUCAUUAACAACUUUUAACUUAUGCAAAUCUAAAUUAAGUCAUCUUAAUGGAAAUUAAUACUUGAUUAUGAAUAGUAAAAACUAAAAAAUCAAUAUAAUUGAUUUGAUUUUCAAUUACUAUAAAGUUCGAUUCAAUUUGAGAGUUUUAAAAAUUAAUUUUAUCGGUUUAAUUUUUUAUUUCGUAAUCUCCUAACUAGUAACAACCUAAUCAAAUCAAAAUAUAAGGCUUUCAUCUCUUAUGAUUUGUAAUUGCUCAAUGUUUAAUGAUUUUUUUUUAUAUAUUUAUUAUUUAUAUACUUUUUAGAUUUUGUUAAAGUAAUUUAUUGUCAUUAAAUAUUUUAAAUAUAUUCUAAGCCUCAAACCCAUAUAAUUUUUUUAAAUGGGUUUUAGGUCUAAAUUAAUUUGCAUAUAAUUGAUCAUAUAAACAUAACCAAUUCGACUUUAAACAAGUUUGGUUUGGUUUAGCUUUUUGAUUACUAAAAUGCUUGAUCGAUCUUUUAUUUGAAUAUAAAUCGAUCGUGUCGAUUUGACUACUCUUCCACUUAUAUGGACUACUAACGAUGAAUAUUAAAACCUUAAAUAAAUAUCCAUCGUUGCCAACCUUAUGACAAAGAUAACAUAAAAAAAUAACUUUUUAACAUCAUGUGUUACUGUGUUAGCAACAUUUAUAAAUAUCUAACACCAUGAAUGUCAAAAACCCUAACACUAAAUAUUAUAAACUACUAACUUUUGAUGACACAUUUUUAAGAAAGCAUUAUAAAACUAGAAUAAAUUCAGUAAUUUUAUAUUAUUAAUUUAAAAAAAUUAAAAAAAAGUACUUUUAUUUGUUUUUUACUAGUAAGUUAGAAAAUGUGGGUAAAGACACCACAAAUCAGAACCGACCCACAUGGUGGCCAACUUGAACCCCAGUGUGGAUAGAGGCAGGACCAGCUUGGCCCAGCCAGAAAAUUGUCUUCUGCCUCUUUGUUGGUAGUGGUGGUAGAGGCCAGGCAAUAGGCAAACAGAGAGAGAGAGAGAGAGAGAGAGAGAGAGAGAGAGGGAGAGAGAGAGGGCGAGAGUACUAAUAACAACAACAACAAUAAUAAUAAUAAUGGAAUAGAAAAGAGAGAGAGAGAGGUCCAAGUAGGUCAAAAGCCAGGCAACAAUACAGGAACUACCUAACUUUAGAGAAAGAAAGAAAAAUAAUAAAAAAAAAAGAGGGGAAAAAAAAUAGUGGUCCAAAGCAAUUUCACAUCAUCUCCUAAAAGGUAUAAUCCCACAUGAAACCCAUCUUUCUUCUCUAAUAUACUCAUUUUUUUAUUGUUAGUGCACCCCUCUUAGAAUAUUGAUUGAGAGUGACAUGAGGCCCCCAUUAUGGAGGCCCUAGUCAAAAUUUUGUUAAGGUGGUGGUAGUUCUUUACAUGAAAAAUUAUCGCUUUUUUUUUUCUUUUUGUUUUCAUACUAUCUUUAGGUGGAGGGCAGAUUGGGAACAUAAUUUCUAAUUUAAAUCUACCUUAAAUAAUUUCAUUUUUUUUAGCUUUCGUGUUCAGGUCAAGCUCGGAGUUAAAAAUCAACCCGAGUCCAAUCCUAAGUGGAUCAUACCAAGUUUAGAUGUGAGAUAUAUUGGGAUUUAACCAAAAAUUCUCAAGCGGUUCAAGUUGGAUUUUGGACAUACGAACCAAACUUACAAGUUAUUUAUAAAAUUAAGAAUAUUUAUUCGUUAUUAAAAAAUUUGAUAGAAAUAAAAAACAUAGAUAAAAGUUUCCACCUCCGAGGAUAUUAUUUGAAAGUUUGUCACAAUUUUCUUCUUUCAUCUGGAUUAGAAUGUUAAUUUGGAGGAAAAUUUUGCUCCAAAUCUGCUUAUACCUUCAAUUACAUCAUGGGUGUGUAGCUUCUAAAUUCUAUAAUUUUGAGUUUGUAUUUGGGUAAGGUGCUUGGCCCAACUUUGCCAGGCCUAAUAUACAACUUGAUCAUAAAAGUCCUAAUCUUAAGACUAUGAAUCACCCGGGGCCCAUUUUAAUACUUUGGGCUAGGCCCAAUUCAAGUAUAAACCCCCCAAACACAAAAUCUUUUUUGUGUACGUGACAUUAAAGUUCUUUUAACCCUCUACAUUGAGUUUAAGGUGAAGGGGUGCAAUUUGGGCCUAUUGGGUCGGAUUGGAAGUCAUUUGAGCCUAUUAGGUCGGAUUGGCAGUCAAUUGGACCUAUUGGGUCGGGUUGAUAGUCAAUUCGAGGUCAACACUUACACGAAUCUUUUUUUUUUUGUUUAUUUACUUUACACUUCCCUUGAAAGGGAGAAAGAAAACUAAAUUUCUUGAAGUAUAUAAAAAUGAUUUAUUAAAUUUAAAUAAUUUCUAAAAUUUUUCACCAAUUUUUUUCUCCUAUUUGUCUACACUAUUUCAUUGAUUUUUUGAGAUUCAAAUGAACAAAGUUGAUUUACUAAGAAAAAUAUGGAAAAGAAAAUCAAAUAUGAUAAUAAUUAUUUAUUUUACAUACCAGAAAAAGAGAAAUAAAUUUGAAAAAUUAUGUAUAAAAAAUUAUUAAAUUUAAAAAUAUGAUUCACCUUUUUCAUUUAUUUUUAUUCCUUAUAUUAUUUCCCUUACAUUUCCAUUUAAACCUUCCAAUGGUCAUUUUUUUAAAUUAAAUUUUUUAUAUGUAAAAAUGGAAUAUCACAUACAAAAAGUAUAAAUUUUAUCUUUACACCUUAAAAAAAAAAAUCACUUCUAGAUCGUAAAAAUUUUGUUAUUUAUAAUGGUAUUAAAUCAAUAUUUAUUGAAUUUCAAAUUUAGAUCAUUGACAGUAUGGAUCAUUGAAUAAAGGCAUUGAUAAAACAAAGACUAUGAAUAAUUAAGGAAAAUGCCCAAAAGGAGGGGGGGGGGGGGGGGGGGGGGGGGGGAAAUUGGGUUUUUUAAAAAUUUUUUCCCCCCAAAAAAUAUUGCCCAAAAAAAAAAAAGGAAAAAAAAAAAUUUAAAAAAUUCAAACCCGGGUUUUAAGGGGUUCAACCCUUUUUUGCCACCUUUCCUUUUCCCCAACCCCCAAACCAGGGGGGGGUCCCCCAAAUUUNNNNNNNNNNNNNNNNNNNNNNNNNNNNNNNNNNNNNNNNNNNNNNNNNNNNNNNNNNNNNNNNNNNNNNNNNNNNNNNNNNNNNNNNNNNNNNNNNNNNAUUUAUUUAAGGUUUUAAUUUUCAUCGUUAGUAGUCCAUUUAAGUGGAAGAGUAGUCAAAUCGACACGAUCGAUUUAUAUUCAAAUAAAAGAUCGAUCAAGCAUUUUAGUAAUCAAAAAGCUAAACCAAACCAAACUUGUUUAAAGUCGAAUUGGUUAUGUUUAUAUGAUCAAUAAUAUGCAAAUUAAUUUAGACCUAAAACCCAUUUAAAAAAAUUAUAUGGGUUUGAGGCUUAGAAUAUAUUUAAAAUAUUUAAUGACAAUAAAUUACUUUAACAAAAUCUAAAAAGUAUAUAAAUAAUAAAUAUAUAAAAAAAAAUCAUUAAACAUGGGGCAGGGGGGGGGGGGGGGAGGGGUGAAUUGGGUUUUUCAAAAUCUUUUUCCACACAAUAAUAUAUGCACAAAAUAAAUAAAGGAAAGAGAUAAAGUUAGAGAAUUCAAACUCAGGUUUAUAGUGGUUCGACACUUCUUUGCCUACGUUCACUUUCCUCAAUCUCCUAACCGAGUGAGGGUUCCACUAACUUGAAACUUCAAUCAAGCUUCCAAUCGUCUUACACUUGGAUUCCGGCUCCAAUGAGCUCUUACACAAUCUCUUCAAGAUUUGAACCACUUGAAGGCUUUCACACUUAGUUUACACAAGGAUGAAACUCUCAACCUAGCUUAAGGAAGGCUCAAGUACAAGAGAAAGCUAGGAUGAAUUACAAGAGUGCACUAAGAAUAUGCAAGUGAUGGUUUAAUGCACUAAGAAAGAAAAUGAGAGCUUUUUGGAUCAAGAACAGGUAGGUAGGCUUUGAAUGCAAUUGUUCUCUUAGUCAUAAAUGAAGAGGAGCUCUCAAUUUAUAGGUUUCUAAGCUCGGGAGACAAAAACAGCAUAAAGUAGCCUUGACCGGACGAACAAAGGGUCAACCGGAUCACUAGCCGUUGGAGCAUUUAAUGCAUGGUAGGUUACCGUUGCCUCGACCGGACAAGGGUGAGGCUCGACCGGGAAAAAAAAUCUACUAGGAGAGAGAGAAGGUUUUUGUGCCUCCCUCGACCGGACAAGGGAAACUGGUCGACCAGUUACCCAAUCGGUUGAGCCGGUUGGCCAUAGCCUCGACCGGAUGAGCCUUUUGGCCCUGAAAACCUAUCCUUUUUUAUUUCUUUCUUUUCCAAUACUUAGGCAAGGUCUUUAGGUGAGUUAAUAUGCCAAUUUUGAAUCAAUUUGCCUUAGGUAUAUUUGAUAAAACUCGAUUUUUAAAGAAAAUCAAGUUUUAAAGAAUAAACCGAGUUUUCUAAGAUGCAUGAAAAGGUAUGAAUAUCUUAAGUGCACUCAUGCUAUUAUCUUACAUUCAUUUCCUAUGAUCACAAGUCUUCCAAAUGAUCUCGAUCCCGUAUUCGUUUGGUCCUUGAUGAAUUUUUGAGAUUAUGCCUGAGAUUCUUAACAAUUUAAAACAAUUAGUCACUUAACCAUGAUUUGUUAUCAUCAAAACCUGAUUAGGGGAACCCUUGGACUAACAAAUAUAAAUAUAUGAUUAGUGUAUAAAUAAAUAAAAUGAAGGUACAAAAGAAUGAGACCAAAGUAUAGUGACUAAUUAUAAAGAAAAAGCAUCCAUUGAUCGUGUCGGAUACACCUUUUAAAAAGAAGAAAAAUGUUAAGGUAUCGUAAUGAUGAAAUCGAUCAAGAUAUGGUAUAGUUAAAUGAGAUCAUACUACAAUAAUACAAAACUAAAAUAUUAAGGUACUACAAUGAUGAGUUCAAUUAAGAUAUGGUGUAAUUAAAUGAAAUCAAAGUACAAUAAUAAAAAAAAUGAAAUUAAGAUAUUAAGUUAAAGUUUAGUAAAUCAACUUAAUAACUUAAAAUAAUUUAAUAACUUAAUUUAAAUCGAUAAAAAAAUUAAGUAUAUUUAGUAAAACAACUUAAUAAUAGAAGUUAAAAUAAAGAAUAACUUCAAAUAAUAAAUAAAAUAAUUAAUUUAUUCUUAAGUUCAUAUUUUUAUUUUAUCUUUUUAUUUUUAUUUAUCAUAAUUACUUUUAUGAUCUCUUUUAUUAUUUCAGAAUCUUCACUUUUACUUAACCUAUUUUAUUCUAAUAAAAUUUAUAAAAAUAAAUAUGUUAAUUUAAUAAUUUAAAAUAAAUUUUAAAUUGACUUUAUUAAACUACUUUAAUACUUAUAAUAAUAAUAAUGAUUAAGUAAUAAGUUUUAAAUUAAAAAUUUAAAUAUAAUUUAACUUAAAAUCAAUUUAAAUCAUUAAGAUAAUUUGUCCGAAAGAUAAUAAUUAUGGUUUCAUACUAUAAAUGGACUUGAAAGGAAACAUAUCUUGGUAUAUUUUGGGUAGAAAGUGACGGAGAGGAAAGUCAGCAAGAGUUGGGUGAUGGUACGGAGGCUAAGGAGGGUACGAAGAGGAGUGAAGGAGGAGGAGUUAGGUUUUAGGUGAAUUGAUGGAAUUCCACGUCAAUUAAGCCAUCUCUCAUUCUCCAUUGACGCUUGGUGGAGCUUUUCCACGUCACCUCCUUCAAAAAAAGUUCUCCAAUUUUAUCUCCAACCACCAGCCAUCGCCUUUCCCACCUCCACAUGGUCCUCUUUCUUCUUCUUUCCACGUUGGAUAUGGUUUUUAAUUCUUGGAGGGCAAGCUUCUUUUCAUAAAUUUAAGUGCAAGAUUUUCAUAAUUUUGCACACCAUUGGAAGCAUGUGGGCUGAGUUUAUUCCUGUUACAUAUUAUUAAUUCAGCUUUAAUUUUUAAUUUUUUAAAAAGGAUUUUAUGUCAUUAUAUAUUGGGUUAGGGUUCAUGAAAAAUAAACAAUAUUUAGAACCCCGAUUAAUAAUAAUUUUAAAAUAAAAAUAAAAAUAUUUUCAAACAUAAAAAAUAUUAAAAACAUUUUUUAAAAUUAUAUUCAAAUAAAACUUUUAAUGUAAAAUUUAACGAUAAAUAUAGUUUUUAGAUUGAAAAUCCUAAAUUAUUUUAGAAUCGUGUUCAACCCCUGAAGAAAUUUCAAAAAGAUUAUAAAUAUUUUUUAAUAUUUAAAUAUGUAAAUUCACAUUCUUUAGAUUUACAUUCUGAGUGGAGAUUAGGUGGCAUAAUCUUUCCAAAAAAGUAGUCAAAAAAUGGAAAAAAUUUUCUAGCAUGCUUUCAUAGAAAAUGCCAAGAUCACUUCAUGGAUGGAUGGUGGGUCUAAUUUUUAAUGCUCCCUCAAAGCUCAGCAAGUCAAAAGACAUUGAGAGGUCGACCUAAAUUUUGGGAAAAGUUUAAGGUAAUAAAGAGUGAUAAACUUUUUCAAGCUCCAUAUUAAUCAGGAUUACACUAAAUUAAAAACAAAGUAGGAUUUAGUGCAAAAUGAUAGGAUCUAAAUUUGGUAAACCAAUCAUGUUUUUCAAUAGAUACUGCACCAACUCGAUUGGUCAUGAAUUUUACAAAGUAGCUUAUGGUUUACUUUCUUUUUAUAAUAUCAAAAGUAAGCAUUGAUUUCACUCUAUUGAGCUUUUCUUGAGGCAAGUACAAAACUACUAUUACUGCUAGCAACUUGGAGUUCAACAAAGGUUAUGGAACAAAUGAUGGUUCUCUGGAUACUUUUUCUUUUUUUACUUUACAGUUGUUUGAUACUCCUUUUUCUCCUUUUGGUUUUUAUAUAUAUAUGGAUUGACCCAAGGAGAUAAUCCCACCUUUUCUGACUCUUGAAGCUCUGAUCCAACCUUUUCUGCACUUCAUUUUGGUGGUAUUACCAAAAUUUUGAAGCUCCCCACUCCCCAGUCCUUAAAUUACAUUGAUUUAAUGCACUCAUUAGAAGGGUAUCCAAGGAAUGUUCCUAGAAAAUCUGGGUCUGGACACCUAUCAUGUUCAUCAGCCAGGAAAUCCCAGAAAGAGGCGUGGUGGACUGUCCCAUCUGGUGGGCUCAACAAAACUCUACUCUAUAAUUUAUACAUAAAAUCACUGCUACAUCUCAAUGUUCUAGCUGUAUGUGGGCUCAGCAAAAAUGAUUUUUUUUUGUAGCUUUGGUGAAAUUUUUGACUCAUUGUUGUGGUCCUUGAUGCUUUGGUGUUUGAUUUUCGACCUGUGAGGUCCUGAAUUGGCGGUGGGAAAGCUCCAUCCGCUGCAUUUUGGGCAUUUUUUUUUGUGGGGUUGUCUGAAUUAGCAUGACAUUUUUAUAUACUUUCAUACUAGUUUUUUUGGAUUAAAUGUAGUUGUCAAUUUGUUCAGACAGAUAGACAUUGUUUUCGGGUGAUGUCUGUGAAUGUUUAUCAAGAUACACCUGUACAAUUUUUCAAAUUCAAAGCUAAGUGCCUGCUCAUUUUGAUUGCAUUUGAAGUCAUUGUUGAUCCUUUGACUCUGUUGCCAUUUCUUUUGUAUUUGAUUGCAUAUUGAAAACCCUAGAUUUCUAAUGUAUUGUUACUAAGUUCCAUUGAUUAUGUGCAAAGAAACUGGUAUUGAUUGAAAUCAACCCUUCAUUUUUCUAAAUUUUGUCAUAUUUUAUAGAUAAGGUAGUUUAUGGCAGGGAUUUUGAUGUGAUUAGCCUUUGAUCGGUUGUAAUCCACUGUAAGAUUAAAUUUAUCAGUUUCACUAUCAAGUCAAAACCUAAUUUGCUUAUUUAAAGUGAAAAGAGAAGGUCGAUAUCGAUGACAAACUUUUCUAGCCUGUAGGUGUUUUGCUGACCUACCAUUUCUAUCUAGUUUGAGGCAAAAUCAGCUCAUUUUUGUCUUUUGCAUGGAUGUGCCAUUCUCAAACAGAGAAGCAAAUAAGUAUUGUAUAAUCACACAUGGGCAGUGCAUUUCACAUAAUGGUGGCGUAAACACGCCCCUUUGGACUAUUUAUACCGCCUCCUUUGACAGAAAGGCAUACACUUGUUUUGGGUUUUUCCUUCAAUUGUUGUUCUGCUUUGAGUUUUCUUGACACCCUUCUGGUCUGGAUAAGAGGAGGGAUUGCCUCUUUUCCUGAUUGUCCUUCCUGUCGAAAAACUCAAUCUGCUUGCUGGGGAAAAACGAAAUACACUGAGAGGCCUGGAUUGGUUCUAACACUAUCUGUAUGUAGCAGAAACUUUUGGAAUUAUAGUUUCUGAUUUUUUUUUGUCUCUAUAUAUGCAUCAUUUCUGGUAUGUUCUUGGUUUCUGAUGUGAUAAAGUCCUAUAUUAUUUUACUUAUAAAAAAAAGAAAAGAAAGAUAAAGUCCUAUAUUAUUUCAACAUAAUUCUUUCAUCACCUGUUUCUGGAUUGCUCCAUUGCAUAAUCUCAUUUUUCCUUCCCUUUUCUCUCACUUUUAGAGGGACUGAAAUCUCAGAUGACAACCAUGCCUGCAGUUGGGCAACUUCUAAUCUUGAAGUUUAGUAAGAAAAAGAAAUUUUCAUCUAAUGUGAUGGUCAUAGUUUGCUGAAACCUCAAAAUUGAUCAGAGCACUGUCAAAGAGGGAAAAUUAAUGAUAGUUGAAUUUGAAUUAGUGCGGAAUAUUGCAUUGAUAGUAUAUGAGUCGAUGGUGAGGCCUUAGAACUUGUUCUUGACAUUAGUGUUGUGAGGGACCCAAUAUCUGGUCUCUUAGUAGUUUUUUUUACUUUUCCCUUUGUCCUUGUUGUUUUGGGUUCAUCUUGAAAGGUCUGUCAUGCUUUGCUUUGGUGCUUUUCCUCUUCUGUGGGAAGCACAUGGGCUCAAGUCCUUUCCAACAUUUGGGACCAGUGGAUCAUAUUUUGGGUUUGUUCAGCUUAACUUUAACGGCCACCUCACACUUGGCUUGAGUUCCAUAUAUCUUUAGUUGUUAAAGUAACCAAAAUAUUUGAAUUCCAAACUUGUUGAUUCUACCAUCAUGUGUCCACUUUAGUAGAAAGAAUUUUUUUUCUGCACUUUACACACCAUUAUAUGAUUUUGUAGGCUGAUUUAUUCUUCUCCAGAGCUAUUCACCAAGCAUGUGAAUGUUCCUUUCUGGUAGAAUUUGUUCCAAUACUGUCUGAAAAAAACACCUGAUUAUCGUGCAACAUAUACUGAAGACUUUAGAUGGAAAUAGGAAAGAACAAUAUUUCCAUGUCAUAGAGGAGUUGAAUUGCAUAUUUAUCUACCCUGUCCUGAGGGGUAUUGAAUUGAUCGGGUUUAUCACAAAUGAUUCCAUCCAAAGUGGCACACUGUUUCUCUAUUGCACUCAACUGUUUGUGGUUAUUACUUGACUUGGUAGCAAAUUUUGAAGAUCGAUAAAUUGAUGUGAUCAAUUUUCUGUUUGAUUCCUUCAACGCAACAGGUUGGCCACUUGUUUUUUACACUGUUUCUUUUGCUUCUCCUGUGUCUGUUAUUAUCAACCUUCGCAUCUAAGAUUGUGUUGAAGUUCCAUGGGACAGCAAUCAAAGUUCUAGAAGCUAUACAUCGACAUCUCUCUCACAUAAAUCAGUUGGCAGAUGAAACUUAGAUGUAUUUUAUAAUGACAACUUUUAGUUAAGAGGAACUUCUGGGUUUAUUUGAUGCUGUAUCAGUUAACAUCCAUGUAUAUUUAUGUGGUAUUUAAAUUUCUUAACUUGUUAGUAACUGUGUUUGAUAAAGAUAUUCUCCUUUGUUUUCUCUUCAAUUAGUUCAAGAUCUCCACAUAGCUGAUCUGUUUAGGCCUUUUCUAUGCAGUUGCCUUAUUAUGGAACACAAUGAAAUUCUUAGUUCGACAAAACAGGAUUCUCCUGAAGUUAUUCCAUCACUCAUCAAAUUUAUAGCAUCAAAUGAAGUGGCCGGCUUUGAUAGUAUGGAAGACAUUUGUAGCUUGAAUAACCAGUACCAAAUGAAUGGCUUUCAGCCCGUCAGUUUGUCAUCUGAAGUAAGUAAUGGCUUAUUUAUUUUUGGUAAGCACAUUAAAAUAUAUAUAAAAUAAAAGGACAUGUAGAAAGAGAUAUAACAAAGGUCAAGGGCACACCAUAAUACACAGGAAGUACACAAAGGACACCAAUCAAAAAGGCAAAAAAAGAGGGUCUUGAAACUAACCCUCUUCUGCUAUGAACCUAACCAAUCAACAAAAUCCAACUUAGACAUAGAAGCCUCUGCUAUACCAUUCCUAACACAAGCCAAGAAAUUAUACACAAAAAGGGAUUGUUAACUUGCCUUGAAUGCUCCACAUUAUCAAAUGCCCUGUCAUUUCCUUUUUGUGAAAUUGUCCAAAAUAAUCACAAAGGGGCUGACAUCCAUGCUCUCUUCCACCUCUUCCUGACAUAGGACCCAUUCAAACUUAAUAACAUCAGCCUUAUAGAGGAGUGGAUCACCCACCUAAUCCCAAACACAGAGAGGACCAUAUGCCACAACAUUAUUGCUCAAUGUAAGAGAAUGUUGUCAACAGGCUCUUAUUCCCUUUUACACAUGAAACAUGUGUUCCUUAAAGACAAACCUCUCCUUUUCAACUGAUCCAACAUCAAAAUCCCUUUCCAUGUAACUUCCCAUGUAAAAAAUCUCACUCUCAUUAAAAUCCACAAGUUCCAAACAACAUCAACUGGGAAAGGAUUUGAUCCUCCUGGUGGCAAAAAGGAAUAGAAUACUUCAACAGAGAACUUACCUCUCUUAGUAUCCCUCCAUGCUAUCCUAUUCUCCACAUCCCAUAUCAGUACUGGCUCUUGAAUUUGUCUCCACUGUCCCUAACUCCCAGUUGUGGAACUGUCUAAAAAAACAUGGCUCCAGUGUCCCCUCUCCCCAACUUGCUCCCAAGGAUCUGCCACACAUAUCUUUUGAACUGGCUAUGGCAAAUAAAGUGGGAAGGAGUUCUGCCUGUUGAAAAAAGACUUGGCUGUACUAUUUUUCUGUACAUGUUUAGAAUAAUUAGAUAAGUGUUCACAUCUAAAUUAUUUCUUCUUGUGCUUUACAUCCAGAUCUUUCUUCAAGACCAAAUAUGUAUUUUUCCAAACUGUCUUGGAAAACAAGUUAUUUUUGUCCACCUGAAAUUUUUAUGAUAGUUCUGCUGAGUUCCACUGUAUUUCAUCUUGAUUUGAUAUGGGAUCUAAUUCUUAUAUGAAAUUUGGAUAUUCACAAACACCAGGGAAUGUUUAACAAUGAUGUGGAUUAGACUUGUACUUACAUGUUACAUUGUGAAUGUUAGCAUAUCAAUUCCAAACAAGACCAAUCUGAAAACCUCUUGGCCUGGCAAACUAGACUUUGGAAUCUCAGGUUUAGAACAGGCCUAAAUUUGAUAGGGAAAGGCUCUUUACUAUGCAGCCCCACUUAGGCUGGUAUGGUUGGGUGGGGGUGGCUUACUAUGACGGUUUUGUUGCUGAUACAGGAAAAAAAAUUUCAUUUCAUGAUUCAAUCAUAAUAUCUUCUUUGUGUAUUUAUGCCAGGAAACUGAAGCAGCUGCCAUCCUAAGCCAAAAUCAUGUGUCUCGACCAAUCAAAUCCCACCUUGCGAGUGCUAUUUCUAUUAGCAUGCCAUCUUCUCCCUUGGAAGUCCACUUGCAGAACACUAAAAGAGUUCUGUUCAGUGAUCAUGGUGAAACAAUGUUCAGCAAUGGGAUUCUGGAUUCAUCAGCUGCAUGUAAAACAGCCAGCACCGAACUUCCAAGACAGGCAAAAUUUCAUUCUCAGCCAAUGCCCACUGGUUCUACAUAUCCUGAGGCAAUUGUGGGUGAUAAAUUUCCUAACCAGUCAGAGUCACAGGCUAGAAAUCCAAGGAUUGAGAGGUUGAAAGAUAAACGAUUUGAUUCUUUUAAAACAUGGUCUGGGAAACUUGAAAGGCAGUUAUCAAAUUUACGUGGAAAACCACAGGAAAGCGAACUAGAGAAUAACACCACACAGAAUUCAGAGAUGGAAAUUUUACCUGUGGAUCGUUACUUUGAUGCAUUAGAAGGACCGGAGUUGGAUACCCUGAAGGUAUGUGUGUCUCCCUCCUAACCCUUUUAUAAAGUACACAUAAUUUUCACUCCAACCUUUUGGAUUAGUCAAAUCAUGUAAUUAACACCAUUUUCACAUCAUGGUCAUCAAACAAAACCUUCAUUUUUGAGCAAACGAGGGCCUCUUUUUCUUGGAGUUUGAUGUAUUGAUGCCUAUAAACAUAGCCCUUCAUCACUUCAAAUUGUUAAAUUUUGUAUAUGAUUACUAUCUUCCACAAACCAAAUGUUUACAUUGAUAUAGAAUGGUGUCAGUGUUUGAAGAAGAUAAUCUUUUUCUUCCUCUUACAGGCCUCAGAAGAAUUGGUACUUCCUGAAGACAAGAAGUGGCCAUUCCUUCUCCGAUAUCCUAUCUCAUCUUUUGGUAUCUGCCUUGGCAUGAGCAGCCAAGCCAUUAUGUGGAAAACUCUGGCAACCUCCCCCUCCAUGAAUUUCCUCCAUGUAAGCUCAAAUGUAAACUUCAGUCUCUGGUGCAUCUCUGCUGCUCUCAUUGCCAUUGUCUCUUUCAUCUACCUGCUGAAAGUAAUUUUCUACUUUGAAGCGGUUCGUCGUGAAUACUACCAUCCAAUUCGUGUCAACUUCUUCUUUGCCCCAUGGAUAGCUUUCCUGUUUUUAGCUCUUGGUGUUCCACCUUCAGUUGCUGAACACCUGCCUCCAGCUCUCUGGUACAUUCUCAUGACUCCAGUCUUCUGCUUUGAGCUUAAGAUCUAUGGACAAUGGAUGUCAGGAGGGCAACGGAGGCUUUCAAAGGUAGCUAAUCCUUCAAAUCAUCUCUCAAUCGUUGGGAAUUUUGUGGGAGCAUUACUGGGUGCAUCAAUGGGGCUAAAAGAAGGACCUAUAUUCUUCUUUGCUAUUGGGUUGGCUCACUACAUCGUCCUAUUUGUGACUCUCUAUCAGAGACUUCCAACCAAUGCAACACUCCCAAAAGAGCUCCAUCCGGUAUUCUUUCUGUUUGUUGCAGCACCCAGUGUGGCUUCUAUGGCAUGGACAAAGAUUCAAGGUUCCUUCGACUAUGGGUCACGGAUUGCUUACUUCAUUGCAUUAUUCCUGUACUUUUCACUGGUAAGCUCCACCACUCCAAAAACACGAAAAUAGCUCUGCAUUUCCAUUCUAUCUUUGUAUUCUCCAUGCACAUACUGGAGCAUAGGAAGAUGCAUUAACCAUCUGAAGAUGAUAUCUAGAGAUCCUUCUUGGCAGUGUUUUCUUGCAUCUGCAAUGGUGAUAAUCAUGAAACCAGCACAAAUAAGAAUUUUCUUUUUCUUUUUCUCUCAUAGAUAGCAAUAAAUUAACUAGUUAGGCCAUCCAAGCAUGGGUCUAAAAGUCUGAAAAAGCAUACUUGGGCACCUUUUUUUUCUCUAGCCGCGCCCCCCCCCCCCCCCCCCCCCCUCCCUAAGUGCUAUUUGAUAGCUAGAAAUUAACUCUUUUAAACACUUUUGACUAGUAGUUAUCACCUCUUAACCCAAUUAACAUAUUAAAGACCCUUACAAUCAUUUCUAAUCAAAUUGUGUUAAAUUUUGUUGUUUCGAUAGCUUUUUGAUCNNNNNNNNNNNNNNNNNNNNNNNNNNNNNNNNNNNNNNNNNNNNNNNNNNNNNNNNNNNNNNNNNNNNNNNNNNNNNNNNNNNNNNNNNNNNNNNNNNNNCCCCCCAAAAAAACAAAAAAAGGCUCUCCUUUCCCUUUUUUUUUUUUUUUUCCCCCCCCCCUUUGGGGGGGAGGGGGGGGGCCUUUCCCCUUUUAGGGGGGUUUUUGGGGGCUUUUUUUGGGGGGUUUUUUUUCCCUUCCCAAAGGGGUUUUAUCAAAAACCCCCCCAAAAAAAAAUUUUUUUUUUUUUUUUUUUUUUAAAAAAAAAAAAAAAUAUAUUUUUGGGCCCCCCCCCCCGGGGUUUAAAAAUUUAAAAAAAAAAUUUUGGGCCCCUUUUUUUUUUUUUGGGGGGCCCCCCCCCCCCCCCCCCCCCCCCCCCCCCUGCUUGUUUUGUAGGGAAAAAAAAAUGUACCAAAGCAUGAGUGACAAAAUCCUGGCAAAAACGUAGCCAACAAGUGGAGAAAAAAAAUAUAUUGCAUCAAUUUUUUGUUGCUAGGAUUUUAGAAUUGGUUAUAUAGGUGAUUUAAAGGGCAUGCUUUGUUUUUCUAACAAAUGUGAAAGUGCUGAUAGUAGCAGUCGUUUAGUUGGUUAUAGGUGGUCUCAAAGCUUCUGUUUUUUUGUUUGUGUGUUUUUACAGGCAGUUCGAGUCAAUUUUUUCCGAGGGUUCAGGUAUAGUUUGAUUUACAUUUCUGGCCUCUGAAACUAUCAAGCUUCUUGUGGUCCGAUUUUCUCAAAUGCAUUUUGAUUUGAACCUGCAGGUUCUCAUUGGCAUGGUGGGCUUACACUUUCCCAAUGACUGGGGCUGCCAUUGCAACCAUCAGAUAUUCAAAUGAAGUCACAAACAUAGUGACCCGAUCUCUCUCAGUCACACUCUCUGCCAUUGCCAUUCUCACAGUAACAGCUUUGCUGAUAACAACUAUCCUUCAUGCAUUUGUGCUCCAAGACCUCUUCCCAAAUGACAUUGCUAUUGCGAUUAGUGAGAGAAGACGAAAAACAAGCAAGAAGUGGUAUCACUUGAGGACUGGAAGUUCAGAUACCAAAGAGAUUGAAAAUUUCCUAAAAUUUGGAAGCUCUGAUAACAAGGACAUUGAAGCUUCCCUGAAACCUCCAAGCUGCAAACCUGAGGAAGUUUGAGCUUCUAGCCUGACUAACAUCCACAAUGGACAGGAUCAUCAUGUAUCAACACUCUAAAAUCCUUUUUGCCACUUCAUAAAUCUCCAUCACUCAGACAAGUGGGGACACGGGUUAGAAGUUUUUGCAGUUCAUGUGAACAUAUGUACAAAUAGAAAAUGCAGAUCCAUGCAGUAAGGGGAGAGCAAUGUACCAACACUAGCUGAGUUGUUGAUGUAACAUACAGGUGUUGGCAUCAUUUCUACUUUUGUGAAUAAAAUUCCCAUUUCUUCAUGAGAAAGAACCCCUUAGAAAUCUCUACCACUAUUUGUCUGAGCUCAGGACGGACCCAGCAUUCUGAUAUUCAAUUCUUUUGGGGUUUACUCAUGAGAGAUCUAGGAACUGAAUUACCAAUUUUCCUCUGCAUUUCACAGUGAUAUGAACACUCUUCCAUACAGGAUGUGGUAUUGCUUACUGGAAAAUUUGGAUUGAAGUUUAGGUAAUCCAUGCAGUUAAAUUUCUUCAUCCUACCUAUUUGACUUUGAUACUUGAAUGAACAUAAACUACAUGUUUGAGUCUCCAAAAAAUUUGUGAAUCAUUUAUGAUGGUUCAUGAUGUAGCAACAGUGUACUGUACUACUUAGGUGAAGAAAUGUUGUAGUUUGUAUAAAUUAGUUGGUUUUGUACUUUUCCUACCUACUAUGCCUAAUAUUCACGGGAGAAUUGUGUUUUGGGCUCAGCUGGACCCAAAAAUUAAUAAAAGAUCCUCAUAAGUUCCAUAUUUAAGCCCAACACCUAAAGAAAGUUUACAAAUUGAAAAGAAGGAUAUGAAACAUUCAAUUUUCCGAAAAUGCCCUUUAUUGUCAAAAAGAAAAAGAAAACAACUAAUUUACUACUCUCAUUCACUCUUUUUUUCCCUCUCUCUUUCAUCAUUCACCUUGUCUUUUUUUCUCACAUAUUAAUUGGUGGGACAUGUAAAUUAAUUCUUUUAUAGAAAAGUGUUACUAUUUUCAUCAAUUAUUUUUCUCCCAAAAACCAUGCCUAAUAAAUUAAAUAUUGGAAAUCAAUGGUUGAAAAUGAUUAUUACUAUAUUUUUAAAGUAAAUAUUUUUUAAAUACCUCAUAAUUUUUUUUAAACUUAAAAAAUAUAUAAUAAAUAUUUUUUAAACACCUUAAAAAAUAUUAUUAUUCUUUUUUAUCCAAUAUAUAUAUAAAUAUUUUUAAGGUUGUAGACAAUUAUUUGAAUAUUUUCUCUAUUUUUUGGACAAUACAUUGAUAUUAUCUUAAUAUAUUAUUUUGUAACAUGAUCAUUUUUUAACUAAUGGUGAUAAUUAAUUUUUAAUUGAAUAAUGUAUUAUAACUUAAUAAUUUGAAAAAUAUUCAAAUGCCCUUUUAAAUCUAAAAUAGAUGUGGACUUGACAUGGUUUAAAUUAUUAAAGCAUGAUGUCAUUAAGUUAAGUAAAUGUAUCAUAUUAAGAGAUGUGUAUGUAAAUUAUAUCAUAAUUUUCUCUUUUUUUUAAUUUUUUUUCCUCGUGCAUGAUAUCUUUUGUAUAAAGUUUUAUAGAUGAAAAAUAACAAAAUCUUUUGUUAUGUAAAGAGGCAUAACAAUACAUUAAAAUUGAAAAGAGAAUAUAAUGGAACACAAAUUAGAUGAAAAUCACUUUAAAUAAGGAUAUAAUAGAAAACAUAUAAAUGUAAGAAAAAACAAGUUUAGAUGAAAUUUAAAAUAAAAAAUCAAAGAAAAUAAAUUAAAAGUAAUAAUAUAAAAAUCGUAGAAUCUUCAAAACUAUAAUUACAACAAAAAAAUUAUUUUAAAUUAACUUGAUAAUUUAAAUUAAUGAUUUUUUAUAAAAAAAAAUUACAAAUGUUACAAAGAUAAUUUUUUAUCCUUUUUAAUUCUAUUUAAAUAUGAUUUUUUUAAUAUCUACUAACAUUAUGUUUAUAAAGGUAAAAUAGUAAAAAUAUAUAUUUUAUUCGGUUUACUUGUAAUAAAUACUUUAAUUUUGGAAUACUCUUUUAUAGUUAGUGUAACACCCUUAUAUAAUAGUGCAAAUUUCAUAAAUAAUUUAUGGGUAACAAAGAAAAUAAAGAAAUGAUUCAAAAUUAACUAAAAUCUUUCACAAAUGGUAACCUUGUACACCCUUGUACACUUAGUAUAUUUCCCUUGUACAUUUAGUACAUUUCCCUUGUACAGUUAGUGUAACAUCAUUGUACAAUGGUGCAAUAUAUCCCUCUUAAGUUGUGUGUCCAUGUAGGUAUAUUAAUCUUAUUUCUAAUGGUUUGGCUAACAAAAUGGUGGAUGAAUUAGAAUUAAAUUUUUUUUCCCCAAACAUUAUUACUAAGAAAAGUAUCGAAAUUUCCAUGUGAAAGUUAAAUAAAUUGCAUGACAUAGGUAUGCAAUCUAUGGGUGACAAGGAAAAUGAAAAAGUGAUUCAAAAUCGAUUAAAUUUUUUUAUAGAUGGUAGUCUUGUACACCCUUGUACACUUAAUACAUUUUUCUUGUACACUUAGUACAUUUCCCUUGUACAAUUAGUGUAAUACCAUUGUACAAUAUAUCUAUCCUAAGUAAUAUGUCCAUGUAGGUAUGUUAACCAUAUUUCUAAUGGUUUAACUAAUAAAAGGAUGGAUGAAUUAGGGUUAGUUUUUUUUUUUCCCAAAUAUCAUUAUUGGGGAAAGUAUCGGAAUUUCCAUAUGGGAGUUAAAUAAAGUGCAUGACAUGAGUAUGCAAUUUGUGGGUGACAAGGAAAAUAAAGGAGUGGUUCAAAAUAGAUUGAAAUAUUUUAUAAAUGAUAAUCUUAUACACUGUUUGUACACUUAGUACAUUUCCCUUAUACAGUUAGUAAAUACUCUUAUAUAGGGACACAAAUUUCAUAUUCCCGUAGUGCAUAUAUGCCUAUAUUUGUAUUAAACAUGAUUCUAGUAGUUUGAUUAAAAAAAUGAUGAAAAGCUUCAAUCCAAUUUUUUUAUGAACAUAUUACAUUUUUGUGAAAAAAAAUAUACAAUUGACCAAUUCCUUUAUUUAAUUGUGAACAUAUUAUAUUUUAAAAAUAAAAAAGAAUAAUUAAUAAAUGAAAUUUAAUUCUUUUUAUUAUCUUAGUAUUAAACAAGGUCUUCAAUUUUCAUUUUUAAAAAUAUUUUUCAUUUUUUUAAUUAAAUGUAUUUUCAAAAAGAGACAAUAUAGAAAAUAAAAAUAAUUUUUAAAAAUAAAAAAUAAUAAAAACUAGAAAAAAUAUUUUAAAACCAAUCUCAAAUAUAAUCUAUAUAAUUUUUAACUACUUGUUUUUAUUUAAAAUGAGAAAACAUAUCAUUUAACCCUUUUGUAUGAGAAAAAAAUCAAUCUCUACUAUACUAUGUAUUGAUAUAAUCCAUUUCUAAAUACGAAAACAUUUUAGUUAGAUAUUUAAAAUAAAAACUCUUCAUCUAUCCUCUUUCUCUCUUUUUCUUUUUUCUCAUUUCAAUAAAUUUUCAAUUAAUUCAAAUCAUUAAAAAAAUUCCUUAAUAAACAAAUUUGGAACAUUCAUAUAACUUAUUACUAAAGUCUAUGUUCAAAAAAUUAUUAAACUAUGGAAAGAAAAAGAUUAAAAAAAAAAACUUUAAACUUUUUAUUUUAUAAUAAUAAAAAAAUAAACUUUAAAAUACUUUUUAGUAUAAAAGAAAAAAAAUAGUAAAUAUAUUUAUUUUAAAUAGUGUUUUAAUCAUUAAAUUAUUUACUUGUAAAAUGUAAAAAAUAAUUUUUAUUCAUUUAAAUUAAUAUUUUUUUCAAAAGUAUGUUCCAAAAUAAUUUUUGAAUCAUUAAUAUAAUUUUUUUUAUUUAUAAUUUAAAAAUAGAAAAUAAUGUUGAUUUUUCAAUUAUUUUUAAAGGAGUUUAAAAAAUAAUAAAAAAUAAAAAAAUGAUUAAAUAAAUGAGAAUUUUAUGGAUAGGGCAUGUAAAGAGUGGUGGUAUAAAGACAAUGAUGGGUGUAAGUAAAAAGGGGUAUUUUUGUCUAUUCCAACCUUAUAUCCUUACAAUCAAUUAUAGGUGUUUGGAGGAUCUUUUAUUAAUUUUUGGCCUAGCUGGGCCCAAAACACAAUUCUCCCAAUAUUCACUUGGUUUGUAGCUUUGCAUUGGGAUUCUUGAGAUUAUGGCUUAGCUGGUUUCCAAUCUGCCUAUAAGUCUAGUUAAUGGUUUAGAAAUCACAUUUUAAAGUCUGCUUUACAAUAUACAGACAAAUCAUGGUCAAAGUAUGAAGUUAGAUGGCUUGUGGUCUGCUCUGUUGCCAUUGCAGUAUACGGGACAUGACCGGUGUUUAAUCUCCGUUUCAGUCAUUUAAGUGUUUUAUCUGGGGUUAAUCAUAUAAAUUGAAUUAGCAGCCUGCUAGUUCAACUUUGGAUGCAGAUAAUCUCUGAGCAGUAAAGGACUUUUUAUCCAAUUCUUCCUCCCUAGAAGAAGAAGAUUUAGCCUGUGAGUCCUCAGACAAGACAUUGCAGUCCUAAGGACGUAAUCUUUACCAUGUAGAAAUCACAUAGUUUUGGUUUUCUUACCAUUGAAUCAAAGCUACAAGUACAAAUGGGUUAUCUCUAUCAGGUUUGAGAAUCUGUAAGUCUAAGAUGGCAUCCCUUUUGGGAUAUUGUUUUGCUUGUGACUCACUUUCUCCUUAUGGGACCUGCAGACAUAAGAUAUUUCUGUCAUACACCUGUAAACUGUUAAUGCUAGGUCUGUUUACCACCUCAAAAUCUAAGGCCCUUGUCCCACUCCAAGUGAGGACAUUACCAUCUGCUCGGUAUACUGUACAAUGUCUGUCUAACAAUGAUGCAUGCGUUGGCAACUACCCUGAUAGAAUCUGGGAAUGUCUUGGUUCCCCUAAUCAGAGGGCAUUUAAGGGACUGUAUGCAUUGUUUUCACGCGGUGUACACUUAAGGGUCGUACAUGGUCAGCUCAAAAGAGGAUGGAAGCAACCAAACUAGAAAAGUUUCUCUUUCUUCAUACUUAGCCAAUACCAAACUGCGCUGAAAAAAAUAGUGUACUAGACUGCUAUAUGAUUCACCAAAAGCCAUAAAAGCAGAACAAACCAAUGAAAGCAUAACAACUCAUCGAUAUUGACCCUGUCUUAGUGCAAUGAAUGUUCAGUUAGCCUAUGGUCUGAACCUGAAAUAAGUUCUAUGUAUUAUUCGUUGUCCUCUAACUUGUAACAGUGACCUUAGGCUCAGCCCUUCCGACAUACAGCAUGCACAAAGGCCUCAGUACGCCUAGCUUGUCUGUUUCCUUAUCCCUUGCCUAGGCCGUCAACUCUUAAACUGAUGCUCAUUAGUCUGGAUUUCCAAAUUUGUAAACUAAAUUUCUCGGUUAUUUGCAAAUUUGUUAAUUAAUUCUCUUUCAUUUCAAUGUGCCUUAUUGCUUUAUGCUUCUAAUUCUAUGCCAUGCUGAUUAUUAGAUGUUUCAUGUACUCCUGUUGUGUAAUGGAAGAGGGAUAAUGUCUUAUCCUAUGGUCUUCUUUUCAGAUCCGAUUAAUGUCUUAUCCUAUGGUUUUCUUUUCAGAUUCAAUUAGUGUUUUCUUGGUAUGCAAUCACUUCAAAGAAUCUAGAGUAGUCCUUGGCUUCAGGCUUUGUUUAAGAUUUUUGUAAUCUGUAAUUUUCAUAGCAUAAGCUUUCUCUAGAAUGGUUGUUGACGUCAACCUCUAUCAGGACUCUUGUUCACAUUAAAUUCUGCGUCCUCAAUAGUUCCACGACACUAUCUUAGAACCCUCAAAGCCAUGGUGUUACAUCUGAAUGCAGUGCUUUCAUGAGAAGCACUGGGAUGUCUCGGUUAGUGUCUUGUUAGUAGCAACAGUGACUAGAUGAUUAAGAGCAGCGACAAGGAGCAUGUAAGAGGUUUUGGUCCCCUCAUCCCCAAACUAAGAUGAUAUAGUGGGACGGGAAAAACAAAAUAUUAAAGCUACUCCUGGUUGUACUGCUUUUGUGAAGAAGGGGAAGAUCCAAGAGGGAAAACAAAAAGAAGUAGAUAGAAACAGAAAAUCAAUGUUAUUGAGCUUUGGCAUUUCUCCUAGCACAGUUUGUCCAUGUCUCCCUAUCUUGCUUGGUGACAUGUGACAAACUUCUCAGUCUUAGCCAAAUCCUCUUUACCAUCCCUUGGCUACAGUUGAGCCAACUAAACUAGGCAAUGUUCCAUAAGGUUGGAUUACCAUUGAGCCUUGAAGUGAGAGCAUGGGUUCUCAUGAACCAUAACUAUAGCUAUUAUACAUGUUCAGAACUGCAGGACCACUGCCCAUUGGGACCCAGAAUGAAGGGGACUGUUGGCUUUGUAAAAUAUGGGAAACUGCUAGGAAAACCCUUGAAGAUGACACGGUAACUAGAAGAGAAACCGAAUCAGAAACAACGUUGAAAUUGAUAGAGGUCUACAUUGGGUAAAUGUAUGAGAAACUACAAAUCAAGACAAUUUACUUGAAACCCCAUCUUGAAGGGCAUUGCUUUCUCAUUAGUUUCAAACCCCAUCUUCAGUUUUUCAUUAACUAUGGUUGACAGCCCUGAUCUGAUUGCGUGUGUUGGCUUAAUUUCUCAUGGGGGUUUUACUAGAGCUCAGGACCAAUACCAUCUUUGUCAAGGACACCUUCUGGGUUCUAGCAUGAUGCUCUCUAUAAGCACCUCCUGUACACCCAGCUGAGAUACCGAUGUUUUUGAUAUCUUCUCAGCAAUGUUCCAGCAUUGAAAGUGAAAUGCAGAGGGGAUGAGGACUAGUUUGAGUUCAAUGAUAACUACGAACUACAAAGAAGAAGAAUCAAAUGAAUGAAAUAAUUGAAUUCAAUCAACAUGUCACGCCCCAAGACCCACUCUAAGGGCGUGACGGUCAUUUCACACCUCAAACCCGAAGGCUUAAAGUAUAAUCUGACCCAAACAGUCAUAUUGUAACUGGAUGUUACCAAUUACCAAAUACCUGCUCAGAGUAGCGGAAACAAAAUCUAAAAUCCUCAAAAUUCAAUUUCCAAAUAACUUCCAAAUACCAAAUGAUCCAAAUGAACAUAACUAACAGUUAAACAAAAUCCAACAUAAAAUCUUAAGUCAAAUCCUAAUGAUGACCAUUCUUCAGCCUAGCCAUCACUCCUCACCCGAACUAAGAGUACCUGAAAAUUUUCAACAAUUGGGAAUGAGCUCACAGCCCAAUAAGGAAUAUUAAUGCAAUUCAUGGAUCAAAUAUUUUCAUUUCAAAUAGGAGAUAUCAAUUUUUUUUUUUCUCAUCAAAUAUCAGAGUUCCAAAAAUACCAAUAUAUUCAAAAUUCAACCAACCAAUGUCAUAUCAAAUUCAAACACUUUCACAUAAGAUUCAAUCAAAUUCAUUCAAGUUUCAUUACUCUGGUUAUCAAAUGUUAAAUGCCCAGUUAGGUGGGACUUUUCAAAUGGGUGGCUAGCCUCAAAUUGUUCCUGGUGGACGGAACCAAACACUACUAGUACUAGUAACCUCUAACCAAACCCCUAGAGGCUGGGGUCCAAAUCAAUUACAUUCCCACCAUGAAAUGUAAAGGUCAACUAUUAUAUCCCGUUGACAGGGCCGAAUAGUCAACUAUUAUAUCCCGUUGACAAGGGCCAAAUAAACCAGAGUGAUGUUUUUGUUCAAGUAUUCAAAUUUACACAACAUAAUAUCUCCAUAUUUUGUGUCAUAAAUAAANNNNNNNNNNNNNNNNNNNNNNNNNNNNNNNNNNNNNNNNNNNNNNNNNNNNNNNNNNNNNNNNNNNNNNNNNNNNNNNNNNNNNNNNNNNNNNNNNNNNNNNNNNNNNNNNNNNNNNNNNNNNNNNNNNNNNNNNNNNNNNNNNNNNNNNNNNNNNNNNNNNNNNNNNNNNNNNNNNNNNNNNNNNNNNNNNNNNNNNNNNNNNNNNNNNNNNNNNNNNNNNNNNNNNNNNNNNNNNNNNNNNNNNNNNNNNNNNNNNNNNNNNNNNNNNNNNNNNNNNNNNNNNNNNNNNNNNNNNNNNNNNNNNNNNNNNNNNNNNNNNNNNNNNNNNNNNNNNNNNNNNNNNNNNNNNNNNNNNNNNNNNNNNNNNNNNNNNNNNNNNNNNNNNNNNNNNNNNNNNNNNNNNNNNNNNNNNNNNNNNNNNNNNNNNNNNNNNNNNNNNNNNNNNNNNNNNNNNNNNNNNNNNNNNNNNNNNNNNNNNNNNNNNNNNNNNNNNNNNNNNNNNNNNNNNNNNNNNNNNNNNNNNNNNNNNNNNNNNNNNNGGCUUCCAUUUGCUUCCGGGACAGGGAGGCCCCCCCCCCCUUCCCCCCCCCUUUUUUUUUUUUUUUUUUUUUCUUCCUUCCUUCCUUCCUUCCAGUGCUGUGCACACGCGUUUUCCUUUUUUUUUUUUUUUUUAUUUAACCCUAACCUAAAAUCGAAAUAUUCCAAGCAAUUUUUUUUUUUUUUUUUUUUAAUAAAACUUAAGAUCUCCCAAAUUCGAAUACUAAAAUCAAAAUAUUAAAUUUUCACUAUUUGAUAUUAAAACGAAUUAAAAAAAUAAUCUAACCCUAAUCUAGAUUUGGGGUUUUCCAAAAAAAAUAUAUCUAAUGCGUUUGAAAUUAAUCAAUGAAUCUAAAAUAUUAAACUAGGGGUUAGAAUCUUACCUAUAGAGAUCUGUUCUUCAACCCUGAAAUCUGACUACAACCUUACGUUCUCUGGAAUUCUGCGAACAGGAACUCUAUUCAGAAAAGAAGGGAAAGAAUAAAAUUUCUAAUUUAUACCUAGGGUAUUUAUUCGUAAAAUUACACUUUUACCCCUCUUCCACUUUAUUAAAUUAAUUAAUCAAUUAAUUAAAUUAUUAAUAACAAUUUCCUAAAUUACCCUUAAAAGAAAAUGCUUGGGCGUUACAUCCUCCCCUCCUUAACAAAAGUUUAGUCCUCUAAACUUGACAUACCUGAGUCUUGGAAUAACUGAGGAUGCUUUUCUCUCAUCUCUUCUUCUAACUCCCAAGUGGCCUCUCGGAUACUAUGAUUGUUCCACUGGACCUUUACCAACUUGACAACAGCAUGCCGUAGUACCUUAUCCAUCACAUCCACAAUUUGAACGGGUACCUCUUCAUAGGUCAAGUCCUCAAAAAUUUGAAUAGGCUCCAACUCCACAACAUGAGAAGAAUCAUAAAUAUACUUCCUUAGAGUCGAAACAUGAAACACAUUAUGAACCUUAGACAGGCUUGGGGGCAAGGCUACUUUAUAUGCCAAAGUGCCUACUCUUUCUAAUAUUUCAAACGGACCCACAAAACAAGGACUAAGUUUUCCUUUUCUCCCAAAUCUCAUCACAGACUUCAUAGGUGAAACUUUCAAGAACAAAUGAUCACCCACCUCAAACUCCAAAUCUCGCCUACGAUGAUCAGCAUAACUCUUAUGUCUACUUUGAGCUGCUUUUAAUCUUUCUUUAAUCAAAGCAACUUUUUCAACAAUCAACUGCACAAGUUCAGGGCCCAAAAGUUUCCUUUCUCCAACAUCAUUCCAACAGAUAGGAGAUCGACAUUUCCUACCAUACAAUGCCUCAAAAGGUGCCAUCCCAAUGCUAGCUUGAAAACUAUUGUUAUAGGCAAACUCUACUAAAGGUAAAUGAUCAUCCCAAUUACCUUGCAGGUCCAAAAUACAAGCUCUCAACAAGUCUUCCAAAACCUGAAUUACCCUUUCUGAUUGGCCAUCAGUUUGAGGAUGGAAAGUAGUACUAAAACUCAACUUAGUGCCCAAAGCUUUUUGUAGACUAUGCCAGAAUNNNNNNNNNNNNNNNNNNNNNNNNNNNNNNNNNNNNNNNNNNNNNNNNNNNNNNNNNNNNNNNNNNNNNNNNNNNNNNNNNNNNNNNNNNNNNNNNNNNNNNNNNNNNNNNNNNNNNNNNNNNNNNNNNNNNNNNNNNNNNNNNNNNNNNNNNNNNNNNNNNNNNNNNNNNNNNNNNNACUGAUCUAAAUAGGGUUUGAAUACCCUAUUCAUCAAGUCCAUAAAAGCAGCAGGUGCAUUAGUCAAACCAAAAGGCAUAACAAGAAACUCAUAGUGCCCAUACCUAGUUCGAAAAGCAGUCUUGGGUACAUCUUCCCCUCUAACCCUCAACUGGUGAUAACCCGAUCGAAGAUCUAUCUUAGAGAACACACAAGCACCUUGUAAUUGAUCAAACAAAUCAUCAAUCCGAGGAAGGGGAUACUUAUUCCUCACUGUCACCUUAUUCAACUCCCUAUAGUCAAUGCAAAGUCUCAUUGAGCCAUCCUUCUUUUUCACAAAUAGAACAGGAGCUCCCCAAGGUGAAACACUAGGCUUGAUAAAACCCUUGUCUAAUAACUCCUGAAGCUGAACUUUCAACUCCUUAAGCUCCACAGGUGCCAUCCUGUAUGGGGCCUUAGACAUAGGACUUGUUCCUGGUACCAGAUCGAUGGUGAACUCCACCUCUCUCUCUGGUGGCAAGCCAGGCAAAUCCUCUGGAAAGACAUCAGGAUACUCCCUUACUAUGGGUAUGUCUUCCAACUUCAAAUCACUUUCAUUACUCAUCACACUAGCCAAAAAUCCUUGGCAACCCUUCUUGAGCAAGCUACUAGCUCGCAAGGCUGAGAUCAUACGCAGUGGUCUGUCCACAUGCUUCCCUUCAAAGCUAAACUUAGGCUGACCAGGAAUACUAAACGUCACCCUUUUCUCAAAACAGUCAAUAGAGGCAUGGUAGGAAGCUAACCAAUCCAUCCCCAAAAUCACAUCAAAAUCCUGAAGGUCAAGGAGUACUAAGUCAACUGGCAUUUCCCUAUAACCAAUCAUCACAAUACAAUUUCUAAGCAUUCUAUUGGCCACAACAGAUCUCCCACAGGAGUAGCAACAAUCAAAUCAAAGUCCAUGCUAACAACAGGCAAACCCAACAAACCAGCAAAAGAUACUGAAACAAAAAAGUGUGUUGAUCCAGGAUCAAUCAAGACUCUAGCAAAUAAGGUGUGGAUUCGGAGAGUACCUGUCACCACAUCAGAAGUGGCCUGAGCAUCUCGAUGAGUCAUAGCAAACACCCGUCCUUGGGCUUUGGGUUUCUGUUUAUCCUCCUUAUUUUCCUCUUUAGGCUUCCUAGUGAUGAACUUCCUAUUCUCUGGACAAUCUCUGAUCAAAUGUCCUUGCUUCCCACAACCAAAGCAAGCUCCAGUCUCUCUAUAGCAUGGCCUACCCCCAUGCUUCUUACCACAAGUAGGACAAGCCCCAUCUAAAUUCUGCGUUGCCUUCCCUUUAUUCUGAUUUCUUCCUGAUGUAGACCUUCGCUGUGCUUGAUUACCAUGAGCACCAUCACUCCUAUUUCGCUUCCUUUGCUGUUCCCUAUACUGAUGAAGCUCUUCAUUAUCUUUCUCUGCUAUAAGGGCUCUGUCAACAACCUCUGAAUAGACACCAAGCUUCAGAAUAGAUAUCUUGUUCUUCAAAUAAGGCUUCAAUCCAUCCUGAAACUUUAAUGCCUUUUCCUCCUCUGUAGCAAUCAACUGUGGGGAAAAACGUGAUAACUCUGUAAAUUUGGCCUCAUACUGAGCCACAGUCAUAUCCCCCUGUUCCAAACUAAUAAACUCUCCCACCUUUUGCCGCCUAACACUGUCAGGGAAAUACUUCUUGUAGAAAGCCUCCCUAAAUUGUCUCCAUGUAUGGGUCCCUGAUCCUCCAAAAGUCUCCUAGUCAUACGCCACCAAUGAUGUGCCUCUUUAUCUAACAUAAAAGCUGCAUAAGAGGUUUUUUGCUCCUCAGAGCAAUCUAUGACACCAAAGAAUUUCUCCAUCUUAAGGAUCCAAGCCUCUGCCUCUGUGGGAUCUGUAGCACCAGAAAAGUAAGGAGGACCCAAUUUCUUGAAGUCAUCAAAAGAGAUACCCCUAGAAGAUGAAGACUGUCCCUGAACAUUAGUCCCAACAGCUCGAGCUUGGCUUUCAACUAAACCAGCUAGUGUCCCAAGAUACCUAUAGAUCCCUUCUGCACUCACGGGAGGCAAACCCUCAAUUGGAGGUACAUCAUCAUUAGCUUGACUGUUUUGUGAAGAAGCUGCUCUUCUUGGUGGCAUGAUGUCCUAAAAUAACAAGGCAUAACUAAAUUAGUUACUAAAUAACCAAUUAGGAAAUUUCCAAAUAAAGAAAGAAUUGGAAUUUAUACUAAAUGAACUAAAACUUAAACAAAUGCGUCACUCAUCUAUCCCCAAUCUAAACCAAUUCAAAUUCCCAUCAAGAUCAAAACCUAGUGCUCUGAUACCACUCUGUCACGCCCCAAGACCCACUCCAAGGGCGUGACGGUCAUUUCACACCUCAAACCCGAAGGCUUAAAGUAUAAUCUGACCCAAACAGUCAUAUUGUAACUGGAUGUUACCAAUUACCAAAUACCUGCUCAGAGUAGCGGAAACAAAAUCUAAAAUCCUCAAAAUUCAAUUUCCAAAUAACUUCCAAAUACCAAAUGAUCCAAAUGAACAUAACUAACAGUUAAACAAAAUCCAACAUAAAAUCCUAAGUCAAAUCCUAAUGAUGACCAUUCUUCAGCCUAGCCAUCACUCCUCACCCGAACUAAGAGUACCUGAAAAUUUUCAACAAUUGGGAAUGAGCUCACAGCCCAAUAAGGAAUAUUAAUGCAAUUCAUGGAUCAAAUAUUUUCAUUUCAAAUAGGAGAUAUCAAUUUUUUUUUUUCUCAUCAAAUAUCAGAGUUCCAAAAAUACCAAUAUAUUCAAAAUUCAACCAACCAAUGUCAUAUCAAAUUCAAACACUUUCACAUAAGAUUCAAUCAAAUUCAUUCAAGUUUCAUUACUCUGGUUAUCAAAUGUCAAAUGCCCAGUUAGGUGGGACUUUUCAAAUGGGUGGCUAGCCUCAAAUUGUUCCUGGUGGACGGAACCAAACACUACUAGUACUAGUAACCUCUAACCAAACCCCUAGAGGCUGGGGUCCAAAUCAAUUACAUUCCCACCAUGAAAUGUAAAGGUCAACUAUUAUAUCCCGUUGACAGGGCCGAAUAGUCAACUAUUAUAUCCCGUUGACAAGGGCCAAAUAAACCAGAGUGAUGUUUUUGUUCAAGUAUUCAAAUUUACACAACAUAAUAUCUCCAUAUUUUGUGUCAUAAAUAAAACAAAAUAUUCCAACAUAACAUUUAGUGCAAAACAAUUUGAUCCAUGCAUGGUAACAAAAUAUCAUUUUCUUUUCCACAAUUCAAAAUAACAUAUAAGAUAAUUUAAUUUUAUAAAUAUUACAUUAACUUCCCUUACCUCAAAAGAAGUCCUUGAAAGCUUGGGAGAAGAAUAAUUCUGAAAAAAAUAUAAUCUACUCUUCACCUAAUAUGACAUAAGAGAAACAAUUAUUACUAUUUAUUUAUAAUUUAACUAAUCUAUUCCUUAUUUAAAUAAAACUAAUAAAUUUCCAAUUUGUUUCUAAUAACAUAUUACUAAUUUAAUUAAAUUACAAUUUUAUUUCAUUAUAAAAUUCUAUAUAUAUAUAUAUAUAUUUUGCUAAAUCUCUCAUUCUAAAAAAAAAUACCAUUAUUACUAUUAUCUUAUUCAUUAAUCUAAAACUAAAUAUUAUUAUUUUAAAUUAACCAAUUCAAAAGCCACUAAACCAUUACCUAGUUGUCUCGGGUACACCAAACCACCAAACCAAAAAGCAAGUUUUUUUUCCAUUGCCAUCAUCAUAUUCAUUAUAUAUAUAUAUAUAUAUUAAAGGCUUCCAUUUGCUUCCAGUACACGUACGCCCCCCCCCCCCCCCUUUUUUUUUUUUUUUUUUUUCCCUCCCUCCCUCCCUCCGGGGUUGUGUACACCCGUUUUCCUUUUUUUUUUUUUUUUUUUUUUUACCCCUACCCAAAAACCAAAAAUUCCCAAGAAUUUUUUUUUUUUUUUACCNNNNNNNNNNNNNNNNNNNNNNNNNNNNNNNNNNNNNNNNNNNNNNNNNNNNNNNNNNNNNNNNNNNNNNNNNNNNNNNNNNNNNNNNNNNNNNNNNNNNNNNNNNNNNNNNNNNNNNNNNNNNNNNNNNNNNNNNNNNNNNNNNNNNNNNNNNNNNNNNNNNNNNNNNNNNNNNNNNNNNNNNNNNNNNNNNNNNNNNNNNNNNNNNNNNNNNNNNNNNNNNNNNNNNNNNNNNNNNNNNNNNNNNNNNNNNNNNNNNNNNNNNNNNNNNNNNNNNNNNNNNNNNNNNNNNNNNNNNNNNNNNNNNNNNNNNNNNNNNNNNNNNNNNNNNNNNNNNNNNNNNNNNNNNNNNNNNNNNNNNNNNNNNNNNNNNNNNNNNNNNNNNNNNNNNNNNNNNNNNNNNNNNNNNNNNNNNNNNNNNNNNNNNNNNNNNNNNNNNNNNNNNNNNNNNNNNNNNNNNNNNNNNNNNNNNNNNNNNNNNNNNNNNNNNNNNNNNNNNNNNNNNNNNNNNNNNNNNNNNNNNNNNNNNNNNNNNNNNNNNNNNNNNNNNNNNNNNNNNNNNNNNNNNNNNNNNNNNNNNNNNNNNNNNNNNNNNNNNNNNNNNNNNNNNNNNNNNNNNNNNNNNNNNNNNNNNNNNNNNNNNNNNNNNNNNNNNNNNNNNNNNNNNNNNNNNNNNNNNNNNNNNNNNNNNNNNNNNNNNNNNNNNNNNNNNNNNNNNNNNNNNNNNNNNNNAAAAAUUUCCAAUUUGUUUUUAAUAAAAAUUUACUAAUUUAAUUAAAUUACAAUUUUAUUUCAUUAAAAAAUUUUAUAUAUAAAAAUAUAUAUUUUGCAAAAUUUCCCAUUUUAAAAAAAAAUCCCCUUUUUUUUUUUUUUUUUUUCUUUAAUUUAAAAAUAAAUUUUUUUUUUUUAAAUUAACCAAUUCAAAAGCCCCUAAACCUUUCCCUAGUUUUUUUGGGUACCCCAAACCCCCAAACCAAAAAACAAGUUUUUUUUCCAUUGCCCUCAUCAUUUUCCUUAUAUAUAUAUAUAUAUUUUAAAGGGUUCCAUUUGUUUCCAGUACAAGUACGCCCCCCCCCCCCCCUUUUUUUUUUUUCUUUUUCUUCCUUCCUUCCUUCCUUCCGGUGCUGUGCACACGCGUUUUCCUUUUUUUUUUUUUUUUUUAUUUAACCCUAACCUAAAAUCGAAAUAUUCCAAGCAAUUUUUUUUUUUUUUUACCACUCUGUCAUUUGUAACGACCCUCACCCAACCAUGUAGAUAUUGUCCGCUUUGGGCCCAAGAGGGCCCUCACGGCUUUAAAACGCGUCUACUUGGUUAAGAGGAGCCUCUACAUAUAUAGCGCCAAGAACUUCCUCCCCUAUCCGAUGUGGGACAUUACAAAUACCCCCCCAUGCAGACACAACGUCCUCGUUGUGUCCCAUGGGAUUGCGGGGCCAAACAGACAAACACCCCUUACGGAGCCAAACAAACCCCCACACCGGGAUCGGGGAUCGGCUCUGAUACCAUUUGUAACGACCCUCACCCAACCAUGUAGAUAUUGUCCGCUUUGGGCCCAAGAGGGCCCUCACGGCUUUAAAACGCGUCUACUUGGUUAAGAGGAGCCUCUACAUAUAUAGCGCCAAGAACUUCCUCCCCUAUCCGAUGUGGGACAUUACACAACACCCCCUUUCUUGUAGGGUCAUGGCUUGCCCAUUAGAGCUGGUAGGACAGAAGCAACCUUAGAAAGUACUGAGAAGGACCCCUACUGUUGUCCUCCAUAGCAUUUCCAUGAACAAGUUCAUCAAAGAAAAUCCUCAAAAAUUGGGAAAGUUCUCACUUAUGUUUCACUGUGGGGUUUCGCAAUUGUAUCAGUGACCCUUAAAAUAAGUAAACAUAUGAGAAUACGUGCAGAGAUUCCAUGGAAUUUAAUGGGUUCCUCCUGCUCCAUGCAGUUUGAUAAGUCAAGUCUCAAAUAAUUGUUUCAAAUGAAAAAGGACCACAAUUCCUGGAAGUUGAUAAUAAAGACAAUGAUCAUAAUCACAUUAUUCCUUCAAAUUUGAUGGACUUUACCCCAUUGACUGUUUGUGUAGAGAGAAAAUAUAUCAUGAAUGAAACAAUCCUGAUUUUCAUUAAAAAUUAAAAUUUCACAGGAAUAAAGGAGAGAGAUUCUUUGCAGUUGGCCCAUACGGAAAAGGACAAAAAGAAAAUUUUAAUUUAUCCUUCUUUUUCUCCCUAAUGCCAGAAUUUCCAUGGCCGACUGUCCACACAGUUUCUAUGACCUUAAAAAAGACAAAUUUACAUUAUCAUCCCAAAGGAGGGAGAAGAAAGGGACAAAGAACAAGUGACUGAUGUUCUUCUUCAGACCUCUCAUUUCUUCUCUUUCACAUGCCUCUGGAAUCACUCCCAUUUUUCAUUUUCGAUGUCCUCAUUUCUGUGUACAAUAGCCUCCGUUCAUUUUCCUGGGGGAAAAAAGCAUUGUAAAGAAUAUCAGAAAACCCGAAAUUGUAUUGAUUAUCCUGCCAGUGUGAUUGAAAACUAGGUAGAAAUUGACAUACCAAUGGAUCGCUUGCAAUGGAGAACUGCCUCGUAAAUUGAGCUCUCUGAAUCACAAGACUUGCGCCAAUCCCCAGUAGAAUAGGCUGUGCUUGUUCUGGGAGAUGCUUCUGGUGAAUAAACCCAGCUCUUCCCUUCCUGCAUUCUUGAAUUAACACUUUCAGCUCUGGACCCAAUUCUGCGACCACGUAUUCUCCUGUAAAGGGGCCUAAGAAAAUCCAGGUACUUCUGAAGGAUUUGUUUUGAUAAUCUUCGGCAUCUUCUCAAGGAAGAACAGUGAGUGUUGGUGGCUGACAGUACAUGUUUUGGAGCAUGUGAUGAAGAGAUGGGCGUGGCUGGAAGGGAAUAUGACCCAUCAUAUGCCUCCAUCUUCAGUGGCUCCAUGAAGAUAGGCAUGAUGAGGCCAUUAGAGAAGAGCUCAUCAGCAUGAACAAGACUAAGAGGGGGUUGGGAAAUGGGGAAAUCAAAGUUGAAAUCCUGGGAAUUUCUAAAGAAUCUCUUAGAGGGAGGCAUUCUUGGGUCCAUCUCAAUGAAGGAGGCUUCAUCGGACACAUCAAGGGAGGUUCUAAGGGAAUCAUCUAGGCUCUCAAAGGAAGGUUUCAGGUUUAUUAACCAACUAUACGAAAAGCUUUCAAUGGAGAGAGGUUGGGAGGCCUCCAUGCCUGUGCCACUCUAUACUAUGGUGUAUAGAAAUGAGAAUUGAGAGAAGAAAAGAUGAUACACACUUUAUAGUACAAGGUGGGCAAGAGCAAAGUCCCUCCUAUUAUGGAACAUAUCCCUAAUGCAUAUAUAUAAUGCCUUAAUAUCCUCUCUUUCCCUCUCUCUCCCCUAACAAUUAUAUAUGUGGUUGUCCGACAAGAGACAAUUUUAAAUUUAAUAAUUGAAAAGGAGAAAAGGAGAAAAGGAAAAAUAGAAACACAAAUGUGAGCCCCACAACCACCCAUAACGUACUGUUGCAUCUAUGGCUUACCCUCCCAUUUUCCUAUUAUUUUUCUAUCAACUUCCUAAAGAAGAUGGUUUCCCUCUAUAAACCUAUUCCACUUCUUCUCAUACAUGAUAGGUCAUGAAAAGUAAUAGUGUUUAUGGGAAACUCCAUUAUUUGUUCCAAGCUUCUUCCCAACCUAUCACACAUGAAGUACAACCACAAUUGAGACUUUUGCUCUAAAAUGUUUCCUCUAGAUCUAUAAGCCACACAUGAUACACAAAAUUGUUGAAUUGCCUUCCAUUGGUUUUGUCUUUAUGUUCUAAUUUUCCCUUAUUUAUCAAUUUCCAGUGGGUAAGACCGGCUUGAAAGGAUGAGUUCACCCUCAGAUGCUUACAACCUAACCGCUGCAGCACAAGGCUAGACCUAGAUGAUAAAAUACUAAGCAAGUGGUGCUACAAGUAUUAUUCUAUAAUUGUCUCAUAAAAAAAUUUGAGUAUCAGAAGGCGUGAAAAAAGAUCCUUAGCAUGCUGAGAAGUAUUCUAAAUAUCUAUAUUAUAUUUUUCUAUAAUACCGUACUAUAGGGUUAGUUUGCACAUCCAGAUGACCUUAAUCUGAUCAAAAGGGGUUAUGUCAAACCAACUUUCACAAAAUAAGAAAAACAGGUAGGACUCUAAAGCAGAAUUUAUAAUUCAUUAUCUAGUUAUGCUAUGUGCACGCCUUUUCUAUAGGGGGGGUGAACCCUUCCACAAAUAUGAAAAGGAGACAAAUUUUUGGAGAGGUCCAUAAAAUUUCACCAAUAUGGCCUGGCUAUUCUAACUGAAGGCUUAUUAAAUCUUAUCAUAUGAAUAUUACUAUGUCCUAACACAUUUUCAGCAUCUGGUAAUGAAUUCACGACCUCAAUAUUCAUUAUACUAGGCAUAUAAAACCAAACUAGAUUGCGAGAAAAAAAGAAAGUGAACAUUUAAUGCCGAUUGACGAGAAUUAGAAAAUGUUUUUGGACUACAAUUGUAUACACACUUUUGCAUCAUGACAUCACAACAAAAUACAACAAGAAGACACUUGACAUUAAUUCUACAGUUUAAAUAAAAAGAUAAAUAACGGGUAUCCAUUUUCAUGUGUAGCUAUAUUGUUAUCCUUGAAUCAGUAAAACAGAUAUAUGAAAAAUCUGAAAGGAAAAGAAAAGGAAUACUAAAUAUCACAAACUUCUCUUGGCAAGGAAAUUCCAGGCUUUUACAGCCACUCAUAGUCUGAGUGGCGGUGAGUUCAAAUCUCUACAGGGCUUAAUGGUAGAGGAUGUUAUGUUUUUCUCAUCCAAAAUUAAACUGAUUAUUAUUUACAAACAAUCUAAAAAACAAAAAUAGCAGACAAGGGUCCCCUAAAGUUGUCGGAGGACGAUAUGGACAUUAGCCAAAGUUUCAGGGACAAAAGCCAGAAAUAGAAAGUGACUUGAAACCUAUUGGUCCCCGCACCGAUGUUCCCCUUCAAGACAUAAAGCAAAAGAAUACAAACAUUGGUAGAAGCAAUUAAAUUCCUAAAUGGAAUGUUUUUCAUUGAGGGAGAUUUGAUUAUAAUUCUGUAAACCAAAAAGAAAUUUCUUUCGGAGACACUGUUAACACUUCCAUAAAUACUGCUAGCCAGACCCAGUCGGUUACUUGAAGAAAGGAGGAAUAACUAAUUCAAAACAGAUCGAUCACAGGACAUAGACCUGUCUUCCAGAACAUUUCAACAGGAUAAAAUUUAAGGUUAGCAGUCAAGAAAUUUCAUAUCUGGAAAGUAAAAGCCUGUGGUAGUAGAGAGAUUUUGACUUUCAGUCUAGCAGCAAACUAGGAAUGAAGCUUAACAAAAUGGUCCCCUGCCUAUGGCUAUACUCUGGUUUGAGACUUACCAGCUGUCCUGAUAAAGUCACCAUGCACCAGAUCACAUCCCAAAAGAGUGCAGCUUUAGGUAAAAAUGGGAUGAUUUGAGGGGAGUGGUGGUGGAAAGAGAAUUACUGAGUAAACAAACCACCACCUUCCCCUUCCCCUUCGCCUUCCCCAACCACCUCCAUCCCAACAAAAGAGUAUCUUGUAAGGGAAACGAGAGCAGUGUCCUCCAUACUGUGAUGUGACAUGCUCUCACUGGAAACAGGACAAACCCCAUUAUGCUCAAACCAGAGAAUAUAUUUGGAGUUCAUUGGCAGCCAGAGCAUGAUGGUUACGGAAUGGAUGAACAAUAUGAGGAACAUUCCUCCAGAUGAAUCUUGGUAAAGCCCUACAAAUCAAUACUAACAUUUUACACAAUGGGAGAAGAAAUGGUGGCUAAAACCUGACUGAGCAAUUAUAGAGUACAAAACAAGAAUACUAUUUCAUGAGAUCUACGAAUACAAAGGCAUUCCAGAGACUAUGCAAGAGCAUUGAUGCCAACAGGUUCCUUGAUCGUGCAAAGACGGCACCAAUCAACAUCCCAAGGAAUAUAAAUGGUAGCAUUGUCUGCAAGUUGAGAUGUGCUGAGGCAAAAGCUACUGAACUCACAAGAAUGGAGCACCAUACAGGCAUGUACCUGGUCAAGGAAGGGAGAAGGAAUCCACGGAAGAAAAUCUCCUCCCAGAUAGGGGCACAAACUGAAAGAAACACUGCAUAAAGGGCCAUUGCCAAUGGGUCUCGUGCAACAAUUGAUUGCUGAACGCUUGACCCAGUGACCGGAGUGGAGGGAGCAACAGGCAAUAAAUUUUCAUUGAUCUGCGAGAGACGGUUGACCAGGGGAAACAUGAGGCAACCCAAGCCAACAUCAAAGUGCCACUUCCCUUCAAGGCUUAACCUGAACCAAUCAGAUGGAAGGGGAUGGAACCUUGCAAGGCAGAUAUGAAGAAUUGCAAUCCCAGAAAGACCUUCGGUCACUUCACCCAAGAGGCCAUACAAGGCUUGCCCUCUGUGUGUCAUGGUCUCCUUUCUGAAACCUGCUUUAUGAGCCAGAAAUGGAAUUAUCCAAGAUCCCACCAACCAGAAUGAAGCAAUCCAGAGGAGCAUAACCUGCAGGACCAGACAAUUUCACUUAACAAUCUUUAUUCACCUUCUAUUCAUCUAACAUGAAUUUCAACAGCAAAAUGAUUGCUCGACCUCUUCCUUGCAAAACUAAAUUUUCUAAGUGAAUGAUAUAGCUUAAUUUAGUUCAUGAAAACUUUGCUCAUAACACAUUAAGAUGUGAAUCACAAGAUGCAAUAUAUAUUUUACUAUAAAAGGCAAUAAAGUUUUGAAGCCAGUUCAGAUAAACUUUUCAAAAAAUACCCACAGAUAACUCUGUUUACUGCUAAAUAAUUGAUGGGUACAAAAGAAAUCUAUAGAGAAAAGUUUAUUAAAACUUACUUAAAAGUUUUAGCACAUGCUAACUUUUUAAGCAAUUUAAUAAUUGAUUCAAUAGCAUCUCAUGAUACCACCACCCUAGUUGCUGCCACCUAAAGAGAUGAUGGAUAUAUAAACAAUUCUAAUAUAAUUAAUAAAACAAAAUGUUCACAUGCUUUAUUAAUCCUUUUGAUAAUAUUUCUGAUAAAACCCAAUCAAUACUGCUACACUAGCUCCCUCCACUUCCAUGCCAUCAUCACCAUCAGAUCUGCACUGCAUUUUCAUGCCACAGCAACAACACUAUUUUACUAUUUCACUGCUUGGGCAUGUGUUAGCCCAGUAUCACAAUCACUAUUGCCACAUCACAGCUAUAAACUCCAACCCACCAUGGCCCAGCAUUACCAUGCUAUAGUUGCUGCCAUCCCACCACUACAACCAGACUAAUACCUCCAACACUACUACCUCUUGCCACUACCAAUACCACUCCUGCCGCCAAACAAACUGGUGGGUGAAUCUCAUGCUUUAAAGGGAGCCAUUCAUUUAUUCACGAAGUUUGAUUUAUUCACAUUUUAUCCAGUUCAUUUAUGUUGACUUUGUACCCACUUUUUCAGCCUCCUUCAAGUAAUUGGAUUUUAGGGAUUUGUAUAGUUCAGUGUGCCAGAUAUAAGAAAAGAAGAAAUUAAAUUUCAAUUACCAUUCAUAAAAGUGAUAUAACUUGACUUAAACCUGGUAGUUAUUAGAAUUUGGAGAAAAAAUUACUCGUUCAGCAGCAGGCACUAGAUAUACAGUGCCACUGCACUGCCAAACCACACAACUGCCAUAUUUAUCAUCAUCACCCACCCCUUUCAUUGCAAAAGCAACAGCAAGUGCGCUCAUAUAAUCCAUAUGUCCCAUCCACAAGUUGUAUCUAAUCUAAGAUCAGUUAUAAACUUAAUUAUAUUUUAGAAUAAUCUUGAAACUUACAGUUUCGUCAUCAGCUCCUAAUUUUCAAAUCUACCUAGCCAACCACUCUUAUCCUAUGUUCAAUUCCAGGAUUUGUGGUUAAACCAUUUUGAUAAGGUUUCAAGAUCAUGAUUAUUAUUUUGAUUAAAAAUUGUGAUUAUGUACACAUUUCUCCUACAACAUUUCCAGUUUUUCAAUAAUAUAAGGACUUCAGCUCAAUGUAAGAAAAGACCAAAAUUAAUUCUAGAACUGAGACCAAAAUUAAUUCUAGAACUGAACCCAAAAACCUUGGAUAGAUGGUUUUACUAUUGGUGUACUACAUACAUCCUAAAGAUGAUCCUUUAUAAGAAAUUCAGGUCAAUGUGCAAUAAUUCAACAGUGAGAACAGGGAAAUUAUGAAAUGGAUUUACUUGUACAAGAAAUAGAUUUUUCUUAUUUUGAACAUGUUUAAGUUAUGAAAAUAAGAUAGAUGGCAUGAACUUAAUAUAUACUUGACAAUUCCACAAUAUCUCAUAGUAACCAUGUGCUAUACAGAAGCUGCUUUACCUGCAAAAUGGUCAUUGCUGUCCAAGGCACUGUCCAAGGUUUCAUUCCAAAAAAUGCAUCAGCAGCCUGAAACAUGACCACCCAAAUCAUUCAAAGAUGCUGAUUAAUAUAUGAAAUUUUCAGGAAUUAGUCUUCCCAUUUGAUUAUGUAAGUGGAAAACACAUUGUGGGAUGGCAUUAAUUUGAAAGCCACUUCCUUAUUUUUCAAUGGUUCUUGUUUUAUCAUGCAUUUAUAAACUUAUUAGCAAUGCAAGGACAUAUAAUAACUUUAAAAAGGAGAAAAAGGAAGCAAAAAAGCAAUACAAACACCACAAGUUAGUAAUCACCAUGCACUCCAAAGAACAGACGUCAUUUGUUGGAGUGACUUCUGUCAAGUCGGGAACGGAAUGGGCUACAUUAUUCGUUCAAUUUUAAAGAAUAAGUAGGCAUUGUUACAAGGAUUAGUUACUUAAAAGGUUAAUUUUGAAAAAAGUUAACAAAGAUCUUUGAAGGACUAAAUUGGCAGUAUCAUGAGUUUAAAAGAGCACUUCUAUGUCUUCUCUUCCACUUGAUUACAUAUUAGAUUAGAUAAACAAAUGUAAGUCUUUAGCAUGUUUCUUCUCUAUUUGGAUAGAUUCAUAGUACUAAUCGUAAAUUUUGUGAAACGGCAUAAUCAUUAUUUGACAAUGAGAAAUGACAUACAUAAUGAAAACUACACCUUUAAUGCCUUUCGAACCUUUGAAACGCAAUCUUUUUUCAAUUUAUCAGACUGUUCAACUUCAGGCUUUGCCAAUUCUUCUGGCAGCUUAUCUUCUACAGUCUCAAACUCUGGAAUUUCUGCAGAAGAUUCUUCCUGCCUAUGGCAUGAACCUCUCCAUUUCUACAAGACAAUAAAAACUAAAAAUGAUAAAAUGACAUCAAUCCAUAUAAAUCUGCAAAAUCUAUCUCUCAUUCCGACCAAGAAUACACCCAGCCGUGCAUUUGGGGCUGAGAAAAAUUUGGACAAUCUUGUUUUGGUUUCAAGAAAAUGGAAAAGAUUAAUCUUAAUUAAGUCAUACAGUUAAACUUAUCCUCAAUUAAGCACAGGUUUCAUUUUCUCCUAUUCCAAAUGUCAAGAACCUAAAACUCAAUAUUGGUUUCAUUUCUCUCCUUCAAUUUCCCAGCAACCAAAAAACGCAAAUAUAUAAGUGUGGUCAUUGAGAAAUCAGAAAGAAAUACUCCAAAAAAAAAAAAACGAUUUUUGUAUUCAUAUCAACCUUUGCUUACCCUCGUGCAAGCAAUGCUUGUACACGUGGAAAUAAAAACUACUUUGGUUUUGCCAAGAUUAUCGCUCUCCCAAGCAAGAAAUGUCACGAAAUGCAAACCAAGCAAUACCCGCCGACAAACAUAGAUUUUCAAAUUCAUUUCCUCGUCAGUUUUCUCGGAACCAAACAGAAAGUAAAGGAAAACUUUAGAUAGAGGAGAGGACCGAAAGAAAGGUUAAGUGCAUACAGAACACAAAACAAGCGGCAUAAAAACAGAAAUCUUAAAAUUCAUGUUCCCUUUCUCGGUAACCUAACAGAAAACAAACGGAAUGUGAAAUUUAGAAAUGGAGAACUCACAUUCUUUGAAUACCUGGAGAGAGUAUCGACAAUACGAAAUCUUUGAUUCAGAGAAAGUGAAGUUCUUGGAAGAUUCGAAAUCCUGAUUCUUGAAAUUGGAGGAGAGAUGAGAGAGGGGUAGUGAGAGAGAGUGCGGCAGCAUGGGGCUGACAUUGUGGCGGCAUCGGAUUGGCCGAAAUCCGUAGAUGGAGGGUUUAGGUGGAGGAAUGCGAUUGAUGGAAAAACCCUAGCUCUCUGCAUCAGAUUUGAAACCCUAGUCUUGCUUGGUUUGACGAAGACGAAAGACGGCUAAUACGUCGCCGUUUCUGCGGAUGCCGUGGCCAGUGGCCCCCAACCUGGUUCAGUGAAUCUUGACGCUCAAGAGCUUCAAUGUACCGAUCACAAGGCCUCUCACCUGAAUGCUUAUAAACGACGUCGUUUCUGAAAGAAUUAGAGAAAAUACUCUGGAUUAUUAUUUAGAAAACUCCUUUUAAAACUUUUUAGUUAAAUCUUAAUCAUUGAAUUGAUCUCAAUCCUCACUAUUUAAACUUGAAAUUUUAUUUUAAGGUUAAAAGAAAAUCUUAAUUGUUGAAUUGAUCUCAACCUUCACUAUUUAAACUCAAAUUUUUAGUUAAGAAUUAUAGGAAAUUGUGCUCUUCGGCCUUUCUGAUUUUAGAAUGUUUCAUAAAAAAAUCCACCCCAUUUUGAACUAUGAAAUUGUUUUCUAUUCGAUUUUCUCACAAAAUAUGGGUUGAUUCAUUUAGUUCUUCCGACUCAUCACUCUUUAUUACAUUUGAAUUGAGAUAAAACAAUUUUUCCUCGUAAUUGGACUUUAAGAAGUGGUUGAGGUCGAACUUGAUGUUGAUUUCAAGUUUACUUUUAAAAAAAGAAAGUUUGUAGUUGAAGUUGGAAUGUGGUAAUCAAAUAGUCCAAGAAAUAAUUAAAGAACCCAAGUUAUGUAAAUCUACAUACUUAGUUGUUUUUCUUUAUGGUAGAAUUUGUCGAUUGCUUGUAGGUCCAUGACUUUUAAUCUCUUCGAAGAUUUUCUAAGUUAAACCUCGAUAUCAUUGUCUCCGUCACUUUUUUAUUAUUCUUUUGGUUAUUUCUAUUUGUCUAUCUUUACUUGUGAAUUACAUUAUUGCAAUGAGUUGAUUGAUUGGAUUUGAUAAUUUAAACUUUAAAAAUUUAUAAAUUAAUUUCUAUUUUAGUAAUUGAACUUAGUGGAUUGAUUUGGGAGUGUUGCCUCGUUUUCUUUAUAGUUUUGAUUGUUUGUCAAAUAAUCAAAAGAGAACAAAAAAUAAAAGGAAAAUAAAAAUCAAUGGAAUCCCAAUAAUUCAUUUUCAAGAUUAAUAAUGAUGAUGGUGAUGGUGAUAAUAAUAAUAAUAAUAAUAAUAAUAAUAAUAAUAAUAAUAAUAAUAAUAAUAAUAAGAUUAAUAAAUGAAGAUUUUUCAACCAAUGAUGUCAAAGGAUUGAAAAUUUGCAAAUCAAAUCCCAAUGUCAAAGCUUGAUUAAUGCGACUUUAGUAUUGGGGCCCAAGCCAUGCUUUUAAAUGUCCAUUUCUCAACAACUUAUGUUCUUGGCUAGUCAUCCAUCAUGACCCUGGUGUCCACAAAUUAAAUAAAUGAAUAAAAUAAAGUUAAAUUACAAGAAAAAUGGAUCCCUCAAUUUUUUGCUUUCAAUAUCAGCUUGGUUGGCUUUGUUGGGAACUUGGAAAAUGGAAAUAAAAGAAAAUUGAAUAAAAUAAUAAAUAGAUUUAAAAUUAAUAAAUUAUUUUUUACUUAUUUUUUCAAACUCAUUUACUUUUCUUUUAUGUAAAGAUUAAGAUUAUAUUUGGUUUAUGAAAAAAUGUAAGGGAAAAAAAAUAAAGAAAAGAAAAAAAUGAAGAAAAAAAAAGUUAAAUUUUUUUUUUUACAUAAUUAUUUAAACUUAUUUCAUUUAUUUUUGUUCUUUUAUGUAAAAUUAAAUAGUUUGAAAAUGCAUAAGUUUUGAAUUAAUUUCAAUUAUAUUUGAUUUUUUUUCUAAUAUUUUUUUGGGUUGAAAAUUAAAUAUGAAAAAAAAAUCAUUUUCUUUAAUAUUUACUGUUUUCUUGGUAUUUUCCCAAUAACCAAAUAUGACUUAAAUAAUUUAAAAAUAUAUAAACAUUAAAUAUGAUAAUAUAUAUAUAUAUAUAUAUAUAUAUAUAUAUAUUAUGUAUUUUACAUAGUAAAUACCAAAUAAGAAUUUUUUUUUUAAAAAUAUAUAUAUUUUUAGUUUAAUGAAACAAAUUUCUACUACAGUGAUUAUCCAUCUUCUUAGUUAUGAUUAUAAAAAAAAAAAAAAAAAAAAUGUUCUAGUAAAAGCAAAUAUCAUGAAAUAUAUUUCAUUCAAGUAAAUUUUAUAUUUCAUACAAGGGAGCUUUUUGUCUAGUUAUUAUAUUAGCAAUAAAACAUUUGUAUAUAAAAUAAUUUUUCUAAAUUUGACAAAAUAUUUUAAAGAAAAAAAAUCCAAAAUACUUUAAAAUAUUUCAUUCAAGCAAUUAAAAAAAAAAAAAAAGCCCUAUGGAUUUGCAAGUGUUAUUCCAUGUUUUUCCACAAAUUUAAUUGAAUUAGUGAUAGUAAGUAAAAGACAUGAAAAAAGAAGACAUAAACAAAGAUUUAUAAGGUUAACGACAAUUUUCUAAGUCCGCUCCUAUGUUGGAUUGCUUGCAAACUUGGAGGUUUGUUUAAUUCACCAAGAGCUUUUUUAAGUUAAAGUUUUCAAGUAUUUGUACACUUAGGUCAUGUUUGGUUCCUGAAAAUACUAAGAAAAGAAAAAAAAUACGAAGAAAAAUGAUUUUUUUUUUUAUAUUUGGUUGUCCUAUAAAAAAAUAUAAAAGAAAAUCAAAUAUAAUUAAAACUAAUUAAAAAUUUAUGUAUUUUUAAAUUAUUUAAUUUUUAUAUUGAUGAGUUAAAAUAAAUAAAAUGAGUUUAAAGUAACAAAAAAAUAAUUUAUUGACUUUUAAUCUAUUUUUUUAUUUUUCUUUACUUUUUUUUUUCUUAUAUUUUUUCUUUAUAUAUUCUUUCCCUUACAUUUUCCCUCAAAUUUUUCUGACAACCAAACAUAACCUUAAAUUCCAAAGUUUUAAUAUAUCAUUAUAACUCUUUACAUGUUAUUUCAAAUACUUUAAAACCUUUUCUCAUCAAGAAAAACUAUCAAGUCCUUUUCUGAUAAAAAAAAAGCUAUUAGGAAUGUGGAAUGGGGGUAAAUAUUGACCUCAUACGGAUACUCUUGUUCGUUGUUGAUUGGAAAUUAGUUCCAUAAUUCGUAUACCCUGAUUAGUGAUGGUUUUACAAACCCUUUCUCGCAAAGCAACUUAGUGUCAUAUGCACCAUGCUGAAUAAGGAGCCCAAGAAUGACUCCCAAACCCUAAGUCAAGCGGGACCAUUCAUUAAGUUUAAGUAUAUGAAUAAGAAGUAUAAAAUUUCUUAAUGAUUGAUAAAAUUGAUAUUCAAAAAUUGAAAGAUACUAAUUAAAGUCCGUGAUCUUUAGAUAUAUUAGUUUUACAAAAAUUAGUGUUAAAAAUACAAAUUUAUUGAAGUUGUGCACUCAUCAAGGGAAGGGAUUAGUCUAUCAAUUGAUUAACAACCCAUGUGGGGAAGUGUACAAUUGAGGUUUUUGAUGCACUUAUAAUGAUGAUUUCUGAACUUCGAUUAAUUGUGUGUUUUUCUCAAAAAAUAAUAUAUUUUCAUCAAUUUUAUCAAUAACGUAUCGAUCUCAUCCAACUUUAUAUUCGAGAACCUAGUUAGAAAUUUUGUUUUGAUGAAAAUCAUUAAAAAAUGAUGCAAAAUCAUAGACUAAUUUAAUUAUACCUUUGUCAUACUUCUUGAGGCCUUUGAGGGUGAUGUCUUGACUUGAUGCUAGGGGCUUUUAAGAAAUGAUUUUCAAUUUAUAACCUACUCAAAUAAUUUUAGACAAAUUUUUUAGAAAUAAAUCAUAAUUAAAGAGGAAUUAAUACAUCAUAUAUAUGUCAAAUCCAAUAAUCCAUGACCAACCUUACAUGCAAGUGUGAAUAUCAGAAAAUCAUUCUUAUGCGGGCAUUAAUUGAAAAUAAAAAUAAAUACGUGUCAUAUAGAAUUGACACUUUCGGCUUCUCCCACUUCAAUUUGAAUACCACAAACACCCACCACGUGCCCACAUUAUCCAAUAAUUCCUCUCACACCGACCAUUGGAUCCACCUUUGUCAACGUUGUAGCUCAACCACCACUCUACACGUGGCGUGAUCCAUCUCAUUUUCGCAUAAAUGUAACUCUCAUCAAAUACUUGGGGGGAAGCCUCUCUUCUAUUAAAUACUUUCAUGCCAAUAAUUCACCAUCGACAUUACACAUUUUCUCAUCUCCAUGGCCUCUUCUUCUUCUCCUACCAGGGUUUUGUUCUUCUUGGCUUUGGCCGGGCUCGUCGGUGUUGCGACUGGUAGCGUUGGGUUGGGCGCGAGGUUGGUGGCUAAGGAGAAUCGUGCUUGGGUUUCGGAGAAUGGGACGUUUGCUUUCGGGUUUUCUCCGGUGGAGUCUGACGACCGGUAUCAGUUGGGGAUUUGGUUUGGGCAGCUUCCGGGAGAUAGAACCAUGGUUUGGUCUGCUAGCAGGUGAGUUUUUACUUUUUAGGGCAAGUUGAUGAUGAUGUGAUAGUGUAAUAUGUGCAUGGUUUUGAAUAUUUCUGAGAAUUUGUUGUACGUGGUAUGUGGACUAGGCCCCAAAGCUUGUUUAAUCUGGGCCCCGUAGUACCGCAACCAGGAGCUGUUGUGGCAGACGGUGGUGUCUUGGGGCCUUUGGCCCAGACAGUGAUGAGGAAGAUGAUUAACUUGAUGAACAAAUUCUUUAGGUGUGAUUUUUUUUAAUUUAAGGGAACUAUUAGGAAAAGAAACUAGCGAGAUGAAAUAGUAGAAAAGAAAAAAUAAGAAAAAAAAUUAAAUAAAAUUAUUAUUAUUAUUAUUUAAAAAAAAAUGAUAUUUAAUCAUUGUGUCUAUAUUCAAACUAUAUGUUAUUUGAUUAAGUAAUUUGUAUAUCAUUUUUCAUAAAUUGACUAUUGAAAGAAAUAAUGGAAAUUGUUUUUUUUUUUUUCCAAGUCUAAUUAAGAAGAUGUCAGUGUCGUUGAAUUCAGAAACAUGCUCUAGUCUUUACCCAAGCUUUUGCAGGUAUAUAUGUGAAUGUGAUCACUACUUAGCCAACAAUUUCAUUUUCUCUCAAUCAUCUGCAUAUAUAUAGAAACUCCCCCGUCGGAAAAGAUGCAGUACUGGAGCUCGACAGCACAGGAAACCUUCUCCUGCUCGACGGAGAUGCAACAGUUUGGUCGUCAAAUACCUCCGGCGAAGGUGUUGAGACGGCAUACAUGUCUGAAUCCGGCAACUUCAUCUUGUACAAUGGCACCAACUUCCCUUUAUGGCAGAGCUUUUCUCACCCUUCAGAUACUCUCCUCCCAAACCAACCUCUCACAGCUUCAAUGGAGCUCACAUCCUCCUCACCUGCGCAUGGUGGUUACUACACUCUCCAGAUGCUGCAGCAGCCUACUUCCCUCAGCCUUGGACUCAUCUACAACUUGCCCGACUCUUACAUCACCUCGUUGCAGUCUUAUGCCAACUACUCCUACUGGUCUGGACCCGAUAUAUCAAACGUAACAGGAGAUGUAGUCGCGGUUUUGGACGAGGCGGGGAGCUUUGGGAUCAUGUAUGGGUCGUCAUCUGAUGGGGCGGUUUAUGUUUACAAAAGUGAUACUGAUGAGAAAGGGCUGUCUUCGUCUGUGAAUCAGACAGUUAGGCCAUUAGUUCUUCGAAGACUGAUACUCGAGAUGAAUGGGAAUUUGAGGCUGUAUCGUUGGGACGAUGAUGUGAACGGCACUCGCCAAUGGGUGCCUGAAUGGGCUGCAGUUUCUAACCCAUGUGAUAUUGCUGGGGUUUGCGGAAAUGGGGUGUGUAGCUUGGACAGAAGCAAGACUAAUGCCUCGUGUACAUGCCUGCCGGGGUCUUCUAAGGUGGGAGACAGCGGCCAGUGCUCAGAGAAUUCGUCGGUGUCAACUGGGAAAUGUGAUAAUAAUCAUCGGAAUUCAACUGCUUCCAAGCUGAAGAUGUCGAUAGUACAGCAAACUAACUACUAUUACCCUGAAUCUUCGAUUAUAGCAAAUUAUAGUAACAUGUCCCCAUUAUCAAAGUGUGGGGAUGCUUGUUUAUCAGACUGUGAUUGUGUUGCUUCUGUGUAUGGGCUGAGUGAGGAAAAGCCUUACUGUUGGCUGCUGAACAGCUUGGAGUUCGGUGGAUUCGAGGACACGAGUUCGACCUUGUUUGUGAAGGUUGGGCCUAAUGGGUCACCUGAAGGCAACGCAACAGGAUCUGGGGAUUCAUCUGAUGGCCUCCGGGACAAGGUCUUGGUUCUUCCAAUUGUUCUCAGCAUGAUUGUCCUUGUAGCACUCCUCUGCUUCUUGUUAUAUCACACUGUGUACAGAAGGAGGGCCUUGAAGAGAUCCCUGGAAAGCUCCUUGAUUGUGUCCGGUGCUCCAAUGAAUUUCAGUUACCGCGAUUUACAGUCCAGAACCGGCAAUUUUUCGCAGUUGCUCGGCACAGGUCAGCAUGUACAUAUACCUAUACUUUGAAAGGGAUGAAAUUGUUCGAAAAAAGCCAGUUGGACUUGAUCAAUUUGGAUUAAUGUUGUCUUCUCUUUUUUUCAGGAGGGUUUGGGAGUGUAUACAAGGGAAGCCUUUCAGAUGGGACAUUGGUUGCAGUGAAGAAGCUUGACAAGGUUUUGCCUCAUGGGGAGAAGGAAUUCAUAACUGAAGUGAACACCAUUGGCUCUAUGCAUCACAUGAACCUGGUUCGCCUAUGUGGCUACUGCUCGGAAGGCUCUCACCGGUAUGCAUUUCAUUUCAUCGCCUAAAACCAAUUACCACUAACCAUAAUUAAAUUCUUAUCAUCCUCUUUUGGGGUCAAGCAUACUAUAUUUUCGAGCAUAUAAUGGGGUUGGAAUUUGAUGAUUCUUCACAGGCUUCUGGUUUAUGAGUUCAUGAAAAAUGGUUCCUUGGACAAGUGGAUAUUCCCCUCAAAGCAUUGCCGGGACAGACUGCUAGAUUGGGGAACUCGUUUCCAUAUAGCCAUUGCUACUGCACAAGGGAUUGCUUAUUUUCAUGAGCAGUGCAGGAAUCGGAUAAUCCACUGUGAUAUCAAGCCUGAAAACAUACUUCUAGAUGAGAAUUUCUGUCCAAAAGUUUCAGACUUUGGACUAGCAAAGCUGAUGGGCAGAGAGCAUUCACAUGUUGUCACUAUGGUGAGAGGAACUAGGGGCUAUCUGGCUCCAGAAUGGGUUAGCAACCGGCCUAUUACUGUAAAAGCCGAUGUCUACAGUUACGGAAUGCUUCUCCUGGAGAUCGUUGGUGGCCGGAGAAACCUUGACAUGACCUUUGAUGCAGAAGACUUCUUCUAUCCUGGGUGGGCUUUUAAGGUAUAGAUCAAUCAAGUUCUUGCUUCUGUAAAUCACAAAUUGUUAAGUGUUUGAUAUUUUAUUAACGAAAAUGCCAAUUCCUCUAGGAAAUGAGUAAUGGGACGACAAGAAAAGUUGCAGACAGGCGACUGGAAGGGGCAGUGGAGGAAGAGGAGCUAGAAAGAGCAUUGAAAACUGGCUUUUGGUGCAUUCAAGAUGAGGUUUUCAUGAGGCCUUCAAUGGGGGAAGUGGUGAAGAUGUUGGAAGGAUCACUUGAAAUCAACACACCGCCAAUGCCACAGACAGUUCUGGAGCUCAUGGAGGAGGGCUUGGACAAUGUAUACAGAGCCAUGAAGAGAGAGUUCAACCAGUCCAGCUUCUUCACCAUCAAUAAUAGUACCCAUCCUUCAUCAAGGGCUACAUGUAGUUAUUCCACAAUGUCACCUAGAUAGCAAAGGAGAAAUGGAACAAAUUUUGUUGUUGUCCCGGAAUUUUAUCACCUUGAUAAAUACUGUCCAGAAACAUAAUUCUUAUUGAUCAAUUGUUACCAUACAUACUAAUGGGCAAUGAAAUUAGUAGAGAACUUUGCAUAGGUUGAGGUACGAAAAUCUGUCUUUUAAAGGAGAUUUAAGCCAUUUCUGGUUUGACAAUUUGAGAAAUUGGUGUACUUGACUUCUCUUUCAUUUGUCCCCGCAAGGAUACGAUAGUCGGCCAAGUGAUUUGUUGCAUAGCUCACAUCAAUAUGCAUAAAGCAUAGAACUUAAGGCUUCACAAAGAAAAGUCUUUUUUUGCCAAGAAAAAAAAAAAAAGAAGAAAGGAAGAAGAUAACUAAAAAAUGUCUGAAGUUACAUGACAUUAAGAGUGUGAGUCAAAAGACUCAUCGUAAAGUUUAAAAUCUUCAACAAUUUCAAAAGAAUUCAAUCUAGCUCUUUAAUUUUUAUAAGCUAAAUCCCAUUGACAUAAAUGAUAUUUAAUACUUCUCAAUUCCCAUAAUUGUAACUACAAAUUCAAUAAUCCAUUAUGCCAACUUUCAUAUAUAACCAUAAUGUUGGUAGCUAGUUUACAUUGAUAACUUUGUUCCAAACUUGUUGGAUCUAACUCUAAUAUUUAAUUACUUCAUGUGACUUACAUUGGACUUGAAAACUUGAUAUUAUUAUCAAUUCCUCCUUAAGGUCAUUCUGGUAACUAUGAUUAAGUUUGUUCGGAUGAAUAAUGACAUCGAAAGGUAUAUGCUGGUUUUUAUUAGAUGAUAUGAAAAUAAUAGGGAAAAAAAGAAAAAAAGAAUCGGAUUUGGAUUGGCAAUCAAGUGAUCCCUAUGAGUGCUUAAGUGCUCAAAACCACUUUACAUAAUUUUUUACUAAUUUUCUUAUUCAAUUUUUUCAUGAUAUUUUUCCGCUACAAUUUUUAAGAUUAUGAUUACACCUUAUGUUAUUGAUUUGAUAUAUGUUUUUUAGAGCUAGAUGCUAUUAUUCUCUAAGAGCCCCAUCGUGGAUUAAGUUUAGUUUGUGGUGAUUUCUUUCAUUAAGGAAUACACUCUCUCUCUCUCUCUCUCUAAUUGGGAAAUAUCAUGGUGGAUAUUGAAGUGACAUAUGGGAGAGUUUGUGGUGAUUUCUUUCAUUAAGGAAUACUCUCUCUCUCUCUCUCUCUAAUUGGGAAACAUCAUCGAUAUGUUGGUGGACAUUGAAGUGACAUAAGGGGAGAUGGAUAGAUAUUGAAGUGACAUAUAGGGGAGAUAUAUCCAUCUACCGAAGUUUAGGUUAUUUUUAAAAAAAUUGAUAUUUUUGCCAUUCACAUAUUUAAGAGAAUAAAAUAUAAAAGAGUUAAAUAUCUUAAUCCUCGUAAAAUUGAAAUUUCAACUUUUGACAUGUCAAAUUACAAAAUUAUAAAACACAUUAAAUUUUGAUAUGCCUUAGAAAAAACAUAUUUAAUUCAUUUUUUUAAUUUUCUUUGUUAUCUUAUUAAUUAAGUUAGCAAAUUACAUUAAAAAUCAAAUAACAAUGGAUCAAUUAAAAGAUAUAACACUAUGUUCGGUUGUCUAAGAUUUGAAAGUAAUGACAACAAAAAGAAAACAAAGAAAAAAAUAAAAAGAAAAAUAAAAAUACAUUUAAAAUUAAUAAAUUAUUUUUACAUCUUAAUAAAUUAUUUUUACAUAAUUCUUUAUUCAUUUCACUUAUUUAUACUCUUUUAUAUAAAAAUUAAAUAUUUUUAAAAAUAUAUAAAUUCUUAAUUAAUUUUAAUUAUAUUUGAUUUUUCUUUACACUUUUUUAGAGUUAAUUUUGUUUACCUUCUAGAGCUUUGGGUUAAAUAUAUUUAGUCACCUUGAGUUUAAAAUUUUAUCAAAUAUCUUUUUUUUCUUUUUUUUUUGAGUUAGAUGUAGGGGCAUAACUUGAGCAGAUAGGCCCUACUCAACCUGAUGUUUGAAUAACUUGAACAAUUAUUUUCAAUACUUGAGUUGUGAUAGAUUAAAUAUUUUCAAUUUGUGCUCAAUUUGGAUGACUAAAGAUUCAAACAACUCAAACCUAAUCCAAAUCAGAUUUAAUAUUUUUAUAAUAUUUAUAAUAUAAAAUAUAAAAUAUUAUUAUUACAUAUCAUAUCUUGAAAUUUUGUUCUAUUAACUAUUUAAAUUUUGACAUAAAUAUAUGAGUUUAUUACACUUUACCCCUGUAACUUAUAACUUGUUUCGCACAUUGUCCCAUCAAGUUCAAAAUUGAGUAAUGUACCUUCCAUAUUUAAUAACUGUAUGUAAUGUGCAUUUUUUUUAAAGACAACAUUAUUUUUUGGACGGAAAGGUAUGUGCUCUCUGCAUGAUUGAGGGCAAAAGUGUCUUUUUUCCUUUGCAGCUCCCUCUCUCGAUCGUUACUCCCCUUUGGAACCCCAAAUUGUAGCUCGCUUCUUUUUGACCCCGUUCUUCUUUUCUUCUUUCAAAGCCUCAGAAUGCGAAUCCCAAAAAGUUGCUACUGAAGCCCCAGAUAAUUUCUCAUGUUUAUAGGGUGGAAAUGUUUCUCCAAAUUUCCCUCAAAAAUUGCCUAAAAAUUUCCUAAAAAUUUCCCCAAAAAUUCCCCCAGUUUUCUAAAACAUGAAAACAAAACCCCAACCCUUAUAAAGGAUUAAGGGUACAUUAUUCGAUUUUGUACUUAAGGGGUCAAUGUGUAAAAUACGCUUUAAGUUGAGGGGUAAAAUGUAAUUAACUCUAAAUAUAUAGAAUUUUUUUUUAAAAAAAAAACAUUAUUUGGGUAAAUUUUGAAUUAUGCAAUCGAUUAUUUUCUCUUGAAUAGCCUCAUGAAUCCGAACUCAAUCUAAUUUUUUAUCGUACUUUAGAUAUAUAUAACUCAUUUGUCUUGUCUCGGCCACAUUGUCCCAAUCACAUUCAUAUAAGAAACUUAUGUUUGGGGCUGGUAAUAUUAAAAUAUUAUGAGAUUGGUAACUCAACUUUUGAUUUUUUAAUAUAACUAUUCUAAUCCCAAAAAUAAUAUAGGGUUCAUGCACUUUGAGCUGAACUAUUUUUUAAUGUCCAAUAUGCCAUCUUCUUUCUGCCAGGUCAAACUCCAACAUCUCCUGUGAAAAAAAAAAGGGUCUUCUUCCAUUUCCAGCAUCACCUUCACUAGAUGACCAUAACUCAUCCCAAACUUCUUCACCUCCAUUCGCGGACUCUCCACUGUCGAGUCAACUCGUUUCAUCUCAGUCACCGCCGCGGCUCAUCACCAACGACGACCGAGGAAACCUCGACUCUAUGUACCGCAUCAACGUCUCCCCCGAUCUCGAAACGGUGUCAGAGCCACACUGCAGAACCAGCAUAUCGGGUUUGAGAAUCGGCGUCUCGGCCGACACCAUUCAGACGGAUACGCAUUUGUGGUGCAAGGCGAACCAGACGUAGGAGGUGAGAGGAACCGCUGGAGACAAACGACACCAAAAUUCCUUUCCCAUCUUCCACUCCCUGGUUGUAGGUCUCGUCAUAGGAAACAAACGGCUGAGACUUAGUAAAUUGGGAGAGGAAGCAUGCUAGUUGUAGGUGUGAGAAGUUGCGGGAGAGACAUGGACGAAGGUGGGGGUGGGGGGGAGGGAGAGAGAAAGAGAGAGAGAGAGAGAGAGUCGAAGAGGUUAGGUUUUUUUUUGGAUUUGGGUUUCAAAGGGGGGCAGAGCAGAUGGAAAAUUUUAGGCAAAACGUUUUAUGUUUUUUCAGUUUUUUUAUUUUUUACUUUUUAAAUAUGUGGAGGUUGACUUGUAAUAAGAGAGGGCAUAUUAGGUAUUAAAAAUAGCUCAGCCCAAAGGGCAUGGAACCCAAAAUAUUUUGGGUUCAAUAUUGAAAAAUUAAAAAUGGUAAAAAUGAGUUUUGGUUUUCAUAAUAUUUAGUUAUCACCAUCCCAAAACCUAACUUUCCCAAUUUUCUCUUUCGUGCUUUCUGUUCACUUGCUCCGCAAUUUACGCAAAGACUCUCUUACCAUUGACUUUAUUACAAUUUCUACAAGAAAAUUCGAACUUCAAGACUAAGCAAAAAUCCUAGGAAUCAAGCUGGAAGCUACAAUGCUGUUUCAGGGAAGCACAUGAUAUACAAAUACAACCCUUAUAAGUUACAGCUUCGGCACUGACCAGGAGACUGUAAGUACUGGCCAUGGAUGCAGAAGAAGAAAGGCUAAGUAAAACCCACAUCCAUGGCCAAUUGGUAGAGAUAAACCACAAUCAGGAGAAACGAAUACGCCACGAAGAAACAAAGGCGCAGAAUCUGACAACUGGGUUUGCGGUCGUCCAAGCUUUAAUUCUCAACACAGGGGUGAUCAAUAAGCCAUCCAACAGAUGCGAACACUGGUGGGUGCCAUUCUCUCUCUCCUUAUCCGUCGGUGUGAUUUAUUUCAUCACCAUUUUUGAGGUGUUGAGGAAAUGGUACCUUCUGCUCUACCAUUUGGACGUCAACUACCUGGAGCAAGAACUUAUUCUACUGGAAAUGCAUGGGGGUGCUCCGUCCUGGCGAAAUGAUCAGCCAUUGAAGCCAGAUGUGGUGAAGCUCCUGAGGCGUAAAGCUUAUAUCACGAUACUGAUUUCUGCUAUGCUCGCCUUUCAAGCUCUGAUGCUCCACGCCUGCAGAUCCUUUCUUUGCAGCUGAAAGUAACCAUCUUCCCCUUUAAAUAAAUACUAGAAUAAAAAAAAAAAUUGUUGUUUAUUAUGCCAAAUUUCUCGAUGCCUUUGAAGAGUGUCAUGGGAAAGGCUAUUAAGAUGCAAACUACAUAAUUCAAAAUGCAUUAUAUGCAACGAAAUUAUUUACCAUGAAAUUUAUUUAUAUUGUUUUUCUUUCUAAAGUAUUCAAAAUGCAUGAUAUGCAAUCGAAAAAUUUGAGGGAAAAUAUUACAGAAAGAAAAUAGAGAGAAAAAGUAGAAUAAAAAAAUGAAAAAAAAUAAAAAAUAUAUUUAAAGUCAAUAAAUUAUUUUUAUAUUUUAUUUUAAACUCAUUUUAUUUAUUUUAACUCAUGAUAUAAAAUUAAAUAAUUUUAAAAUAUAUAAAAUUUUAAUUAAUUUUAAUUAUAUUUGAUUUGAGAAACUCAUUUUACUACACAUUUUUUUUUCCCUUUUUCAGUAGUUUUGGCAACCAAACAUUUACCUAAAAUUUUGUUAAUGCAUCUCCCUAGGUGUUUGUGCUCACAUAUUGGGCCCAAGAAUGGGUUCCUGCAACUACCAUCAGUGGGCUGGGCUGCCCAAUCAAUAACAAAAGGGCACUCACCUGGGUCUCAUGGGCCGAAAAAAAUGGAGCCCAUACACAACAGUUUUGAACCCAAACAUAAAUUUCAAGUUCAUAUAUACUUUUAAUCUCGUUUAUUCAUUCAUAUUAGAAAUCUAGAUUUAUAUUAAUUCAUUCAUGUAGAUCUAUAUAUUAGGAAUCAAAUUAGAGUGCAUAGAAACCAAAAUUAAGAGAGAGGAUUAUACCCAAGGAAGUUUUGUGUGAUACGUUGAACCGAAAGUGAUAAAAACUAAGGCUAUGUUUGGUUCCCGGAAAAUUUGAGGGAAAAUGCGAGGGAAAGAAAAUACAAAGGAAAAGUAGAAGGAAAGAAAAAGUGAAGGAAAAUAAAAAAAUAUAUAAAAAUUUGAUAAAUUAUUUUUUUUGUUACUUCAAACUCAUUUUAUUUAUUUUAACUCAUCAAUAUAAAGAUUAAAUAAUUUAAAAAUACAUAAGCUUUUAAUUAGUUUUAAUUAUAUUUGAUUUUCUUUGAUAUUUUUCAUAGGACAACCAAACAUGAGAAAAUCAUUUUCCUUAGCAUUUUUUUUCUUUCCUUUGUACUUUCCGGGAACCAAACAUAGCCUAAGACUAUGUUUAAUUCUCAAAAAGCAAUAAGGAAAGAAAAAAAAUGAAGGAAAAUUAUUUUUUCGUAUUUUAUUUUUCUAUGAAAACCUUGAAAGGAAAUAAAAUAUAAUUAAAAAUUUAUUAUAUAUUUUUAAAUUAUUAAUUUCCAUAUAAAAGAGGAACAAAAUGUCAGAUGAAUUUGAAGUAACAAAUAAAAAUAAUUUAUAAGUUUUAAAUUCAUUUUUUUAUUUUCCUUAAUUCCUUCUUUUACUUUUUCUUUCUAUUUUCUUUCCCUCACAUUUUCUCUUGGAUUUUCUAAGAACCAAACAUAAUAUAAAAAAUAUUUAAUAUAAAAAAACAAAUAAUAUAUAAAAAAACCCAAAUAAUUUGACAUGUGGUAUAUUGUUGCUAGUCAAAGUAAUGGUCGUGGGUGACUUUUAGAAGCCUCCAAUAAGAAAUGGCCAAAAAACCUAUGAGCUCGGCAUUUAUUUGAGUAUCUCGAGGACAAUAUUUUAUUUUUAAUUAUGUGUUUUAAUUCAUUGUUUUUUUUCUUUAAUAUUAUUUUAGAAAUAUGUUUAGAGAUAUGUUAAUUUUAGUGCUUAAAAAGAUUUUGAAAUAUAAAGAUUUUGAUAAUUAAAAAUUCGUUUAAAAAUGAUUUUAGGAAGCAUUUAACCUAUUUAAUCUUUAAAAUUUUUAUAAAAGAGUUGUUUUCAAGUGCUAAAAAAAUUAGAGACAUUUUAUAAAAUUACUAUUAAAUAAAUUCUAAAUAUAAUCGAGUCGUGUGACUAUAAAUUGCUAGACUUUUCCAUGUGAUUAAUCCUUGGAUACUUGGAAUUUGUUUAUGUGGGGUAGAGCUUUUGUGAGUUUGUUUGCAAUUUUCUCAUACUAGAAACAAAUGAAUGGUCAGAGAAAGGAACAUAGAAAAGAGAAGAUUGAAACACCUUCACCUGCUCCGAAGGUUCGUAUGAUCUUCAUGCCAGCCUCCAUGCCUCAUUUUCCCGCUUAUAAAAAAAGGCCACAAAAGACUUGACUGAUCUGAUAAAGCAGGGCCGGAAAAGCGAGCUCGACACGAAGAAACGAAAGCCGGCCAAUGCAGUCCGAGAGAUCACACAGCGAACUGUUCGAGUCUGGGCUUUUGUUUCUUCGUGUCGGUCUUGCUUCUGUCUCCGGCCGGAGGAACAAAAUUGUACAGACAUGGAUGGGAAGAACUCCUGUAAUAUCAAGAGUCCUUCUAUCUUUGGAUUGUUAUAAUAAUAUUAUCUUCAAAACAAAAUUUAUGCAAGUGGGGGUAUAUUUUUUAUUUUUUGUUUUUGAAAAUAGGAAGUUUUAUACAAAAUAUAAAAAAAUCUUAUAUGAAAGAUAGGUAUAAUAUUGUUAUGUUAUUUGAAAACAUUUUUUAAAAUUGACGGAAGUAAAAAAAUUUCAAUUCCAUAAAUUUUUAAAUUUUGAAAAAGUCUUUAAGAAGGGUAGGUAAGAGGAUGCUUGUUAAUGGUUAGAAAAUAGUUUUAUAUGUUUUAGAACAAAAGAAUAAUAAAAAAAAACAUGCUUAAUGAUUAGAAAACAGUUUAUACUCUUAAAAAACAAAAAAUCGGAGUGUUUUUAGAUAAUAUCUUUUAAUUUUUAAAAUUAUUUUUAUUUAUUGAAAAAUAAUCAUACAAAAUGCAGAAUGAUUAUGAGUAAAGUAUUACAUGUGAAACUUAUUUUUAAAAAAUAUUUAAAAACAUAAAAAAAAAGUUAAUAACAGUUCAAGUUUCCAAACAAACUAUUAUUUUACAAAAUAUUAUAUAAGAAUUUUAAAAAAUAGUUUUAAAAAAUACUUUUCGAACACAGUUUAAAUUUUUUUCUUUUUGUAUAAAAAUUCUUAUAUUUUGUAUAAGGGUUUUUAUUUUUAAAAAUAAAAAAAAUAAGAAAUAUAUUCAAAGAUAUUUAAUAAACAAUAAGAAUUCAAAAGAGAAAGCCUUAAAUUUUAUGUUAUUAUUGUAAAAUGAGAAUAAAUGUGACUCAAAUAAUAGUAGGGAUGACUAUGUAUUACUUUAAUAAUAUAUAUAUAUAUAGAGGGGGAGGGGGGAAGAAAUCAAAGAGAAGUGUUGAGAGAAUGAAAGAAAGAGAUAGAGAGAAUGAGAGGAAGAAAAUUUCUUUCUUUUUCUCGGGAUGCUCUUACAUGGGGUAUAAGAAGCCUUUUAUAGGAUUCAUAAUAUGAACUCCCAUUACUCAUCUUAAAGAUGAGUAAAUGGAGUUCAUAAAUGACCAUCAAUGUGGUCAUUUAUCACUUCAUUUACAACAUUCCCCCUUGGAUGACCACCUUAUUAAAAGAAUAUGUCUCAUUAAAACCUUGCUAGUAAAAAAUUUUAUAGGAAAAACCUAGCGAAGGAAAAAGAGUAUAAUAUUCUUUUCUUGGUAUAUUAGGACUGCCUCGUUAAAAACCUUGCCAAUAAAACCCAGUAGGACAAAACCUGGACGAAUGAAAAAAGAGUACAGUAUACUAACACCCUUUUACAAGCAUACUCCCUCUCAUGUCGAUAUCCUUGAGUUGACGCAUUCCAAUCAUAUAUAUUAAUUUCUUGAAUGUUGAGGUUGACAAUGAUUUUGUGAAUAAAUCUGCUAGAUUAUCACUUGAGCGUAUUUGUUGCACAUCAAUUUCACCACUCUUCUAGAGUUCAUGUGUACAAAAGAAUUUUGGUGAAAUGUGUUUAGUUCUAUCUCUUUUAAUAUAACCCCCUAUUAUUUGUGUAAUGCAUGUAGCAUUAUCUUCAAAUAAUAUUGUCGGGUCACCUUUGAUAGAGGAGAGUCCACAUGAUUCCCGAAUAUGCUGGACCAUAGAUCUUAGCCUUAUACAUUGAUGACUUGCUUCAUGAAUUGCCAGUAUUUCUGAAUGAUUUGAUGAUGUGGUCACCAUUAUUUGUUUGACAUCUUUCCAUGAAAUAGUAGUACCAUUGCAAUUAAACACAUACCCUAUUUGUGACCUACCUUUAUGUGGAUCUGAAAGAUAUCCUGCAUCUGCAUAUCCAAGCAAUUGUUGCUUUGAUUCCGUUGAGUAAAAUAAACCCAUAUCAAUAGUUCCGCAAAGAUAACAUAAUAUAUGUUUGAUACCAUUUCAAUGUCUUCGAGUUGGAGUGGAACUGUAUCUUGCUAAUAAAUUGACAGAAAAAGCAAUGUCUGGACGUGUACAAUUGGCAAGAUACAUAAGUGCACCAAUAGUACUAAGAUAUGGUACUUCAGGACCAAGUAACUCUUCAUUUUUUUCGCAAGGACGAAAUGAGUCAUUUUUCACAUCAAGUGAUCGGACAACCAUUGGAGAACUUAAAUGAUGCGCUCUAUUCAUAUAAAAGCGCUUCAAAAAUUUCUUAAUGUAUGUUGAUUGAUGUACUAAAACUCAAUUUGGAAAAUGCUCGAUCUGCAGGCCGAGAUAAAAUUUUGUUUUUCCAAGAUCUUUCAUCUCAAAUUCCUUUUUCAAGUAAUUUGUUGUUCUUGUGAGUUCUUCAGGAGUUCCAACAAGAUUUAAGUCAUCGACAUACACUGUAAUAAUUGCAAAUCCGAUUUCUGAUUUCUUAAUGAAGAUGCAUGGGCAUGUAGGGUUAUUCACAUAUCUUUUUUUUUAGCAAAUAUUCGCUAAGACGAUUGUACCACAUGCGUCCAAAUUGCUUUAAUCCAUACAAGGAUCGUUGUAACUUGAUUUAGUACAUGCUAUGAGACUUUGUACUAUUUUCUCCAGGCAAUUUAAAUCCUUUAGGGAUUUUCAUGUAUAUAUCAUUAUCCAUGGAUUCGUAUAAAUAUGCUGUAAUAACAUCCAUGAGAUGCAUAUCCAAUCCUUCUGAGACUGCCAAACUAAUUAAGAAACGAAAUGUGAUUGCAUCCAUGACAGGAGAAUAUGUUUUCUCGUAGUCAAUACUAGGUCUCUACGAGAAACCUUGUGCUACUAAUCGCGCUUUAUAUUUUAUGAUAUCAUUAUUCUCAUUGCGCUUUCGUACAAAUACCCAUUUGUACCCAAUAGGCUUUACAUCCUCAGGUGUUUGGACUACAGGUCCAAAAACUUCUCGUUUUGUUAACGAGUUUAACUCUGCUUGUAUAGUUUCUUUCCAUUUUAGCCAAUCAUUUCUAUGUCGACAUUCUUCCAUAUUUCGUAGUUCGGGAUUUUCAUCAUUUCUUAUGACUUCAUAGGCCACUUGGAAAGCAAAAAUAUUGUUAAUAACAAUAUUAUUUUGAUCCCAUUUUUCUCCCGUGUGUACAUAACUUACUAAGAUCUCACAAUUUUCAGGUACCUAUGCCUCUUUAGGGGCUUCUCGUUCAAUAUGUGGCUCUUCAUGGGCUUCUUGUUCAAUAUGUACCUCUUCAGGGGCUUUCUGUAUUAUUUAUGCCUCUUCUAGGGUUAUAAAUUUAUCAAUUUUAAAUUGAUCAGUCAUUUUGAUGACCUCUUCUAGAGUGCCAAGUUUUUCUUGGGUUCUCAUUUCUGGGAAGAUACAUUCUUUGAGCCAACAAGUUUACCACAUUUCAGGCGUAUCUUAGAUUCAUUUGUUAACUGUCCUACAGGGACAUCGAUCUGUGCUGAGUAUUUGCAGCCGGGAUAUAUGACUUUGUCACUUUCUUUGUAUUAAUGAAUGCAUAUGGUAAUUGAUUUGCAAGAUUUUGCAAAUGAAUGAUCCUUUGGAAGAUGGGUCAUAGUAGAUGCCUUCCAACUAAUUUCUCAUCGUUCUUUAGAAAUUGACUUUUCUCCCCUCUAAUGACUGGAAAACACUCUCAUUAAAAUGACAAUCCGCAAAGCGGGCAGUAAAAACAUCACCUGUUAAAGGUUCAAGAUAUCUUAUGAUAGAUGGAGAAUCAAAACCUACAUAAAUCCCAAGUCUUCGUUGGGAACCCAUUUUAGUGCGUUGUGUAGGUGCAAUUAGUACAUAAACUGCACAACCAAAGAUUUGUAAGUGAGAGAUAUUUGGUUGUUUUCCAAGCACAAGUUGUGAAGGGGAGUAUUCAUGGUAAGUUGUAGGUCAAAUACGGAUUAAAGCUGCAGCAUGCAUAAUAGCAUGUCCCUAGGCAGAAGUAGGUAAUUUGGUUCUCAUUAGUAAUGGUCGAGCUAUUAAUUGGAGAUGUUUGAUGAAGGAUUCUGCUAAACCAUUUUGGGUAUGAGUAUGAGCAACAAGAUGCUCAAUAUUUAUCCUUAUUGACAUGCAAUAGUCAAUGAAUGUUUGAGAAGUAAAUUCGCCAGCAUUAUCAAGACGUAUUGUCUUAAUUGGAUAAUCUAGAAAUUGUGCUCGUAAUCUGAUUAUUUGUGCAAGGAGUCUAGCAAAGGCAACGUUACGUGUAGAAAGGAGACAAACAUGUGACCACCUAGUAGAAGCAUAUAUUAAGAUCAUAAAAUAACGGAAUGGUCCACAUGGUGGAUGGAUAGACCCACAUAUGUCCCUAUGUAUUCUUUCUAAAAAGACUGGUGACUCAGAUUGACUUUAGUAAAAGAUGGUCUCAUUAUCAAUUUACCUUGUGAGCAGGCAACACAUGAGUAUUCAUUGGGUGAAAGAAUCUUCUAGUUCUUUAGUGGAUGUGCAUGUGAGUGUUCGAUUAUUCGACGCAUCAUUGAAGACCCUGGGUGACCUAGCCUGUCAUGCCAAAGGACAAAAACUUUUGGGUCGUUGAACUUCUGGUUCACGACAACAUAUGAUUCAAUAGGCUUUAUAGUUGUAUGAUACAACCCAGAUGAGAAAUUCGAGAGUUUUUCCAUUAUAAGCUUCUGGCCAGAUAUAAUGGAAGUAAUGUAAAUAUAUUCUAUAUUAUCUUCAUUCAUAGUUUCAAUAUGAUAUCCAUUUUUGCGGAUAUCUUUAAAACUGAGCAAAUUUCUUCUGGAUUUGCUAGAAUAUAAAGCGUCAUUUAUAUGGAAUCUAGUUCCAUUUGGCAACGUUAUGUUUGCUCUUCCAGAACCUUCAACUAAGUUUGUAGUACCAGAUAUGGUACUUACAUUAGCUUUUAUUAAUGUCAAUUCAAGAAAAUAUCUUUUAUCUAGAAGAAUUGUAUGCGUGGUCGCACAGUCUACGAGACAUACAUCAUCCUCAUUCAUCUUGAGACCAAAUAACACAUGGAUUUCAGAUAUAACAAAAUAAAACAAGGCAUAAUGUAAAUAACAAAGUAAAUCAGAUGUAAAUAUAAGACAUAAUAAUAUAUUAUUUCAUAUAUAAAGUAACAUCAAUCAAUGUUAAUUUUCUCAUCAUUUAUCAAAUGGUCUGUUUUUUCAUUGGGACCUCCAAAGAAAUCAAUGUUAUAGUAGGUUAGGUCUAAUCCAUCACCAUCGGUAAAGUUCAUCUCUAUCUCUUUUCUUUUUGCUUUUAUUGAUGCUUGGUAAAGGUCGACUAAAUGUUUGGGCAUACGACAGGUACGCGACCAAUGCCCCUUCAUACCACAUCUAUAACAAUUAUUCUCGUGGUUCUUAGGAGGUUUAUCUUGUAAAUACUUCCCAUUUUAUUGUAUUGUCUCAGUAUUGUUCCAUUUCUGGUGGUGCAAUGAGGCUUUCAUUUUCUGAGAAUUAUUACUAUAAGAACCAUGGUAUCGGGGAUUUCUUCCACGAUCACGACCACGUCCACGAGUUUGGGACGAUAUUGCAUUGUUCAGAUCUAGUUGGACGAGAUUGGUGAUUUCUCAUCAAAAUCUCAUUAUUUUGUUUAGCAACAAGAAGACAUGAUAUUAAUUCAGAAUAUUUUGUAAAUCUACGCUCUCGUUAUUGCUGCUACAAGAGCACAUUCGAGGUAUGAAACGUAGUAAAAGUUUUCUCUAACAUGUCUUCUUCUGUGAUUUUUUCUCCACACAGCUUUAAUUGAGAGUUGAUUUUGAAAAGUGCGGAGUUGUAUUCACUAACAGUUUUAAAAUCUUGCAACCUUAGGUGCAUUCAAUCAUAUCGAGCUUUUGGGAGAAUCACAGUUUUCUGGUGGUCAUAUAUUUCCUUCAAAUUACUCCAUAGAGUAAAAAAGUCCUUUACCAUAAGAUACUCAUUUUUUAAAGCUUCAUGGAAGUGAUGGCGAAGGAAAAUCAAUGCUUUUGCGCGAUUCUGCAGGGAUGCUUGAUUUCUUUCUUUGAUUGUAGCUCCAAGGUUCAUUGCAUCAAGAUGUAAUUCAGCAUCAAGGAUCCAAGAUGGAUAGUUCUUUCCCAAAAUGUCAAGUGCCACAAAUUCGAGUUUUGUGAUAGUCGACAUUGUCAAAUAACUUCAUAUAUAUGACAAAACAAUAUUAUUAGAAUCAAUUAUAAUAACUUGAUAGCAUUGGUAUAACUUUGAUUAUAAACAAAAUCAAAUAAUUUGUUUAUAACUUUUAACAAUAUGUAACAAAACAAAUCAACAAUAAUAUAACUAUGUAAAAUUUUAUCCUAUAUAAAUAACUUCAGGUUUAAGAUACGAGAAUUACCUUCAAAGCAAUUCGUGCUGAUAACGUGUUGUAAAAGGAGAAUAAAUGUGACUCAAAUAAUAGUAGGGAUGACUAUGUAUUACUUUAAUAAUAUAUAUAUAUAUAUAUAUAGAGGGAGGAGGAGGAGGAGGAGGAGGAGGAGGGGGGAGGGGGGGGGGGGGGGACCAAAACAAAAAAAAAUGUUGGGAAAAUGAAAAAAAAAAAGAGAAAGAAUGGGAGGAAAAAAAUUUUUUUUUUUUUUUCAGGAUGCUCUAACAUGGGGGGGAAAAAGCCUUUUAUAGGUUUUCUAAUAAGAACUCCCCUUACUCCUCUUAAAAAUGAGUAAAUGGAGUUCAUAAAAGACCCUCAAUGUGGUCCUUCCUCACUUCCUUUUCAACAAUUAUUAAUUUUUUGUAUUACUUAAAAGGGNNNNNNNNNNNNNNNNNNNNNNNNNNNNNNNNNNNNNNNNNNNNNNNNNNNNNNNNNNNNNNNNNNNNNNNNNNNNNNNNNNNNNNNNNNNNNNNNNNNNGGGAGGGGGGGGGGGGGGGACGAAAUCAAAGAGAAGUGUUGAGAAAAUGAAAGAAAAAGAGAGAGAGAAUGAGAGGAAGAAAAUUUCUUUCUUUUUCUCAGGAUGCUCUAACAUGGGGUGUAAGAAGCCUUUUAUAGGUUUCAUAAUAUGAACUCCCAUUACUCAUCUUAAAGAUGAGUAAAUGGAGUUCAUAAAUGACCAUCAAUGUGGUCAUUCAUCACUUCAUUUACAACAGUUAUUAAUUUGUUGUAUUACUUAGAGGGGGUGAAUGAAUUGAAAGCACUAUGGAGGUAAGCUUUUUAGUCUUUUCACCUUAUCCUUUUUAUACAUAAUGUCUCCAUCAAUGAUGUUCAGUAUAUUCCUUAUUUUUGUUUUACUCAAGUGUUCCUGUAUUGUAGCCCUCUCAAGACUCUUCCUCUUCACUCCAAACAAGUUAAUUGUCUUCAUAUCAAAGUAACAUAAGUUGAUUUUCUUAGAGGGCUAAUGCUACUUAUGUGAUUAUUUCUUUUACAAAAGUUGCAAAUAGUACUAUUUGAGGAUUCCUUGACAAAAUAAUUUUUAAAUUUUAAUUUUUUUAUUUUUUAUUUUUAUAGAGCUUGUAUCCUAAUCCCUUUAUGCCAAAGAUUAUUUUUUUACUUGCCAAAAUUAUCAAAAUUCUUGUCCCCAUUUGAGAAUUUUGAAAGAGAAGAGAUUAACUAAUGAAUUUUCUUUUCAAGUAAGUAUAUAUUUUAUUCCAAGGAAAACCUUAGCCUUUUUCAGAUAUUUUAAACUCCCAUUUUAAGUUAUUAAUUUCAACUUGAAGAGAGAUGAUUUUCUUUUUAAGAUAAGCCUGAAAGUUAUUUGAUCUAGUUUAGGUAACACCUAGAGGAGUUGAAUGGGUGUUUAAAAUUUUCUGCUUAAAAAUGAAUUAUUUUAUAAUCAUAUAACAAACAUUUUUUCAAUUUAGGAAAGCCUAAAAACACUCAAUACAAAAACAUAAGAUUUUUAUAUGGAAAACCACCCAUAUCAUGUGCGGAUGUAAAAACGACAAAGUCAGACUUUUAAUCAUUAAUUAACUAUUUGAAAGUAUUAUACAUGGUUUUAGUUGGUGGAAGCUAUCGUUAAGUCUUAUUACCCAACACCUACAAUGCACUUCACAUUUGCGAUAUAGCACUACAUGUGCUCUUAGUGGAUCUAACCUCAGUGCUUGAGAGGAUGUAGAUCUCCUUUUCAAUCCAACAUAAGCGAAAACAACAUUCCUUAAGAGUUUUAGGAAUAAGAUGACGAAUUUGGUUUUUCAAAAAAUUUGCAUCAAACCAAAAACCUUUUUAGGUAAAACAUUUAUAGGCAUAAGAAGCUAGCGGACUGGAUCUACAAUUUUCCAAAAUAAGACCUUAAAAAAAUUUAGAAAAUCAAAGUUCCAAAAACUUUGGAGAAUUCUAUCAUGGGUGUUUGAGUGCUCAUGGGAGCACUUGAGUGCUUAUGGAGAUUUUUUAAACUUUUUAAAAAUUCUUUUAGCUCAGUUUUAAAACCCUUAGUUCGCACUAUGCCUUAACAAACACCAAUUUGUCAUUCUUGAACCUUUUGAUUUUUAGUUGUGCCAUCUCGAUUGAUCACAUAACAACUUUGAGUCUUCAAUGAAGAGUAAAACACAAUUAGAAAGAUUCUAAACUAGAAUGAAAGGAACAAAAUUGUUGAUCUUAAAUUAUAUAGCCUAAUAUACCAACAAUCUCCUAUGAUAAUUUUAUGAAAAAAAAUACAAAUUACAUAAACCCCCUAAUACUCUUUAAUGGAGUUUAAGAAUUUCUCAAUAACUCUCGUCUAAACCAAAUCAUUCUUGAACAUACAGAUGAUGAUAAAUCACAUCUAAAAGUGGGCAAUACCCCACUACUUGUGACCUGCACACACAAACCAACCAAGUACCCAAGUAAAACAAUGUGUGAGAGAAAACACAACUCAAAUUCUAUCAAAUCAAGGUAAGAGUAGAUGGAUGUGAGUCAUGCAUACAAUGGAUAUCUAAUCAAUAGUAUCAAUAAAUUGUCUCCCCGUUUUUGUCGCAAAAAUGACAAAGAAGGAAUAAACAAUGAAUGCACAUAAGAGAAAGAGAAAUAAUUAAGCAAAAGAACUUCAACUUAUUUUUAGAAUGCUUCUUUCUUGGUAAGAUCUCUUAAGAAACCCUUCUUGAAAAUAGAAUUUUUUUUUUGUUUUGUUUUUUAUGAUGGAAAAUUGCUUUCUACCUUAAAAACUAUAUUUGGUAAAAUUUCACUAAAAUAAGUUUUUGAAAAUAGGUUAUUUUUUUGGAACAAAAGCUUUUAAAUAUCUAUAUAUAUAUAUAUAUAUAUUGUAGAAUAUUUCAAGAAAUAGUUGAAAAUAUGAAAAAUGUUUCGAGAACCUUUGUAUUUUAGAUUUGUGCACUUCAAUUUCAUGAACAAUAUUAAACUAAGAAAACUGUUUUUUAUAUACUAAUUUCUAAAUAAAAUUUUGUUGCUGGAAAUAACUAAAAUUUAUUUUAAAAAACUAUUUUUUAAGAAUUAUUUUUGAAAACGUUGCUAAAAAGACAAAAGUCCUUGGUCAUUUUUUUUUUCUUUUAUAUUUUUAUCUUUAUGUAAGAGGCCGGUCUUUUUUUUUUUUUUAAUGUUCCAUAAUCCUUGUGAUAUUGUAACGUGUAAUUCAUUUAUUUGACUUCAAAAGUUAAGAAAUAAUGAACCUUUCAUUAUUGUAGUUUGUCUUGUAGUAAGAGACUUAAAAAUCCAUGUACAAGAGGUCUUCGUUUCUUAAGUCAAGUCAACAAAAUGGAGGUGGAAGAAAUAAUGAACUUUCAUUAUUGUAGUUUGUCUUGCUAAAAGCCAUGUAUAACGGGUCUUCUUUUCUUAAGUCAAGUCAAUAAAUCAAAUUAAAAGAAAUAAUAAACUUUUAUUAUUGUAUUUUAUUUUGUAGCAAGAGACUUAAAAAACCAUGUAUAACAAGUCUUCCUUUCUUAAGUCAAGUCAAUAAAUCAAAUUAAAAGAAAUAAUAAAUUUUCAUUAUUGUACUUUGUUCUUGUAGCAAGAGACUUAAAAAUCCAUGUAAGAGGUCUUCAUUUCUUAAGUCAAGUCAAGUCAAUAAAUCGAAUCGGAAGUUUUUCCUUUUUUUUUUUUUUAAACCAACUUCUACUAUUACUUUUAUUAGUUAUUUUGAUCAUUUGAUUAAAUAUUGAAUUAUUAUUAUUUUUUAAAAAUUUUCAAGUACAAACCAUUUCAUGUUAAAAAAUUUAAAGUGGAUGUAACUUUCUUUUCAAGUUAAGAUAUCUUGAUUAAGGGAUAAAUAAUGGAUUGCAAUAUUUCAACUUUAAUUAAGUUAAUUUAUCAAUAUUCAAAUUAAGUUGGAGAAAAAAAAAAAAAAAAAGACAACACCUCAAUUUUAGUUUUCCAUUACACAUGAUUAUUUCUUUUUCUUCUUUUUCCUUUGCUUCUUUAACACGCAAUGAGAGCUCUAGUCAUCAUACCUUUCAAGACUCUAAACUUACAAAAAUUUUCAGUCUUUUCAUCGUAUCUUUUAAAAUUCUUGACACUCAUAAAGUAUUUAAGACUUAAUUUUAAUAAAUUCAUAUUUUUACAACUAUAACUAAGAGCUUUGACCUAUUAAAAAAAUGAAUAAAAAAUACUUUGCAAGACAUUAAAAGUUCAUAAUUAUUUCUUUUACCUUAAAUGUAGUUGUUAUGUGUUUGCUAGUUCACAUAUUUGAGCGUGGACCGUGGCGACCUGCAGACCCGGAGGGGCAGCGUUGUCUAUCAGAUUUUAGAAAAUUCGUGCAACUAGCCAUAUGGUUUUGGACUAAAAUAAAAAAUAAGACUUUAUUUUUGUUAUUUCUUUUAUCAAGAUAUCUUAAUUAAUAAUUCAAAAAUGUUAAUAAUAAAUUAUAAAAGAGAUUUUUGCUACUCUUCGAAAUUAUAAAAAAGUUUAUACACUCAUAAAACAAAUAAUUAAAUGUAUCUUCUAAUAAAUAAAUUUUUAUUAAAAUAAAUAAAUAUAUAUCUACUUUGACUUUAUUAACAUGAAGUAAAUUGUAGGUAUCUUUAAGUUAGAUUUCUUAUUGAUUAAAGAAAAAGACCAUUCAAGGUUUAGCUAGAUGGAAAAAAAAAUUUUAUUUAUUAGAAAAUUCAAUUUUUUUUAUUGAUGAAUCAUUGAUAAUGAUAUAUAAAAAUAAUUUAUAUAUCAUAUAUUAAUAUUACUUUAUAAAUAUUUUUUAGUUUUUCUUUUUUAAUCAUAAAUUUAAUUUAUAAUUAAAAAAAUUAUUUUAUAAAAAAAAAAAAAUUUAUGAUAUAUCGGAUAUACAUAUCUUAUAUCUUAGUAUAAAAUUAACAUAUCUCGUGUAAAAAAAAAUAAAAAAGAGUGAAUAAUAUAUUUCACCACUUAUACUAUCUCAUCAUUAAUUAAAUAUAAAAUUUAAUGUGAUAUCUUCUCUUUUAUCCUAUAUGAUGUUAUAUUUGGUCAAUCAAACAUAACCUAUAAAACUAAAAUUAUAGAAAUGAAAUGCAAGAGACCUUACUGAAAAAUUGAAAGUAAAAUUAUUGAUUUUUGAAAGUAAAUAUUGAUAAUAUUAUAAAAUUUUCAUUAACAUAAAUUAAAAAAUUAAAGGAAAAAAAAACAUAACACUAUCCUCACAAUUCCGUGAUAUUGUUUUUUUCAUAUUAGAAAUCCUUAUAAUCAACUUUCCUGUUUUAAAAAUAAUUUUUAUUACUAAUUUAGAUUAAAAAAAAAAAAAAAAAACCUUUCAACCAACCACACAUGUGACACAUGGUGGUUGUUUUUGAAUUUCAAUAAAAGAUUUUAUAAUUAUUAAGAAAAGAAAAAAAUGUUAAGAAAAAUGAUUAUUUUUAUUUGAUUUUAUUAUGAAAUAUAUGAAAGUAAAAAUAUAUAAUUAAAAUUAAUAAAAAACUAAUAUAUUUUAAAAUUAUUUAAUUUUUAUUUUUAAAAAUUAAAUAAAUAAAAUAAAAUUAAAAAUAAUUUAUUAAUUUUAAAUUUAUUUUUUAUUUCUCUCUCACUUGUUCUUUAAGACGUGUUGCGUGUAAAAUACCAUAAAACAAGUCAUAUCACCAUGCUCAAGAUUUCAACAUGGUAGGUGUAGGUUUUGAAGACUUUUCCAUGUGAUUAACACUUGGAUACCUGAAUUUUCUUUGGGUGGGGUUGGGCUUCUGUAAGUUUCUCUGCAAUUUUCUCCUACUUGGAAACAAAGGAAUGGUCAAAGAGAGGAACUCAGUGAAGAGAAGAUUGAAACGGACUGGAUACACCCUCGCCUGCUUCGAAGGUUGGUAUGAUCUUCACGGUUGGUAGGCCUUCUCAAGUCUCCAUGCAUGCCUCAUUUUUCCCAUAUGAUAAAUCAAUGGUCGGAAGAGCGAGCUUAACACGAACAAACAUGAUAAAAUCAUUAAAUUUUUGGAAUAAUAAUAUGAUGAAGUUAAUAAAUGAUAAGGAUUAGGAAGAUGUUUAAUGAAAUUUUAAAUUAAUAAUAAUUAGAUGUAUUUAACCUAAACUUUUGGAGAGAUUAAUGAAAUUAAUCAUAUAAAAAUUUCUUUAAUUUUAAUUUUAGAAUAAAUAUUAACAAUAUUUUUUUCAAAUAUAAAUAAUAAUAUUUGGAAAACAUCAUCAGUAAAUUGCCUUUUCAAUUUUUUCUCUAAUUGUCAUUUUAAAUGAAUAUUAAAAUCCUUUUAGUAAAAUUUAUGAAUUUAGUAAAAUAUUAAUAUCUAUAUUUUAUAAUUUUUAAUAAAGUUUUAUCAUUUUUAAUAUAAAAAAAAUUAUAUAAGUUGUGUUUGUCUUAUUAGUAUCACUAUUUACAAAAUUUAUCUUUAUAUUAUUUAUUUUAAAAAUUAUUAUUUAUUAAGAAUCAUUUUUAUAAAAGGUAAAACAUAAUUAUCAUAUAAAUAUAAAUUAAAAGUGGAGGUUAUAUUUGUUAAUUAUUUUUAAAAAGGGAUUUCAAAACAUUACUUCUCCAAAAAUAACAAUAAUAAUAAUAUAAACACAAUAUUGACUCAAAAUAUUAUGUGAAUGAAAAACUUAAAAAUAAUAUAUAUUUGUUUUUUAAAAAAUAUUUUGUCAUAAUUAAAGGUCAUCUACUCAACAUGUUGGUGGGAAUGGUAUAUAAGUCAAUGCCUGCUUUGCUCACAAAUCAAAAACCAAAACUUGCUAAUCCUUGUUAUUACACACUAUCCUUGCUCUGUGUUGAACAUGGCUACAAGCCCCUUUCGAUAUUUUAUUUCCCUUUUUCUGCUUUUGCUCUGUUUCGAAGCCUGUUUGAGGGUGGGUGAUGCUAAAGUUGGGUGCAGAGAGAGGGAGAGGCAAGCUCUCCUUCACUUCAAACAAGGUGUUGUCGAUGACGAUGGAGUGCUUUCUUCAUGGGGGAAUGGGGAAGACAAAAGAGAUUGUUGCAAAUGGAGAGGAGUCAAGUGUAACAACCAGACGGGUCAUGUGAUCAGGCUUGAUCUUCAUGCCCAAUCUUUGGGAGGUAAGAUUGGUCCUUCAUUGGCAGAGUUGCAGCACUUGAAGCAUUUGAACCUCAGCUCGAAUGAUUUUGAAGGUAAUUAUAUACAUAUAUACCUUGUGAAAAUUCAUCAGUUUGUCUCAGCAGAAUAUAAUUCUCUCUUUUCCCAAUUUUACAGGAAUUCUUCCCACUCAACUCGGUAAUCUUUCCAACUUGCAAUCCCUUGAUCUUGGCUAUAAUUAUGGGGAUAUGACCUGUGGAAACCUUGACUGGCUUUGUCACCUUCCUUUCUUAACACACCUUGACUUGAGUUGGGUUAAUCUUAGUAAAGCAAUCCAUUGGCCCCAAGCAAUUAAUAAAAUGCCUUCCCUAACUGAGUUAUACUUGAUUGAUACUCAGCUUCCUUCGAUUAUUCCAACAAUAUCCAUUUCCCAUAUUAAUUCUUCUACUUCUCUUGCUGUGCUUCAUCUCCCCUCGAAUGGUCUCACUUCUUCAAUAUACCCAUGGUUGUUCAACUUCAGUAGCAGCCUUGUUCAUCUUGACCUCUCUUGGAAUGAUCUAAAUGGUUCAACUCCGGAUGCUUUUGGAAACAUGACUACUCUGGCAUAUCUUGAUCUCUCUUCGAACGAGCUACGUGGUUCAAUUCCGGAUGCUUUUGGAAACAUGACUACUCUGGCAUAUCUUGAUCUCUCUUGGAACAAGCUACGUGGUUCAAUUCCGGAUGCUUUUGGAAACAUGACUAGUCUGGCAUAUCUUGAUCUCUCUUUGAAUGAACUUGAAGGUGAGAUUCCAAAAUCCUUGACAGAUUUAUGUAAUUUACAGGAAUUAUGGUUGUCUCAGAACAAUCUCACUGGACUGAAGGAAAAAGAUUAUCUGGCCUGCCCUAAUAACACAUUAGAGGUUUUAGAUUUAUCUUAUAAUCAAUUGAAAGGGUCAUUUCCCAAUCUUUCUGGAUUUUCACAGUUGAGAGAAUUAUUUCUUGAUUUCAAUCAACUAAAGGGAACUUUACAUGAAAGUAUUGGACAACUAGCUCAACUUCAACUGUUGUCCAUUCCUUCAAAUUCAUUGCGAGGCACUGUCUCCGCAAACCACCUUUUUGGUCUCUCCAACCUGUCUUACUUAGACUUAUCUUUCAACUCCCUUACAUUCAACAUAAGCCUUGAGCAAGUUCCCCAGUUUCGAGCCUCAAGUAUACUAUUGGCCUCUUGCAAAUUAGGCCCACGUUUUCCUAAUUGGCUUCAAACUCAAGAAGUUUUGAGCGAACUUGAUAUCUCUGCUUCUGGAAUUUCAGAUGUCAUUCCCAAUUGGUUUUGGAAUUUAACUUCAGAUUUAAAUUGGUUAAACAUUUCCAACAAUCACAUCUCGGGCACUUUGCCCAAUUUACAAGCAAGGUCUUAUUUGGGAAUGGAUAUGAGUUCAAAUUGCUUGGAAGGUUCAAUACCACAAUCUGUUUUCAAUGCUAGAUGGUUGGAUCUCUCCAAGAACUUGUUUUCAGGCUCAAUUUCUUUAUCGUGUGGGACUCCUAAUCAGCCUAGUUGGGGUUUGUCUCAUCUUGACCUCUCAAAUAAUCGACUAUCAGGAGAACUACCCAAUUGUUGGGAGCAGUGGAAAGAUUUAAUUGUUCUUGAUUUGGCAAAUAAUAAUUUUUCUGGGAAAAUUAAAAAUUCGAUUGGCUUGUUACAUCAGAUGCAAACAUUGCAUUUAUGUAACAAUAGUUUUACUGGAGCACUGCCUUCGUCCUUAAAGAACUGCAGAGCUUUGCGUCUUAUAGAUUUGGGAAAAAAUAAAUUGUCAGGAAAAAUAACCGCAUGGAUGGGAGGAAGCCUGUCAGAUUUGAUCGUUCUCAACCUAAGAUCUAAUGAAUUUAAUGGAAGCAUACCUUCAAGUCUUUGUCAACUGAAACAGAUUCAAAUGUUGGACCUCUCUAGCAACAAUCUAUCAGGAAAGAUACCAAAAUGUCUCAAAAAUUUAACUGCCAUGGCUCAAAAAGGAAGUCCGGUCCUUUCUUACGAAACAAUUUACAAUUUGAGUAUCCCAUAUCACUAUGUUGAUAGUACAUUGGUUCAAUGGAAAGGAAAAGAACAAGAGUACAAGAAAACUCUUAGAUUCAUUAAGAGCAUUGAUUUUUCAAGAAACCAAUUAAUUGGUGAAAUUCCAAUAGAAGUAACUGAUUUGGUAGAAUUGGUGUCUUUGAAUUUAUCAAGAAACAAUUUGAUUGGAUCAAUCCCUACAACAAUUGGUCAAUUGAAAUUAUUGGAUGUUCUUGAUCUAUCUCAAAACCAACUUAAUGGUAGAAUUCCGGAUACUCUUUCUCAAAUAGCCGAUCUAAGUGUUUUAGACCUAUCAAAUAACACCUUGUCAGGUAAAAUUCCAUUAGGCACUCAAUUACAAAGCUUUGAUGCCUCCACAUAUGAGGGAAAUCCUGGACUUUGUGGACCACCUCUUUUGAUAAGGUGUCCUGAAGAUGAACUUGGGGGAGUCUCCUUCACUAGUGGUCUUAGUAGUAAAAAAGAGGACAUUCAAGAUGAUGCAAAUAAUAUAUGGUUUUAUGGAAAUAUUGUUCUUGGAUUCAUCAUCGGAUUUUGGGGAGUUUGCGGCACUUUACUAUUCAAUAGUUCAUGGAGAUAUGCCUAUUUCCAAUUGUUGAGCAAGAUAAAGGAUUGGUUGUACAUGACAACAAUAGUAAAUAUGAAUAGAAUACGAAGGAGCCUGCAAGGUUAAAUGGUAAGACUUCUCAAAUUCUCUUUUUAGUUUUUCUGGUAAAAUGUGUUAACUUCUAUUUAUUAUCCAACAGUUAAGAAUAAAAAGUACACUUUAUGCUACUACUCAAAUCCCUCUUCUAUUAUUUGAUUGACCUUCCACAAUAUAUUGAUGAAAGCUUAGAUUUUGCAAAUAGAAGCAUCGAUAAAAUAAGCAAGCGUAGAAGAUUUUAAUAUACUUUUUUGUAAUAGUUGUGCAUAUUUAGCUUUCAUCAUGUAAAGAUUAAUCUUAUAGGCCGAGGAUCAUAGUUGAAGAAUGAUUAUUUGUAUUUUUAUUUCUAUCUUACUUCAAGUUACAAUUUUUUCUUUUAAAUGUUAAGUUAAUUUGUUGUCUUCAAAUAUUAUAAGUACAUUAAAAGUUCAAUUGUAAGUAACAUACUAAAACCUUCAUUUCUACUAAUCAAGAAGAGUCGCAACUAAGAAAUUAUUCCAAAUUGAUGAGCGUUGUUGCAUUUCAUCUUUGUAUUACAGGACUUCAGCUGGGUUGCAUCUCAAGGAUUAGUAGGUGAUAUAUGCUUUUGAGUAACGGGAGUAUUUAUGAUGGGAUAGUUACAUGCCUUAAUGCAAAAGCUUGUCAUCGGAUAAAUGACAUCAACAUGUAUUAAGUUUGCUUAUUUGGUAGUUAGCUUGGCUUUAAGUUUCUCGUGUUAUAUUCUAUUUAGAACUUUUUAAACAUUAAUUUUUGCUAUUAUAUGUACGACUUUGUAUUUUGUUGCUCUAAAAUUUAUUUGUUAUUUUUGUAGAAUCAAAUAUUAGAGGCCUUUGUAGGGGGUGCUAAAAAAAUACUUCAUCUUAGAAAAAUAUUUUUUUUUUUGCUCAAAAACAAAGUUUAUUUUUUGGGAAAUGCAAUGUGAUAAUACCCAUUAGUAUGAAAUGUGGGAUAUGCUACUACUGAAAACAGAGCACUCUGUUUUUUUGGUGCUCAAGCAUGAAAGCUCCUGUAACACAGAGAGGUCUGAUUUCCAACCGUGAAUCAAAUUGCUUAAGGUACUCCAUAUGCAGAUUGCUGGAAGUCACUUUGGGCAUCAAUCAUCUUCAAGGGACGAUGAUGAUGGGAAUUGGAUCAACGGCGGUAAAGACCAACUAUGGAAAGUUUGCUAAAAAGCUCCCAUUUCUUUAUUUUGGUUUCUGCUUUUGUAAAUAACAAUGUUAUCCAAAAUUUGUGUUGGUUGCUCAAGUUUUGUAAAAGCUAUUCAACCAAUACAAAUCGCUACAUAAUAUGCAUUUUGCCGAAGAUCUGUGAUGAUUUGGAGCUCUCUCCAAUGCCAUACCAGGUUACAACUGAAACAAGCAUCUUAUUUAGGAAUAGUUAACAACAACGAAGAACUGCAAUUUAUAUUUGUGUUUUUUGUUCCACUGAAUAUUGCAGUAAUCAACUUAUGGAAGAAGUUGGAGCUGUUGGAGAAGAAAGUGCUCUUCAUGUUUGCUCAAACAAUUCAGAGGGAAGUUUAGCUUUUGCUUUGGUAGUUGUGAAGUUGCAAACUGUUAUUAGAAUAAGAAGCCUCUACUUUUGCUUGUUACUGAAUAUGAAUUUUUUUUUUAAGAAGUAAAUUUGCUAAUUAUUGUUCUUUUUCUUAGGCACCCAAGAAAAGAGUAUGUACUUUUAGCAAAGACCAAGAGGAAACUAUUAGAGCUUCAUUUGAGCAGUGAGUGCUUAAUUUGUUCUUUUUUGUGGCAUAUGCAUGUAGUCUUAAAUUUGAUUUCCCUCUGCAUAAUUGAUGCUGAAUAUUGUGAUUUUGGAAAGAUUAAUGCUAGUCUCCUUUUCGUCUUUUAAAUUAAAUUAGAUUUGUUUACGUAUAGGUUUAAAGACCAUAAAAGGUGCACCUACAUGAUUGUAAGUGCUCUAGAUGGUGAUGGUACGUUCACAGCUGCCCAAGUUUCCCAUAAGCUCAAGCAACAAUUUGCUUGUGUUCCUCAUCAAAAAAAGAGUUGAAGACAACUUGCAUUUGAGAGAUGAAGAUCUUAAUGGUUGUGAUAUAGCCAAAGCACAGGAUUCCAAUGAUGAAACAUUGUUUUCACUAAGAAAAAGGUAACUAUAUCUUUAUGAAUUUCAUGCAAUUUUGUGAAUUAAUCUUAUUUGUGUGAUAUCCCACAUCGAAUGAGGGGAAAACUAUUAUAUAUACAUAUAUAGGUUCUCUUAGACACGUUUUAAAACUCAUGAGGGCCCCUUAAGCCCAUAAUAGAUAAUAACUACAUAGUUAGCAGUGGAUCGUUAUAGCUUGUAUGCAAACUUUAUCACAUACUUGCAUCUUUGUGGUUGCAGACUUGUAGUGUAUUUGCAUUUGCUUGCAUUUGUCAAGUACUAUACUUUGGUGAUGAAAUCAUAAAUUCAUGACACUCAAGACUUAAUCCAAUUGACAUGUUUUUUUUUUUACUAAAUACAAUAACUAAUUCUUAAGUUAUAAAUUAUAUCACCAAAUUAUUUUUUUACAAUAUAUAGUUUAUUUCAAAUUUUAUUUUAUUUUUCUUCACCUCUUAGGUUUAUCACUUUACAUUACAAAAUAAAAUAAAUUGCAAUUUCCCUUUUCACAAGAUUUUUAUUUUUACAAAAUAUUCAAUAUUUUCCAACUUUUAUAAAAUAAUUUCCGAAAUUAUAUAAUCGGCUGUUAUAAAGAUUUUAAAUUUUUGUGUUGUCAUGGGAUUAUUUUGUUGGCAUGCUUGACCCAGUUGGUAACUUAGGUUUUUUUUUUUUUUUUAAUUCGCCUGACCUUCACAUGUGGCCUAUUACCAUUGGUGGAAAAUUGUGGGUAAGGUGAGAUUUCGGUACCCAAGCUUGACCAUAUAUAUCUGUGAAUUACGCAGAAGACUCGAAAAGUCAAAGGAAAAAUCCUGGGAACCAAGCUGGAAAACACAGGACUGUUAUUUCAGGGAAGGUGUACGUUUGGGGGCAUAUUACAGCUUGGGUACUGAACAAGAGGCAUGUAAGAAGUCUGGCCAUGGAUGCAGAAGAAGAAAAGCAAAGUAAAACCCACAUCCAUGGACAGUUGGUAGAGAUAAACCACAAUCAGGAGAAACGAAUACGCCACGAAGAAACAAAGGCACAGAAUCUGACAACUGGGUUUGCGGUCGUCCAAGUUUUAAUUCUCAACACACUGGUGAUCAACAAGCCAUCCGGCAGAUGCGAACACUGGUGGGUGCCAUUCUCUCUCUCCUUAUCAGUCGGUGUGAUUUAUUUCGUCACCAUUUUUGAGGUAGUGAAGAAAUGCUACCUUCUGCUCUACCAUUUGGACGUCAACUACAUGGAGCAAGAAGCCAUUCUUCUGGAAAUGCAUGGGGGUGCUUCGUCCCGGCGACAUGAUCAGCCAUUGAAGCCAGAUGUGGUGAAGCUCCUGAGGCGUAAAGCUUAUAUCACGAUACUGAUUUCUGCCAUGCUCGCCUUUCAAGCUCUGAUGCUCCACGCCUGCAGCUCCUUUCUUUGCAACUGAGAUUAACCAUUAGCUAUGUUCACAUGUGAUUAAUGCUCUUGCCGUUUUAAAUACAUAAGAAUAAUGUUGUUUCAAAAAUCGUUUGCUUAUAUUUAAAUACUAUUUUCUCUUUUCCAACUGUCCUUACAAAUAGUCUUAUGCUUAGUAGUAGAAAAAAAAAAAAUAUUAAGAUGAAAAUUAUGUAAUUCAAAUUGAAUGCAUCAAUGGAACCGAAAUUAUUCAUCGUGAAAUUUAUUUACAUCGUUUUUCUUUCCAAAGUAUUUUCUAGUUGGAAAGAAAAUUCCAACAUUGCAAUUUUCGUUAGAAAAACGGGACAAAUUAUAAAAGAAAAGAAAAAUCAAUCUCAAAUACCAAUAUUAAAAUGAUUUAUCUAUUUAUCAACACAAUUUGAGUGGAAGAAAUAAAGACACGUGGAAAUCUAUAUAUCAGGAAUCAAAUAGGGUCAAGAAUGGGUUCCAACAAGAACCAUCAAUGGGCUGCCCAAUCAAUAACAAAAGGCCCUCGAUGGGUCUCAUGGGCCAAACAAAAUGGAGCCAGCACACAAUAAGUUUAAACCCAAAUAAAAAUUUCAAGUACAUAUUUUCAAUCCCAUUUAUAAUUUAUUCAUUUAAAUUAGAAAUCUAUAUAUCAAGAAUCAAAUUAGAGAGACCAAAAUUAACAUAUCAGAGUAGAAAUCUUUACAAUCAAAUUUCUUUUUUAUAAAUUUAAAAAUAUUUUCUAUAACUAAUUUAGAUUAGCAAAAAAGAAAAAAAAAAUCUUCAUCGGACCACACAUGUGAUACACUUUGGUAGUUGUUUUUAAAUUUCAAUAAACAUUCUUACAUCAAAAGUAUAAAAAAAACUAAAAAAAAAAAGGAAAUGUUUAGGAAAGUUUGAUUUUAUUGUAGAAAUUAAACAAAAAAAAGUUAAAUAUAAUUAAAAUUAGUAAAAAAAACUUAAAUAUUUUUAGAUUAUUUUAAGUUUGAUGUAAAGUAUAAAAAUAAUUUUUUAAUUUUAAAUCAAUUUUUUUUCUUUGCUUCUAUUUUUUUCUUUAUUUUUUUUUCUUUUCCUCACAUUUUUUCUUUCACUCCUGAGGAACCAAACAUAACCUAAAAGUUUUAAAUAUAUAAAAAAAAACUUCAUAUUAUAUAUAUAAGGGUUGUUAUUAUAUUGAUUUAUAUAAGUACAAUAUGAUUUUUUUUUUUUUUAUAACCGUGGAUGUUCGGGCCAGCUUACGCGCACCUCGACUAAUCCCACGGGGCCCUGAAGUUAACGACCGGGUAAACCUCCAGUGGCCCUGAGGGGACUCGAACUGGUGACCAUAAGGGAGCAAACCCAAGGCCGGACCAACUGAGUUACCCCUCAGGGUUAUAAGUACAAUAUGAUUAUUCAAAUCAUAUUACAUGUAUAGAAUACGAGAAAUCAAGUUGUGUCAUACUCAAAAUUUCAACAUGAUAGAUAUAGCUUUUGAAGACUUUUCCUUUGCGAUUAAUUCUUAUACUUGGAAUUUGUUUAGGUAGGGUAGGGUUUUUGGAAGUUUGUUCGCAAUUUUCUCAUACUUGGAAACAAUUUCCAAAGGAAUGGUCAGAGAAAGGAACUAAACAAAUAGAAGAUUGAAACGGACUAGAUAGACCCUCACCUGCACCGAAGGUUUGUAUGAUCUUCGUGGACCGCAGGCCGCAUGGCCUUCUCAAGCCUCCAUGCCUUGCUUUUCCGCUUAUAAAGAACAGCCAAAAAGGACUUGACUGAUCUGAAAAAUCAGUGGCCGGAAAAGCGAGCUCGACACGGAGAAACAAUUGCCCAUGCAGUUUGGGAGAUCACAGAGCGAACUGUUGGAGUCUGGGCUUUUGUUUCUUCGUGUCGAUCUCGCUUCCCUUUAUGGCAGAGCUUUUCUCACCCUUCAGACACUCUCCUCCCAAACCAACCUCUCACAGCUUCAAUGCAGCUCACAUCCUCCUCACCGGCGCAUGGUGGUUACUACACUAUCCAGAUGCUGCAGCAGCCCACUUCCCUCAGCCUUGGACUCAUCUACAACUUGCCCGACUCUUACAUCACCUCGUUGCAGUCUUACACCAACUACUCCUACUGGUCUGGACCCGAUAUAUCAAACGUAACAGGCGAUGUAGUCGCGGUUUUAGACAGGGCGGGGAGCUUUGGGAUCAUGUAUGGGUCAUCAUCUGAUGGGGCGGUUUAUGUUUACAAAAGUGAUACUGAUGAGAAAGGGCUGUCUUCGUCGUGUGAAUCAGAUAGUUAGGCCAUUAGUUCUUCGAAGACUGAUACUCGAGAUGAAUGGGAAUUUGAGGCUGUAUCGUUGGGACGAUGAUGUGAACUGCACUCGCCAAUGGGUGCCUGAAUGGGCUGCAGUUUCUAACCCAUGUGAUAUUGCUGGGGUUUGCGGAAAUGGGGUGUGUAGCUUGGACAGAAGCAAGACUAAUGCCUCCUGUACAUGCCUGCCGGGGGCUUCUAAGGUGGGAGACAGCGGCCAGUGCUCAGAGAAUUCGUCGGUGUCAGCUGGGAAAUGUGAUAAUAAUCAUCGGAAUUCAACUGCUUCCAAGCUGAAGAUGUCUAUAGUACAGCAAACUAACUACUAUUACCCUGAAUCUUCGAUUAUAGCAAAUUAUAGUAACAUGUCCCAAUUGUCAAAGUGUGGGGAUGCUUGUUUAUCAGACUGUGAUUGUGUUGCUUCCGUGUAUGGGCCGAGUGAGGAAAAGCCUUACUGUUGGCUGCUGAACAGCUUGGAGUUCGGUGGAUUCGAGGACACGAGUUCGACGUUGUUUGUGAAGGUUGGGCCUAAUGGGUCACCUGAAGACAAAGCAACAGGAUCUGGGGAUUCAUCUGAUGGCCUCCGGGACAAGGUCUUGGUUCUUCCAAUUGUUCUCAGCAUGACUGUCCUUGUAGCACUCCUCUGCCUGUUGUUAUAUCACACUCUGUACAGAAGGAGGGCCUUGAAGAGAUCCCUGGAAAGCUCCUUGAGUGUGUCCGGUGCGCCAAUGAAUUUCAGUUACCGCAAUUUGCAGUCCAGAACCGGCAAUUUUUCGCAGUUGCUCGGCACAGGUCAGCAUGUACAUAUACAUAUACUUUGAAAGGGAUGAAAUUGUUUGAACAAAGCCAGUUGGACUUGAUCAAUUUGGAUUAAUGUUGUCUUCUCUUUUUUUCAGGAGGGUUUGGGAGUGUAUACAAGGGAAGCCUUUCAGAUGAGGCAUUGGUUGCAGUGAAGAAGCUUGACAAGGUUUUGUCUCAUGGGGAGAAGGAAUUCAUAACUGAAGUGAACACCAUUGGCUCUAUGCAUCACAUGAACCUGGUUCGCCUAUGUGGCUACUGCUCGGAAGGCUCUCACCGGUAUGCAUUUCAUUUCAUCGCCUAAAACCAAUUACCACUAACCAUAAUUAAAUUCUUGUCAUCCUCUUUUGUGGUCAAGCAUACUAUAUUUUCGAGCUUAUAAUGGGGUUGGAAUUUGAUGAUUCUUCACAGGCUUCUGGUUUAUGAGUUCAUGAAAAAUGGUUCCUUGGACAAGUGGAUAUUCCCCUCAAAGCAUUGCCGGGACAGACUGCUAGAUUGGGGAACUCGUUUCCAUAUAGCCAUUGCUACUGCACAAGGGAUUGCUUAUUUUCAUGAGCAGUGCAGGAAUCGGAUAAUCCACUGCGAUAUCAAGCCUGAAAACAUACUUCUAGAUGAGAAUUUCUGUCCAAAAGUUUCAGACUUUGGACUAGCAAAGCUGAUGGGCAGAGAGCAUUCACAUGUUGUCACUAUGGUGAGAGGAACUAGGGGCUAUCUGGCUCCAGAAUGGGUUAGCAACCGGCCUAUUACUGUAAAAGCCGAUGUCUACAGUUACGGAAUGCUUCUCCUGGAGAUUGUUGGUGGCCGGAGAAACCUUGACAUGACCUUUGAUGCAGAAGACUUCUUCUAUCCUGGGUGGGCUUUUAAGGUAUAGAUCAAUCAAGUUCUUGCUUCUGUAAAUCACAAAUUGUUAAGUGUUUGAUAUUUUAUUAACGAAAAUGCCAAUUCCUCUAGGAAAUGAGUAAUGGGACGACAAGAAAAGUUGCAGACAGGCGACUGGAAGGGGCAGUGGAGGAAGAGGAGCUAGAAAGAGCAUUGAAAACUGGCUUUUGGUGCAUUCAAGAUGAGGUUUUCAUGAGGCCUUCAAUGGGGGAAGUGGUGAAGAUGUUGGAAGGAUCACUUGAAAUCAACACACCGCCAAUGCCACAGACAGUUCUGGAGCUCAUGGAGGAGGGCUUAGACAAUGUAUACAGAGCCAUGAAGAGAGAGUUCAACCAGUCCAGCUUCUUCACCAUCAAUAAUAGUACCCAUCCUUCAUCAAGGGCUACAUGUAGUUAUUCCACAAUGUCACCUAGAUAGCAAAGGAGAAAUGGAACAAAUUUUGUUGUUGUCCCGGAAUUUUAUCACCUUGAUAGAUACUGUCCAGAAACAUAAUUCUUAUUGAUCAAUUGUUACCAUACAUACUAAUGGGCAAUGAAAUUAGUAGAGAACUUUGCAUAGGUUGAGGUACGAAAAUCUCGGUCUUUUAAAGGAGAUUUAAGCCAUUUCUGGUUUGACAAUUUGAGAAAUUGGUGUAUUUGACUUCUCUUUGAUUUGUCCCCACAAGGAUACGAUAGUCGGCCAAGUGAUUUGUUGCAUAGCUCACAUCAAUAUGCAUAAAGCAUAGAACUUAAGGCUUCACAAAGAAAAAAAAAAAAAAGAAGAAGAAAGGAAGAAGAUAACUAAAAAAAGUCUAAAAAACAUGACAUUAGGAGGAUGAGUCAAAAGACUCAUCAUAAAGUUUAAAAUCUUCAACAAUUUUGAAAGAAUUCAAUCUAGCUCUUUAAUUUUUAUAAGCUAAAUCCCAUUGACAUAAAUGAUAUUUAAUACUUCUCAAUUCCCAUAAUUGUAACUACAAAUUCAAUAAUCCAUUAUGCCAACUUUAAUCCCCUUAACUUUCAUAUAUAACCAUAAUGUUGGUAGCUAGUUUACAUUGAUAACUUUGUUCCAAACUUGUUGGAUCUAACUCUAAUAUUUAAUUACUUCAUGUGACUUACAUUGGACUUGAAAACUUGAAAUUUUUAUCAAUUCCUCCUUAAGGUCAUUCUGGUAACUAUGAUUAAGUUUGUUCGGGUGAAUAAUGACAUCAAAAGGUAUAUGCUGGUUUUUAUUAGAUGAUGUGAAAAUAAUAGGGAAAAAAAGAAAAAAAGAAUCGGAUUUUGAUGAGCAAUCAAGUGAUCCUUAUGAGUGCUUAAGUGCCCAUAACGACUUUACAUAAUUUUUUACUAAUUUUCUUAUUCCAUUUUUUCAUGAUAUUUUUCCGCUACGAUUUUUAAGAUUAUGAUUACACCUUAUGUUAUUGAUUUGAUAUAUGUUUUUUAGAGCUAUAUGCUAUUAUUCUCUAAGAGCCCCAUCGUGGAUUAAGUUUAGUUUGUGGUGAUUUCUUUCAUUAAGGAAUACUCUCUCUCUCUCUCUAAUUGGGAAAUAUCAUCGAUAUGUUGGUGGACAUUGAAGUGAAAUAUAGGAUAGUUUGUGGUGAUUUCUUUCAUUAAGGAAUACUCUCUCUCUCUCUAAUUGGGAAACAUCAUUGAUAUGUUGGUGGACAUUGAAGUGACAUAAGGGGAGAUGGAUAGAUAUUGAAGUGACAUAUAGGGGAGAUAUAUCCAUCUACUGAAGUUUCGGUUAUUUUUUAAAAAUUUGAUAUUUUUGCCAUUCACAUAUUUAAGAGAAUAAAAUAUAAAAGAGUUAAAUAUCUUAUUCCUCGUAAAAUUGAAAUUUCAACUUUUGAAAUGUCAAAUUACAAAAUUAUAAAACACAUUAAAUUUUGAUAUGCCUUAGAAAAAAAACAUAUUUAAUUCAUUUUUUUUUAAUUUUCUUUGUUAUCUUAUUAAUUAAGUUAGCAAAUUACAUUAAAAAUCAAAUAACAAUGGAUCAAUUAAAAGAUAUAACACUAUGUUCGGUUGUCUAAGAUUUGAAAGUAAUGACAACAAAAAGAAAACAAAGAAAAAAAUAAAAAUAAAAAUAAAAAAAAUAAAAAAAUAUUUAAAAUUAAUAAAUUAUUUUUACAUCUUAAUAAAUUAUUUUUACAUAAUUCUUUAUUCAUUCCACUUAUUUAUACUCUUUUAUAUAAAAAUUAAAUAAUUUUAAAAAUAUAUAAAAUUUUAAUUAAUUUUAAUUAUAUUUGAUUUUUCUUUACACUUUUUUAGAGUUAAUUUUGUUCACCUUCUAGAGCUUUGGGUUAAAUAUAUUUAGUCACCUUGAGUUUAAAAUUUUAUCAAAUAUCUUUCUUCCUUUUUUUUUGAGUUAGAGGUAGGGGCAUAACUUGAGCGGAUAGGCCCUACUCAACCUGAUGUUUGAAUAGCUUGAACAAUUAUUUUCAAUACUUGAGUUGUGAUAGAUUAAAUAUUUUCAAUUCGAGCUCAAUUUGGACGACUAAAGAUUCAAACAACUCAAACCUAAUCCAAAUUGGAUUUAAUAUUUUUAUAAUAUUUAUAAUAUAAAAUAUCAAAUAUUAUUAUUACAUAUCAUAUCUUGAAAUUUUGUUCUAUUAAUUAUUUAAAUUUUGACAUAAAUAUAUGAGUUUAUUAUACUUUACCCCUAUAACCUAUAACUUGUUUUACACAUUGUUCCAUCAAGUUCAAAAUUGAGUAAUGUACCUUCCAUAUUUAAUAACUGUACGUAAUGUGCAUUUUUUUUAAAGACAACUUUAUUUUUUGGACGGAAAGGUACGUGCUCUCCGCGUGAUUGAGGGUAAAAGUGUCUUUUUUCCUUUGCAACUCCCUCUCUCGAUCAUUACUCCCCUUUGGAACCCCAAAUUGUAGCCCGCUUCUUCCUGACCCGUUCUUCUUUCCUUCCUUCAAAGCCUUAGAAUGUGAAUCCCAAAAAGUUGCUACUGAAGCCCUAGAAAAUUUCUCAUGUUUGUAGGGUGGAAAUGUUUCUCCAAAUUUCCCUAAAAAAUUGCCCAAAAAUUUCCCCAGUUUUUUGAAACACAAAAACAAAACCCCAACCCUAAACUAGAAGCAUAACAAAAAAAAUUUAAACCCUAACAUAAAAACCCUAGCCCUCAAUUGGCCCUAGUUUUAUUCAACCAUAAAUCCCCCAAAUUUCCCCUGAAAAUUGCCUUUAAAUUUCUACAAAAUUUCCCCCAAAAUUCUCCUAGUUUUCUUAAACAUGAAAAUGAAACCCUAACCUUGAACUAAAAUCAUAACAUAAAAAUUUAAACCCUAACAUGAAAACCCUAACCCUCAAUUUGCCUGAGUUUUAUUCUUCCAUAAUUUCCACAAAAUUUCCCCAAAUUUUCUGAAAGAUCCAAACGAAACCCUAACCCUAAAGAAAUUGGAAGACAAAAAAUACCUUUGAACUUUCAUGUCUCUCUUCAAUGUCAGCCCUGCAUUAGCUUCUUUGGGAUUCUAGGGCUUCAGCUUUGAGUUUCACUAAUAGCUACAGAGGAGGAACAGUACAUGCUGGAGAAGAUGAGGGUUUUAAAAUAACAAUGACCCUUUUGCCCUUGCUUUAUGGGAACGAAGACAAUUUUGCCCUCAGUCACGUGGAGAGUACAUGUCUUUCUGUCCAAAAAAAAUAAUGUCGUAUUUAAAAAAAUACACAUUUUAUGCAAUUAUAAAGAAUUAAGGGUACAUUAUUCGAUUUUGUACUUAAGGGGGCAAUGUGUAAAAUAUGCUUUAAAUUGAGGGGUAAAGUGUAAUUAACUUUAAAUAUAUAGAAAAAAUAUUUUUUUGAAAAACAUUAUUUGGGUAAAUUUUGAAUUAUGCAAUCGAUUAUUUUCUCUUGAAUAACCUCAUGAAUCCGAACUCAAUCUAAUUUUUUUUUAUCCUACUUUAGAUAUAUAUAACUCAUUUGUCUUGUCUCGGUCACUUCGUCCCAAUCACAUUCAUAAAUUUUCUCGGGAAACUUGUGUUUGAGGCUGGUAAUAUUAAAAUAGUAUGAGAUUGGAAACCCAACUUUUGAUUUUUUAAUAUAAUUAUUCUAAUCCUAAAAAUAAUAUAGGGUUCAUGCACUUUUAGCUGAACUAUUUUUUAAUAUCCAAUAUGCCCUCUUCUUUCUGCCAGGUCAACCUCCACAUGUGAAAAAAAAAAGAGGUCUUCUUCCAUCUCCAGCAUCACCUGUGAAAAAAAAAGGGUCUUAUUCCAUCUCCAGUAUCACCUCCACUAGAUGACCAUAACUCCUCCCAAACUUCUUCACCUCCAUUUGCAGACUGUCCACUAUCGGGUCAACUUGUUUCAUCUCAAUCAUCGCCGCGGCUCAUCACCAGCGACGACCGAGGGAACCUCGACUCUAUGUACCGCAUCAACAUCUCCCCCGAUCCCGAAACUGUGUCAGAGCCACACUGCAGAACCAACAUAUCGGGUUUGAGAAUCGGCGUCUCGGCCGACACCAUACAGAUGGAUACGCAUUUGUGGUGUAGGGCGAACCGGAUGUAGGAGGUGAGAGGAACCGCUGGAGAUAAACGACACCAAAAUUCCUUUCCCAUCUUCCACUCCCUGGUUGUAGGUCUCAUCAUAGGAAACAAACGGCUGAGACUUAGUAAAUUGGGAGAGGAAGCAUGCUAGUUGUAGGUGUGAGAAGUUGCGGGAGAGUCAUGGACGAAGGUGGGGGGAGAGAGAGAGAGAGAGACUUGAAGAGGUUAGGUUUUCUUUUUGGGAUUUGGGUUUCAAAAGGGAGCAGAGCAGAUGGAAAAUUUUAGGCAAAACGUUUUAUGUUUUCUCGGUUUUUUGAUUUUUUGGUUUUUUUUUUAAAAAAAAAAUAAGUGGAGGUUGACGUGGUAGAGAAGAGAGGCAUAUUAGGUAUUAAAAAUCAGCUCAGCCCAAAGGGCAUGGAACCCAAAAUAUUUUGGGUUCAAUAUUGAAAAAUUAAAAAUGGUAAAAAUGAGUUUUGGUUUUCAUAAUAUUUAGAUAUCACCAUCCCAAAACCUAACUUUUCCAAUUUUCUCUUUCGUGCUUGCCGUGAAAGUCACUUGCUCCGCAAUUUACGCAAAGACUCUAUUACCAUUGACUUUAUUACAAUUUCUACAAGAAAAAUCGAACUUCAAGACUAAGCAAAUAUCCUAGGAAUCAAGCUGGAAGCUACAAUGCUGUUUCAGGGAAGCAUAUGAUAUACAAAUACAACCCUUAUAUGUUACAGCUUCGGUACUGACCAGGAGACUGUAAGUACUGGCCAUGGAUGCAGAAGAAGAAAGGCUAAGUAAAACCCAUAUCCAUGGCCAAUUGGUAGAGAUAAACCACAAUCAGGAGAAACGAAUACGCCACGAAGAAACAAAGGCGCAGAAUCUGACAACUGGGUUUGCGGUCGUCCAAGCUUUAAUUCUCAACACAGGGGUGAUCAAUAAGCCAUCUAACAGAUGCGAACACUGGUGGGUGCCAUUCUCUCUCUCCUUAUCAGUCGGUGUGAUUUAUUUCAUCACCAUUUUUGAGGUGUUGAGGAAAUGGUACCUUCUGCUCUACCAUUUGGACGUCAACUACCUGGAGCAAGAACUUAUUCUACUGGAAAUGCAUGGGGGUGCUCCGUCCUGGCGAAAUGAUCAGCCAUUGAAGCCAGAUGUGGUGAAGCUCCUGAGGCGUAAAGCUUAUAUCACGAUACUGAUUUCUGCUAUGCUCGCCUUUCAAGCUCUGAUGCUCCACGCCUGCAGAUCCUUUCUUUGCAGCUGAAAGUAACCAUCUUCCCCUUUAAAUAAAUACUAGAAUAAAAAAAAAUUGUUGUUUAUUAUGCCAAAUUUCUCGAUGCCUUUGAAGAGUGUCAUGGGAAAUGCUAUUAAGAUGCAAACUACAUAAUUCAAAAUGCAUUAUAUGGAACGAAAUUAUUUACCAUGAAAUUUAUUUAUAUUGUUUUUCUUUCUAAAGUAUUCAAAAUGCAUGAUAUGCAAUAGAAAAUUUUGAGGGAAAAUAUCACAGAAAGAAAAUAGAGAGAAAAAAUAGAAUAAAAAAAUAUGAAAAAAAAAUAAAAAAAUAUAUUUAAAGUCAAUAAAUUAUUUUUAUAUCUUAUUUUAAACUUAUUUUACUUAUUUUAACUCAUCAAUAUAAAGGUUAAAUAAUUUUAAAAUAUAUAAAAUUUUAAUUAAUUUAAAUUAUAUUUGAUUUUAUUUGACAUUUUUCAUGAUACAAUCAUGAGAAACUCGUUUUCUUAAACAUUUUUCUUUUCUUUUUUCAGUAGUUUUUGGCAACCAAACAUUACCUAAAAUUUUGUUAGUGCAUCUCCUUAGGUGUUUGUGCUCACAUAUUGGGCCCAAGAAUGGGUUCCUGCAACUACCAUCAAUGGGCCGGGCUGCCCAAUCAAUAACAAAAGGGCACUCACCUGGGUCUCAUGGGCCGAGAAAAAUGGAGCCCAUACACAACAGUUUUGAACCCAAACAUAAAUUUCAAGUUCAUAUAUACUUUUAAUCUCGUUUAUUCAUUCAUAUUAGAAAUCUAGAUUUAUAUUAAUUCAUUCAUGUAGAUCUAUAUAUUAGGAAUCAAAUUAGAGUGCAUAGAAACCAAAAUUAAGAGAGAGGAUUAUACCCAGGGAAGUUUUGUGUGAUACGUUGAACUGAAAGUGAUAAAAACUAAGACUAUGUUUAAUUCCCAAAAAGCAAUAAGGAAAGAAAAAAAAAUAUGAAGGAAAAUUAUUUUCUUGUAUUUUAUUUUUUUAUGAAAAACUUGAAAGGAAAUAAAAUAUAAUUAAAAAUUUAUUAUAUAUUUUUAAAUUAUUAAUUUCCAUAUAAAAGGGGAACAAAAUGUCAAUGAAUUUGAAAUAACAAAUAAAAAUGAUUUAUAAGUUUUAAAUCCAUUUUUUUUAUUUUCCUUAAUAUUUUCCUUCUUCUACUUUUUCUUUCUAUUUUCUUUUUCUCACAUUUUCUCUUAGAUUUUCUAAGAACCAAACAUAAUAUAAAAAAACAAAUAAUAUAUAAAAAAACCCAAAUAAUUUGACAUGUGGUAUAUUGUUGCUAGUCAAAGUAAUGGUUGUGGGUGACUUUUAGAAGCCUCCAAUAAGAAAUGGCCAAAAAACCUAUGAGCUUGGCAUUUAUUUGAGUAUCUCGGGGACAAUAUUUUAUUUUUAAUUAUGUGUUUUAAUUCAUUGUUUUUUUUUCUUUAAUAUUAUUUUAGAAAUAUGUUUAGAGAUAUGUUAAUUUUAGUGCUUAUAGUAAUAUAAAGAUUUUGAUAAUUAAAAAUUUGUUUAAAAAUGAUUUUAGGAAGCAUUUAACCUAUUUAAUCUUUAAAUUUUUUAUAAAAGAAUUGUUUUCAAGUGCUAAAAAGAUUAGAGACAUUUUAUAAAAUUACUAUUAAAUAAAUUCUAAAUAUAAUCGAGUCGUGUGACUAUAAAUUGCUAGACUUUUCCAUGUGAUUAAUCCUUGGAUACUUGGAAUUUGUUUAUGUGGGGUAGAGCUUUUGUGAGUUUGUUUGCAAUUUUCUCAUACUAGAAACAAAUGAAUGGUCAGAGAAAGGAACAUAGAAAAGAGAAGAUUGAAACACCUUCACCUGCUCCGAAGGUUCGUAUGAUCUUCAUGCCAGCCUCCAUGCCUCAUUUUCCCGCUUAUAAAAAAAAGGCCACAAAAGACUAGACUGAUCUGAUAAAGCAGGGCCGGAAAAGCGAGCUCGACACGAAGAAACGAAAGCCGGCCAAUGCAGUCCGAGAGAUCACACAGCGAACUGUUCGAGUCUGGGCUUUUGUUUCUUCGUGUCGGUCUUGCUUCUGUCUCCGGCCGGAGGAACAAAAUUGUACAGACAUGGAUGGGAAGAACUCCUGUAAUAUCAAGAGUCCUUCUAUCUUUGGAUUGUUAUAAUAAUAUUAUCUUCAAAACAAAAUUUAUGCAAGUGGGGGUAUAUUUUUUAUUUUUUGUUUUUGAAAAUAGGAAGUUUUAUACAAAAUAUAAAAAAAUCUUAUAUGAAAGAUAGGUAUAAUCUUGUUAUGUUAUUUGAAAACAUUUUUUAAAAUUGACAGAAGUAAAAAAAUUUCAAUUCCAUAAAUUUUUAAAUUUUGAAAAAGUCUUUAAGAAGGGUAGGUAAGAGGAUGCUUGUUAAUGGUUAGAAAAUAGUUUUAUAUGUUUUAGAACAAAAGAAUAAUAAAAAAAAACAUGCUUAGUGAUUAGAAAACAGUUUAUACUCUUAAAAAACAAAAAAUCGGAGUGUUUUUAGAUAAUAUCUUUUAAUUUUUAAAAUUAUUUUUAUUUAUUGAAAAAUAAUCAUACAAAAUGCAGAAUGAUUAUGAGUAAAGUAUUACAUGUGAAACUUAUUUUUAAAAAAUAUUUAAAAACAUAAAAAAAAAAGUUAAUAACAGUUCAAGUUUCCAAACAAACUAUUAUUUUACAAAAUAUUAAAUAACAAUUUUAAAAAAUAGUUUUAAAAAAUACUUUUCGAACACAAUUUAAAUUUUUUUCUUUUUGCAUAAAAAUUCUUAUAUUUUGUAUAAGAGUUUUUAUUUUUAAAAAUAAAAAAAUAAGAAAUAUAUUCAAAGAUAUUUAAUAAACAAUAAAAUUCAAAAGAGAAAGCCUUAAAUUUUAUGUUAUUAUUGUAAAAUGAGAAUAAAUGUGACUCAAAUAAUAGUAGGGAUGACUAUGUAUUAUUUUAAUAAUAUAUAUAUAGAGGGGCGGGGGGAAGAAAUCAAAGAAAAGUGUUGAGAGAAUGAAAGAAAGAGAGAGAGAAUGAGAGGAAGAAAAUUUCUUCUUUUUCUCGGAAUGCUCUUACAUGGGGUGUAAGAACCCUUUUAUAGGAUUCAUAAGAUGAACUCCCAUUACUCAUCUUAAAGAUGAGUAAAUGGAGUUCAUAAAUGACCAUCAAUGUGGUCAUUCAUCACUUCAUUUACAACAUUUCCCCUUGGAUGACCACCAUAUUAAAAGAAUAUGUUUCAUUAAAACCUUGUUAGUAAAAAUUUUUAUAGGAAAAACCUAGUGAAGGAAAAAGAGUACAAUAUUCUUUUCUUGGUAUAUUAGGACUACCUCGUUAAAAACCUUGCCAGUAAAACCCAGUAGGACAAAACCUGGACGAAGGAAAAAAGAGUACAGUACACUAACACCCUUUUACAAGCAUACUCCCCCUCAUGUCAAUAUCCUUGAGUUGACGCAUUCCAAUCAUGUAUAUUAAUUUCUUGAAUGUUGAGGUUGACAAUGAUUUUGUGAAUAAAUCUGUUAGAUUAUCACUUGAGCGUAUUUGUUGCACAUCAUUUUCACCACUCUUCUAGAGUUCAUGUGUAUAAAAGAAUUUUGGUGAAAUGUGUUUAGUUCUAUCUCUUUUAAUAUAACCCCCUGUUAUUUGUGUAAUGCAUGUAGCAUUAUCUUCAAAUAAUAUUGUCGGGUCACCUUUGAUAGAGGAGAGUCCACAUGAUUCCCGAAUAUGUUGGAUCAUAGAUCUUAGCCUUAUACAUUCAUGACUUGCUUCAUGAAUUGCUAGUAUUUCUGAAUGAUUUGAUGAUGUGGCCACCAUUGUUUGUUUGACAUAUCUCCAUGAAAUAGCAGUACCAUUGCAAUUAAACACAUACCCUGUUUGUGACCUACCUUUAUGUGGAUCUGAAAGAUAUCCUGCAUCUGCAUAUCCAAGCAAUUGUUGCUUUGAUUCCGUUGAGUAAAAUAAACCCAUAUCAGUAGUUCCGCAAAGAUAACAUAAUAUAUGUUUGAUACCAUUCCAAUGUCUUCGAGUUGGAGUGGAAUUGUAUCUUGCUAAUAAAUUGACAGAAAAAGCAAUGUCUGGAUGUGUACAAUUGGCAAGAUACAUAAGUGCACCAAUAGCACUAAGAUAUGGUAUUUCAGGACCAAGUAACUCUUUUUUUUUUUUUCGCAAGGACGAAAUGAGUCAUUUUUCACAUCAAGUGAUUGGACAACCAUUGAAGAACUUAAAGGAUGCGCUUUAUCCAUAUAAAAACGCUUCAAAACUUUGUUAACGUAUGUUGAUUGAUGUACUAAAACUCCAUUUGGAAAAUGCUCGAUCUGCAGGCCGAGAUAAAAUUUUGUUUUUCCAAGAUCUUUCAUCUCAAAUUCCUUUUUCAAGUAAUUUGUUGUUCUUGUGAGCUCUUAAGAAGUUCCAACAAGAUUUAAGUCAUCGACAUACACUGUAAUAAUUGCAAAUCCGGUUUCUGAUUUCUUAAUGAAGAUGCAUGGGCAUGUAGGGUUAUUCACGUAUCCUUCUUUUAGCAAAUAUUCGCUAAGACGAUUGUACCAUAUGCGUCCAGAUUGCUUUAAUCCAUACAAUGAUCGUUGUAACUUGAUUGAGUACAUGCUACGAGACUUUAUACUAUUUUCUCCAGGCAAUUUAAAUCCUUUAGGGAUUUUCAUGUAUAUAUCAUUAUUCAUGGAUUCGUAUAAAUAUGUUGUAAUAACAUCCAUGAGAUGCAUAUCCAAUCCUUCUGAGACUACCAAAUUGAUUAAGAAACAAAAUGUGAUUGCAUCCAUGACGAGAUAAUAUGUUUCUUCGUAGUCAAUACCAGGUCUUUGCGAGAAACCUUGUGCUACUAAUCGCGCUUUAUAUCUUAUGAUCUCAUUAUUCUCAUUGCGCUUUCGUACAAAUACCCAUUUGUACCCAACAGGCUUUACAUCUUCAGGUGUUUAGACUACAGGUCCAAAAACUUCUUGUUUUGUUAAUGAGUUUAACUCUGCUUGUAUAGCUUCAUUCAGUUUUAGCCAAUCAUUUCUAUGUCAACAUUCUUCCACAUUUCGUAGUUCGGGAUUUUCAUCAUUUCUUUUGACUUUAGAGGCCACUUGGAAAGCAAAAAUAUUGUUAAUAACAAUAUUAUUUAAAUCCAUUUUUUCUCCCGUGUGUACAUAACUUACUGAGAUAUCACAAUUUUUAGGUACCUGUGCCUCUUCAAGGGCUUCUCGUUCAAUAUGUGCCUCUUCAAAGGCUUUUUGCAUUAUUUAUGCCUCUUCUAGGGCUAUAGAUUUAUCAAUUUUAAAUUGAUCAGUCAUUUUGAUGGCCUCUUCUAGAGUGCCAAGUUUUUCUUCGGUUCUCAUUUUCUAGGAAGUUACAUCAUUUGAGCCGACAAGUUUACCACGCUUCAGGCAUAUCUUAAAUUCAUUUGUUAACUGUCCUAUAGGGACAUCAAUCCGUGCUGGAGUAUUUGUAGUCGGGAUAUGUUACUUUGUCACUUUCUUUGUAUUAAUGAAUGCAUCUGGUAAUUGAUUUGCAAGAUUUUGCAAAUGAAUGAUCCUUUGGAAGAUGGGUCAUAGUAGAUGCCUUCCAACUAAUUUCUCAUGGUUCUUCAGGAAUCGACUUUUCUCCCCUUAAUGAUGGGAAAACACUCUCAUUAAAAUGACAAUCCGCAAAGCGGGCAGUAAAAACAUCACCUGUCAAAGGUUCAAGAUAUCUUAUGAUAGACGGAGAAUCAAAACCUACAUAAAUCCUAAGUCUUCGUUGGAAAUCCAUUUUAGUGCGUUGUGUAGGUGCAAUUGGUACAUAUACUGCACAACCAAAGAUUUGUAAGUGAGAGAUAUUUGGUUGUUUUCCAAGCACAAGUUGUGAAGGGGAAUAUUCAUGGUAAGUUGUAGGUUGAAUAUGGACUAAAGCUACAACAUGCAUAAUAACAUGUCCCUAGGUAGAAGUAGGUAAUUUGGUUUUCAUUAGUAAUGGUCGAGCUAUUAAUUGGAGACGUUUGAUGAAGGAUUCUGCUAAGCCAUUUUGGGUAUGAGUAUGAGCAACAAGAUGCUCAAUAUUUAUCCCUACUGACAUGCAAUAGUCAAUGAAUGUUUGAGAAGUAAAUUCUCCAGCAUUAUUAAGACGUAUUGUCUUAAUUGGAUAAUAUGAAAAUUGUGCUCGUAAUAUGAUUAUUUGUGCAAGGAGUCUAGCAAAGGCAACGUUACGUGUAGAAAGGAGACAAACAUGUGACCACCUAGUAGAAACAUCUAUUAAGAUCAUAAAAUAACGGAAUGGUCCACAUGGUGGAUGGAUAGGCCCACAUAUGUCCCUAUGUAUUUUUUCUAAAAAGACUGGUGACUCAGAUAUAACUUUAGUAAAAGAUGGUCUGAUUAUCAAUUUACCUUAUGAGCAGGCAACACAUGAGUAUUCAUUGGGUGAAAGAAUCUUCUAGUUCUAUAGUGGAUGUCAAUGUGAGUGUUCGAUUAUUCGACACAUCAUUGCAGACCCUGGGUGACCUAGCCUGUCAUGCUAAAGUACAAAAACUUUUGGGUCGUUGAACUUCUGGUUCACGACAACAUAUGAUUCAAUAGGCUUUAUAGUUGUAUGAUACAACCCAGAGGAGAAAGUCGGGAGUUUUUCCAUUAUAAGCUUCUGACCAGAUAUAAUGGAAGUAAUGUAAAGAUGUUCUAUAUUAUCUUCAUUCAUAGUUUCAAUAUGAUAUCCAUUUCUGCGGAUAUCUUUAAAACUAAGCAAAUUUAUUCUGGAUUUGCUAGAAUAUAAAGCAUCAUUUAUAUGAAAUCUAGUUCCAUUUGGCAACGUUAUGUUUGCUCUUCUAGAACCUUCAACUAAGUUUGUAGUACUAGAUAUGGUACUUACAUUAGCUUUUAUUAAUGUCAAUUCAAGGAAAUAUCUUUUAUCUCGAAGAAUUGUGUGCUUGGUCGCACAGUCUACGAGACACACAUCAUCCUCAUUCAUCUUGAGACCAAAUAACACAUGGAUUUCAGAUAUAACAAAAUAAAACAAGGCAUAAUGUAAAUAACAAAGUAAAUCAGAUGUAAAUAUAAGACAUAAUAAUAUAUUAUUUCAUAUAUAAAGUAACAUCAAUUAAUGUUAAUUUUCUCAUCAUUUAUCAAAUGGUCUAUUUUUUCAUUGGGACCUUCAAAGAAAUCAAUGUCAUAGUAGGUUAGGUCCAAUCCAUCACCAUCAGUAAAGUUCAUCUUUAUCUCUUUUCCUUUUGCUUUUAUUGAUGCUUGGUAAAGGUCGACUAAAUGUUUGGGCGUACGACAGGUAUGCGACCAAUGCCCCUUCAUACCACAUCUAUAACAAUUAUUCUCGUGGUUCUUAGGAGGUUUAUCUUGUAAAUGCUUCCCAUUUUCUUGUAUUGUCUCAGUAUUGUUCCAUUUCUGGUGGUGCAACGAGGCUUUCAUUUUCUGAGAAUUAUUACUAUAAGAACCAUGGUAUCGGGGAUUUUUUCCACGAUCAUGACCACGUCCAUGAAUUUGGACGAUAUUGCAUUCACUUUAAGGAAUGGUUCAGAUCCAGUUGGACGAGAUUGAUGAUUUCUCAUUAAAAGCUCAUUAUUUUGUUUAGUAACAAGAAGACAUGAUAUUAAUUCAGAAUAUUUUGUAAAUCUACACUUUCUAUAUUGCUGUUGCAGGAGCACAUUCGAGGCAUGAAACGUAGUAAAAGUUUUCUCUAACAUGUCUUCUUCUAUGAUUUUUUCUCCAUGUAGCUUUAAUUGAGAGCUGAUUUUGAAAAGUGCGGAGUUGUAUUCACUAAUAGUUUUAAAAUCUUGCGACCUUAGGUGCAUCCAAUCAUAUCAAGCUUUUGGGAGAAUCACAGUUUUCUGGUGGUCAUAUCUUUCCUUCAAAUUACUCCAUAGAGUAAAAAAGUCCUUUACCGUAAAAUACUCAUUUUUUAAACCUUCAUGGAGGUGAUGACGAAGGAAAAUCAAUGCUUUUGCGCGAUCCUGCAGGGAUGCUUGAUUUCCUUCUUUGAUUGUAGCUCCAAGGUUUAUUGCAUCAAGAUGUAAUUCAACAUCAAGGAUCCAAGAUAGAUAAUUCUUUCCCGAAAUGUCAAGUGCCACAAAUUUGAGUUUUGUGAUAUUCGACAUUGUCAAAUAACUUCAUAUAUAUGACAAAACAAUAUUAUUAGAAUCAAUUAUAAUAACUUAAUAGCAUUGGUAUAACUUUGAUUAUAAACAAAAUCAAAUAAUUUGUUUAUAAUUUUUAACAAUAUGUAACAAAACAAAUCAACAAUAAUAUAAAUAUGUAAAAUUUUAUCCUAUAUAAAUAACUUCAAGUUUAAGAUACGAGAAUUACCUUCAGAACAAUUCGUGCUAAUAAUGUGUUGUAAAAAGAGAAUAAAUGUGACUCAGAUAAUAGUAGGGAUGACUAUGUAUUACUUUAAUAAUAUAUAUAUAUAUAUAAAGGGGGAGGGGGGGAAGAAAUCAAAGAGAAGUGUUGAGAGAAUGAAAGAAAGAGAGAGAGAGAGAGAAUGAGAGGAAGAGAAUUUUUUUUUUCUCGAGAUGCUCUUACAUGGGGUGUAAGAAGCCUUUUAUAGGCUUUAUAAUAUAAACUCCCAUUACUCAUUUUAAAGAUGAGUAAAUGGAGUUCAUAAAUGACCAUCAAUGUGGUCAUUCAUCACUUCAUUUACAACAGUUAUUAAUUUGUUGUAUUACUUAGAGGGGGUGAAUGAAUUGAAAGCACUAUGGAGGUAAGCUUUUUAGUUUUUUCACCUUAUCCUCUUUAUACAUAAUGUCUCCAUCAAUGAUGUUCAGUAUAUUCCUUAUUUUUGUUUUACUUAAGUGUUCUUGUAUUGUAGCCCUCUCAAGACUCUUCCUCUUCACUCCAAACAAGUUAAUUGUCUUCAUAUCAAAGUAACAUAAGUUGAUUUUCUUAUAGGGCUAAUGCUACUUAUGUGAUUAUUUUCUUUACAAAAGUUGCAAAUAAUAUUUGAGGAUUCCUUGACAAAAUAAUUUUUAAAUUUUUAUUUUUUUAUUUUUUUUAUUUUUAUAGAGCUUGUAUCCUAAUCCCUUUAUUGCAAAGAUUAUUUUUUUACUUGCCAAAAUUAUCAAAAUUCUUGUCCCCAUUUGAGAAUUUUGAAAGAGAAGAGAUUAACUAAUGAAUUUUCUUUUCAAGUAAGUAUAUAUUUUAUUCCAAGGAAAACCUUAGCCUUUUUUAGAUAUUUUAAACUCCCCUUUUAAGUCAUUAAUUUCAACUUGAAGAGAGAUGAUUUUCUUUUUAAGAUAAGCCUGAAAGUUAUUUGAUCUAGUUUAGGUAACACCUAGAGGAGUUGAAUGGUGUUUAAACUUUUCUGCUCAAAAAUGAAUUAUUUUAUAUUCAUAUAACAAACAUUUUUUCAAUUUAGGAAAGCCUAAAAACACUCAAUACAAAAACAUAAGAUUUUUAUAUGGAAAACCACCCAUAUCAUGUGCGGAUGUAAAAACGACAAGGUCAGACUUUUAAUCAUUAAUAAACUAUUUGAAAGUAUUAUACAUGGUUUUAGUUGGUGGAAGCUAUCGUUAAGUCUUACUACCCAACACCUACAAUGCACUUCACAUUUGCGAUAUAGCACUACGUGUGCUCUUAGUGGAUCUAACCUCAGUGUUUGAGAGGAUGUAGAUCUCCUUUUCAAUCCAACAUAAGCGAAAACAACAUUCCUUGAGAGUUUUAGGAAUAAGAUGACGAAUUUGGUUUUUCAAAAAAUUUGCAUCAAACCAAAAACCUUUUUAGGUAAAACAUUUAUAGGCAUAAGAAGCUGGCAGACUGGAUCUAAAAUUUUCCAAAAUAAGACCUUAAAAAAAAUUAGAAAAUCAAAGUUCCAAAAAUUUUGGAGAAUUCUAUCAUGGGUGUUUGAGUGCUCAUGGGAGCACUUGAGUGCUUAAGGAGAUUUUUUAAACUUUUUAAAAAUUCUUUUAGCUUGGUUUUAAAACCAUUAGUUCGCACCAUGCCUUAACAAACACCAAUUUGUCAUUCUUGAACCUUUUGAUUUUUACUUGUGCCAUCCUGAUUGAUCACAUAACAACUUUGAGUCUUCAAUGAAGAGUAAAACACAAUUUAGAAAGAUUCUAAACUAGAAUGAAAGGAAUUAUAUAGCCUAAUAUACCAACAAUCUUCUCCUAUGAUAAUUUUAUGAAAAAAAAUACAAAUUACAUAAACCCCCUAAUACUCUUCAAUGGAGUUUAAGAAUCUCUCAAUAACUCUCGUCUAAACCAAAUCAUUCUUGAACAUGCAGAUGAUGAUAAAUCACAUCUAAAAGUGGGCAAUACCCCACUACUUGUGACCUGCACACACAAACCAACCAAGUACUCAAGUAAAACAAUGUGUGAGAGAAAACACAACUCAUAAAUUCUAUCAAAUCAAGGUAAGAGUAGAUGGAUGUGAGUCAUGCAUACAAUGGAUAUCUAAUCAAUAGUAUCAAUAAAUUGUCUCCCCAUUUUUGUCGCAAAAAUGACAAAGAAGGAAUAAACAAUGAAUGCACAUAAGAGAAAGAGAAACAAUUAAGCAAAAGAACUUCAACUUAUUUUUAGAAUGCUUCUUUCUUGGUAAGAUCUCUUAAGAAACCCUUCUUGAAAAUAGUUUUUUUUUUUUUGUUUUGUUUUUUAUGAUGGAAAAUUGUUUUCUACCUUAAAAACUAUAUUUGGUAAAAUUUCACUAAAAUAAUUUUUUGAAAAUAGGUUUUUUUUUUGGAACAAACGCUUUUAAAUAUAUAUAUAUAUAUAUAUAUAUAUAUAUAUAUAUAUAUAUAUAUAUAUAUAUAUAUAUAUAUAUAUAUAUAUAUAUAUAUAUAUAUAUAUAUAUAUUGUAGAAUAUUUCAAGAAAUAGUUGAAAAUAUGAAAAAUGUUUCAAGAACCUUUGUAUCUUAGAUUUGUGCACUUCAGUUUCAUGAAUAAUAUUAAACUAAGAAAACUGUUAUUUAUAUAUUAAUUUCUAAAUAAAAUUUUGUUGCUGGAAAUAAUUAAAAUUUAUUUUAAAAAACUAUUUUCAAGAAUUAUUUUUGAAAACGUUGCUAAAAAGACAAAAGUCCUUGGUCAUUUUUUUUUCUUUUAUAUUUUUAUCUUUAUCUAAGAGGCCGGUCUUUUUUUUUUUUUAAUGUUCCAUAAUCCUUGUGAAAUUGUAACGUGUAAUUCAUUUAUUUGACUUCAAAAGUUAAGAAAUAAUGAACCUUUCAUUAUUGUAGUUUGUCUUGUAGUAAGAGACUUAAAAAUCCACGUACAAGAUGUCUUUCUUUCUUAAGUCAAGUCAACAAAAUGGAGGUGGAAGAAAUAAUGAACUUUCAUUAUUGUAGUUUGUCUUGCUAAAAGCUAUGUAUAACGGGUCUUCGUAAGUCAAAUCAAUAAUCAAAUUAAAAGAAAUAAUAAACUUCCAUUAUUCUAUUUUAGAGACUUAAAAAGCCAUAUAUAACGGGUCUUCUUUUCUUAAGUCAAGUCAAUAAAAUAAAAGUAGAAGAAAUAAUGAACUUUCAUUAUUGUAGUUUGUCUUGCUAAAAGCCAUGUAUAACGGGUCUUCGUAAGUCAAAUCAAUAAAUCAAAUUAAAAGAAAUAAUAAACUUUCAUUAUUGUAUUUUAUCUUGUAGCGAGAGACUUAAAAAGCCAUGUAUAACGGGUCAUCUUUUCUUAAGUCAAGUUAAUAAAUCAAAUUAAAAGAAAUAAUAAACUUUUAUUAUUGUAUUUUAUAUUGUAGCAAGAAACUUAAAAAGCCAUGUAUAAUGGGUCUUCUUUUCUUAAGUCAAGUCAAUAAAUCAAAUUAAAAGAAAUAAUAAACUUUUAUUAUUGUAUUUUAUCUUGUAGCGAGAGACUUAAAAAGCCAUAUAUAACGGGUCAUCUUUUCUUAAGUCAAGUCAAUAAAUCAAAUUAAAAGAAAUAAUAAACUUUUAUUAUUAUAUUUUAUAUUGUAGCAAGAGACUUAAAAAACCAUGUAUAAUGGGUCAUCUUUUCUUAAGUCAAGUCAAUAAAUCAAAUUAAAAGAAAUAAUAAAUUUUUAUUAUUGUAUUUUAUAUUGUAGCAAGAGACUUAAAAAGUCAUGUAUAAUGGGUCUUCUUUUCUUAAGUCAAGUCAAUAAAUCAAAUUAAAAGAAAUAAUGAACUUUUAUUAUUGUAUUUUAUAUUGUAGCAAGAGACUUAAAAAACCAUAUAUAACGGGUCUUCUUUUCUUAAGUCAAGUCAAUAAAUCGAAUUGGAAGUUUUUCCUUUUUUUUUUUUUUUAAACCAACUUCUACUAUUACUUUUAUUAGUUAUUUUGAUCAUUUGAUUAAAUAUUGAAUUAUUAUUAUUUUUUUAAAAUUUUCAAGUACAAACCAUUUCAUGUUAAAAAAUUUAAAGUGGAUCUAACUUUCUUUACAAGUUAAGAUAUCUUGAUUAAAGGAUAAAUAAUGGAUUGUAAUAUUUCAACUUUAAUUAAGUUAAUUUAUCAAUAUUCAAACUAAGUUGGAGAAAAAAAAAAGACAACACCUCAAUUUUAGUUUUCCAUUACACAUGGUUAUUUCUUUUUCUUCUUUUUCUUUUGCUUAUUUGACACACAAUGGCAGCUCUAGUCAUCAUACCUUUCAAGACUCUAAACUCACACAAAUUUUCAAUCUUUUCAUCAUAUCUUUUAAAAUUCUUGUCACUCAUAAAGUAUUUAAGACUUAAUUUUAAUAAAUUCAUAUUUUUAUAACUAUAACUAAGAGCUUUGACCUAUUAAAAAAUGAAUCAAAAAUCGUUUGCAAGACAUUAAAAUUUCAUAAUUAUUUCUUUUACCUUAAAUGUAGUUGUUAUGUGUUUGCUAGUUCACAUAUUUGCAAUAUACCCUAGGAUGGUUGAGCUAUGUAACAUGCUUCUCGGAAUCAAUUCAUUCGGUUUUUUUUUUUUCCUUUUCCCUUUUGGUUCUACUCAUUUUAAUGUAAAGAAGAACCAAAACAUAUUCACUAGUUGAUUUUACCCUUGGUUGCACAACUAACCAUAUGGAGUCUAGACUUGAAAAUUUUAUGCAUUUUGGGUCUAACAAGUUAUGAUACUUAGACCUAGCAUUACAUGUGAAAGAAAACAAAAAAGUAAUAAUAAAAAUAUAAUUCUCAUUGGAAAAUUAAAAUUGUUAUGAAAUAUUUUAUUUUCUCAUAUGUUGUUUAGAUAUUGAUGGAUUGACUUGUUAAUUAAAGUUGAAAUAUUCUAAUAUUUUUCUGUCAUCAAGGUGUCUUAUGUGGUGACUCAAAAAUAGUAUUAAUAAAUGAUAAAAGAGAUUGUUGCUAAUCUUCAAAAUUAUAAAAAGUUUAUACACUUUGCUAGUCUUCAAAAUUAUAAAGCGUUUAUACUUUAAAAAAACAAAAUAAAUAAACAUUAGUCUAUAUUGAAUGUGUUAAUAUGAAGUACAUUGUAGCUAUAAUUUUUUAAAGGAUUAAAGAAAAAAACCAUUCAAUAUUUUGCUAGGUAUAAAAAAUCUUAUUUAUUACAAAUUAUUUUGUAGAUGAUGAAUCAUUGAUGAAGAUAGGCUAAGGAAUUUAUAAAAGGUAAAAAGUAAUUAUUCAUAUAAAUGAAAAGUGAAGGUUAUAUUUGUUAAGUAUCUUUAAAAGGGGAUUUCAAAACAUUACUUUCUCUAAUAAUAAUAAUGUAAACUCAAAAUAUAUGUAAAUGAAAAUAAAAAAUAGUAUUUUUAUAAACUUAAAAAUAAUAUAUUUGUUUUUUUAAAUAUUUUUAGUCAUAAUUAAAGGUCAUCAUAUCUGUCAAAAAUUUAUCUUUAUAUUAUUUAUUUUAAAAAUGAUUAUUCAUUAAGAAUCAUUUUGAUAAAAGGUAAAAAAUAAUUACCAUAUAAAUUAAAAGUGGAGGUUAUAUUUGUUAAUUAUUUAUAAAAGGGGAUUUCAAAACAUUACCUUCUCCAAAAAUAACAAUAAUAAUAAUAUAAACACAAUAUUGACUCAAAAUAUUAUGUAAAUGAAAAACUUAAAAAUAAUAUAUAUUUGUUUUUUUUUUUUUAAUAUUUUUAGUCAUAAUUAAACUUCAUCUACUCAUCACGUUUGUGGGAAUGGUAUAUAAGUCAAUGCCUGCUUUGCUCAGAAAUCAAAAACCAAAACUUGUUAAUCCUUGUUAUUACACACUAUCCUUGCUCUGUGUUGAACAUGGGUACAAGCCCCUUUCGAUAUUUUAUUUCCUUUUUUCUGCUUAUGCUAUGUUUUGAAGCCUGUUUGAGGGUGGGUGAUGCUAAAGUUGGGUGCAGAGAGAGGGAAAGGCAAGCACUCCUUCACUUCAAACAAGGUGUUGUGGAUGAUUUUGGAAUGCUUUCUUCUUGGGGGAAUGGGGAAGACAAAAGAGAUUGUUGCAAAUGGAGAGGAGUCGAGUGUGACAACCAGACGGGUCAUGUGAUCGUGCUUGAUCCUCAUGCUCCGUUUGAUGGAUAUUUGGGAGGUAAGAUUGGUCCUUCAUUGGCAGAGUUGCAGCACUUGAAGCAUUUGAACCUCAGCUGGAAUGAUUUUGAAGGUAAUUAUAUACAUAUAUACCUUGUGAAAAUUCAUCAAUUUGUCUCAGCAGAAUAUAAUUCUCUAUUUUUCCAAUUUUACAGGAAUUCUUCCCACUCAACUCGGAAAUCUUUCCAACUUGCAAUCCCUUGAUCUCGGCCAUAGUUUUGGGUUUAUGACCUGUGGAAACCUUGAGUGGCUUUCUCACCUUCCUUUGUUAACACACCUUGACUUGAGUGGGGUUCAUCUUAGUAAAGCAAUCCAUUGGCCACAAGCAAUUAAUAAAAUGCCUUCCCUAACUGAGUUGUACUUGAGUUAUACUCAGCUUCCUCCGAUUAUUCCAACAAUAUCCAUUUCCCAUAUUAAUUCCUCCACUUCUCUUGCUGUGCUUGAUCUCUCCGUGAAUGGUCUCACUUCUUCAAUAUACCCAUGGUUGUUCAACUUCAGUAGCAGCCUUGUUCAUCUUGACCUCUCUAUGAAUGAUCUAAAUGGUUCAAUUCCGGAUGCUUUUGGAAACAUGACUACUCUGGCAUAUCUUGGUCUCUAUGGGAACGAGCUACGUGGUUCAAUUCCGGAUGCUUUUGGAAACAUGACUAGUCUGGCAUAUCUUUAUCUCUCUUCAAAUCAGCUUGAAGGUGAGAUUCCGAAAUCCUUGAGAGAUUUAUGUAAUUUACAGAUACUAUACUUGUCUCAGAACAAUCUCACUGGACUGUUGGAAAAAGAUUUUCUGGCCUGCUCUAAUAACACAUUAGAGGUUUUAGAUUUAUCUCAUAAUCAAUUCAAAGGGUCAUUUCCCUGGCUUUCAGGAUUUUCACAGUUGAGAGAAUUAUAUCUUGAAUUCAAUCACCUAAAUGGAACUUUACCUGAAAGUAUUGGACAACUGGCUCAACUUGAAGUGUUGUCCAUUCGUUCAAAUUCAUUGCGAGGCACUGUCUUGGCAAACUACCUUUUUGGUCUCUCCAACCUGUCUGUCUUAGACUUAUCUUUCAACUCCCUUACAUUCAACAUAAGCCCUGAGCAAGUUCCCCAGUUUCAAGCCUCUCGUAUAAUGUUGGCCUCUUGCAAAUUAGGACCACAUUUUCCUAAUUGGCUUCAAACUCAAAAAUAUUUGUUGGACCUUGAUAUCUCUGCUUCUGGAAUUUCUGAUGUCAUUCCCAGUUGGUUUUGGAAUUUAAAUUCAGGUUUAGCAUGGUUAAACAUUUCCAACAAUCACAUCUCAGGCACUUUGCCAAAUUUACAAGGAAUAUUUUAUUUGGGAAUGUGGGAUAUGAGUUCAAAUUGCUUGGAAGGUUCAAUACCACAAUUUCUUUUCAAUAAUGAAUGGUUGUAUCUCUCCAAGAACAUGUUUUCAGGCUCAAUUUCUUUAUCUUGCCGGAUUGCUAAUCUGUCUGGUUCGGGUUUGUCCCAUCUUGAUCUCUCAAAUAAUCGACUGUCAGGAGAACUACCCAAAUGUUGGGAGCAGUGGAAACAUCUAAUUGUUCUUAAUUUGGCAAAUAAUAAUUUUUCUGGGAAAAUUAAAAAUUCAAUUGGCUUGUUAUAUCGGAUUCAAACAUUGCAUUUACGCAACAAUAGUUUAACCGGAGCAUUGCCUUUGUCCUUAAAGAACUGCAAAGAUUUGUGUCUUGUAGAUUUUGGAAGAAAUAAAUUAUCAGGCAAAAUACCUGCAUGGAUGGGAAGAAGCCUAUCAAGUUUGAUUGUUCUCAACCUAAGAUCCAAUGAAUUUAAUGGAGGCAUACCUUUAAAUCUAUGUCAAUUGAAAAAUAUUCAAAUGUUGGACCUCUCAAACAACAAUCUAUCUGGUACUAUACCAAAAUGUCUCAACAAUUUAAGUGCCUUAACUCAAAAAGGGAGUUUGGUCAUUUCUUAUUAUGAAGGAGAGUUGAAUGGUUGGAAGCUCUCCUAUCUUGAUAAUACAUUGGUUCAAUGGAAAGGAAAAGAACUAGAGUACACUAAAACUCUUGGACUUGUGAAGAGCAUUGAUUUUUCGAAUAACAAGUUAAUAGGAGAAAUUCCGUCAGAAGUAACUGAUUUGGUAGAAUUGGUGUCAUUGAACUUAUCAAGAAACGAUUUGAUUGGACCAAUCCCUGCAACCAUUGGUCAAUUGAAAUUAUUAGAUUCUCUUGAUCUAUCUCAAAACCAGCUUAAUGGUAGAAUUCCAGAUAGUCUUUCUCAAAUAGCUGGUCUAAGUGUUUUAGACCUAUCAAAUAACACCUUGUCAGGUAAAAUUCCAUUAGGCACUCAAUUACAGAGCUUUAAUACCUCCACAUACGAGGGAAAUCCUGAACUUUGUGGGCUACCUCUUUUGAAAAAGUGUCCAAAAGAUGAACCUGGGGAAGCCUCCUUCAUUGGUUUUAGUAGUAAAACAGAGGAUAUUCAAGAUGAUGCAAAUAAUAUAUGGUUUUAUGGAAAUAUCGUUCUUGGAUUCAUCGUCGGAUUUUGGGGAGUUUGUGGCACUUUACUACUCAAUAGUUCAUGGAGAUAUGCCUAUUUCAAGUUCUUGAACAAGAUAAAAGACCGAGUGUAUGUGACAACAACAAUAAAUAUGAAUAGACUAUGGAGGAGCUUCCAAAUUUAAAUGGUAAGAUUUCUCAAAUUCUCUCCUUAGUCUUUUUAAUAAAUUAUAUUACCUUAGUAGCCUCUUUCUAUUAUUGCUCAAAUCCCUAUUCUAUUAAUUAACUUACCUUCCACAACUUAUGGAGAUAAAAUAAGAUUUUUCAAAUAAAAAUAUCAUAUUUUAUUUGAUUAGAUGUGAAAUUCAACUAUAACUAAGGAAGCCUUGAAUAUUUUGAUAUACCAAAUAUAACAACACCACAUUUUUAGUUCUCAUUGUACAUAUAGAUAAAUGUUAUGGCUUGAGAAUCAUAGUUGAAAAAUUAUAAUUAUCACUAUUUUUUUCUCAUCUUGCUUUUACUUACAGUUGUACCUUUUGCUGAAGUUCAGUCAACUUGCUUUAAGAAUAUUUGAGGUUUUAUUGUAAGAAGCAUACUACCAUACUUUCCUUUAUAUUAAUCAAGAAAAGUAAAUUUGCUUCUAUUGAAGACAUUUUUUUCAAAUUGAUGAAUAUUAUUUCAUUUGUUGUAUUGCAGAACUUCAAUUGGGUUGCAUCUCAAGGAUUAGUAGGUAAUAUAUGCUUGUGAGUAAUGAGUUUAUUUAGUAUUGGACAGCCUGAAUGUAAGAGCAUUUGUGUUUAUUGAACUCAUCAUCUUAUAAAUAACUUUGGCGUGUAUUAAGUUUGUUUAUUUGAUAAUAGGCGUGGCUUAAGUUUCUUAUGUUAUGCUCUAUUUAGAGCGAAUCAAAUAUAUUAGAGGAUGAUAUCAAGUCCUUUGUGGUGCAAUGCUAGAAACUACUUCGCUUUAAAAAAAACGUUUUCUUUUGCUCAAAAACCAGUAGCAACUAAAGCCAUAAUUUAAAAUGGGACAUGGUAAGACUAAGAACAGAAACUGAGCACUCUGUUUUUCUGGUGCCCAAGCAUGGAAGUUAUUAUAAUAAAAAGAAACAGCUGGUCAGAAUAAAACAAAAUUCAAAACAUGGUGUUUCUCACAAUGCAUAUUGAGGCUUCAUCCACUGAUAUUCCACAACAGAUUAACCGUCAAAAACCCUUAUGUUGAGUAGGAGAAAAGAAGCUCCAUACUUCUCAGGACAUACAGAACAACACCUUGGGUAGAGACCUUGACCAUGCUUGCAGAAAUGUGUUUUUGGAGCAGCAAUCCGAAGUAUAGGAGGCUUCAUAUUUGGGAACACUCCUCAUUCAAUGUAUCAUUGUGACUGAGAUGACUACAUAUUGAGGUUUGAUCAGUUCUAGGAAGGUGACUGGUUAUCAUAAAGCAUUUACCAACCAUUCUUGAAUACAUACUUAUGUGAUUUAGCAGGAUGGAACUGCAACUAGUCAUUAAUUAAGCAACAAAAAUGGCUGUGGUAAGAUUCUGAGACAUUGAUUGUAUAUUCCAUUGUUUUUUAUUUGAGGUUAAAUUCGGCUUUUGUUUUUUUUACUUUUUAAUUCUCUACUGCUUACAUGCCUCUUGUAUCUGAAGAGGCUAAUUGUUCAUGCGGUUGAAUUUUGCAACAUUUUCUUAUUGUUCGGGGCUUAAGCUUCUGUUCAUUUUUUCAUUAUUAUGUUUUUGUGCUUUGUUUUUUAUGACUAAUCCCAUGCCACAUAGUGAAGUGUUCACAGAGAAUGACUGGAAAUUUGUCCAGCUUGGGCUUGCUCUAUUUUAGAACAUUUUAGCCAUUCAAGACAUCUCGUUGCAGUAGAAGGCUGGGAGUCUGCACGCCACUCAAUUUUUAUCUCUGAGUAACCAAUUUUUGGUGCUGUUAUUCUUCAUUGAUUUAGAAGAUGAGCUGUUAUUUUUGGGGAUAUCUGUGUUAUAAUACACAAUAGUAUGCAUUGGGAUAUGCUACUACUGAAAACAGAACAAUCUGUUUUUGUGGCGUCCAAGCAUAAAAGCUAUUGUCACACAGCGAGGUCUGAUUUCCAACUGUGAAUCAAAUUGCUCGAGGUACUUCAUAUGCAGAUCGCUGCAAGUGGCUUUGGCCAUCAAUCUCCUUCAGGGGAUGAUAAUAUUGAGAUUGCAGUGAAGGUUUGGGUGUUUGUCACAAUGCCUGUUGAAGCGUCAUCAGAUGAUAUUUAGUCAUCAGAUGAUAUUUAAUGACAGAUAGGGUAUCUGUGGGGUUGAAAUCUCAUUACAUGCGGCAACACAGUUCUUGAUAUUUAAUGACAGAACGGUAAGCGAACUUUAUAUGUAGUUUUUUCCCUUCUCAUGGGUUCAUUUGUAAGUGUCCCAAUUUUCAAACAGAUGAAUAAUGGAUGGUGAAAGUGUCCUACACAUCAUAGAACAAAGAACAAGGAACAAGGAUCAGGAGUUCCCUUUACCUCUUGGGAUCUGUGUUGACACAUCCAUCUCAAAUUUCACUACUUGCAUUUUCUUUUGGGAAGUUUUUAUUGAGGACAGAAUAAUAAAUUAGCAUAUAGCUCUGUGAUAUCUGUCUAACCAUGCUGGCUUUUCCAUUUUGCAGAUUUGCAUGCUAGAUUUAGUGCUUAAACUAUCACUGGAAGAUUCUAAAGAGCCUCAAACAGCCCACAUCCUUCUUUAAAAGUUAGAUUUAUGAUCAGACUGAUCAAGGGUUGACUCAUUUUCUCUUGAAUCUGAUCAAAUCCUUCGACUCUCAUACUAACCCAAAAGGUUUCCCCUUUCAUUUCAACAACUUAGAAGUUCAUUGUUGAUGAUGAUGUUGCUGUUAUAUUCAUUAUUAUUACAACUAAUUUGAUAAGCAAUUAUUGUUAUUAUUUUUCUUUAUCUUAUAACACAAUCAUAUGAUAAAUGGAAUAUAAUGUCAUGACUGCAUUGAAAUUCUUGACCAAACAGAAAAAUGGGAAAUUUUGCUGUCUAUUUUAAAGCAUUGUAAUCAAUAUAGGGUAUCAUGAUGAUGAAUCAAGUCAACCUUGCCCCUACACUUUUGUGGUUGUGAAUGCAUUGAAAGAAAGUAAUAAUUCAGUCUGUGAAUCAAACAGGCCAUUAGUUCUUCGAAAGACUGAUACUCGAGAUGAAUGGGAAUUUGAGGCUGUAAGGCUGGGACGAUGAUGUAAACGGCACUCGCCAAUGGGUUCCUGAAUGGUCUGCAGUUUCUAAUCCAUGUGAUAUUGCUGGGGCUUGCCCUGUGUAGCUUGGACUGAAGCAAAACUAAUGCCUCCAGCAUGUACAUGCCUGCUGGGGGCUUCUAAUGUGGGAGACGGCGGCCAGUGCUCAGAGAAUUCUUCGGUGUCAACCGCGAGAUGUGAUAAUAAUCAUCGGAAUUCGACUGCUUCCAAGCUGAAGAUGUCGAUAGUGCAGCAAACUAAGUACUAUUAUCUCAUUUUUCCGAUUAUAGCAAAUUACAGUAACAUCUCGCCAUUAUCACAGUGCGGUGAUGCUUGUUUAUCAGACUGUGAUUGUGCUGCUUCCGUGUUGGCUGCUAAACAACUUGGAGUUUGGUGGAUUCGAGGACACGAGUUCGACCUUGUUUGUGAAGGUUGGGCCUAAGGGAUCACCUGGAGGCAACGCAACAGGAUUUGGGGAUUCAUCUGAUGGCCUCUGAGACAAGGUCUUAGUUCUUCCAAUUGUUCUCAGCAUGACUGUCCUUGUAGGACGACUCUGCUUCUUGUUAUACCACAGUGUGUACAGGAGGAGGGCCUUGAAGAGAGCCCUGGAAAGCCCCUUGAUUGUGUCCGGCGCUCCAAUAAAUUUCAGUUACUGUGAUUUGCAGUGCAGAACCGGCAAUUUGCACAGGUCAGCAUGUACAUAUACAUAUAUAGACUUUGAAAAGGAUGAAAUUGCUUGAACAAAGCCAAUUAGACUUGAUCAAUGAGGAUUAAUGUUGUCUUCUUUUUUUUUUUUUUUUUCAUGAGAGUUUGGGAGUGUAUACAAGAUGGGACAUUGGUUGCAGUGAAGAAGCUUGACAAGCCUCUUGGGAAGAAGGAAUUCAUAACUGAAGUGAAAACUAUUGGCUCUAUGCAUCACAUGAACCUGGUUCAACUCUGCGGCUACUGCUCAGAAGGCUCUCACCAGUAUGCAUUUCAUUUCAUUGCCUAAUACCAAUUACCACUAACCAUAUUUAAAUUCUUAUCAUCCUCUUUGGGGGUCAAGCAUACUAUAUCUUCGAGCUUGUAAUGGGGUUGGAAUUUGAUGAUUCUUCACAGGCUUCUGGUUUAUGAGUUCAUGAAAAACGGUUUCUUGGACAAGUGGAUAUUUCCCUCAAAGCAUUGUCGGGACAGACUGCUAGAUUGGGGAACUCGCUUCCAUAUAGCCAUUGCUACUGCACAAGGUAUUGCUUAUUUUCAUGAGCAGUGCAGGAACCGGAUCAUCCACUGUGAUAUCAAGCCCGAAAACAUACUUCUAGAUGAGAAUUUCUAUCCAAAAGUUUCAGACUUUGGACUAGCAAAGCUGAUGGGCAGAGAGCAUUGACAUGUAAUCACUAUGGUGAGAAGAACUAGUGGUUAUUUGGCUCCAGAAUGGGUGAGCAACCGACUUGUUACUGUAAAAGCCGAUGUCUACAGUACAGAUAGCUUCUUUUGGAGAUCGUUGGUGGCUGGAGAAACCUUGACAUGACUUUUGAUGAAGAAGACUUCUUCAAUCCUGGGUGGGCUUUUAAGGUAUAGAUCAGUCAAGUUCUUGCUUUUGUAAAUCACAAAUUGUUAAGUGUUUGAUAUUUUAUUAACAAAAAUGUCAAUUCCUCUAGGAAAUGAGUAAUGGGACGACGAGAAAAGUUGCAGACAGGCGAUCGACUGGAAGGGGCAAUGGAGGAAGAAGAGCUGGAAGAGCAUUGAAAACCGGCUUUUGGUGCAUUCAAGAUGAGGCUUUCAUGAGGCCUUCAACGGGGGAAGUGGUGAAGAUGUUGGAAGGAUCACUUGAAAUCAACACACCGCCAAUGCCACAGACAGUGCUGUAGCCCAUGGACGAAGGCCUAGACAAUGUAUACAGAGCCAUGAAGAGAGAGUUCAACCAGUCCAGCUUCAUCACCAUCAAUAGUACCCAUCCUUCAUCAAGGGCUACAUGUAGUUAUUCCACAAUGUCACCAAGAUAGCAAAGGAGAAAUGGAACAAAUUUUGUUGCUGUCCAAGAAUUUUAUCCCCAUGAUACUUUGAUACUGUCCAGAAACAUAGUAUUUAUUGACCAUUUGUUAAACUAGUAGAGAACUUUGCAUAAUGUUGUUGCUAAGAUUUCAAAUGGUAAAAGAAAUUAUAUUAAUUGCGAAACAAAAACAUAAACAAUUAGGUUGAGGUACGGAAAUCUCGUUCUUUUAAAGGAGAUUUAAGCCAUUUCUAGUUUGACAAUUUCAGAAAUCGGUAUACUUGACUUCUCUUUGGUUUGUCCCCUCAAGGAUACAAUGGUCCAAGUGAUUUGUUGCAUAGCUCACGUCAAUAUGCAUAAAGCAUAGAACUCAAAGCUAGCGGUUCACAAACAAACCUAUUUUUUUUGGCCAAGAGAAAAUAAAUAAAUAAAAAGGAAGAAGGCAGAAGAUGACUAAAAAAAUGUGUUAAAGUUAUAUGACAUUAGGAGGGUGAGUCAAGGCUAAUCAUAAAGUUUGAAAUGUUCAACAAUUUCAAAAUAAUUCAAUCUCGAUAAAUCCCAUUAACAUAAAUGAUAUUUAAUAUUUUUUAAUUUCCAUAAUUUUACAUUUGUAACUACAAAUUUAAUAACCCAUUAUGCCAACUUUAAUCCCUAUAACUUUCAUAUAUAACCACAACGUUAGUAACUAGUUUCUUUAAUCCCAAAUCUCCAUUUUUUUGAACUUUUAAAAACUUUUUUGGACCUCAUAUGACUUAGAUAUUGAUUUGAUAGGUUAAUUAUGCUUAGGGGGUGUUCAAUUGAUGCUUGAAAAAAAUCAAAAUAAAAAAAGACUAAGAAAUGAGUAAGGAUACAAAGCAUGUCAAAAUAUGAUAUCCCACAUCGGAUAUGGAAGAAAGUUCUUGACACUAUAUAUGUAGAGACUCCUCUUAAUUAUGUAAACGUGUCUUAAAACCAUGAGGGUCCCUUUGGGUUUAAAGCGAACAAUAUCUAUACUACGAAAAAUGUGAUGAAUUCUCGCAUUCUUCAUACCCUCCUCCACUUCUUUGAACUUUAAAAAAAAAAAUUGAACAUCAUAUGAUUUUGAUAUUGAUUAAAUAGGUUAAUUACACUUGGUGGGUAUGAGAUUAAUGCCCGAAAGAAUUGAAAUCGAAAAUUUAAAAAAAAUUUUGAGGAUUCCUCACACUCUUCAUACCUUAUCAAAUUUCCACUUCUUUCAAUUUUUGAAAUCUUUUUUGAAUGUCAUAUGGAUUGAAUAUUGAUUAAAUAAGUUAAUUUAGAAGGUGUGAAAUUGAUGUCUGAAAAAAUCAAAAUCCAAAAAUAUUAAAAAAUUAGCAAAGAGUGUGGAAUUCCUUAUUGCUACUAAUUAUAUUAUUAUUAUUAUUUUGUAUUUUCAAUACUUCAACCAAUAUUUGAUGUGAUUAAAUUUAAAAUGUAAGAAAGAAUUUAUUAAUACAAUUUUCAAUUAAUAAUUAGUACACAACUAUCUUAAUUUUUAAACAUUGUAUACUUAUUUAAAUUUAUUUUCAUAUUUUUAUAAAAGUGUAAUUACACUUACAAUUUAUUGAAAUUUUUGUAAAGCUCCUGAGACGUAAAGGUUAUAUCACGAUACUGAAUUCUGCUAUGCUCGCCUUUCAAGCUCUGAUGCUCCACGCCUGCAGCUCCGUUCUUUGCAACUGAAAUACACCAUUAGCUAUGUCCGCCUGUGAUUAAUGCUCUUGCCAAUGGAGCCGGUGAAAUUUAUUUACAUUGUUUUUCUUUCCAAAGUAUUUUUUUAGAUGGAAAGAAAAAGAGACAAAUUAUAAAAAAUAAAUCUCCAAUACCAAUAUUUAAAAAUGAUUUAUCUAUUUGUCAACACAAUUUGAGUGGAAGAAUAAUCAAGACAUGUGAAAAUCUAUAUAUCAGGAAUCAAAUAGGGCCCAAGAACAGGUUCCAACAAGAACCAUCAAUGGGUUGCCCAAUCAAUAACAAAAGGCCCGGUCUCAUGGAUCACACAAAAUGGAGUCACCACACGAUAGGUUUAAACCCAAAUAUAAAUUUCAAGUUCAUAUUUUCAAUCCCAUUUAUAAUUUAUUUAUUCAAAUUAGAAAUCUAUUUAUCAAGAAUUAAGUUAGAGUGCAUGGAGACCAAAGUUAAGAGAGAGGAUCAUGCCAAGAUUUAAAAUGAACAAAAUAUUUAUGAUUUAUCUAUAAUAAAUAUUCAAAUAAUAUUAAAAAAAAAACUAAUUAUUUUGAUGAUCAUAAAAUAUAUCAUUAUUGAAAUACAAACAAAUUUAAAUAAUAAAAUCUUUUUUUAUCUUAAUAAUUAAAAGUUACAUAUUUAAUAAAAUUAAAAUUACUAAUAAUUUAAUAAAUCUUUGUGUCAUUCUUAUCAUAAUUUAAGUUGUCAACAUUAAUGAUAUAAGAUGAUGAAAUGUAUUUAAAUUUUUUAAUUAUUUAUAUAUUUUUAAUUUCUUAUAAUUAGUUUAAAUUUUAAUAAUAUAUAAAUUAUAUAUUUAUGAGAUUACCAAUUUGAUCACUGUUUAACCAUAAAUCAAUAAUUUUUCUCAUUGAAUAAUCAAUCUAAUUCUAAAAACAUUGAUAAAAACUAAAGAAUCUUUAUUAUAAAAAAAAUAAAAGAUGUAAAAAACAAAUAAUUUGACUAGUCAAAGUAAAGGUCAUGGGUGACUUUUGGAAGCCUAGAAUAACAUAGGAAAUGUACAAGAAAUCAUUGAGCUUGCCAUUUAUUUCAGUAUUUGGAGGAUAAUAUUUAAUUUUUAAUCAUAUAAAAACAAAAGUAUAUUUAAUUCAUUAUUUUCUAAUAUUAUCUUAGAAAUAUUUUUAGAGAUAUAUUUAUUUUAGAACUUAUUGAGGAUAUUAAUACAAUGAAUUUGAUAAAUGUAAUAUAAAAAUGUAUAAAGUCAUUAAUUUUUUUUAUUUAUUAAAUUUGAAAUAUACAUAUCAUGUAGUAAUUUUUUGAAAAAAAAGAUUACUUUUAUAAAGCCAAUUCAAGGAAAAAGAAAACAUAACACUAUCCUCACUUCUCCGUGGUGUUUUAUUUCAUAUUAGAAAUCCUUCUAAUAAAAUUUCCUUUCUAAAAAUUUUAAAAAUAUUUUUUAUAACUACAAAAAAAAAAAAAAAAAAAAAAAAAAAAGCAUUACACUUAUCUUAUUCAUUACACUUUUAGAUUAUGUUGGUUUUAUUGGGAGCAGGGGGAAGGGAAUGGGAAGGAGAAAGUAGGUUUGCUUACUUGGAAAUGCUAUUUACAGAGAGACGGGGGUUUAGCCAGCUGAGAUUUGAAACAAAGAAAGGAAAGCUGGUGAUGGUGGAUUGAAUAUAGAGAAUGUGGGGUUUUGGGGUUGGGAGGCAUAUAUUCUUGACUGUUACGGUAACAACAUUUAUGAAAUGGACACAGCCUCCCUGAUGGUAGUACUCCAAAACGAUGUCGUUUCAGGACCCAAAAAGACAGGGUUUUAUCUCCCUCACCGCAUUGUAAUUAUUAUUAUUACGAUGGUUAAAAUUAGGAGUCAAUUUCUUGGGAUAUUCCACUAAUAAAAAAUAAAUAUAUUAUUUAUUUUAUUUUAUUUUUUAUUUCACUUAUCUUAUCAUAUUGUAGACCCCCCAUACGGUGAGGGCUUUUGGGUUUUUUUUGUUUUUGUUUUUUUUGUUUUUUAUUUUAUUCUUCUGACCACCCUAGAAAUUAAGCUGCAUGGGGCGGCAGAUGGGAUGGGUGGCAGGGGGCAAGCGGUGGCUUGCUGAGGAAGACGAGAGAAAAUAAAAAAAAAAAGAGGAAAAGGAAAAGGGAGAUCUGCAGAGGGUGGGAGGACUUUUCCGGAGAGCAGAAGACACCACUGUCAGUUGGAGGGCUCAGGUAUGGCCAUCUUCUCAAUUUUGGGUCUUUCUUUUUCGCUAUUUUUACUCAAUUCAUGCUGUGAAUCUAUUCUUCUCUGUCAUUGGGCUUGUUGAUUAUUGCUUUGGCACCUUUCUCUCCGAACCCCAUGCUCGUCCCUGCCUCACCCACGUCCCACGCAUGGCCGUCACCCUCACCUAUCUUCCUCAUCACCUCUUUCUCCCUCUAAUCGCCAUACCCGACUCCACAAGGACUCCCAAGGUCGCUCUUCUGCACGCAUGGAGUCCAAGCAAGCAUGCUGCCCCUCCCCGCAUCUCCUUGCUGCGCGCACCGCGCCGACGAGGCGCUUGCUCGUCUCACCAGCCGUUGCCUCGCCGCCAACCGCCAUCACCCGCUCCGGCUACGCUCACAUCUGCUCUUGCUCCGGGACCGCGUCGCCGCUGCCAUCGCUCCAGGACCACGCCGCCGCUGCAAUCGCUCCAGGACUACGCCGCCGCCGCCAUUACCCGCGACAGCGCCACCGCUGCCAUAGCCCGCGGCAGCGCCACCGUCUUCGCCUGGAAGGGCGAGAUCCUCCCGAGGCCUAGGAGCUGUCCACCAAGCUUGGAGAAAUCCGUGACUCCGAGCACCGUCGCCGCAGCCAGACGCGAGGGGGGGGGGGGGGGGGGGAACUAGGAAGAAGAUGAAGUCUUGUUGGGCUUGGGCUAAGGCUAGGCCCAAUUUGUGUUUGGUUUUGGCUAGGCCCAGUUUUGAGUUUGGUUUUGGGUUUGGGUUAUGAAGGCUUUGGGCUUGGGUUUGAGUUUGGAGCCCAGGCCCAAGCCUAUGCUGAAGAUGGGGCCUUUGUCUUGAGCCCAUUUCUAUUAUUACCAUAAUUAUUAUUAUUGUUAUUUUUAAUUAUUAUUGUCAUUGCUAUUAUUAUUACUAUUAUUAUUAAUCAUUGUUAUCAUUAUAUUUACUACUAUUAUUAUUAAUCAUUAUUAUCAUUAUAAUUAUUAUUAUUAUUAUCAUUAAUUAUUAUUGUCAUUGCUAUCAUUAUUAUUAUUGCUAUUAUUAUUACUAUUAUUAUUAAUCAUUGUUAUCAUUAUAUUUAUUAUUAUUAUUAUUAAUCAUUAUUAUCAUUAUAAUUAUUAUUAUUAUUAUCAUUAAUUAUUAUUGUCAUUGCUAUCAUUAUUAUUGUUAUUAUGAUUGUUGCUAUUAUUAUUAAUCAUUGUUAUCAUUAUAUUUAUUAUUAUUAUUAUUAAUCAUUAUUAUAAUUAUAAUUAUUAUUAUUAUUAUUAUUAUUAUUAUUAAUUAUUAUUGUCAUUGCUAUCAUUAUUAUUAUUAUCGGCAUUAUGAUUGUUACUAUUAUUAUUAAUCAUUGUUAUCAUUAUAUUUAUUAUUGUUAUUAUUAAUCAUUAUUAUCAUUGUUAUUAUUAUUAUUAUCAUUAUUAUCAUUAAUUAUUAUUAUCAUUAUUAUUAACUCAACUUUCAAAAUCUAUUUAUCAUUAUUAUUAUUAUCAUUAAUCCAAACUUUCAACACCUAUUCAUUAUUAUUAAUUAUUAUCAUUAAACCCAACUUCCAAAAUCUCAUCAUUAUCAUUAUUAUCAAUUCACAUUUUCAACACCUAUUUAUUAUUAUUUAUUAUUAUCAUUAGUCCAAACCUCCAAGAUCUCAUCAUUAUUAUUAUAAUUAACUCAACUUUCAAAAAUCUAUUUAUUAUUAUUAUCAUCAUUAAUCCAAGCUUUCAAAAACCUCAUCAUUAUUGUUAUUAUUACCUCAACUUUCAAAAUAUUAUUAUUAUUAUUAUUAUUAUUAUUAUCAUUGAUUAAUACUUUCAAAACCUUAUUAUUAUUAUUAUUAUUAUUAUUAAUUCAAACUUUCAAGACCUUAUUAUUAUUAUUAAUUCAAACUUUCUAACUUCCAAUUUCCAAGCCCAAUUUAUAAAAAUUCAACCUUCAAAUAAUACUUCAAAAUUCCGACAUUUAAAAUUCAAUUCCAAUUUCCGAAAAUUCUCAUACUCACUUUAAUUUAUUUAAUCACUAAUACUUUAUUCAUUUAUUUUUAAAACUCCAUUCUUAAUCUAUUUAUUUAAAAUUUCUGUUUGCCGAAUUAAAUUCCGAAAAUUCCCAUUCUCACUUCAAUUUAUUUAAUCACUAAUACUUUAUUCAUUUAUUUUUAAAAACUCCAUUCUUAAUCUAUUCUUUAAAAUUUCCAUUUACCGAAUUAAAUCCCGAAAAUUCCUAUACUCACUUUAAUUUAUUUAAUCACUAAUACUUUAUUCAUUUAUUUUUAAAACUCUAUUCUUAAUCUAUUCUUUAAAAUUUCCAUUUACCGAAUUAAAUUCCGAAAAUUCCUAUACUCACUUUAAUUUAUUUAAUCACUAAUACUUUAUUCACUUAUUUUAAAACUAAUCUAUUCUUUAAAAUUUCCGUUUAUCGAAUUACAUUUCUAUUUUUGAAAAUUCCAGUAUUCACAUUAAUUUAUUUAAUUAUUAUUAUGUUAUUUAUUUAUUCUAAAAUUCUAUUUUAAACAAUUCAUUUAAAACUUUCGAUCUCUGAAUUAAAUUUCUAUUUCUGAAAAUUUCACUAUUCACAUUAAUUUAUUUAAUUAUUAUUAUGUUAUUUACUUAUUCUAAAAUUCCAUUUUAAACAAUUCAUUAAAAUUUCCGACUUUCGAUUUUAAUUUCUAAUUCCAAAAACUCCAAUAUUCGCAUUAAUCUAUUUAAUUAUUAUUAUUUUAUUUAUUUAUUCUAAAAUUCUAUUUUAAACAAUUCAUUUAAAACUUUCGACUUCCGAAUUAAAUUUCUAUUUCUGAAAAUUUCAAUAUUCACAUUAGUUCAUUUAAUUAUUAUUAUUUUAUUUAUUUAUUCUAAAGUUCCGUUUUAAACAACUCAUUAAAAUUCUCGACUUCUGAUUUAAUUUAUAAUUCCAAAAUUCCAAUACUCACAUUAAUCUAUUUAAUUAUUAUUAUUUUAGUUAUUUAUUUCGAAAUUCCAUUUUAAACAAUUCUUCAAAAUUCAAAAUUCGGAACUUAAUUUCCAAUUUCCAAAAUUCUAAUUUCUUUCAAAUUUAAUAUCCAAAAUUCCAAUUCUUAAAUUUAAUUCUCAAGACUCCAAUCUUCAAAUAAUUUUCGAGACUCCGAUUUCCAAAUAAAUAUCCAAAAUCAAGUUUUUACUCCAAUAGUUUUAAUUCCAUUUCGGUUCUUAAAUAAUCUUUUGAUCUUCUGGAUUUUACAUAAGCAAUAAUGAAUUCUUCAUAAUUCUAAAACAUGGAAUUUGUGAGAUUAGUUCAUGAACAAUAAAUUGGGCUUUGGUGGGGGGGCCAUAUGAUUGAUCCCUAUUGAUUGUCAACUGUUGUGCUUGAUAUAUUUUGCUCGAUCUUCAUUUUGCGCUCCGAUAUGCAUGAGCUAUAAUUCGUAUUCGUUAAUUGUGUACUAAUCCCGUUUCUUGAUAGCGCAUUGUGGCUCGUGGCUCAGGUACGCACACAUUUUCAUUUUGAUCAUUCUCUAUGCAUGUUGGAUUUUCAUAUGUGCAUGAUUUGACUUAGGCAUCCAUUGAUUGUCACGUCGGCUUCAUUUUAUUAGUAGAGACCCGACUUUAGGGGCUUAGAGGGGUGCUACGGUCUUUACCGUACCUUCCCGAUGAGUAACCUGACCCCCGAACCCGAUCCGAUUUUUCACAGACCACCUUUUCCAAAAUAAGGAGUCACACUUAGGGUUUUUCUUUCUUAUUUUGUUUACCCUUUUAAAAUAAAACAAAAAUAAGUGGCGACUCCAAGUCAUUUUCAAAUAGUCAAUAAAAAUCAAUUUUCCUAAAUAAACAUCGAGCUCGCCAUUGAGUGGGAAACGCAUUGAGCCGAAAUGCGGGGUCCACACAUAUAUUUAACUAAAUAUGACAUAAGAUAAACUAUGAGAUAUAUUAUUUGUUUUAUUUUUUAUAAAUAUGUUAAUACCAAGUUAAAUUAUAUAAAAUACACAUAUCCCCUGUAUUAUAAAUUUAUUUAUUUAUUUAUCUAUUUUUAAUUUAUAAAAUAAUUUUUUUAUAAUAAAAUAUAAUUUAUGGUUAAAAAGAACUCAAAAAUUUAUAAAAUAUAUUAUAAAAUAAUAUUAAUUAUAUGUAUUAUUUAAUAUAUAAAUUAUUUUUAUAUAUUUCAAAUAACAUAAUAUAAAAAAAUUAUUUAUAAAGUUUAAAUAUUUUAAUCAUGAAUAUUUUUAUAUUUUUUUAAAUAAAAAAUAUUAGAAUAUAAUAUAAAUUUUAUUUUAAAAUUUUAAAAAUAAUAUAUAUUCUAUUUUAUGUUUUUAUUCAUUUUAUAAACUAAAUAUAAAUCUAAUAUAACAUGUUUUAUUGGAUAUCUUAGUUUAAGAUAUCAUAUCCAUUGCAUAUAAUAUAUCACAUUCAAUUGAAAAUCAUAUAGCAUGAGAUAUGAUAUUUCAAGAUAUAUAUACAUAUAUAUUUUAUCCAAUGAACCAACAUAAUCUAAAUUAGUUAUAAAAUAUAUUAUUUUUAAAAGUGUUUAUUUCUUAGUCAUUACACUUUAUUAUUAUUAUUAUUAUUAUUAUUAUUAUUAUUAUUAUUAUUAUUAUUUUCUUUAUUUUUUUCACAUGCAAUGAUAGUUUCUAGUCAUCAUGCCUUGCAAGACCCAAUACUCACAAAAUUUACAAGUUUACUCAUCAUAUCUUUUAAAUUUUUUGUUACUCCUAAAGUAUUCAAGACUUUUAGCAAUGUCAUAUCCUUAUCACUACAACUAACAACUUUGACCAAUUCAAAAAAUGAACUUCACAUGCAAUAGUAGUUCUAAUCAUCAUGUCUUGCAAGACCCGAUAGUUACAAAAUUUUCAAGUCUACUAUUCAUCAUAUCUUUUAAAAUUUUGGUUACUCAUAAAGUAUUCAAGACUUUUAGCAAUGUCAUAUCCUUAUCAUUAUAACUAAGAACUUUGCCCAAUUCAAAAAAUGAACUUCUCAUGCAAUAGUUCUAGUCAUCAUGCCUUGCAAGACCCGAUAGUUACAAAAUUUUCAAGUCUACUACUCAUCAUAUCUUUUAAAAUUUUGGUUACUCAUAAAGUAUUCAAGACUUUUAGCAAUAUCAUAUCCUUAUCAUUACAACUAAGGACUUUGCCCAAUUCAAAAAAUGAACUUCACAUGUAAUAGUAGUUCUAGUCAUCAUGCCUUGCAAGACCCGAUAGUUACAAAAUUUUCAAGUCUACUACUCAUCAUAUCUUUCAAAAUUUUGGUUACUCAUAAAGAAUUCAAGACUUUUAGCAAUGUCAUAUCCUUAUCACUACAACUAAGAACUUUGCCCAAUUCAAAAAAUGAAUUUCACAUGCAAUAGUAGUUCUAGUCAUCAUGCCUUGCAAGACCCGAUAGUUACAAAAAUUUCAAGUCUACUACUCAUCAUAUCUUUUAAAAUUUUGGUUACUCAUAAAGUAUUCAAGACUUUUAGCAAUGUCAUAUCCUUAUCACUACAAUUAAGAACUUUGACCAAUUCAAAAUAUGAACUUCACAUGUAAUAGUAAUUUUAGUUAUCAUGCCUUGCAAAACCCGAUACUUACAAAAUUUUCAAGUCUACUACUCAUCAUAUCUUUUAAAAUUUUGGUUACUCAUAAAAUAUUCAAGACUUUUAGCAAUUCAAAAGUGCAUGCUUUAGAAAGUUAUUACUUUUUGUAGUUUAAAUGUGAGUGUUAUGUAUUUGUCUUUUCACAUAUUUAUAUAUAACCUAGAUGGCCAAUCAGGCCAUUACCAUACAAUUUUUUUUUUUUUUUUAUAUAUAAUCUCAUAAAGCAUUUUCAAUUUUUUUUUAUAAUGUAUAUAAAAUAAUGUCAAUCCAUUUACACUUACGAAAAUGAUUUUUCUUAAAAAUGUCAAAGGCAACGAGGUAUGAAUAUUUUUAUAUCUGGAAACUGCAGGGACCCACUAAGGGGAGUACAUGCUAUUAGUGUCGGUGAGGAGAAGAUAGAGGAAACACAUUGGGGGGUGAGUCAAGGAGGAAGGGGCGUGCCGCCCUGCCGGGAGCGUGGUGGCAUGAAUUACUUGGGCGGAGCGAGAUGUCACGUGGACCGCGCUUUGCGCGGACACGCGGCGACCUGCAGAUCCGGAGGGGCGACGUUGUCUAACGAAUUUUAGAAAUUCGUGCCACUAGCCAUAUGGAUUUUGGACUAAAAUAAAAAACAAGACUUUAUUUUUGUUAUUUCUUUUAUAAGGAUGUCAUAAUUAAUAAUUCAAAAAUGUUAAUAAUUAAUUAUUAAAGAGAUUUUUGCUACUCUUCGAAAUUAUAAAAAAGUUUAUACACUCAUAAAACAAAUAAAUGUAUCUUCUAAUAAAUAAAUUUUUAUUAAAAUAAAUAAAUAUAUAUCUAAUUUUGAAUUUAUUAAUAUGAAGUAAAUUGUAUGUAUCUUAAGUUAGAUUUCUUAUUGAUUAAAAAAAAAGACCAUUCAAGGUUUAGCUAGAUGAAAAAAAAAUCUUUAUUUAUUAGAAAAUUCAAUUUUUUUUGAAUGAUGAAUCAUUGAUAAUGAUAUAUAAAAAUAAUUUAUAUAUCAUAUAUUAAUAUUACUUUAUAAAUAUUUUUAGUUUUUCUUUUUUAACCAUAAAUUUAAUUUAUAAUUAAAAAAAUUAUUUUAUAAAUGGUAUCUCUUGUCAUCAUACCUUUCAAGACUCUAAGCUCAUAAAAAUUUUCAGUAUUUUCAUCAUAUCUUUUAAAAAGCCAUGUAUAACGGGUCUUUUUUUUCUUAAGUUUAAGUCAAUAAAUCAAAUUAAAAAAAAUAAUAAACUUUCAUUAUUGUAUUUUAUAUUGUAGCGAGAGACUUAAAAAGUCAUGUAUAACAAGUCUUCCUUUCAUAAGUCAAGUCAAUAAAUAGAAUUAAAAGAAAUAAUAAAUUUUCAUUAUUGUACUUUGUCUUGUAGCAAGAGACUUAAAAACCCAUGUAAGAGGUCUUCAUUUCUUAAGUCAAGUCAAGUCAAGUCAAUAAAUCGAAUUGGAAGUUUUUCCUUUUCUCUUUUUUUAAACCAACUUCUACUAUUACUUUUAUUAAUUAUUUUGAUCAUUUGAUUAAAUAUUAAAUUAUUAUUAUUUUUUUUCAAGUACAAACCAUUUCAUGUUAAAAAAUUUAAAGUGGAUCUAACUUUCUUUACAAGUUAAGAUAUCUUGAUAAAGGGAUAAAUAAUGGAUUGUAAUAUUUCAACUUUAAUUAAGUUAAUUUAUCAAUAUUCAAACUAAGUUGGAGAAAAAAAAAAAACAAAGACAACACCUCAAUUUUAGUUUUCCAUUACACAUGGUUAUUUCUUUUUCUUCUUUUUCCUUUGCUUCUUUGACACGCAAUGGUAUCUUUAGUCAUCAUACAUUAAAAAAAACAAGAUAAAGAAACAUUAGUCUACAUUGAGUGUGUUAAUAUGAAGUACAUUUUGUAGAUGAUGAAUCAUUGAUGAAGAUAGGCUAAGGAAUUUUUUCGGUCUAUAGAAUGACUUGUUAAUUAAAGUUGGAAUAUUAUAGUACUUUAUUUUUAUUAUCUCUUUAUCAAGAUGUCUUAAUUAAUGAUUCAAAAAUGUUAAUAAUAUCAUAAAAGAUAUUUUUUCUACUCUUGAAAAUUAUAAAAAAAGUUUAUACACUCAGAAAACAAAUUAUCUUCUAAUAAAUAAAUUUUAUUAAAAUAAAUAAAUAUAUGUCUACUUUGAAUUUAUUAAUAUGAAGUAAAUUGUAGGUAUCUUAAGUUAGAUUUCUUAUUGAUAAAAGAAAAAGACCAUUCAACAUUUAACUAGAUGGAAAAAAAAUCUUUAUUUAUUAGAAAAUUCAAAUUAUUUUUUGAAUGAUGAAUCAUGGAUAAGGAUAAAUACUCUAGAUGGGUCAAAUAUGGUAGAUAACUUGGUUCCAAUAAAUAUUACAUUAAAUUUUUUUGGAACUUAUAUUUCUGCUAACUAAAAGCAACCUCUAUAUGGAUUCAAUAUAGAGGAUGGUGUGACCGUAAAGUUAUUUCUUUAAAUUUUUGGCCGUAUAUUGUCACUUAACUACCACUUAUAAUAAUAAUAAUGAUGAUGAUGAUAGAGGAAACUGCAUGGGACCCACGAAGGCAUGGGGAGUACACGCUAUUGGUGUCGGUGAGGAGAAGAUAGAGGAAACACAUUGGGGGGUGAGUGAGGGAGCAAGGGCGGGAUGGAGUCAACAAGAGUGUUGACUGAGGAUAAUAAAGGGGCACGCCGCCCUGCCGGGAGCGUGGUGGCAUGAAUUACUUGGGCGGAGCGACAUGUCACGUGGACCGUGGCGACCUGCAGACCCGGAGGGGUAGCGUUGUCUAACGGAUUUUAGAAAAUUCGUGCAACUAGCCAUAUGGAUUUUGGAAUAAAAUAAAAAAUAAGACUUUAUUUUUGUUAUUUCUUUUAUCAAGAUGUCUUAAUUUAUAAUUCAAAAAUGUUAAUAAUAAAUUAUAAAAGAGAUUUUUGCUACUCUUCGAAAUUAUAAAAAAGUUUAUACACUCAUAAAACAAAUAAAUGUAUCUUCUAAUAAAUAAAUUUUUAUUAAAAUAAAUAAAUGUAUAUCUACUUUGAAUUUAUUAACAUGAAGUAAAUUGUAGGUAUCUUAAGUUAGAUUUUUUAUUGAUUAAAGAAAAAGACCAUUCAAGGUUUAACUAGAUGGAAAAAAAAUCUUUAUUUAUUAGAAAAUUAAUUUUUUUUUAAUGAUGAAUCAUUGAUAAUGAUAUAUAAAAAUAAUUUAUAUAUAUCAUAUAUUAAUAUUAUUUUAUAAAUAUUUUUAGUUUUUCGUUUUUAACCAUAAAUUUAAUUUAUAAUUAAAAAAUUUAUUUUAUAAAAUAAAUAUAUAAAAAAAUAAAUUUAUGAUAUAUGAGAUAUACAUAUCUUAUAUCUUAGUAUAGAAUUAACAUAUUUCGUGUAAAAGGAAUAAAAAAAGAGUGAAUAAUAUAUUUCACCACUUAAACUAUCUCAUCAUUAAUUAAAUAUAAAAUUUGAUGUAAUAUCUUCUCUUUUAUCCUGUAUGAUGUUACAUUUGAUCAACCAAACAUAACCUAUAAAGUUAAAAUUAUAGAAAUGAAAUGUAAGAGACCUUACUGAAAAAUAGAAAGUAAAAUGAUUGAUUUUUGAAAGUAAAUAUUGAUAAUAUUAUAAAAUUUUCACUAACAUAAAUUAAAAAAUUCAAGGAAAAAAAAAACAUAACACUAUCCUCACAAUUCCGUGAUAUUGUUUUUUUCAUAUUAGAAAUCCUUAUAAUCAACUUUCCUUUUUAUACGUUUUAAAAAGAAUUUUUAUUACUAAUUUAGAUUAAAAAAAAAAAAAAAAACCUUUCAACCAACCACACAUGUGACAUGGUGGUUGUUUUUAAAUUUCAAUAAAAGAUUUUAUAAUUAUUAAGAAAAGAAAAAAAUGUUAAAAAAAAAUGAUUAUUUUUUUUUAUUAUGAAAUAUACGAAAGUAAAAAUAUAUAAUUAAAAUUAAUAAAAAAACUAAUAUAUUUUAAAAUUAUUUACUUUUUAUUUUUAAAAAUUAAAUAAAUAAAAUAAAUUUAAAAUAAAAUAUAAAAAUAAUUUAUUAAUUUUAAAUUUAUUUUUUAUUUCUCUCUCACUUGUUCUUUAAGACGUGUUGUGUGUAAAAUACCAUAAAACAAGUCAUAUCACCAUGCUCAAGAUUUCAACAUGGUAGGUGUAGGUUUUGAAGACUUUUCCAUAUGAUUAAUACUUGGAUACCUGAAUUUUCUUUGGGUGGGGUUGGGCUUCUGUAAGUUUCUCUGCAAUUUUCUCCUACUUGGAAACAAAGGAAUGGUCAAAGAGAGGAACUCAGUGAAGAGAAGAUUGAAACGGACUGGAUACACCCUCGCUUGCUCCGAAGGUUGGUAUGAUCUUCAUGGUCGGUAGGCCUUCUCAAGUCUCCAUGCAUGCCUCAUUUUUCCCAUAUGAUAAAUCAAUGGUAGGAAGAGCGAGCUUCACACGAACAAACACAAUAAAAUCAUUAAAUUUUUGGAAUAAUAAUAUGAUGAAGUUGAUAAAUGAUAAGGAUUAGGAAGAUGUUUAAUGAAAUUUUAAACUAAUAAUAAUUAGAUGUAUUUAACCUAAACUUUUGGAGAGAUUAAUGAAAUUAAUCAUAUAAAAAUUUCUCUAAUUUUAAUUUUAGAAUAAAUAUUAACAAUAUUUUUUUCAAAUAUAAAUAAUAAUAUUUGGAAAACAUCAUCAGUAAAUUGCCUUUUCAAUUUUUUGUCUAAUUGUCAUUUUAAAUGAAUAUUAAAAUCCUUUUAGUAAAAUUUAUGAAUUUAGUAAAAUAUUAAUAUCUAUAUUUUAUAAAUUUUAAUAAAGUUUUAUUAUUUUUAAUAAAAAAAAAAUUAUAUAAGUUGUGUUUGUCUUAUUAGUAUCACUAUUUACAAAAUUUAUCUUUAUAUUAUUUAUUUUAAAAAUUAUUAUUUAUUAAGAAUCAUUUUUAUAAAAGGUAAAAAAUAAUUACCAUAUAAAUAUAAAUUAAAAGUCGAGGUUAUAUUUGUUAAUUAUUUUUAAAAAGGGAUUUCAAAACAUUACUUUCUCCAAAAAUAACAAUAAUAAUAUUAUAAACACAAUAUUUACUCAAAAUAUUAUGUAAAUGAAAAACUUAAAAAUAAUAUAUAUUUGUUUUUUAAAAAAUAUUUUUAGUCAUAAUUAAAGGUCAUCUACUCAACAUGUUGGUGGGAAUGGUAUAUAAGUCAAUGCCUGCUUUGCUCACAAAUCAAAAACCAAAACUUGCUAAUCCUUGUUAUUACACACUAUCCUUGCUCUGUGUUGAACAUGGCUACAAGCCCCUUUCGAUAUUUUAUUUCCCUUUUUCUGCUUUUGCUCUGUUUCGAAGCCUGUUUGAGGGUGGGUGAUGCUACAGUUGGGUGCAGAGAGAGGGAGAGGCAAGCUCUCCUUCACUUCAAACAAGGUGUUGUCGAUGACGAUGGAGUGCUUUCUUCAUGGGGGAAUGGGGAAGACAAAAGAGAUUGUUGCAAAUGGGCAGGAGUGGAGUGUAACAACCAGACGGGUCAUGUGAUCAGGCUUGAUCUUCAUGACCAAUCUUUGGGAGGUAAGAUAUCUCAGCUUGGUCCUUCAUUGGCAGAGUUGCAGCACUUGAAGCAUUUGAACCUCAGCUAUAAUGAUUUUAAAGGUAAUUAUAUACAUAUAUACCUUGUGAAAAUUCAUCAGCUUGUCUCAGCAGAAUAUAAUUCUCUCUUUUCCCAAUUUUACAGGAAUUCUUCCCACUCAACUUGGAAAUCUUUCCAAUUUGCAAUCCCUUGAUCUCGGCAGUAAUUAUGGGCAUAUGAGCUGUGAGAACCUUGACUGGCUUUCUCACCUUCCUUCGUUAACACACCUUGACUUGAGUGGGGUUUAUCUUAGUAAAGCAAUCCACUGGCCACAAGCAAUUAAUAAAAUGCCUUCCCUAACUGAGUUAUACUUGAGUGAUACUCAGCUUCCUCCGAUUAUUCCAACAAUAUCCAUUUCCCAUAUUAAUUCUUCUACUUCUCUUGCUGUGCUUCAUCUCUCCUUGAAUGGUCUCACUUCUUCAAUAUACCCAUGGUUGUUCAACUUCAGUAGCAGCCUUGUUCAUCUUGACCUCUCUAUGACUGAUCUAAAUGAAUUAAUUCCGGAUGCUUUUGGAAACAUGACUACUCUGGCAUAUCUUGAUCUCUCUUGGAACGAGCUAUGUGGUUCAAUUCCGGAUGCUUUUGGAAACAUGACUACUCUGGCAUAUCUUGAUCUCUCUUUGAACGAGCUACGUGGUUCAAUUCCGGAUGCUUUUGGAGACAUGACUACUCUGGCACACCUUGACCUUCAUUCUAAUCAUCUAAAUGGAUCAAUUCCGGAUGCUUUUGGAAACAUGACUAGUCUGGCAUAUCUUGAUCUCUCUUCGAAUCAACUUGAAGGUGAGAUUCCGAAAUCCUUGACAGAUUUAUGUAAUUUACAGGAAUUAUCUCGGAACAAUCUCACUGGACUGAAGGAAAAAGAUUAUCUGGCCUGCCCUAAUCACACAUUAGAGGUUUUAGAUUUAUCUUAUAAUCAAUUGAAAGGGUCAUUUCCCGAUCUUUCUGGAUUUUCACAGUUGAGAGAAUUAGAUCUUGAAUUCAAUCAACUAAAUGGAACUUUACCUGAAAGUAUUGGACAACUAGCUCAACUUCAAGUGUUGUCCAUUCGUUCAAAUUCAUUGCGAGGCACUGUCUCGGCAAACCACCUUUUUGGUCUCUCCAACCUGUCUUACUUAGACUUAUCUUUCAACUCCCUUACAUUCAACAUAAGCCUUGAGCAAGUUCCCCAAUUUCGAGCCUCAGGUAUAAUGUUGGCCUCUUGCAAAUUAGGCCCACGUUUUCCUAAUUGGCUUCAAACUCAAGAAUUUUUUAGCGAACUUGAUAUCUCUGCUUCUGGAAUUUCAGAUGUCAUUCCCAAUUGGUUUUGGAAUUUAACUUCAGAUUUAAAAUCGUUAAACAUUUCCAACAAUCACAUCUCAGGGACAUUGCCCAAUUUAACUUCAUAUCCAUCUUAUUUGGGAAUGGAUAUGAGUUCAAAUUGCUUGGAAGGUUCAAUACCACAAUCUGUUUUCAAUGCUAGAUGGUUGGAUCUCUCCAAGAACUUGUUUUCAGGCAUUUCUUUAUCGUGUGGGACUCCUAAUCAGCCUGGUUGGGGUUUGGCUCAUCUUGACCUCUCAAAUAAUCGACUGUCAGGAGAACUACCCAAUUGUUGGGAGCAGUGGAAAGAAUUAAUUGUUCUUAAUUUGGCAAAUAAUAAUUUUUCUGGGAAAAUUAAAGAUUCAAUUGGCUUGUUACAUGGGAUGCAAACAUUGCAUUUACGUAACAAUAGUUUUACUGGAGCACUGCCUUCAUCCUUAAAGAACUGCAGAGCUUUGCGUCUUAUAGAUUUGGGAAAAAAUAAAUUGUCAGGAAAAAUAACAGCAUGGAUGGGAGGAAGUCUGUCAGAUUUGGUCGUUCUCAACCUCAGAUCUAAUGAAUUUAAUGGAAGCAUACCUUCAAGUCUUUGUCAACUGAAACAGAUUCAAAUGUUGGACCUCUCUAGCAACAAUCUAUCAGGAAAGAUACCAAAAUGUCUCAAAAAUUUAACUGCCAUGGCUCAACAAGGAAGUCCGGUCCUUUCUUAUGUAGCAUUUUACGGUUUGGAUAUCCCACAUUACUAUGUUGAUAGUACAUUGGUUCAAUGGAAAGGAAAAGAACAAGAGUACAAGAACACUCUUGAACUCAUCAAGAGCAUUGAUUUUUCAAGCAAUAAAUUAAUUGGUGAAAUUCCUAUAGAAGUAACUGAUUUGGUAGAAUUGGUGUCAUUGAAUUUAUCAAGAAACAAUUUGAUUGGAUCAAUCCCUACAACAAUUGGUCAAUUGAAAUUAUUGGAUUUUCUUGAUCUAUCUCAAAACCAACUUAAUGGUAGAAUUCCGGAUACUCUUUCUCAAAUAGCCGAUCUAAGUGUUUUAGACCUAUCAAAUAACACCUUGUCAGGUAAAAUUCCAUUAGGCACUCAAUUACAAAGCUUUGAUGCCUCCACAUAUGAGGGAAAUCCUGGACUUUGUGGACCACCUCUUUUGAAAAGGUGUCCUGAAGAUGAACUUGGGGGAGUCUCCUUCACUAGUGGUCUUAGUAGUAAAAAAGAGGACAUUCAAGAUGAUGCAAAUAAUAUAUGGUUUUAUGGAAAUAUUGUUCUUGGAUUCAUCAUCGGAUUUUGGGGAGUUUGCGGCACUUUACUAUUCAAUAGUUCAUGGAGAUAUGCCUAUUUCCAGUUCUUGAGCAAGAUAAAGGAUUGGUUGUACGUGACAACAAUAGUAAAUAUGAAUAGAAUACGAAGGAGCCUGCAAGGUUAAAUGGUAAGACUUCUCAAAUUCUCUUUUUAGUUUUUCGGGUAAAAUGUGUUAACUUCUAUUUAUUAUCCAACAAUUAAGAAUAAAAAGUACACUUUAUGCUACUACUCAAAUCCCUCUUCUAUUAUUUGAUUGACCUUCCACAAUAUAUUGAUGAAAGCUUAGAUUUUGCAAAUAGAAGCAUCGAUAAAAUAAGCAAGCCUAGAAGAUUUUAAUAUACUUUUUUGUAAUAGUUGUGCAUAUUUAGCUUUCAUUGUGUGAAGAUUAAUCUUAUAGGUCAAGGAUCAUUGUUAAAGAAUUAUGAUUAUCAGUAUUUUUAUUUCUAUCUUACUUCAAGUUACAAUUUUUUCUUUUAAAUGUUAAGUUAAUUUGUUGUCUUCAAAUAUUAUAAGUACAUUAAAAGUUCAAUUGUAAGUAACAUACUAAAACCUUCCUUUCUACUAAUCAAGAAGAGUAACUCUGGAACUAAGAAAUUAUUCCAAAUUGAUGAAUGUUGUUGCAUUUCAUCUUUGUAUUACAGGACUUCAGAUGGGUUGCAUCUCAAGGAUUAGUAGGUGAUAUAUGCUUUUGAGUAACGGGAGUAUUUAUGAUGGGAUAAUUACAUGCCUUAAUGCAAAAGCUUGCCAUCGGAUAAAUGACAUCGGCUUGUAUUAAGUUUGCUUAUUUGGUAGUUAGCAUGACUUUAAGUUUCUCGUGUUAUAUUCUAUUUAGAACUUUUUAAACAUUAAUUCUUGCUAUUAUAUGUACGACUUUGUAUUUUGUUGCUCUAAAAUUUAUUUGUUAUUUUUGUAGAAUCAAAUAUUAAAGGCCUUUGUAGGGGGAUGCUAAAAAAUACUUCAUCUUAGAAAAAUAUUUUUUUUUUUGCUCAAAAACAAAGUUUAUUUUUGGGGAAAUGCAAUGUGAUAAUACCCAUUAGUACGAAAUGGGAUAUGCUACUACUGAAAACAGAGCACUCUGUUUUUCUGGUGCUCAAGCAUGAAAGCUACUGUAACACAGAGAGGUCUGAUUUCCAACCGUGAAUCAAAUUGCUUGAGGUACUUCAUAUGCAGAUUGAUGGAAGUCACUUUGGGCAUCAAUCAUCUUCAGGGGACGAUGAUGAUGGGAAUUGGAUCAGCGGUGGUAAAGACCAACUAUGGAAAGUUUAUUAAAAAGCUCCCAUUUCUUUAUUUUGGUUUCUGCUUUUGUAAAUAACAGUGUUAUCCAAAAUUUGUGUUGGUUGCUCAAGUUUUGUAAAAGCUAUUCAACCAAUACGAAUCGCUACAUAAUAUGCAUUUUGCAGAAGAUCUGUGAUGAUUUGGAGCUCUCUCCAAUGCUAUACCAGGUUAGAAUUGAAAUAAGCAUCUUAUUUAGGAAUAGUUAACAACGACGAAGAAAUGCAAUCUAUAUGUGUUUUUUGUUCCACUGAAUUUUGUAGUAAUCAACUUAUGGAAGAAGUUAGAGCUGUUGGAGAAGAAAGUGCUCUUCAUGUUUGCUCAAACAAUUCAGAGGGAAGUUUAGUGAGACAAUUUUUAACUUUAUUUCCAUUUACUCUUUGUCAUGAGAGCAAUUUUUGUGCUUAAUUGGAGCUUGAGCUUUUGCUUUGGUAGUUGUGAAGUUGCAAACUGUUAUUGGAAUAAGAAGCCUCUACUUUUGCUUGUUACUGAAUAUGAAUAUAUUUUUUUUUAAGAAGUAAAUUUGCUAAUUAUUGUUCUUUUUCUUAGGCACCCAAGAAAAGAGUAUGUACUUUUAGCAAAGACCAAGAGGAAACUAUUAGAGCUUUAUUUGAGCAGUGAGUGCUUAAUUUGUUCUUUUUGGUGGCAUAUGCAUGUAGUCUUAAAUUUGAUUUCCUUCUGCAUAAUUGAUGCUGAAUAUUGUGAUUUUAGAAAGAUUAAUGCUAGUGCUCUUUUCGUCUUUUAAAUUAAAUUAGAUUUGUUUAUGUAUAGGUUUAAAGACCAUAAAAGGUGCACCUACAUGAUUGUAAGUGCUCUAGAUGGUGAUGAUACGCUCAUAGCUGCCCAAGUUUCCUAUAAACUUAAGCAACAAUUAGCUUAUGUUCCUCAUCAGAAAAGAGCUGAAGACAACUUGCAUUUGAGAGAUGAAGAUCUUAAUGGCUGUGAUAUAGCCAAAGCAUAGUAUUCCAACGAUGAAACGUUGUUUUCCCUAAGAAAAAGGUAACUAUAUCUUUAUGAAUUUCAUGUAAUUUUGUGAAUUAAUCUUAUUUGUGUGAUAUCCCACAUCGAAUGGGGGGAAAUUUGUGUUAUAUAUAUAGGUUCUCUUAGACAUGUUUUAAAGCCCAUGCAAGCCCCUUAAGCUCCUUAAAACUUUGUCACAUUGUCAAUUGCAUCUCUGUGGUUGCAGACUUGUCGUAUAUUUGCCUAUAUUUGUCAAGUACUAAUCAUAAAUUCAUAACACUCAAGACUUAAUCCAACUGACAUGUUUUUUUUUUACUAAAUACAACCUGUUGUCAUUCACUACCAUAGGUUGGCCACAAAAUUUCAAACUUUCCAUUCUUUAGGGCCCAUGUUUGCCCUUUUCUGGUUCAGACCCAAUCAUCUUUGGUACUCAUGUAUGGUUUCUGUUUCUAGGUUCUCACGAUCGAGUGCAUUAAUUGCUACUUCUUUCUUUCUUUCUUUCUUUCUUUCUUUUGGUUCUUGCCUCUAGUCCAUCUUCUCACAUCAUGUUCUCCUUGCUGCUGAUCAUUUUCUUUCUUGAUUACCCAUCAUUCUGUACCUUAGGGCAUAAUAAGUCUCCUGGCUGCCUUAAGAAAUUUGUGCAACAAUAUGCAUCAAUCAAACAAUACAUCCCAGAAUCAUCUCUCCGUUCAUGUUAGGAUCCAUGCUUUGGUUCAUUUAUAAAUUUGAAAUAAGGCAAUUAAGAAUGAAAUUGAAGAUAAUUAUCCAAGACUUUCUAAGUAAAGUGGAAUAUAAAAAAGGAUAUCCAAUAGAUUUCAGGUAGUUGAUAAAUGUUUUCUUGAAUUUAGUUGUAUUUAAAAUAUUUCUUCUCAAUAUUGAUAGAUUUAAUUUCUAAGGUGAAUCAAGCACAUGUUUCUCUUUUUGGGUAAGCUUAUUCAGCUAUAUGAUUUGUAACUAAAAUCCCGAUUGACAUUGUAGGCGCAAGGAGAAGCAUAGAUUACCGAGUAAAGAGGUACCAGAACAGAAGAUUAAAGAAAAGCUUUUGCAAAGUUUCGGUGAUGAAACCCUAAGCUCUGUUAUGAAGUAACUUUCUUUCUUUCUCUCUCUCUCCAAAAACACUAAAACAAACAUCAAGAUGUUUUUCUUUUGUAAUAUGCAUGUCUUUUUUUCUUCUUUCUAAGAUUCAACCUUCAAUAUAAAUUAUUCUUCCAUGUUGCGUUGAUGAAAACCUGUUUGUGACACCUUCCAUUUCUGCAUGAACUUUAGUUGAGGUUAUAUUCGGCUUUUGUUAUUUUUAUUUUUUAAUUCUCUACUGCUUACAUGCUUCUUGUAUCCGAACAGGCGAAUUGUUCAUGCAGUUGAAUUUUGCAACAUUUUCUUAUUGUUCGGGGCUUAAGCUUCUGUUCAUUUUUUCAUUAUUAUAUUUUUAUGCUUUGUUUUUACGACUAAUCCUAUACCACACAGUGAAGUGAUCACAGAGAAUGACUGGAAAUUUGUCCAGCUUGGGCUUGCUCUAUUUUAGAACAUUUUAGCCAUUCAAGACAUCUCGUUGCAGUAGAAGGCUAGGAGUCUGCAUGCCACUCAAUUUUUAUCUCUGAGUAACCAAUUUUUGGAGCUGUUAUUCUUCAUUGAUUUAGAAGAUGAGCUGUUAUUUUUUGGGAAAUCUGUGUUAUAAUGCACAAUAGUAUGAAUUGGGAUAUGCUACUACUGAAAACAGAGCAAUCUGUUUUUGUGGUGUCCAAGCAUGAAAGCUAUUGUCACACAGCAAGGUCUGAUUUCCAACUGUGAAUCAAAUUGCUCGAGGUACUUCAUAUGCAAAUUGCUGCAAGUCGCUUUGGCCAUCAAUCACCUUCAGAGGAUGAUAAUAUUGGGAUUGCAGCGAAGGUUUGGGUGUUUGUCACAAUGCCUGUUGAGGCGUCAUCAGAUGAUAUUUAAUGACAGAUGGGUUAUCUAUGGGGUUUGAAGUCUCAUUACAUGUGGCAACACAGUUCUCGAUAUUUAAUGACAGAAUGGUAAGCGAACUUUAUGCGUAGUUUUUUCCCUUCUCAUGGGUUCAAUUGUAAGUGUCCCAAUUCUCAAACAGAUGAAUAAUGGAUGGUGAAAGUAUCCUACACAUCAUAGAACAAAGAACAAGGAACAAGGAUUAGGAGUUCCCUUUACCUCUUGGAAAUUUGACACAUCCAUCUCAAAUUUCACUACUUGCAUUUUCUUUUGGGAAGUUUUUAUUGAAGACAGAAUAAUAAAUUUGCAUAUAGCUCUGUGAUAUCUGUCUAACCAUCCUGGCUUUUCCAUUUUGCAGAUUUGCAUGGUAGAUUUAGUGCUUAAACUAUCACUGGAAGAUUCUAAAGACCCUCAAACAGCUCACAUCCUUCUUUACAAGUUAGAUUUAUGAUCAGACUGAUCAAAGGUUGACUCAUUUUCCCUUGAAUCUGAUCAAAACCUUCUGACUCUCAUGCUAACCCAAAAGGUUUCCCCUUUCAUUUCAACAACUUAGAAGUUCAUUGUUGAUGAUGAUGUUGCUGUUAUAUUUAUUAUUAUUACAACUAAUUUGAUAAGCAAUUAUUGUUAUUAUUUUUCUUUAUCUUAUAACACAAUCAUAUGAUAAAUGGGAGAAUAUAAUGUCAUGACUGCAUUGAAAUUCUUGACCAAACAGAAAAAUGGGAAAUUUUGCUGUCUAUUUUAAAGCAUUGUAAUCAAUAUAGGGUAUCAUGAUGAUGAAUCAAGUCAACCUUGCCCCUACAUUUUUGUGGUUAUGAAUGCGUUGAAAGAAAGUAAUAUUUCAUUCUGUGAAUCAAACAGGCCAUUAAUUCUUCGAAGACUGAUAUAUCGCUGGGACGAUGAUGUAAACGGCACUCACCAAUGGGUUCCUGAAUGGGCUGCAGUUUCUAAUCCAUGUGAUAUUGCUGGGGCUUGCGGUGUGUAGCUUGGACUGAAGCAAAACUAAUGCCUCUUGCAUGUACAUGCCUGCUGGGGGCCUCUAAUGUGGGAGACGGCGGCCUGUGCUAAAAAAAUUCUUCUGCUUCAGCCGCGAAAUGUGAUAAUAAUCAUCGGAAUUCGACUGCUUCCAAGCUGAAGAUGUCGAUAGUGCAGCAAACUAAGUAUUAUUAUCCCAUUUCUUCUAUUAUAGCAAAUUACAGUAACAUCUCACCAUUAUCACAAUGCGGUGAUGCUUGUUUAUCAAACUUUGAUUGUGCUGCUUCCGUGUUGGCUGCUGAACAACUAGGAGUUUGGUGGAUUCGAGGACACGAGUUCGACCUUGUUUGUGAAGCUUGGGCCUAAGGGAUCACCUGACAGCAACGCAACAAGAUCUAGGGAUUCAUCUGAUGGCCUCUGGGACAAGGUCUUGGUUCUUCCAAUUGUUCUCAGCAUGACUGUCCUUGUAGGACUCCUCUGCUUGUUGUUAUACCAUAGUGUGUACAGGAGGAGGGCCUUGAAGAGAGCCUUGAAAAGCUCCUUGAUUGUGUCCGGUGCUCCAAUGAAUUUAAGUUACCACGAUUUGCAGCGUAGAACUGGCAAUUUGCACAGGUCAGCAUGUACAUAUACAUAUAUAGGCUUUGAAAGGGAUGAAAUUGCUUGAACAAAGCCAAUUAGACUUGAUCAAUGAGGAUUAAUGUUGUCUUCUUUUUUUCUUUUUUUUUUCAUGAGGGUUUGGGAGUGUAUACAAGAUGGGACAUUGGUUGCAGUGAAGAAGCUUGACAAGCCUCUUAGGAAGAAGGAAUUCAUAACUGAAGUGAACACUAUUGGCUCUAUGCAUCGCAUGAACCUGGUUCGACUCUGCGGCUACUGCUCAGAAGGCUCUCAACAGUAUGCAUUUCAUUUCAUUGCCUAAUACCAAUUAGCACUAACCAUAUUUAAAUUCUUAUCAUCCUCUUUGGGGUCAAGCAUACUAUAUUUUCGAGCUUGUAAUGGGGUUGGAAUUUGAUGAUUCUUCACAGGCUUCUGGUUUAUGAGUUCAUGAAAAACGGUUUCUUAGACAAGUGGAUAUUUCCCUCAAAGCAUUGCCGGGACAGAUUGCUAGAUUGGGGAACUCGCUUCCAUAUAGCCAUUGCUACUGCACAAGGGAUUGCUUAUUUUCAUGAGCAGUGCAGGAACCGGAUCAUCCACUGUGAUAUCAAGCCCGAAAACAUACUUCUAGAUGAGAAUUUCUGUCCAAAAGUUUUAGACUUUGGACUAGCAAAGCUGAUGGGCAGAGAGCAUUGACAUGUUAUCACUAUGGUGAGAAGAACUAGUGGCUAUUUGGCUCCAGAAUGGGUGAGCAACCGACCUGUUACUGUAAAAGUCGAUGUCUACAGCAUAGAAAGCUUUUUCUGGAGAUCGUUGGUGGCUGGAGAAACCUUGACAUGACUUUUGAUGAAGAAGACUUCUUCAAUCCUGGGUGGGCUUUUAAGGUAUAGAUCAGUCAAGUUCUUGCUUCUGCAAAUCACAAAUUGGUAAGUGUUUGAUAUUUUAUUAACGAAAAAUGUCAAUUCCUCUAGGAAAUGAGUAAUGGGAUGACGAGAAAAGUUGCAGACAGGCGACUGGAAGGGGCAAUGGAGGAAGAAGAGCUGGAAGAGCAUUGAAAACCGGCUUUUGGUGCAUUCAAGAUGAGGUUUUCAUGAGGCCUUCGACGGGGGAAGUGGUGAAGAUGUUGGAAGGGUCACUUGAAAUCAACACACCGCCAAUGCCACAGACAGUGCUGUAGCCUAUGGAGGAAGGCUUAGACAAUGUAUACAGAGCCAUGAAGAGAGAGUUCAACCAGUCCAGCUUCUUCACCAUCAAUAGUACCCAUCCUUCAUCAAGGGCUACAUGUAGUUAUUCCACAAUGUCAUCAAGAUAGCAAAGGAGAAAUGGAACAAAUUUUGUUGCUGUCCAAGAAUUUUAUCCCCAUGAUACUUUGAUACUGUCCAGAAACAUAGUAUUUAUUGACCAUUUGUUACCAUAUAUAGGAAUGGGGAAUGAAACUAGUAGAGAACUUCGCAUAAUGUUGUUGCUAAGAUUUCAAAUGGUAAAAGAAAUUAUAUUAAUUGCGAAACAAAAAAAUAAACAAUUAGGUUGAGGUACGGAAAUCUCAUUCUUUUAAAGGAGAUUUAAGCCAUUUCUAGUUUGACAAUUUCAUAAAUCGGUAUACUUGACUUCUCUUUGGUUUGUCCCCUCAAGGAUACAAUGGUCCAAGUGAUUUGUUGCAUAGCUCACGUCAAUAUGCAUAAAGCAUAGAACUCAAAGCUAGCGCUUCACAAACAAACCUAUUUUUUUUUUUUGCCAAGAGAAAAUAAAUAAAUAAAAAGGAAGAAGGCAGAAGAUGACUAAAAAAAUGUGUUAAAGUUAUAUGACAUUAGGAGGGCGAGUCAAGGCUAAUCAUAAAGUUUGAAAUGUUCAACAAUUUCAAAAUAAUUCAAUCUCUUAAAUUUUUAUAAGAUAAAUCCCAUUAACAUAAAUGAUAUUUAAUAUUUUUAAAUUUCCAUAAUUUUACAUUUGUAACUACAAAUUUAAUAACCCAUUAUGCCAACUUUAAUCCCUAUAACUUUCAUAUAUAACCAUAAUGUUAGUAACUAGUUUAGAUUAACAACUUUGUUCCAAAUAUUCUUAAAUCUAACUCUAAUAUUUAAUUACUUCAUGUGAUUUACAUUGGCCUUGAAAACUUGAAAUUAUUGUUAAUUCCUCCUUAAGGUCAUUCAGGUAAGUUUAGGAGAAUAAUGACAUUAAAAGGUGUAUGUCAAUUUUUAUUAGAUGAUGUAAAAAUAACAAAAAAAAAAAAAUCGGCUUUUGGUGACGAGUGAUCAAGUGAUCCGUAUGAGUGCUUAAGUACUCAUAAACACUAUUACAUAUUUUUAUUAACUUUCUAAUUCCAAUUUUUUCAUGAAAAUUAUUCAACAAACUAUGAAGAGAAUCAAAAUAUUUAAUUUCUAAAAUUUAAAAGAUUUUCAAAAUUUGACAAAAUUAACGUAUAAGUAAAGAAAGUGAAACUUCAAGGUGAAAAGAAUGUGAUGAAUCCUCAUAUUUUUUGUACCAUUUCUCACAUUCUUUGCACAUUCUCCAAUUUUUUAGUGUUUUAAUUUUCUAUUUUUUAGGAUAACUUACAUCAUUUCUAAGCUUAAUUAAUAUCAAUAAACAAUAUUAUUGUAUUUUUAAGUGGAAAAAAAGUUCAAAAAAUUAUAAAAUUUCAAAGGUAUGAAGAAUGUGAGGGGGGAUACGAAGAAUAUGAAAAAUCCUAAAUCUCCAUUUCUUUGAACUUUUAAAAACUUUUUUGGACCUUAUAUGACUUAGAUAUUGAUUUGAUAGGUUAAUUAUACUUAGGGGGGUGUUCAAUUGAUGCUUGAAAAAAAUCAAAAUAAAAAAAGACUAAGAAAUGAGCAAGGAUACAAAGAAUGUCAGGAUGUAAUAUCCUACAUCGGAUAUGGGGGAAAGUUCUUGACACUAUAUAUGUAGAGACUUCUCUUAAUCAUGUAGACGUGUUUUAAAACCAUGAGGGUCCCUUUGGGUUUAGAAUUAACUUUUUUGAACAUCAUAUGAUUUUGAUAUUGAUUAAAUAGGUUAAUUACACUUGGUGGGUAUGAGAUUGAUGCCCGAAAGAAUUGAAAUCGAAAAUUUAAAAAAAAUUAGCAAGGGUAUGAAGAGUGUGAGGAUUCCUCACACUCUUCAUACCUUAUCAAAUUUCCACUUCUUUCAAUUUUUGAAAUCUUUUUUGAAUGUCAUAUGGAUUGAAUAUUGAUUAAAUAAGUUAAUUUAGAAGGUGUGAAACUGAUGUAUGAAAAAAUCAAAAUCCAAAAAUAUUAUAAAAUUAGCAAAGAGUGUGGAAUUCCAUAUUGUUACUAAUUAUAUUAUUAUUAUUAUUAUUUUGUAUUUUCAAUACUUCAACCAAUAUUUGAUGUGAUUAAAUUUAAAAUGUAAGAAAGAAUUUAUUAAUACAAUUUUCAAUUAAUAAUUAGUACACAACUAUCUUAAUUUUUAAACACUGUAUACUUAUUUAAAUUUAUUUCAUAUUUUUAUAAAAGUGUAAUUACACUUACAAUUUAUUGAAUUUAUUAAUAAUGUUGUUUCAAAAAUCAUCCUUAAAAAUAGUCUUUUGCUUAUUAGAAGAAAAAAUAUAUAUUAAGAUGAAAAUUAUGUAAUUCAAAUUGAAUGCAACAUCAAUGGAGCCGGUGAAAUUUAUUUACAUUGUUUUUCUUUCCAAAGUAUUUUUUUAGUUGGAAAGAAAAAGAGACAAAUUAUAAAAAAUAAAUCUCCAAUGCCAAUAUUUAAAAAUGAUUUAUCUAUUUGUCAACACAAUUUGAGCGGAAGAAUAAUCAAGACAUGUGAAAAUCUAUAUAUCAGGAAUCAAACAGGGCCCAAGAACAAGUUCCAACAAGAACCAUCAAUGGGUUGCCCAAUCAAUAACAAAAGGCCCGCUCUCAUGGAUCAAACAAAAUGGAGUCACCACACGAUAGGUUUAAACCCAAAUAUAAAUUUCAAGUUCAUAUUUUCAAUCCCAUUUAUAAUUUAUUUAUUCAAAUUAGAAAUCUAUUUAUCAAGAAUUAAGUUAGAGUGCAUGGAGACCAAAGUUAAGAGAGAGGAUCAUGCCAAGAUUUAAAAUGAACAAAAUAUUUAUGAUUUAUCUAUAAUAAAUAUUCAAAUAAUAUUUAAAAAAACUAAUUAUUUUGAUGAUCAUAAAAUAUAUCAUUAUUGAAAUACAAACAAAUUUAAAUAAUAAAAUCUUUUUUUAUCUUAAUAAUUAAAAGUUACAUAUUUAAUAAAAUUAAAAUUACUAAUAAUUUAAUAAAUCUUUGUGUCAUUCUUAUCAUAAUUUAAGUUGUCAACAUUAAUGAUAUAAGAUGAUGAAAUGUAUUUAAAAUUUUUAAUAAUUUAUAUAUUUUUAAUUUCUUAUAAUUAUUUUAAAUUUUAAUAAUAUAUAAAUUAUAUAUUUAUGACAUUAUCAAUUUGAUCACUGUUUAACCAUAAAUCAAUAAUUUUUCUCAUUGAAUAAUCAAUCUAAUUCUAAAAAUAUUGAUAAAAACUAAAGAAUAUUUAUUAUAAAAAAAAUAAAAGAUGUAAAAAACAAAUAAUUUGACUAGUGAAAGUAAAGGUCAUGGGUGACUUUUGGAAGCCUAGAAUAACAUAGGAACUGUACAAGAAAUCAUUGAGCUUGGCAUUUAUUUGAGCAUUUCGAGGAUAAUAUUAAAUUUUUAAUCAUAUAAAAACAAAAGUAUAUUUAAUUCAUUAUUUUCUAAUAUUAUCUUAGAAAUAUUUUUAGAGAUAUAUUUAUUUUAGACCUUAUUGAGGAUAUUAAUACAAAGAUUUUGAUAAAUGUAAUAUAAAAAUGUAUAAAGUCAUUAAUUUUAUUUAUUUAUUAAAUUUGAAAUAUACAUAUCAUGUAGUAAUUUUUUUUAAAAAAAUUACUUUUAUGAAGCCAAUUCAAGGGGAAAAAAAACAUAACACUAUCCUCACUUCUCAGUGAUGUUUUAUUUUAUAUUAGAAAACCUUAUAAUAAAAUUUCCUUUUUACAAAUUUAAAAAGAUAUUUUAUAACUAAUUUAGAUUGACAAAAAUAAAAGAUACACUUUGGCAGUUGUUUUUAAAUUUCAAUAAAAGUUCUUACAUCAAAAGUAUUAAAAUUUUAAAAAAGAAAAAAAAUUGUUAAGGAAAGUUUGGUUUUAUUAUAGAAAAUAGAAAAGAAAGCUACUUAUAAUUAUAAUUAGUAAGAAACUUAAAUAUUUUUAAAUUAUUUUGAGGUUGUUGUAAGGCAUAAAAAUAAUUAUUAAUUUUAAAUCAAAUUUUUCUUCUUUUUUUUCCUUGUAGUUUUUCUAUUAUCUAUUUUUUUUUCCUCACAUUUUUCCGUAUUUUCCAACAAUGGGAGAGAUAAAAAAAAUUUAAUUUUCCAACAAACAUAAAAUUUUAGUCAUUACACUUUAUCAUUAUUAUUAUUUUCUUUAUUUUUAUUUUUUAAAUGCAAUGGUAGUUCUAGUCAUCCUGCCUUGCAAGACCCGAUGCUCACAAAAUUUCUAGUCUACUCAUCAUAUCUUUUAAAAUUUUGGUUACUCAUAAAGUAUUCAAGACUUUUAGUAAUGUCAUAUCCUUAUCACUAUAUCUAAUAACUUUGACCAAUUCAAAAAAUGAACUUCAUAUGCAAUAGUAGUUCUAGUCGUCAUGCCUUGUAAGACCUGAUACUCAAUAAUUUUUCAAGUUUAGUCAUCAUCAUAUCUUUUAAAAUUUUGGUUACUCAUAAAGUAUUUAAGACUUUUAGCAAUGUCAUAUCCUUAUCACUAAAACUAAGAACUUCGAUUAAUUCAAAAAAUGAACUAGAAGUACCUUGCAAAAUAUCAGAAGUUUGCCACUACUUUUUGUAGUUUAAAUUUGAGUGUUAUGUAUUUCCUAUCCACAUAUUUAGUAUAUAACCUAGGAUGGCUAGUCGAGCCAUUACCAUACAAUACGUAUGCUUAUCAUUUUUUGUUAAACUCGUUUUAAUGUAAAAGAACCAAAACAUAUUCAUAAGAUAAUUUUCCUCUUUGUUGGGCAACUCAACUAGUUAUAUGGAUUUUAGACUCAAAAAAUUAAUAUGUGUCAUAUUUGAUAGAUUAAGAUAAUUAGAAUUAGCGUCUUAUGUGAAAGAAAAUAAAAAGUAAUAAUCAAAAUCCAAUGCUUACUGGAAAAUUAAAUCUAUAGAGAAUCUUUUAUCUUUUUCUCCUAAUUCGUUUAGAUAUUAAUAGAUUGAUUUGUUAAUUAAAGUUGAAAUAUUAUAAUACAUUUUUUUUGUCAUUUCUUUUAUCAAGAUGUCUUAAUUAAUGAUUCAAAAAUGUUAAAAUAAAUUAUAAAAAAGAUUUUUGCUACUCCUGAAAAUUAAAAAAAAAAAAAAUUAUACACUCAGGAAACAAAUAAAUGCAUCUUCUAAUAAAUAAAUUUUUAUUAAAAUAAAUAAAUAUAUGUCUUCGAAUUUAUUGACAUGAAGUACAUUUUAGGUAUUUUAAGUUAGAUUAUUAUUGAUUAAAGAAAAAGACCAUUCAACAUCUAGCUAGAUGGGAAAAAAAUCUUUAUUUAUUAAAAAAUUCAAAUUAUUUUUUGAAUGGUGAACAUUGAUAAGGAUAGAUAAGGAAUUUUCUUGGUAUAUAUAAAUUCAAAGUGAUCUUGGACAAAUUGGAUCAGUGGUCCCCAACCAAUAUCAAUGAUAGAUAAAAACAACCUCUCUAGAUGGGUCCAAUAUAGUAGACGACUUGACUCCAAUAGACAUUGCAUUCAAUUUUUGUGGAGCCUAGCUAAAAGCAACUUCUCUAGAUAGAUCCAAUAUAUAUAGAUGAUGACUUGACUGUAAUAAUCAUUUCAUUAAAUCAACUAUGAUUUUUUAAACCAACUUUUACAAUUAUUUUUAUUAGUUAUUUACAUUUUAUGAUAUAUUGAAAUUUUGUUGCAAACAAUUAUUUUCAUUUAAAUAAAUAUUGGAUGGUUUCUUAGUCCUCUUGAAUUUUUAAUGAUUGAUCAUCGGAUGAGUAUAUGCUAUUCAUGUUAAUAAAAGGACCAAAACAUAUUCAUAAGAUAAUUUUCCUCUUUGUUGUGCAACUCAACUAGUUAUAUGGAUUUUAGACUCAAAAAAAUUAAUGUGUCAUAUUUGAUAGAUUAAGAUAAUUAGAAUUAACAUCUUAUGUGAAAGAAAACAAAAAGUAAUAAUCAAAAUUCAGUGCUUACUGGAAAAUUAAAUCUAUAGAGAAUCUUUUAUCUUUUUCUCCUAAUUCGUUUAGAUAUUGAUAGAUUGAUUUGUUAAUUAAAAUUGAAAUAUUAUAAUACACUUUUUUUUUGUCAUUUCUUUUAUCAAGAUGUCUUAAUUAAUGAUUCAAAAAUGUUAAAAUAAAUUAUAAAAAAGAUUUUUGCUACUCUUGAAAUUUAUAAAAAACAGGAAACAAAUAAAUGCAUUCUUCUAAUAAAUAAAUUUUUAUUCAAAUAAAUAAAUAUAUGUCUACUUCAAAUUUAUUAACAUGAAGUAAAUUUUAGGUAUUUUAGGUUAGAUUCUUAUUGAUCGAAGAAAAAGACCAUUCAACAUCUAGCUAGAUGGGAAAAAAAUAAAUCUUUAUUUAUUAAAAAAUUCAAAUUAAUUUUUGAAUGGUGAAUCAUUGAUAAGGAUAGAUAAGGAAUUUUCUUGGUAUAUAUACAUUCAAAGUGAUCUUGGACAAAUUGGAUCAGUGGUCCCUAGCCAAUAUUUAUGAUAGAUAAAAGCAACCUCUCUAGAUGGGUCCAAUAUAGUAGACGACUUGACUCCAAUAGACAUUGCAUUAAAUUUUUGUGGAGCCUAUAUUUAUGCUAGCUAAAAGCAACUUCUCUAGAUCCAAUAUAUAUAGAUGAUGACUUGACGGUAAUAAUCAUUUCAUUAAAUCAACUAUGAUUUUUUAAACCAACUUUUACCAUUAUUUUUAUUAGUUAUUUACAUUUUAUGAUAUAUUGAAAUUUUGUUGCAAACAAUUAUUUUCAUUUAAAUAAAUAUUGGAUGGUUUCUUAGUCCUCUUGAAUUUUUAAUGAUUGAUCAUCGGAUGAGUAUAUGCUAUUCAUGUUAAGAAAUUCAAAGGGGAUGCAACUUUAUUCUCUUUAAUAGAAUUUUAUUUUAUUUUAAAAACUAUAUUUAUUUACUUUAUGAAUAUAGAAACUCUUUCUAGCUUUUUAACAUAGUACCAAUAUCUUUGUAUUUGGUUAAUAACAUUGAUUACAUUCUUCUAAAACUAAGAGUUCUAUGUUCCUUCAAUAAUAUCAUCAUAUAGACAUCACUCCACAAAACACUACCAAAUUUUCAUCUUUAUCAUCAACAUUUUUAUUUACUAAGUUAAGAUAUCUUGAUGAAGGAACGAAUAAAGAAUUAGAAUAUUUCAAUUGUAAUUAAGCCAAGUUAAUGUACAUGCUAAUAUUUAAACAAAGUAGGAGAGAAAAUGAUUACUACUCAAAAAGGGCUAUUUGAUAGCUUGUAAUUAACUCUUUUAAACACUUUUGAGUAGUAAUUAUUGCCCUUUAACCCAAUUAACAUAUUAAGGACCUUUGCAAUCACUUCUAAUCACUUUGUGUAAGUUUUGGUGUUUUUGUUAGUAAUUUGAUCACCAAAGCAAUCCAAGAUGGAGGAGAGUUAUUUGGAAUCCAUGGUAAAGCAAUAGAAAGCUCAGGAACAUGAAGAAUCAGAGAUUUGAAGCCUUAAAGUCCUUUGCCAUAACCAAUCCGGAUUGCAAGGAGGAGAAGUAAAGAGAGAAUCCACCUUGAAGCAUUCUUGAUGACAGUCAUUUCAGCCACUUUUGGAGUACUUCCUGAAGUCCAAUUUAUGCAUACUUUAUGUCGUUUCGAAGAUCGGGAAGUUAACAAUCCAAUGCUUGAAACGGUUCGCAAAUCGGAGUUGAAAUGAAGAAGUUAGAGCCAAUGGAAGCAGAUCACUCCAAGCUGAAGGCCAAUUUCGCAGGGCUGCGAAAUCAGCCUUUGGCUGCGAAAUCAGCCUUCGGCUGCGAAAUGAUUUCGCAGCCAUCUUGUUCAUCUGCGAAAUUUCGCAGCCAUUUUGUGCGCCUGCGAAAUUCUCCCGAGUGCUUCCAGAUAUUUGCGACCAUCGUUUUUUGUUAUUUUGCCUCAGAUAUUUGUUGUCUAAAUGCCAAUUCUCUCCUUGUAAUCCACCAAUUAGAUGAUUCCUUAGUUGUUGAGCAAGGAUGCAGGGGUAAACAACCUGAUAUGUAUUGUUUUGUAAUUUUCACUUUAAAAACGUCGGGGAACUUUCCCCAGGAGACUAUCUUAUGUAAAUUUUACACUUAGUGAAAUAGGAAAUAUCUUUUGCUUUCUUUUUCUCUCUACUAUUUUCUAUUUUCUUAGUAGCCAAACAUCCUUGGAGGAUGAAAUCCCCAAGGAUGAGAGGCUAAAACCUUUUAGUUUCUUGAAGUAAUGGAUGCCAUGUGAAGCUCCCGUGUCAGGAUGGAGAUUUCCAAGCCAUGAAUGUAAGUAGCUGAGCGUCAUAAAUGUUUUCAUUCAAAGUAAAGCUUUUAAUCCCUCUGACUUGCUUUGAAUGGCCAAUACUUGAUAACCUUUUGGUCUCAGUGGAAUUCUUAUUGUUAGAUCCACUGACGUUCAUUANNNNNNNNNNNNNNNNNNNNNNNNNNNNNNNNNNNNNNNNNNNNNNNNNNNNNNNNNNNNNNNNNNNNNNNNNNNNNNNNNNNNNNNNNNNNNNNNNNNNNNNNNNNNNNNNNNNNNNNNNNNNNNNNNNNNNNNNNNNNNNNNNNNNNNNNNNNNNNNNNNNNNNNNNNNNNNNNNNNNNNNNNNNNNNNNNNNNNNNNNNNNNNNNNNNNNNNNNNNNNNNNNNNNNNNNNNNNNNNNNNNNNNNNNNNNNNNNNNNNNNNNNNNNNNNNNNNNNNNNNNNNNNNNNNNNNNNNNNNNNNNNNNNNNNNNNNNNNNNNNNNNNNNNNNNNNNNNNNNNNNNNNNNNNNNNNNNNNNNNNNNNNNNNNNNNNNNNNNNNNNNNNNNNNNNNNNNNNNNNNNNNNNNNNNNNNNNNNNNNNNNNNNNNNNNNNNNNNNNNNNNNNNNNNNNNNNNNNNNNNNNNNNNNNNNNNNNNNNNNNNNNNNNNNNNNNNNNNNNNNNNNNNNNNNNNNNNNNNNNNNNNNNNNNNNNNNNNNNNNNNNNNNNNNNNNNNNNNNNNNNNNNNNNNNNNNNNNNNNNNNNNNNNNNNNNNNNNNNNNNNNNNNNNNNNNNNNNNNNNNNNNNNNNNNNNNNNNNNNNNNNNNNNNNNNNNNNNNNNNNNNNNNNNNNNNNNNNNNNNNNNNNNNNNNNNNNNNNNNNNNNNNNNNNNNNNNNNNNNNNNNNNNNNNNNNNNNNNNNNNNNNNNNNNNNNNNNNNNNNNNNNNNNNNNNNNNNNNNNNNNNNNNNNNNNNNNNNNNNNNNNNNNNNNNNNNNNNNNNNNNNNNNNNNNNNNNNNNNNNNNNNNNNNNNNNNNNNNNNNNNNNNNNNNNNNNNNNNNNNNNNNNNNNNNNNNNNNNNNNNNNNNNNNNNNNNNNNNNNNNNNNNNNNNNNNNNNNNNNNNNNNNNNNNNNNNNNNNNNNNNNNNNNNNNNNNNNNNNNNNNNNNNNNNNNNNNNNNNNNNNNNNNNNNNNNNNNNNNNNNNNNNNNNNNNNNNNNNNNNNNNNNNNNNNNNNNNNNNNNNNNNNNNNNNNNNNNNNNNNNNNNNNNNNNNNNNNNNNNNNNNNNNNNNNNNNNNNNNNNNNNNNNNNNNNNNNNNNNNNNNNNNNNNNNNNNNNNNNNNNNNNNNNNNNNNNNNNNNNNNNNNNNNNNNNNNNNNNNNNNNNNNNNNNNNNNNNNNNNNNNNNNNNNNNNNNNNNNNNNNNNNNNNNNNNNNNNNNNNNNNNNNNNNNNNNNNNNNNNNNNNNNNNNNNNNNNNNNNNNNNNNNNNNNNNNNNNNNNNNNNNNNNNNNNNNNNNNNNNNNNNNNNNNNNNNNNNNNNNNNNNNNNNNNNNNNNNNNNNNNNNNNNNNNNNNNNNNNNNNNNNNNNNNNNNNNNNNNNNNNNNNNNNNNNNNNNNNNNNNNNNNNNNNNNNNNNNNNNNNNNNNNNNNNNNNNNNNNNNNNNNNNNNNNNNNNNNNNNNNNNNNNNNNNNNNNNNNNNNNNNNNNNNNNNNNNNNNNNNNNNNNNNNNNNNNNNNNNNNNNNNNNNNNNNNNNNNNNNNNNNNNNNNNNNNNNNNNNNNNNNNNNNNNNNNNNNNNNNNNNNNNNNNNNNNNNNNNNNNNNNNNNNNNNNNNNNNNNNNNNNNNNNNNNNNNNNNNNNNNNNNNNNNNNNNNNNNNNNNNNNNNNNNNNNNNNNNNNNNNNNNNNNNNNNNNNNNNNNNNNNNNNNNNNNNNNNNNNNNNNNNNNNNNNNNNNNNNNNNNNNNNNNNNNNNNNNNNNNNNNNNNNNNNNNNNNNNNNNNNNNNNNNNNNNNNNNNNNNNNNNNNNNNNNNNNNNNNNNNNNNNNNNNNNNNNNNNNNNNNNNNNNNNNNNNNNNNNNNNNNNNNNNNNNNNNNNNNNNNNNNNNNNNNNNNNNNNNNNNNNNNNNNNNNNNNNNNNNNNNNNNNNNNNNNNNNNNNNNNNNNNNNNNNNNNNNNNNNNNNNNNNNNNNNNNNNNNNNNNNNNNNNNNNNNNNNNNNNNNNNNNNNNNNNNNNNNNNNNNNNNNNNNNNNNNNNNNNNNNNNNNNNNNNNNNNNNNNNNNNNNNNNNNNNNNNNNNNNNNNNNNNNNNNNNNNNNNNNNNNNNNNNNNNNNNNNNNNNNNNNNNNNNNNNNNNNNNNNNNNNNNNNNNNNNNNNNNNNNNNNNNNNNNNNNNNNNNNNNNNNNNNNNNNNNNNNNNNNNNNNNNNNNNNNNNNNNNNNNNNNNNNNNNNNNNNNNNNNNNNNNNNNNNNNNNNNNNNNNNNNNNNNNNNNNNNNNNNNNNNNNNNNNNNNNNNNNNNNNNNNNNNNNNNNNNNNNNNNNNNNNNNNNNNNNNNNNNNNNNNNNNNNNNNNNNNNNNNNNNNNNNNNNNNNNNNNNNNNNNNNNNNNNNNNNNNNNNNNNNNNNNNNNNNNNNNNNNNNNNNNNNNNNNNNNNNNNNNNNNNNNNNNNNNNNNNNNNNNNNNNNNNNNNNNNNNNNNNNNNNNNNNNNNNNNNNNNNNNNNNNNNNNNNNNNNNNNNNNNNNNNNNNNNNNNNNNNNNNNNNNNNNNNNNNNNNNNNNNNNNNNNNNNNNNNNNNNNNNNNNNNNNNNNNNNNNNNNNNNNNNNNNNNNNNNNNNNNNNNNNNNNNNNNNNNNNNNNNNNNNNNNNNNNNNNNNNNNNNNNNNNNNNNNNNNNNNNNNNNNNNNNNNNNNNNNNNNNNNNNNNNNNNNNNNNNNNNNNNNNNNNNNNNNNNNNNNNNNNNNNNNNNNNNNNNNNNNNNNNNNNNNNNNNNNNNNNNNNNNNNNNNNNNNNNNNNNNNNNNNNNNNNNNNNNNNNNNNNNNNNNNNNNNNNNNNNNNNNNNNNNNNNNNNNNNNNNNNNNNNNNNNNNNNNNNNNNNNNNNNNNNNNNNNNNNNNNNNNNNNNNNNNNNNNNNNNNNNNNNNNNNNNNNNNNNNNNNNNNNNNNNNNNNNNNNNNNNNNNNNNNNNNNNNNNNNNNNNNNNNNNNNNNNNNNNNNNNNNNNNNNNNNNNNNNNNNNNNNNNNNNNNNNNNNNNNNNNNNNNNNNNNNNNNNNNNNNNNNNNNNNNNNNNNNNNNNNNNNNNNNNNNNNNNNNNNNNNNNNNNNNNNNNNNNNNNNNNNNNNNNNNNNNNNNNNNNNNNNNNNNNNNNNNNNNNNNNNNNNNNNNNNNNNNNNNNNNNNNNNNNNNNNNNNNNNNNNNNNNNNNNNNNNNNNNNNNNNNNNNNNNNNNNNNNNNNNNNNNNNNNNNNNNNNNNNNNNNNNNNNNNNNNNNNNNNNNNNNNNNNNNAUAGCCUCAUUUCGCAGGGUGUUUCGCAGCUGCGAAACACCCCUUUGGCACUCGUGUGCCAUUUCGCAACACAGUAACCCAUUUUCGCAGCUGCGAAAUGGGCUGCGAAAUGGGCUGCGAAAAGGGCCCUCCUCUGCGAAAAUGCCCUUUCUCUGCGAAAUCCGCCCUCGGCUGCGAAAAUUUAAGUGACCCUUGGUAUCCAAUUUUUAACGGUAUAAAUUCCAAAUUUCUAAUAUAACCGGUCAUUUGAACUUUAAAUAGUACCAGAGAAGACCCAAAAACAGAGCAACCUUCCAUCUUCUCCCUCUCGCCUGAACCUCGGCCGCGCGCACCUCCGCUCAUCUCCGCCGGCCCGCCAUGGCAAGAACCCGAGGAGCUAAGUCCUCCUCCCCGUCAAGCCGUACGAGGGUUUCAUCAAAGACCCCUGUCCAAGGCUCCACAUCUGAGCCUCCGCGACCACCGCGCGUCCCACCUCCAGUUGAGGGCGCACCAAUGAGCCCUCCGGUCAGGCGCUAUCAUACACGGGCGAGCAGCCAGCCACCCAAGAAGAAAGCUAAGGUAUCUGAGCCAACGUUAAUCGAUUUAUCAGAGCCAGAAGAGCCAGCUACCGAGCCUCAGCCGUCUCCGCCGUCUCGGCCAGCCUCAGGGUCUCGGCCGUCUCGGCCAGCCUCAGGGUCUCGGCCGUCUCGGCCUUCUCGGCCAUCUCAACCGUCUCAGCCAGCUUUAGAGUCUCCGCCAUCUCGACCAGCUUCAGGGUCUCGGCCGUCUCAGCCGUCUCGGCCAUCUCAGCCGUCUCAGCCAGCUUCAGAGCCUCAGUCGUCUCAGCCGCCGCCUUCAGAUUCUCAGAUCCCCUCCGGCAUGACUCCUGAGAUGAUUAUCAAGCGCCCCAUGCUCACUCAGCCGCCCAUAGAGGGUAAUUUAGAUUGCAGGGCUAGGCCUUUCCACUCUGAGCUCUGUUUUGACUUGGCCACUUUCAGACUUCAGCCCCAGCUCAGGGACUCCUUCCAUCUGCUCCGGAGGUAUCAUAUGGAACAAUUGCUUACUCCAAGGGAUUUCUUUUAUCCCCGUGUGGCAAUGGAUUUUUAUCAAUCCAUGACCACACACCAUGUCCGCGAUCCUACUGUCAUCCACUUCACCAUAGACGGACGUCAUGGUAUUCUGGGAGCUAGGCACAUAGCAGAGGCAUUGCGCAUUCCCUACGAGCCAGCUAGGCCAGAGGAUUAUCGAGUCUGGACUAAUCCUUCCCCGAGCGACAUAGUUCGUAUUCUGUCCAGAGGGGCAUCCACAGGCCAGUAUCUACAGAGGAAGGAGCUCCCUCCUAGCAUGUUUUUCAUAGAUGCUCUCCUCCGCCACAAUNNNNNNNNNNNNNNNNNNNNNNNNNNNNNNNNNNNNNNNNNNNNNNNNNNNNNNNNNNNNNNNNNNNNNNNNNNNNNNNNNNNNNNNNNNNNNNNNNNNNNNNNNNNNNNNNNNNNNNNNNNNNNNNNNNNNNNNNNNNNNNNNNNNNNNNNNNNNNNNNNNNNNNNNNNNNNNNNNNNNNNNNNNNNNNNNNNNNNNNNNNNNNNNNNNNNNNNNNNNNNNNNNNNNNNNNNNNNNNNNNNNNNNNNNNNNNNNNNNNNNNNNNNNNNNNNNNNNNNNNNNNNNNNNNNNNNNNNNNNNNNNNNNNNNNNNNNNNNNNNNNNNNNNNNNNNNNNNNNNNNNNNNNNNNNNNNNNNNNNNNNNNNNNNNNNNNNNNNNNNNNNNNNNNNNNNNNNNNNNNNNNNNNNNNNNNNNNNNNNNNNNNNNNNNNNNNNNNNNNNNNNNNNNNNNNNNNNNNNNNNNNNNNNNNNNNNNNNNNNNNNNNNNNNNNNNNNNNNNNNNNNNNNNNNNNNNNNNNNNNNNNNNNNNNNNNNNNNNNNNNNNNNNNNNNNNNNNNNNNNNNNNNNNNNNNNNNNNNNNNNNNNNNNNNNNNNNNNNNNNNNNNNNNNNNNNNNNNNNNNNNNNNNNNNNNNNNNNNNNNNNNNNNNNNNNNNNNNNNNNNNNNNNNNNNNNNNNNNNNNNNNNNNNNNNNNNNNNNNNNNNNNNNNNNNNNNNNNNNNNNNNNNNNNNNNNNNNNNNNNNNNNNNNNNNNNNNNNNNNNNNNNNNNNNNNNNNNNNNNNNNNNNNNNNNNNNNNNNNNNNNNNNNNNNNNNNNNNNNNNNNNNNNNNNNNNNNNNNNNNNNNNNNNNNNNNNNNNNNNNNNNNNNNNNNNNNNNNNNNNNNNNNNNNNNNNNNNNNNNNNNNNNNNNNNNNNNNNNNNNNNNNNNNNNNNNNNNNNNNNNNNNNNNNNNNNNNNNNNNNNNNNNNNNNNNNNNNNNNNNNNNNNNNNNNNNNNNNNNNNNNNNNNNNNNNNNNNNNNNNNNNNNNNNNNNNNNNNNNNNNNNNNNNNNNNNNNNNNNNNNNNNNNNNNNNNNNNNNNNNNNNNNNNNNNNNNNNNNNNNNNNNNNNNNNNNNNNNNNNNNNNNNNNNNNNNNNNNNNNNNNNNNNNNNNNNNNNNNNNNNNNNNNNNNNNNNNNNNNNNNNNNNNNNNNNNNNNNNNNNNNNNNNNNNNNNNNNNNNNNNNNNNNNNNNNNNNNNNNNNNNNNNNNNNNNNNNNNNNNNNNNNNNNNNNNNNNNNNNNNNNNNNNNNNNNNNNNNNNNNNNNNNNNNNNNNNNNNNNNNNNNNNNNNNNNNNNNNNNNNNNNNNNNNNNNNNNNNNNNNNNNNNNNNNNNNNNNNNNNNNNNNNNNNNNNNNNNNNNNNNNNNNNNNNNNNNNNNNNNNNNNNNNNNNNNNNNNNNNNNNNNNNNNNNNNNNNNNNNNNNNNNNNNNNNNNNNNNNNNNNNNNNNNNNNNNNNNNNNNNNNNNNNNNNNNNNNNNNNNNNNNNNNNNNNNNNNNNNNNNNNNNNNNNNNNNNNNNNNNNNNNNNNNNNNNNNNNNNNNNNNNNNNNNNNNNNNNNNNNNNNNNNNNNNNNNNNNNNNNNNNNNNNNNNNNNNNNNNNNNNNNNNNNNNNNNNNNNNNNNNNNNNNNNNNNNNNNNNNNNNNNNNNNNNNNNNNNNNNNNNNNNNNNNNNNNNNNNNNNNNNNNNNNNNNNNNNNNNNNNNNNNNNNNNNNNNNNNNNNNNNNNNNNNNNNNNNNNNNNNNNNNNNNNNNNNNNNNNNNNNNNNNNNNNNNNNNNNNNNNNNNNNNNNNNNNNNNNNNNNNNNNNNNNNNNNNNNNNNNNNNNNNNNNNNNNNNNNNNNNNNNNNNNNNNNNNNNNNNNNNNNNNNNNNNNNNNNNNNNNNNNNNNNNNNNNNNNNNNNNNNNNNNNNNNNNNNNNNNNNNNNNNNNNNNNNNNNNNNNNNNNNNNNNNNNNNNNNNNNNNNNNNNNNNNNNNNNNNNNNNNNNNNNNNNNNNNNNNNNNNNNNNNNNNNNNNNNNNNNNNNNNNNNNNNNNNNNNNNNNNNNNNNNNNNNNNNNNNNNNNNNNNNNNNNNNNNNNNNNNNNNNNNNNNNNNNNNNNNNNNNNNNNNNNNNNNNNNNNNNNNNNNNNNNNNNNNNNNNNNNNNNNNNNNNNNNNNNNNNNNNNNNNNNNNNNNNNNNNNNNNNNNNNNNNNNNNNNNNNNNNNNNNNNNNNNNNNNNNNNNNNNNNNNNNNNNNNNNNNNNNNNNNNNNNNNNNNNNNNNNNNNNNNNNNNNNNNNNNNNNNNNNNNNNNNNNNNNNNNNNNNNNNNNNNNNNNNNNNNNNNNNNNNNNNNNNNNNNNNNNNNNNNNNNNNNNNNNNNNNNNNNNNNNNNNNNNNNNNNNNNNNNNNNNNNNNNNNNNNNNNNNNNNNNNNNNNNNNNNNNNNNNNNNNNNNNNNNNNNNNNNNNNNNNNNNNNNNNNNNNNNNNNNNNNNNNNNNNNNNNNNNNNNNNNNNNNNNNNNNNNNNNNNNNNNNNNNNNNNNNNNNNNNNNNNNNNNNNNNNNNNNNNNNNNNNNNNNNNNNNNNNNNNNNNNNNNNNNNNNNNNNNNNNNNNNNNNNNNNNNNNNNNNNNNNNNNNNNNNNNNNNNNNNNNNNNNNNNNNNNNNNNNNNNNNNNNNNNNNNNNNNNNNNNNNNNNNNNNNNNNNNNNNNNNNNNNNNNNNNNNNNNNNNNNNNNNNNNNNNNNNNNNNNNNNNNNNNNNNNNNNNNNNNNNNNNNNNNNNNNNNNNNNNNNNNNNNNNNNNNNNNNNNNNNNNNNNNNNNNNNNNNNNNNNNNNNNNNNNNNNNNNNNNNNNNNNNNNNNNNNNNNNNNNNNNNNNNNNNNNNNNNNNNNNNNNNNNNNNNNNNNNNNNNNNNNNNNNNNNNNNNNNNNNNNNNNNNNNNNNNNNNNNNNNNNNNNNNNNNNNNNNNNNNNNNNNNNNNNNNNNNNNNNNNNNNNNNNNNNNNNNNNNNNNNNNNNNNNNNNNNNNNNNNNNNNNNNNNNNNNNNNNNNNNNNNNNNNNNNNNNNNNNNNNNNNNNNNNNNNNNNNNNNNNNNNNNNNNNNNNNNNNNNNNNNNNNNNNNNNNNNNNNNNNNNNNNNNNNNNNNNNNNNNNNNNNNNNNNNNNNNNNNNNNNNNNNNNNNNNNNNNNNNNNNNNNNNNNNNNNNNNNNNNNNNNNNNNNNNNNNNNNNNNNNNNNNNNNNNNNNNNNNNNNNNNNNNNNNNNNNNNNNNNNNNNNNNNNNNNNNNNNNNNNNNNNNNNNNNNNNNNNNNNNNNNNNNNNNNNNNNNNNNNNNNNNNNNNNNNNNNNNNNNNNNNNNNNNNNNNNNNNNNNNNNNNNNNNNNNNNNNNNNNNNNNNNNNNNNNNNNNNNNNNNNNNNNNNNNNNNNNNNNNNNNNNNNNNNNNNNNNNNNNNNNNNNNNNNNNNNNNNNNNNNNNNNNNNNNNNNNNNNNNNNNNNNNNNNNNNNNNNNNNNNNNNNNNNNNNNNNNNNNNNNNNNNNNNNNNNNNNNNNNNNNNNNNNNNNNNNNNNNNNNNNNNNNNNNNNNNNNNNNNNNNNNNNNNNNNNNNNNNNNNNNNNNNNNNNNNNNNNNNNNNNNNNNNNNNNNNNNNNNNNNNNNNNNNNNNNNNNNNNNNNNNNNNNNNNNNNNNNNNNNNNNNNNNNNNNNNNNNNNNNNNNNNNNNNNNNNNNNNNNNNNNNNNNNNNNNNNNNNNNNNNNNNNNNNNNNNNNNNNNNNNNNNNNNNNNNNNNNNNNNNNNNNNNNNNNNNNNNNNNNNNNNNNNNNNNNNNNNNNNNNNNNNNNNNNNNNNNNNNNNNNNNNNNNNNNNNNNNNNNNNNNNNNNNNNNNNNNNNNNNNNNNNNNNNNNNNNNNNNNNNNNNNNNNNNNNNNNNNNNNNNNNNNNNNNNNNNNNNNNNNNNNNNNNNNNNNNNNNNNNNNNNNNNNNNNNNNNNNNNNNNNNNNNNNNNNNNNNNNNNNNNNNNNNNNNNNNNNNNNNNNNNNNNNNNNNNNNNNNNNNNNNNNNNNNNNNNNNNNNNNNNNNNNNNNNNNNNNNNNNNNNNNNNNNNNNNNNNNNNNNNNNNNNNNNNNNNNNNNNNNNNNNNNNNNNNNNNNNNNNNNNNNNNNNNNNNNNNNNNNNNNNNNNNNNNNNNNNNNNNNNNNNNNNNNNNNNNNNNNNNNNNNNNNNNNNNNNNNNNNNNNNNNNNNNNNNNNNNNNNNNNNNNNNNNNNNNNNNNNNNNNNNNNNNNNNNNNNNNNNNNNNNNNNNNNNNNNNNNNNNNNNNNNNNNNNNNNNNNNNNNNNNNNNNNNNNNNNNNNNNNNNNNNNNNNNNNNNNNNNNNNNNNNNNNNNNNNNNNNNNNNNNNNNNNNNNNNNNNNNNNNNNNNNNNNNNNNNNNNNNNNNNNNNNNNNNNNNNNNNNNNNNNNNNNNNNNNNNNNNNNNNNNNNNNNNNNNNNNNNNNNNNNNNNNNNNNNNNNNNNNNNNNNNNNNNNNNNNNNNNNNNNNNNNNNNNNNNNNNNNNNNNNNNNNNNNNNNNNNNNNNNNNNNNNNNNNNNNNNNNNNNNNNNNNNNNNNNNNNNNNNNNNNNNNNNNNNNNNNNNNNNNNNNNNNNNNNNNNNNNNNNNNNNNNNNNNNNNNNNNNNNNNNNNNNNNNNNNNNNNNNNNNNNNNNNNNNNNNNNNNNNNNNNNNNNNNNNNNNNNNNNNNNNNNNNNNNNNNNNNNNNNNNNNNNNNNNNNNNNNNNNNNNNNNNNNNNNNNNNNNNNNNNNNNNNNNNNNNNNNNNNNNNNNNNNNNNNNNNNNNNNNNNNNNNNNNNNNNNNNNNNNNNNNNNNNNNNNNNNNNNNNNNNNNNNNNNNNNNNNNNNNNNNNNNNNNNNNNNNNNNNNNNNNNNNNNNNNNNNNNNNNNNNNNNNNNNNNNNNNNNNNNNNNNNNNNNNNNNNNNNNNNNNNNNNNNNNNNNNNNNNNNNNNNNNNNNNNNNNNNNNNNNNNNNNNNNNNNNNNNNNNNNNNNNNNNNNNNNNNNNNNNNNNNNNNNNNNNNNNNNNNNNNNNNNNNNNNNNNNNNNNNNNNNNNNNNNNNNNNNNNNNNNNNNNNNNNNNNNNNNNNNNNNNNNNNNNNNNNNNNNNNNNNNNNNNNNNNNNNNNNNNNNNNNNNNNNNNNNNNNNNNNNNNNNNNNNNNNNNNNNNNNNNNNNNNNNNNNNNNNNNNNNNNNNNNNNNNNNNNNNNNNNNNNNNNNNNNNNNNNNNNNNNNNNNNNNNNNNNNNNNNNNNNNNNNNNNNNNNNNNNNNNNNNNNNNNNNNNNNNNNNNNNNNNNNNNNNNNNNNNNNNNNNNNNNNNNNNNNNNNNNNNNNNNNNNNNNNNNNNNNNNNNNNNNNNNNNNNNNNNNNNNNNNNNNNNNNNNNNNNNNNNNNNNNNNNNNNNNNNNNNNNNNNNNNNNNNNNNNNNNNNNNNNNNNNNNNNNNNNNNNNNNNNNNNNNNNNNNNNNNNNNNNNNNNNNNNNNNNNNNNNNNNNNNNNNNNNNNNNNNNNNNNNNNNNNNNNNNNNNNNNNNNNNNNNNNNNNNNNNNNNNNNNNNNNNNNNNNNNNNNNNNNNNNNNNNNNNNNNNNNNNNNNNNNNNNNNNNNNNNNNNNNNNNNNNNNNNNNNNNNNNNNNNNNNNNNNNNNNNNNNNNNNNNNNNNNNNNNNNNNNNNNNNNNNNNNNNNNNNNNNNNNNNNNNNNNNNNNNNNNNNNNNNNNNNNNNNNNNNNNNNNNNNNNNNNNNNNNNNNNNNNNNNNNNNNNNNNNNNNNNNNNNNNNNNNNNNNNNNNNNNNNNNNNNNNNNNNNNNNNNNNNNNNNNNNNNNNNNNNNNNNNNNNNNNNNNNNNNNNNNNNNNNNNNNNNNNNNNNNNNNNNNNNNNNNNNNNNNNNNNNNNNNNNNNNNNNNNNNNNNNNNNNNNNNNNNNNNNNNNNNNNNNNNNNNNNNNNNNNNNNNNNNNNNNNNNNNNNNNNNNNNNNNNNNNNNNNNNNNNNNNNNNNNNNNNNNNNNNNNNNNNNNNNNNNNNNNNNNNNNNNNNNNNNNNNNNNNNNNNNNNNNNNNNNNNNNNNNNNNNNNNNNNNNNNNNNNNNNNNNNNNNNNNNNNNNNNNNNNNNNNNNNNNNNNNNNNNNNNNNNNNNNNNNNNNNNNNNNNNNNNNNNNNNNNNNNNNNNNNNNNNNNNNNNNNNNNNNNNNNNNNNNNNNNNNNNNNNNNNNNNNNNNNNNNNNNNNNNNNNNNNNNNNNNNNNNNNNNNNNNNNNNNNNNNNNNNNNNNNNNNNNNNNNNNNNNNNNNNNNNNNNNNNNNNNNNNNNNNNNNNNNNNNNNNNNNNNNNNNNNNNNNNNNNNNNNNNNNNNNNNNNNNNNNNNNNNNNNNNNNNNNNNNNNNNNNNNNNNNNNNNNNNNACCUAUAUCAUUAAAAGAGCAUUUNUGAGGUUCAGCUACCCUUUUUGUAAGUUUUGAAGGACUAAAACUCAGUUGUUAAACAUAUACCGGUUCGGGAAGUAAGCAUCACCUUAGUUGCUUCCCCAACUCGAGGUGAAAAGUUCCAAAAUCUCCAUUUUUACACAGUGAGUUAAGCAUGGCUAUCCAAAGCUUUGAGAAACUUCUUUUUCCAUCUUUUAACCUAUUUGCAUGUUAGUUUAGUUUACAACACCUUCAUCUUUUUAUGUUUUCAUCUUAACCUAAUCUUUAUUAAGAAAAGUUCACUCCAUCCUCCGAACUUCAUCAGUUAAAGUAAAAACCCUUCCCAGUGUUCGAUCCUAGAGCCACUAUGCUAUAGUAGCUUUGCUACUUUAGUGUAAGGACGUUAGGUAUAAAUUUUGUUGAUACCCUUACAUGCCAAGCUACCAAGAGUCGGGUUAUCAGAAAAUAAAACUAAAUAUCAAUUUUAAUUUUCCAACAAACACUUUAGCCAUUACACUUGAUUAUUUUUUUUUUUUUUUUCGCAUGCAAUAAUAGUUCUAGUCAUCGUGCCUUGCAAGACCCUCUACCUACAAAAUUUUUAAGUCUAUUCAUCAUAUCUUUUAAAAUUUUGGUUACUCAUAAAGUAUUCGAUACUUUUAGCAAUAUCAUAUCCUUAUCACUACAACUAAGAACUUUGACCGAUUCAAAAGUACGUACUUUGCAAAGUUUUUACUUUUUGUAGUUUAAAUAUGAGUGUUAUGUAUUUAUCUUUCCACAUAAUUAUAUAUAACCUAGAAUUGCCAAUCAGGCCAUUACCAUUCAACAUGUAUACUUGUUCAACUCAUUACUAUACAAAAUUCUUAUCCCUUUUUGUUAAACUCAUUUUAAUGUAAAAAAAAACACCAAAAAAUAUUCAUUAAAUGAUUUUCCUCUUUGUUGUGCAACUAGCCAUAUGGAUUUUAGACUUGAAAAAUUAAUGUGUGUCAUAUUUGACAAAUUAAGAGAAUUAAAACUAGCAUCUUAUGUGAAAGAAAAUAAAAAAUAAUAAUUAAACUUUUAGUCCUUACUGGAAUUAAAAUCAAUAGAGAAUCUUUUAAUUUUUUUCUCUUAAUUUGUUAAGAUAUUGAUAUAUUGGCAUGUUAAUUAAAGUUGGGAUAUUAUAGUACUUUAUUUUUGUUAUUUCUCUUAUCAAGAUGCCUUAAUUAAUAAUUCAAAAAUCUAGGUAUAUAAAAAUUCAAAGUGAUUUUGGACAAUUUGGAUUAGUGGUCCCCAAUUCAUAUUUAUGAUAGCUAAAAGCAAGUUCUCUAUAUGGGUCCAAUAUAGUAUAUGACUUGACUCCAAUAGACAUUACAUUAAGUAUUUUUGGAACUUAUACUUCUACUAGCUAAAAGCAACCUUUCUAGAUGAAUGUAAUAUAGAGGAUGACUUGUCUAUAAUAAUCAUUUAUUUUUUUAAUUUUGACGUAAUAGUAGUAGUAAUAAUAAUAAUAAUAAUAAAUUUUAAACCCGGGUCUUUGGUAGAUGGGCAAUCAACUAUGCAUAUUUGUGAAGAAAAACAUUUAAAAACGAUAUAUACAUUAUUGCAAAAUUUAUUGCAAAAUAUGCAUAUUUAUGAUUUAUCUAAUAUUUCAAGUCAGUUUGCUUGGUUCAUGAGAUGACAUUUUUUUCAAAACUUAGCUAAAAACUAGAUCAAAUUGACAGAUUCGAUUGAUUAGACCGACAUUGAACCGGUCCACCAAGUGGUCCAAACGUCAAAUUGAUGAACCUGCUGAGUAGGUUCAUGAGUUGCCCUUUUUUCUCCUAUUUUCCAAAACAUAUAAUACAUACUUUUGCUUUUUACAUUGACUGAUGUGGGAAAGUUACUUUUAUUUUUCCUUAGGCAAAAUGCCAUAUACAAGCUGAUCAUGGGAUUUUAACUUGGUCUUUGAUAUGCAAAAUGAACAGAAGUACGUCUUUGUGAAGAAAACAAUUUAAAAACUAUAUAUUCAUUAUUAUAAAAUUUAAAAUGAACAAAAUAUUUAUGAUUUAUCUAUAAUAAAUAUUUUGAAUAAUAUUAAAAAAAAACUAAUUAUUUUGACUAUAAUAAAAUAUAUAGCUAUUGAAAUCGAAACAAAUUUAAAUAAUAAAAUCUUUUUUAUCUUAAUAAUUAAAAGUUACAUAUUUAAUAAAAUUAAAAUUACUAAUAAUUUAAUAAAUAUUUGUGUUAUCCUUAUCAUAAUUUACACUAUCAAUAUUAAUGAUAUAAAAUGAUGAAAUGUAUUUAAAAUUUUUAAUUAUUUAUAUAUUUUAAAUUUUUUUAUCAUUAUUUUUAAUUUUAAUAAUAUAUAAAUUAUAGAUUUAUUAUAUUACCAAUUUGAUCACAGUUUAACUACAAGUCUAAUCAUUGAACCGAUAAUUUUUUCCAUUUAAUUAUCAGUCCAAUCAUGAAAACAUUGAUAAAAAAUAAAUAAUAUUUAAUAUAAAAAACAAAUAAUUUGACUAGUCAAAGUAGAGGUCAUGAGUGGCUUUCAGAAGCUUUAAACCAUUUCGCUAACAUAGGAAAUGUCCAUGGAAGCCUCCAACCAUGAAUCUAUGAGCUUGGCAUUUAUUUGAGUAUUUCGAGGACAAUACUUUAUUUUUAAUCAUAUAAAAACAAAAGUAUAUUUAAUUCAUUAUUUUUUAAUAUUAUCUUAGAAAUAUUUUUAUAGAUAUGUUUAUUUUAGAACUUCUUGAGGAUAUUAAUACAAAGAUUUUGAUAAAUGUAAUAUAAAAAUGUAUAAAGGCAUUAAUUUUAUUUUAUUUUUAUUAAAUUUGAAAUAUACAUAUUAUGUAGUAAUUUUUUGAAAAAAAAAUUAUUUUUAUGAAGCCCAAUCAAGGAAACAAACAUAACACUAUCCUCACUUUUCCAUUGUGUUGCUUUUCCAAUUAGAAAUCCUUAUAAUCAAAUUUCCUUUUUAUAAAUUUAAAAAUAUUUUUUAUAACUAAUUUAGAUUAACAAAAAAAAAAAAACACCUUCAACGGACCACACAUGUGAUACACUUUGGUAGCCUUUAAAAUUACAAAGCAUUUAUACACUGAAAAAACAAAUAAGUAUAUCUUCUAAUAAACAAAAAAUUAUUAAAAUAAAUAAACAUUAGUCUACAUUGUAUGUGUUAUCUUGAAGUACAUAGUAGCUAUAAAUUUUUUAAGGAUUAUUAAAGAAAAAGACCAUUCAAUAUUUCUCUAGGUAUAAAAAAAUCUUUAUCUAUUACAAAUUAAUUUUUGGAUGAUGAAUUAUUGAUGAAAAUAGGCUAAGGAAUUUUUUUUGUCUAUAUAAGGGGUUAGUCUUGUUUAUGUGGCACACCUUCCACUUGGAUCUUGUAAUAUCUAAAUUCAUUGACUUGACUUAAAAAUUUUGAGAAAUAAUAAACCCUUCCUUUCCUCUAGUGGAUGACUUAAAAAUCUAUGUUAUAGUAUAUUUUUUUUAUUGCAUCUUAAAUUUUUCAAGUCAAGUUAAUAUAUCGACUAUGAUUUUUUAAACCAACUUUUACCGUUACUUUUAUUAGUUACUUACAUUUUAUGAUAUAUUGGAAUUUAAUACAAGUGGACUACAAGAUUUGAACCUGGGCCUUUGGUUGAUGAGCUAUUAAGCUAUGCAUAUUUGUGAAGAAACACAUUUAAAAACUAUACAUAAAGUAUUGCAAAAUUUGAAAUUAAUAUAAAUAGUUAUGAUUUGUCUAAUAUUUCAAGUCACUGUGCUUGGUUCAUGAGAUGUCAUUUUUUCAGAACUUAGCUAAAAACUAGAUUGAAUUGACGGAUUUGAUUGAUUGGACCGACAUUGAAUCGCCCCACCGAGUGGUCCAAACGUCAAGUUGAUGAACAUAUAAUACAUACUUUUUUGCUUUUUACAUUAAUUUCUAACUAAUAUGAGAAAGUUACUCUUGUUUUUUCUAGGCAAAAUGCCAUACAAGCUGACCAUGGGAUUUAAACUUGGGUCUUUGACAUGCAAAAUGAAUAGAAGCAUGUCUUUGUGAAGAAAAUAUCGAAUUUAAAAACUAUAUAUAUGUAUUAUUGCAAAAUUUAAAAAGAACAAAAUAUUUCUGAUUUAUCUAUAAUAAAUAUUCAAAUAAUAUUAAAAAAAACUAAUUAUUUUGAUGAUCAUAAAACAUAUAGUUAUUGAAAUCCAAACAAAUUUAAAUAAUAAGAUCUUUUUUAUAUCUUAAUAAUUAAAGUUACAUAUUUAAUAAAAUUAAAAUUACUAAUAAUUUAAUAAAUCUUUGUGUCAUUCUUAUCAUAAUUUAACUUAUCAACAUUAAUGAUAUAAGAUGAUGAAAUGUAUUUAAAAAUUUUAAUUAUUUAUAUAUUUUUAAUUUAUUAUCAUUAUUUUAAAUUUUAAUAAUAGAUAAAUUAUAUAUUUAUGACAUUACAAUUUUAUCACGGUUUAACCAUAGAUUUGAUCAUUGAAUUGUGAAUCAAUAAUUUUUAUCAUUGAAUGAUUAAUCUAAUUCUAAAAAUAUUGAUAAAAACUAAAGAAUAUUUACUAUAAAAUAAAAUAAAAGAUAUGAAAAAACAAAUAAUUUGACUAAUCAAACUAAAGGUCAUGAGUGACUUUCAAAAGCCUCCAACCAUGUCGAAUAACAUAGGAAAUGUUCAAGAAAUCGUUGAGCUUGGCAUUUAUUUGAUGAACAUAUAAUACAUACUUUUUUGCUUUUUACAUUUCUAACUAAUAUGAGAAAGUUACUCUUGUUUUUUCUAGGCAAAAAAUGCCAUACAAGCUGACCAUGGGAUUUAAACUUGGGUCUUUGACAUGCAAAAUGAAUAGAAGCAUGUCUUUGUGAAGAAAAUAUUGAAUUUAAAAACUAUAUAUAUAUAUAUAUAUAUAUAUAUAUAUAUUAUUGCAAAAUUUAAAAAGAACAAAAUAUUUCUGAUUUAUCUAUAAUAAAUAUUCAAAUAAUAUUAAAAAAAACUAAUUAUUUUGAUGAUCAUAAAACAUAUAGUUAUUGAAAUCCAAACAAAUUUAAAUAAUAAGAUCUUUUUUUUUUAUCUUAAUAAUUAAAGUUACAUAUUUAAUAAAAUUAAAAUUACUAAUAAUUUAAUAAAUCUUUGUGUCAUUCUUAUCAUAAUUUAACUUAUCAACAUUAAUGAUAUAAGAUGAUGAAAUGUAUUUAAAAAUUUUAAUUAUUUAUAUAUUUUUAAUUUCUUAUAAUUAUUUUAAAUUUUAAUAAUAGAUAAAUUAUAUAUUUAUGACAUUACAAUUUGAUCACAGUUUAACCAUAGAUUUGAUCAUUAAAUCGUGAAUCAAUAAUUUUUCUCAUUAAAUGACUAAUCUAAUUCUAAAAAUAUUGAUAAAAACUAAAGAAUAUUUAUUAUAAAAAAAAUAAAAAAAUAAAAAAACAAACAAUUUGACUAGUAAAACUAAAGGUCAUGGGCGACUUUCAGAAACCUCCAACCAUGUCGAAUAACAUAGGAAAUGUUCAAGAAAUCGUUGAGCUUGGCAUUUAUUUGAGUAUUUCAAUGACAAUAUUUAAUUUUUAAUCAUAUAAAAACAAAAGUAUAUUUAAUUCAUUAUUUUCUAAUAUUAUGUUAGAAAUAUUUUUAGAGAUAUAUUUAUUUUAGAACUUACUGAGGAUAUUAAUACAAUGAUUUUGAUAAAUGUAAUAUAAAAAUGUAGAAAGUCAUUAAUUUUAUUUAUUUAUUAAAUUUGAAAUAUACAUAUCAUGUAGUAAUUUUUUGAAAAAAAAGAUUACUUUUAUAAAGCCAAUUCAAGGAAAAAGAAAACAUAACACUAUCCUCACUUCUCCGUGGUGUUUUAUUUCAUAUUAGAAAUCCUUCUAAUAAAAUUUCCUUUUUAAAAAUUUUAAAAAUAUUUUUUAUAACUACAAAAAAAAAAAAAAAAAAAAAAAAAAAGCAUUACACUUAUCUUAUUCAUUACACUUUUAGAUUAUGUUGGUUUUAUUGGGGGCAGGGGGAAGGGAAUGGGAAGGAGAAAGUAGGUUUGCUUACUUGGAAAUGCUAUUUACAGAGAGACGGGGGUUUAGCCAGCUGAGAUUUGAAACAAAGAAAGGAAAGCUGCUGAUGGUGGAUUGAAUAUAGAGAAUGUGGGGUUUUGGGGUUGGGAGGCAUAUAUUCUUGACUGUUACGGUAACAUUUCUGAAAUGGACAAAUCGAUGUUGCUACAGCCUCCCUGAUGGGGGUACUUCAAAACGAUGUCGUUUCAGGACCCAAAAACGACAGGGUUUUAUCUCCCUCACCGCAUUGUAAUUAUUAUUAUUAUGAUGGUUAAAAUUAGGAGUCAAUUUCUUGGGAUAUUCCACUAAUAAAAAAUAAAUAUAUUAUUUAUUUAUUUAUUUAUUUUAUUUCAUUUAUCUUAUCAUAUAUUUAACUAAAUAUGACAUAAGAUAAACUAUGAGAUAUAUUAUUUGUUUUAUUUUUUAUAAAUAUGUUAAUACUAAGUUAAAAUAUAUAAUACACAUAUCUCAUGUAUUAUAAAUUUAUUUAUUUUUUAUCCAUUUUUAUUUUAUAAAAUAUUUUUUUAUAAUAAAAUAUAAUUUAUGGUUAAAAAGAACUCAAAAUUUUAUAAAAUAUAUUAUAAAAUAGCAUUAAUUAUAUGUAUUAUUUAAUAUAUAUAUAUAUAUAUAUAUAUAUAUAUAUAUAUAUAUAUAUAUAUAUAAAUUAUUUUUAUAUAUUUCAAAUAACAUAAUAUAAAAAAUUUAUUUAUAAAGUUUAAAUAUUUUAAUCAUGAAUAUUUUUAUGUUUUUAAAAAUAAGAAAUAUUAGAAUAUAAUAUAAUUUUUAUUUUAAAAUUUUAAAAAUAAUAUAUAUUCUAUUUUAUGUUUUUAUUCAUUUUAUAAACUAAAUUUAAAUCUAAUAUAACAUGUUUUAUUGGAUAUCUUAGUUUAAGAUAUCAUAUCCAUUGUAUAUAAUAUAUCAUAUUCUAUUGAAAAUCAUGAGAUAUGAUAUUUCAAGAUAUAUAUACAUAUAUAUUUUAUCCAAUGAACCAACAUAAUCUAAAUUAGUUAUAAAAUAUAUUAUUUUUAGAAGUGUUUAUUUCUUAGUCAUUACACUUUAUUAUUAUUAUUAUUAUUAUUUUCUUUAUUUUUUUCACAUGCAAUGAUAGUAUCUAGUCAUCAUGCCUUGCAAGACCCAACACUCACAAAAUUUACAAGUCUACUCAUCAUAUCAUUUAAAUUUUUUGUUACUCAUAAAGUAUUAAAGGCUUUUGGCAAUGUCAUAUCCUUAUCACUACAACUAACAACUUUGACCAAUUCAAAAAAUGAACUUCACAUGCAAUAGUAGUUCUAGUCAUCAUGCCUUGCAAGACCCGAUAGUUACAAAAUUUUCAAGUCUACUACUCAUCAUAUCUUUUAAAAUUUUGGUUACUCAUAAAGUAUUCAAAACUUUUAGCAAUGUCAUAUCCUUAUCACUAUAACUAACAACUUUGACCAAUUCAAAAAAUGAACUUCACAUGCAAUAGUAGUUCUAGUCAUCAUGCCUUGUAAGACCCGAUAGAUACAAAAUUUUCAAGUCUACUACUCAUCAUAUCUUUUAAACUUUUGGUUACUCAUAAAGUAUUCAAGACUUUUAGCAAUGUCAUAUCCUUAUCACUACAACUAAGAACUUUGCCCAAUUCAAAAAAUGAACUUCACAUGCAAUAGUAGUUCUAGUCAUCAUGCCUUGCAAGACCCGAUAGUUACAAAAUUUUCAAGUCUACUACUCAUCAUAUCUUUUAAAAUUUUGGUUACUCAUAAAGUAUUCAAGACUUUUAGCAAUGUCAUAUCCUUAUCACUACAACUAAGAACUUUGGCCAAUUCAAAAUAUGAACUUCACAUGUAAUAAUAAUUAUAGUCAUCAUGCCUUGCAAAACCCGAUACUUACAAAAUUUUCAAGUCUAUUACUCAUCAUAUCUUUUAAAAUUUUGGUUACCCAUAAAGUAUUCAAGACUUGCAAUGUCAUAUCCUUAUCACUACAACUAAGAACUUUGACCAAUUCAAAAUAUGAACUUCAAAUGUAAUAGUAAUUUUAGUCAUCAUGCCUUGCAAAACCCAAUACUUGCAAAAUUUUCAAGUUUACUACUCAUCAUAUCUUUUAAAAUUUUGGUUACUCAUAAAAUAUUCAAGACUUUUAGCAAUUCAAAAGUGCAUACUUUAAAAAGUUGUUACUUUUUGUAGUUUAAAUGUGAGUGUUAUGUAUUUGUCUUUUCACAUAUUUAUAUAUAACCUAGAUGGCCAAUCAGGCCAUUACCAUACAAUUUUUUUAUUUUAUUUUUUUUAUAUAAACUCAUAAAGCAUUUUCAAUUUUUUUUUAUAAUGUAUAUAAAAUAAUGUCAAUCCAUUUACACUUACGAAAACGAUUUUUCUUAAAAAUGUCAGAGGCAACGAGGUAUGAAUCAGGGACCCACGAAGGGGAGUACAUGCUAUUGGUGUCGGUGAGGAGAAGAUGGAGGAAACACAUUGGGGGGUGAGUCAGGGAGGAAGGGGCGCGCCGCCCUGCCAGGAGCGUGGUGGCAUGAAUUACUUGGGCGGAGCGAGAUGUCACGUGGACCGCGCUGUGCGCGGACACGCGGCGACCUGCAGACCCGCAGGGGCGACGUUGUCUAAUGGAUUUUAGAAAUUCGUGCCACUAGCCAUAUGGAUUUUGGACUAAAAUAAAAAACAAGACUUUAUUUUUGUUAUUUCUUUUAUCAAGAUUUCAUAAUUAAUAAUUCAAAAAUGUUAAUAAUUAAUUAUAAAAGAGAUUUUUGCUACUCCUCGAAAUUAUAAAAAAGUUUAUACACUCAUAAAACAAAUAAAUGUAUCUUCUAAUAAAUAAAUUUUUAUUAAAAUAAAUAAAUAUAUAUCUACUUUAAAUUUAUUAAUAUGAAGUAAAUUAUAUGUAUCUUAAGUUAGAUUUCUUAUUUAUUAAAGAAAAAGACCAUUCAAGUUUUAGAUAGAUGAAAAAAAAUCUUUAUUUAUUAGAAAAUUCAAUUUUUUUUUAAUGAUGAAUCAUUGAUAAUGAUAUAUAAAAAUAAUUUAUAUAUCAUAUAUUAAUAUUACUUUAUAAAUAUUUUUAGUUUUUCUUUUUUAACCAUAAAUUUAAUUUAUAAUUAAAAAAUUAUUUUAUAAAUGGUAUCUCUAGUCAUCAUACCUUUCAAGACUCUAAGCUCACAAAAAUUUUCAGUAUUUUCAUCAUAUCUUUUAAAAAGCCAUGUAUAACGGGUCUUUUUUUUCUUAAGUUCAAGUCAAUAAAUCAAAUUAAAAGAAAUAAUAAACUUUCAUUAUUGUAUUUUAUAUUGUAGCGAGAGACUUAAAAAGUCAUGUAUAACUAGGGAUGGCAAUGGGGCGGGUCAUUUCGGGUACCUGCCCCGCCCCGCCCCUAAUGGGGUGGGAUAUUAUUUUUCUAAACGGGUAUGGGACGGGUUUGGGAUUUUUUUUGAAACCCGGGGCGGGUUCAGGGCGGGUUCGGGUAUUGCCCCACCCCGCCCUGCCCCGCCCCGAUUAUAUAUAAAAUUAAAAUUAAAAUUUAAUUUAAUUUAAAAUUUAAAAUUAAAUUAAUUUAAUUUUUAUUUUAUUAUUUUUAAUAUAUAGAUAAUAAUAAAUUAUUUUUAAUAAAAUAAGUUAUAAAAAAUAUAAUUAUUUAAUUAUUUAUAAAAUAUAUUUAUUUUAAUAUAAUUAAAAAAAAUUAAAAGUAAUUUUUUUAAAAAAUUAAAAUUAAAAUUAAAUAAAAAGCUAAACGGGGCGGGUAUGGGAAUGUAGCAUACCCGCCCGCCCCGCCCCGCCCCGUUUAAGUUUUUAAAUGGGACGGGGAUGGGAAUUGAUUUAAAUAAACGGGGCGGGGUUGGGAGGGGGGCGCCCCGCCCCGAACCCGCCCCGUUGCCAUCCCUAUGUAUAACAAGUCUUCCUUUCUUAAGUCAAGUCAAUAAAAAGAAUUAAAAGAAAUAAUAAAUUUUCAUUAUUGUACUUUGUCUUGUUGCAAGAGACCUAAAAAUUCAUGUAAGAGGUCUUUAAAUGUCAAGUCAAGUCAAUAAAUCAAAUUGAAAGUUUUUCCUUUUCUCUUUUUUUAAACCAACUUCUACUAUUACUUUUAUUAGUUAUUUUGAUCGUUUGAAUAAAUAUUGAAUUAUUUCUUCCUUUUUUUUUAAUUUUCAUGUACAAACCAUUUCAUGUUAAAAAAUUUAAAGUGGAUCUAACUUUCUUUACAAGUUAAGAUAUCUUGAUUAAGGGAUAAAUAAUAUAUUUUAAUAUUUCAACUUUAAUUAAGUUAAUUUAUCAAUAUUCAAACUAAGUUGGAGAAAAAAAAAAAAAAGACAACACCUCAAUUUUAGUUUUCCAUUACACAUGGUUAUUUCUUUUUCUUCUUUUUCCUUUGCUUCUCUGACACGCAAUGACAGCUCUAGUCAUCAUACCUUUCAAGACUCUAAGCUCACAAAAAUUUUCAAUCUUUUCAUCAUAUCUUUUAAAAUUCUUAUCACUCAUAAAGGAGUAUUUAAGACUUAAUUUUAAUAAAUUCAUAUUUUUACAACUAUAACUAAGAGCUUUGACCUAUUAAAAAAUGAAUCAAAAAUACUUUGCAAGACAUUAAAAGUUCAUAAUUAUUUCUUUUACCUUAAAUGUAGUUGUUAUGUGUUUGCUAGUUCACAUAUUUGAGCAUGGACCAUGGCGACCUGCAGACCUGGAGGGGCAGCGUUGUCUAACAGAUUUUAGAAAAUUCAGCAACUGGCCACAUGGAUUUUGGACUAAAAUAAAAAAAUAAGACUUUAUUUUUGUUAUUUCUUUUAUCAAGAUAUCUUAAUUAAUAAUUCAAAAAUGUUAAUAAUAAAUUAUAAAAGAGAUUUUUGCUACUCUUCGAAAUUAUAAAAAAGUUUAUACACUCAUAAAACAAAUAAACGUAUCUUCUAAUAAAUAAAUUUUUAUUAAAAUAAAUAAAUAUAUAUCUACUUUGACUUUAUUAACAUGAAGUAAAUUGUAGGUAUCUUAAGUUAGAUUUCUUAUUGAUUAAAGAAAAAGACCAUUCAAGGUUUAGCUAGAUGGAAAAAACAUCUUUAUUUAUUAGAAAAUUCAAUUUUUUUUUUAUUGAUGAAUCAUUGAUAAUGAUAUAUAAAAAUAACUUAUAUAUCAUAUAUUAAUAUUACUUUAUAAAUAUUUUUUAGUUUUUCUUUUUUAAUCAUAAAUUUAAUUUAUAAUUAAAAAAUUUAUUUUAUAAAAUAAAUAUAUAAAAAAAUUAAUUUAUGAUAUAUCGGAUAUACAUAUCUUAUAUCUUAGUAUAAAAUUAACAUAUCUCGUGUAAAAGAAAUAAAAAAAGAGUGAAUAAUAUAUUUCACCACUUAUACUAUCUCAUCAUUAAUUAAAUAUAAAAUUUGAGGUAAUAUCUUCUCUUUUAUCCCAUAUGAUGUUAUAUUUGAUCAACCAAACAUAACCUAUAAAGCUAAAAUUAUAGAAAUGAAAUGCAAGAGAUCUUACUGAAAAAUUGAAAGUAAAAUUAUUGAUUUUUGAAAGUAAAUAUUGAUAAUAUUAUAAAAUUUUCACUAACAUAAAUUAAAAAAUUCAAGGAAAAAAAAAAAAAACAAAACAUAACACUAUCCUCACAAUUCCGUGAUAUUGUUUUUUUCAUAUUAGAAAUCCCUAUAAUCAACUUUUCUUUUUAUACGUUUUAAAAAGUUUUUUUUAUUACUAAUUUAGAUUUAAAAAAAAAAAAACCUUUCAACCAACCACACAUGUAACACAUGUUGGUGGUUGUUUUUAAAUUUCAAUAAAAGAUUUUAUAAUUAUUAAGAAAAGAAAAAAAUAUUAAAGAAAAUUAUUAUUUUUAUUUAAUUUUAUUAUGAAAUAUACGAAAGUAAAAAUAUAUAAUUAAAAUUAAUAAGAAAUUUAUAUAUUUUAAAAUUAUUUAAUCUUUAUUUUUAAAAAUUAAAUAAAUAAAAUAAAUUUAAAAUAAAAUAUAAAUAUAAUUUAUUAAUUUUAAAUUUAUUUUUUAUUUCUCUUUCACUUUUCCUUUAAGACGUGUUGCAUGUAAAAUACCAUAAAGCAAGUCAUAUCAUUUCACCAUGCUCAAGAUUUCAACAUGGUAGGUGUAGCUUUUGAAGACUUUUCCAUGUGAUUAAUACUUGGAUACCUGGAUUUUCUUUGGGUGGGGUUGGACUUUUGUAAGUUUCUCUAUAAUUUUCUCUUACUUGGAAACAAAGGAAUGGUCAAAGAGAGGAAUUCAGUGAAGAGAAAAUUGAAACGGACUGGAUACACCCUCGCCUGCUCCGAAGGUUGGUAUGAUCUUCAUGGUCGUAGGUCUUCUCAAGUCUCCAUGCAUGCCUCAUUUUUCCCAUAUGAUAAAUCAAUGGUCGGAAGAGUGAGCUUAACACGAACAAACAUAAUAAAAUCAUUAAAUUUUUGGAAUAAUAAUAAUAAUAAUUUGAUGAAGUUAAUAAAUGAUAAGGAUUAGGAAGAUGUUUAAUAAAAUUUUAAAUUAAUAAUAAUUAGAUGUAUUUAACGCAAACUUUUGGAGAGAUUAAUGAAAUUAAUCAUAUAAAAAUUUCUCUAAUUUUAAUUUUAGAAUAAAUAUUAACAAUAUUUUUUUCAAAUAUAAAUAAUAAUAUUUGAAAAACAUCAUCAGUAAAUUGCCUUUUCAAUUUUUUCUCUAAUUGUCAUUUUAAAUGAAUAUUAAAAUCCUUUUAGUAAAAUUUAUGAAUUUAGUAAAACAUUAAUAUCUAUACUUUAUAAUUUUUAAUAAAGUUUUAUCAUUUUUAAUAAUAAAAAAUUAUAUAAGUUGUGUUUCUCUUAUUAGUAUCACUAUUUACAAAAUUUAUCUUUAAAAUUAUUUAUUUUAAAAAUUAUUAAUUAUUAAGAAUCAUUUUUAUAAAAGGUAAAAAAUAAUUACCAUAUAAAUAUAAAUUAAAAGUGGAGGUUAUAUUUGUUAAUUAUUUUUAAAAAGGGAUUUCAAAACAUUACUUUCUCCAAAAAUAACAAUAAUAAUAAUAUAAACACAAUAUUUACUCAAAAUAUUAUGUAAAUGAAAAACUUAAAAAUAAUAUAUAUUUGUUUUUUUAAAAAUAUUUUUAGUCAUAAUAAAAGGUCAUCUACUCAACAUGUUGCUGGGAAUGGUAUAUAAGUCAAUGCCUGCUUUGCUCACAAAUCAAAAACCAAAACUUGCUAAUCCUUGUUAUUACACACUAUCCUUGCUCUGUGUUGAACAUGGCUACAAGCCCCUUUCGAUAUUUUAUUUCCCUUUUUCUGCUUUUGCUCUGUUUCGAAGCCUGUUUCAGGGUGGGUGACACUAAAGUUGGGUGCAUAGAGAGGGAGACACAGGCUCUCCUUCACUUCAAAAAAGUUGUUCUCGAUGACCAUGGAGUGCUUUCUUCAUGGGGGAAUGGGGAAGACAAAAAAGAUUGUUGCAAAUGGAGAGGAGUGGAGUGUAACAACCAGACGGGUCAUGUGAUCAGGCUUGAUCUUCAUCACCAAUAUUUGGGAGGUAAGAUAUCUCAGCUUGGUCCUUCAUUGGCAGAGUUGCAGCACUUGAAGCAUUUGAACCUCAGCUGGAAUCAUUUUAAAGGUAAUUAUAUACAUAUAUACCUUGUGAAAAUUCAUCAGCUUGUCUCAGCAGAAUAUAAUUCUCUCUUUUCCCAAUUUUACAGGAAUUCUUCCCACUCAACUUGGAAAUCUUUCCAAUUUGCAAUCCCUUGAUCUCGGCAGUAAUUAUGGGCAUAUGAGCUGUGAGAACCUUGACUGGCUUUCUCACCUUCCUUCGUUAACACACCUUGACUUGAGUGGGGUUAAUCUUAGUAAAGCAAUUCAUUGGCCCCAAGCAAUUAAUAAAAUGCCUUCCUUAACUGAGUUAUACUUGCACUAUACUGAGCUUCCUCCGAUUAUUCCAACAAUAUCCAUUUCCCAUAUUAAUUCUUCUACUUCUCUUGUUGUGCUUGAUCUCUCCUCGAAUAGUCUCACUUCUUCAAUAUACCCAUGGUUGUUCAACUUCAGUAGCAGCCUUGUUCAUCUUGACCUCUCUUGGAAUGAUCUAAAUGGUUCAAUUCCGGAUGCUUUUGGAAACAUGACUACUCUGGCAUAUCUUGAUCUCUUUUGGAACGAGCUACGUGGU
rnacentral:lncRNA from 1 species